AUUUAUUUUUUAUUUUUCUUUAAGACUGGUUGCAAAUAAGAAUGUUGAACAUUACAUGGUUAAACACAUCCAAUCCUCUCUUACAAAAAGUAACACACCCAAUCCUUGCAUCCCCCUUACCAGCCAAUAUCUUGAAUGCUCAAUAGCUCUUCAGAACUCUGGGAUGUCCCCCAGAUGGUAAUUAAGUAGCCUACAGCUAAUAGUUGCUUAAAACUGUUUUUCUCUUAUAAGCUAGUGAUGGCUUAUUGGGCUAUUAUUUGAUGCUCACAAGGUAAUGAUAAUAGGCAAAUUAUUAUUGUAUAAUUAUUUGCAAGGCUUGAGGAUUCUAACUUGGAACUAGUGAUUAUGCCAUGGUGCCAUACAGCCCUGCCUUUUCUUCCAAACAUGAACCUCGACUCCCUGUUCUUAUAACAUGUGACAUGUGACUGCACCCUGAUUCUUGAAACACGUGUAUUGGAGUCCAUUUACUAAAAGUGAGAUCAUUCCGGUAGGGGAGGUGGAGGAGAUCCUUGAGAUGGCUGUGGAGUUGGGUUGCAAGGUAGGUCAGCUGCCAUCAACUUACCUGGGGCUGCCUCUGGGUGCGCCCAAUAAGGCUGUGUGCGUGUGGGAUGGGGUGGAAGAAAGGAUGAGGUGGAAACUGGCUCUCUGGAAGCGGCAAUACAUAUCAAAGGGCGGAAGAAUUGCACUAAUAAAGAGUACCUUGGCUAGCAUGCCACUAUAUCGGAUGUCUCUUUUCCGUAUGCCUAGGGUAGUGGCAAGAAGACUAGAAAAGUUGCAAAGAGACUUUUUGUGGGGAGGGGGAAGUACGGAAAGAAAAGCUCACCUUGUCAAUUGGGAGAGGGUGUGCGUGGGUAAGGAGAAGGGGGGACUGGGGUUGAGGAAGUUAGUCCCUUUGAACAAAGCCCUUCUUGGAAAAUGGGUGUGGAGAUUUGCUCAUGCUAAGGAGGAGAUGUGGAAACGUGUCCUUGUGGCAAAAUAUGGGCAAGAGGAAUUUGGGUGGAGGACUAAAAAGGUAAAUGGGGCUUUUGGUGUUGGGGUUUGGAAGGAGAUUAUGAGAGAAGCUGAUUGGUGUUGGGACAAUAUGAAUUUUAAGGUCAGAAAAGGCACCAAAAUCAGGUUUUGGAAGGACCCUUGGUGUGGGGAGGUGGAGUUGGCUCGUAGGUUCCCUCAACUUUUCAAUGUGGCUGCCCAAAGGAGUGCCACUAUGGGGGAGUUAUGGGACCACAAUUCUGACCUAGGAAGUUGGAAUCUAAGGUUUUCUAGGGGCUUCAAUGAUUGGGAGCUGAACAUGGUUGAUGAAUUGCUUCAAAUCCUAAGGAGUCAAAGAAUCACCCUGGAGGAGGACUUGGCAUUAUGGAAGGGGGGGAAAAAUGGGAAGUUUGAAGUUAAGGAAGCGUAUGAGCUGCUGAUCAGCCAUAGUACCCUGCUUUUUCCCAAAAAGGGCAUUUGGGUGGAGAACGUCCCCUCCAAGCUAGCGUUUUUUGCGUGGGAAGCUACUUGGGGGAGGGUUCUUACGCUUGAUAGGCUCCAAAAGAGAGGGUGGCAGCUUCCUAAUCGCUGCUACUUAUGUGGUAUUGAUGAGGAAAACGUCAACCAUCUUCUUAUCCAUUGUACAGUGGCUAGUGUGUUAUAGGGGAUUGUUCUUGGCCUAUUUGGAGCCCAAUGGGUCUUUCCAGAAACUGUAAAGGAGGCGAUUGUCAGCUGGAAGGGUUCUUUUGUGGGAAAUAAGAGGGAGAAAAUUUGGAGAUCCAUACCGUUAUUUAUUUUUUGGACGGUUUGGAAGGAGAGGAAUAGAUUAGCAUUCAGGGGGGGGAGUUAGCUAUACAAAAAGUUAAGAAUUCUUUUGUUUGUAAUUUGUGGGGGUGGGCAAAAUUGUAUAGUGGUGCGGAGUCUCGCUCCCUUAUAGGUUUCCUGGAGUGGAUAGCCUCCAGUUAAGGGUUGGUAGGUUUCUUUGUUGUUUUUUUGGUAGCUUGUGAGGCCUCCGUCGCCUCGUAUACAUCCUGUAUGCUUUGCGGCGUUUUGCCUUUUGCUAAUAUAUGUGUUUACUUAUCAAAAAAAAAAAACUAGGCUUAAAAUUGACCAUUAGGCACUGUGAGUAUGUUUUAGAGAACGGUAAACAGUAUUGAAGUUUAUUUAGCUCAUUGGAAUUUUAAGUCUAUCUAGAAUUUCCAAUGAGAUAUUUAUUUCCUUUAAAUGUUCUUGUUACAAAUUAGGUUUUCCGUGGCUAGAUGGACAUGACGCAAUCUCAUAUCAUGGUUUAUAAUUUAAAUCUAUCUAUGUGGGUAAUAAAAGGUAGUGCCUGAAAUCUUUACUCAAACUAGUUGCAUCUUUUGUUUUGAUUACAAACCCAGUCAUGCAGCCAACAUCCUGUUUUUGUGGAGUCAGCAGCCAAAAUAACAUUUUUCCAUUGCUAGUCCAUGUUUCCAAGAGUCCAUUGGUAUUCUUUUAUGACACAACAGCUUCUAUAUGUGAAAAAAAAAAUUGAGGCAUAAGGUAUAUGAGCAAAACAAACCAUGCUGCAAGGAAGAGGUUGUUAGCAUUGAUACCUAGCAGCAGGAAGGGAAUUUGGCUCCUGAAUUUUCAGCAAUGAGGGCCUUAAAGAAAGGGGAAUUGGAGGAGUUGUUGUUAAAGGAAAAGGUGUUUUGGAGGGACAAAGCUAGGGUCAAAUGGAUAAGAAAAGGGGAUUGAAACUCUUUAGUAUUUCCAUAGGGUGGCCAAUAGUAGGCUAAAUAAGAAAUUUAUAAAGUUAUUGGUUUCAAAAGAAGGGGUAAUUCUAGAUAACAUCGAAAACAUUAUGGAGGAGAUGAUGCAUUUAUUUGGAAAAUUAUACUCAAAACCUUUGGGUGGUUUUUGGAGGUUAGAAGGAUUGGAUUUGUCUCCCUUUUCAACCGAGAGUGUUGCAUGGCUCAAUUGCCCUUUUUUAGAAGAAGAGAUUCAUAAGGUUGUAUUUCAAUUAAACAAGGAAAAGGCUCCUAGGCCUAAUGGAUUCACCAUUACAGUGUAUUAAAAGUGCUGGGAUGUGAUUAGGGACAAUCUUCUAAGAGUGUUCUUAGAGUUUCACAAUAAUGGGGUAAUAAAUCAAAGCACCAAUGUUAUCUUCAUUGCUCUUGUGCCAAAAGAGUCAAACCGGAAAAAUCUCAUAUUUUAGACCUAUUAGCCUAGUGAUGAGUUUGUACAUAUCAUAGCUAAGGUUUUAUCAAGGUGUACAAGGUGCUUUUGUUGGGGGGAGACAAAUUUUGAAUGCUAUUUUGAUUGCUAAUGAGUUGGGUGGAUGAGAAAAGGAGAUCAGGAGAGGAAGGGGUAAUCUUCAAAAUUGAUUUUGAAAAGACCUAUGACAUGUAGAUUGGGGUUUUUUGGACCAUGUGCUUGAGAGAAAAGGAUUUAGUUCAAUGGAGGUCUUGGAUGAGGGGAUGCUUGUCCUUAGUUAGUUUUGCGGUCUUAGUGAAUGCGAACACUAAAGGUUGGGUUAAGACAACUAUAUGCUUUAAGACAAGGAGAAAUAAGACUAGAGUGUCUCAUUUACAAUUUGUAGAUGACACCAUUUUUUUCUUUAGAGUUUCUUUGGUUGAUUUGCAAAAUCUCAAGCUAAUAUUAUUGGUUUUUAGGUUUGAUAAAAAAAUAUUAUUGGUUUUUAGGCACUUAUCGGAUCUUAUGAUCAAUUUAAACAAGAACACUCUUUUUGGUAUCAAUAUAAGUCAAGAACAGAUCUCCAGGUUGGCUUCGAUGCUUGAAUGUGUAGUCUCUGGUUGACCUUUAACGCAUGUGGGCUUCCAUUAGGGGAGAAUCCAAAAACAAAUACAUUUUGAGAUCCAGUAAUUGAUAGAAUCUCAAGGAGAUUGGAUGGGUGGAAAAAAGCUUUUUUGCUUUAGGGGGUAGAAUAACUUAAACUCUAAUUCAAUUUCACUUGUCUCAUAUCCUGAGCUAUUUAUAAGAGUUAGAAUAACCCUAAUUUUGCAAUAGCAUCAAACAUUGAAAAAUUUCAAAGAGAUUUUUUAUUGUCGAGGUUUGGGGGUGCCAAAAAGGAUUAUAUGAUCAAUUAGGAUCUAGUGUGUAGGCGUUAGGAGAUUGGAGGUUUGGGGUUUGGGAAGAUAUUUUUGAGGAAUUAUGCUCUAUUAUGGAAGUGACUUUGGAGGUUCCGUAGAGAAAGUUACGCCCUUUGGUUUUAGGUUAUUUUAAGUAUUUAUAGGUCACAUCCUACCAAUAAUAGUCCAAUUCAAAAAAAAGAAAUGACUGCUUCCUCGGAGGUGAGAGGAGGUUUGAAAGGUGGAAAGUGUUGGUUUGCAGUAGAAUCUAAGACCUUUGAAAUCUCCAUUGAAGUGGUCCGACGUAAGCCAAGAGGGAUUAUUUUGGAAAGGAGCAAAGACUUUUCCUCUUGGAUAAGAUUUGGAGAAAAGAGUUUGAGCUAUCUGUUGGAAGGUGUGGAAGCUUGGUGUAGAGGAGAGUCGAGUUAGAGGUGUCUAAAAGUUUGGGAAGAUGGAUGAAGAAAGUUUAGGCUAGAGUGUCGUUCAAAUGAAGCUGGUAGGUUUUUACUCUGUUCGGUGCGAGAUGUGGAAGCUAAGAAGUAUUGUCUUGUAUUUCCAGAGGGAAAAGGUUUAGUAGGGGGGUGGUUCUUGUUGGCUAAGAAGUUAAGGGCCCUAGGAGUCUCCACUCCAGCUUUGAGCAAAGCUUGUCCGGGUGUUUCCACCUCUGUAAAGGUGGGUGUAGUUUCAAAGGGAAAGAGAAAGGAAAAGGAACGUAUGCAGAAGUCACGAGAGUGAAGAUAGGGGAACCAGGGGAGUCUUUACAGAAGUGUUUCCACCUCUGUAAAGGGUGGGUGUAGUUUCAAAGGGAAAGAGAAAGGAAAAGGAACGUAUGCAGAAGUCACGAGAGUGAAGAUAGGGGAACUAGGGGAGUCUUUAUGGGUGCAUUUAGGGGAUCGAGAACUUCUUUGCAGGGAAGAGCAGCUAAGUCGUUGCUUGGUUGGCUGUUUUGGUGACAGUUUUGAAUCGGUUCCUCCUUUGUCAUCCUUGACGGGGUGAGCACUUGCAAGUUGGUUUCUAAGGGGAGGUUUAAAAAUCUCCAAGUUGGGUGGGGCCCUUGUGCUGUUUGAGCUUGAAAAUAAAUUUGAAGCUGAUUUGGUGCUUUUAAGGGGCAGUGGAUGUUUUAAGGAGAGAGAGUUUCUCUUGCAAAGAUGGGGACUUGAAGUGGGGUGUUUUUGGAAUGGGAGCCAUGCCAAGGAAGUAUGGGUGAGGGUUGCAGGACUUCCUCUUCACCUUUGGAGUAGAGAGGUGUUCACGAGAAUUAGAGAGCUGUGGGGGUUUUAUAGUUGUUAAUGAGGAAACAACUUUUUUUUCUCGGUUGCAAUGGGCUUGUAUCUUGGUGAGAGCCUCUGGGAAGAAUAUGCCAGGGGCAUUGCAGGUGGUGGCCAGGCAUACUUGCUAGGUGGUUCGCCUGUGGUGGGAAACACCUCCUUGGGUUUCUCAGGUAGUGCCGAGGUCUGCUUUUCACAAAAGAGCAAGGUGUGAGGUUGGGGAUGAAGGUGUGGGUGGUGCAUGCGCUGGUGAUAGCGUGCGGGAGACUCAAAUUGGUGAUCAGAAUUGGGGGUCAGAAGAGUAGGUUGAGUGUGGUAGAAGGAUUAGGGAUGCAGUUGGUGUAGUAGGUAGGCCGGCUAAAGGCUUUGAAUUGGACUCAACUUUAAGUGGGCAUGGGCCUGGGCCUGGGAUAGCAGGCUGGGAGCAAUUUAAAGGAAGAGAAAUGUUGGACUCAAGAGGUGGAGCGGGCUGGGCCGUGGGCUCAAAACCCUUCAGCCCCGUGGGAGCAGGCGUGGUUGAGAACUCUAAGGGGCCUUUUGGGCCCAUUUUAAAAGAGGCCCAUCCAUGCCUUUUUGGGUGGCUCUUCUCCUCUAGGGCUCCUCUUGAGUCCAUCGUGGGAGCUUUGGGGUUGGAACAAGUGGAGCUAGCCGACGAAGAUUUCAACGUUGGGGGGUCGCUUCCAGGUCGUUCAACGUUCACCGACAAAGCACUGAUGGAUGAAGCAUCCAGGUAUCCCGUUUAUCACAACCGCUUCUUUUUCUUUGGGGCUUCGGGGUGCUUCUUCUUCUACUCCUUUCUUAGGGACCAACAAAGCUUUGUUGGUAUCGGAGGGGGCUUCCAGUGGGUUGGAAGGCUCAACGGCAGGGGCGAUGGACUGGGAUCCUCUGCGAGUAGUGCCGAUUGAAGAUUUAUUGGUCCUCGAUGGUCGGAAAGAGCCUCCUCGGGGUUCGACUGGCAGUGUUAGUGCGACUGAGCUAGCGAUUGUCCCGGUUGGAUCGGGUUAUGCGAGUCCAAUCGUGGAGAGGAUUGACUUUCAAUUGGAAGAGGGAGGGGGGUGGGAUGAAGGGUGGAACUCUAGCUGUCUUGCGAAGUUCAGUCGAUGCCUUGGUAUGCUGACGAAAGAGUUAGUAGAGGAAAUUUUGUAUCUCUUGAGGAGGAUGAAGGGGAGAAUUGACCAAAAGGGGCAGGAUGGGGCGUCUAGAAAGACAAAAUUAAUGUCUUCAAAAUCUAGUAGGGAACUCAAGAAGUUGGAGUGGACAGUAAGCUAUUAAAAAGCUAGGUUUGAUACCAGUUUGGGUAUUUUUGGAGGGGCUUUUGUGUCGGGGUGCAAAUGAAAAUAAGAAUUUUAUCUUGGAAUGUGAGAGGGGCAAAUGACAGAGAUAAAAGAAAGAUUAUUAAGUCAGUGAUAAAAUCUCAAAGAGUGGACGUGGUUUGUUUGUAAGAAACCAAAAUUAAAGAAAUGACUACAGGGAUUGUUCGUAGUCUUGGGGUGGGAAGACAUCUAGAUUUAAGUGCAGUCAAUUCAAGGGGUGCAACUGGAGGCAUUCUGAUAUUUUGGGAUAACAGAGUAUUUGAGUUGGUNNNNNNNNNNNNNNNNNNNNNNNNNNNNNNNNNNNNNNNNNNNNNNNNNNNNNNNNNNNNNNNNNNNNNNNNNNNNNNNNNNNNNNNNNNNNNNNNNNNNGAGUGACCCUUGGUGUGUGGGAGGGGAUUUCAAUAUGAUCAGAUUUCCAGAGGAAUAUGGUAGGGGAGGUGGGCUUUCUGCAUCAAUGAGGAGAUUUUCAGAAGUGGUAGAGGAUUUGGAGUUGAGGGACUUUCCUUUGCAGGGGGGUCCUUUUACUUGGAGGGGCGGGUUGAAUAUCCAAUCCCAUUCUAGGCUUGAUCGGUUUUUAGUGAUAGAUAAUUGGGACAACUUGUUUAAUGGGGCUGUGCAGGGUGUUCUACCCAGACCAAUUUUUGAUCACUUUCCCAUUUUACUAGAAGGAGGCAUGAAUAGGGGACCUUUUCCUUUCAGAUUUGAGAACACGUGGUUGGAGGAGGAGGGGUUCAAAGAUCAGAUGAAGACGUGGUGGGGGAGCUUAAGUUUUACUAGGACCUCCAACUUUGUUUUAGACGCAAAAUUAAGAGAAGAUAUUUUGAAAACUUGGAAUAAAGAAGUGUUUGGUCUCAUUGAGACUAAAAAGGGAGAAGCUCUCGAACGGGUUGUGUAUUAGGAUGAAAAGGAGAAAUGUUCAGCUUUGAAUCUGGAAGAUUGUGAAGCCAGAAAGGAGGCUAGGGAGUCUUAUAAGACUUAGGUGUUGAGGGAAGAAAUCUCUUGGAGACAAAAGUCUAGGGAAGUGUGGUUGAAGGAGGGGGAUAAUAACACCAUAUUCUUUCAUAGGAUGGCGAAUGCUCAUUGUAGAAUAAACUGGUUGUUCAAGCUAAAAGUGAAUGGCUGCCGGCAUACUGAGGAGAAUGAUUUAAAAGAUAGUGUGGUGGGGGCAUUUCAUAACCUGUAUUCAGAGGAAGGGGGGUGGCGUCCUUGUAUUGAUGGGUUGUCUUUUAUGGGGCUAGCUAGCAGUGAGGCUGAGGGGCUGGAGAUUCAUUUUUUGGAAGAAGAGGUGUUUGCAACUCACUCAGAUCUAGGCAAGGACACAUCCCUUAGUCUGGAUGGCUUCACCAUGAUUUUUUGGCUUUUUUGUUGGGAUGUUGUGAAGGUAGAGAUUAUGGGUUUUUUUAGACUUUCAUGAGUGGGGUAGAUUUGUAAAGUCUUUGAAUGCUACUUUCUUGGUUUUAGUCCCAAAGAAGGGAAGUGCAGAAGAUUUGAAAGAUUUUAGGUUGAUUAGCCUUGUGGGCAGCCUCUAUAAGUUGUUGGCUAAUAAAAUUAAAAAGGUAAUGGGGAAAGUGAUUUCGGAGUCCCAAAAUGCCUUUGUGUAGGGUAGACAAAUUUUAGACACAGUUUUGAUUGCAAAUGAGGUUGUGGACUCAAGGUUGAAAGGCAACGAUGGGGGUAUGUUGUGUAAGUUGGAUAUAGAGAAGGGAUAUGAUCAUGUCAAUUGGAAGUUCUUGAUGGUAGCGCUUAGAUAGACGGGCUUUGGGGAGAAAUGGAUAAAGUGGAUAGAUUGGUGCAUCUCUAUUGUGAAAUUUUCUGUUUUAAUAAAUGGUUCUCCUUCCCUUUUUUUCCAAAGUUCAAGGGAAUUGAGACAAGGAGACCGACCCCCUCUCCCCUUAUUUGUUUGUGAUAGCCAUGGAGGUGUUUAGUUGUUUAUUGAGGAGGGCUACUAGUGGGGGCUACUUAUCUAGUUGGAGGGUGAGAGGUAGGAGUGGCGAGGGGAUUCUAAUCUCGGACUUGUUAUUUGCAGAUGAUACAUUGGUCUUUUGUGAGGCGUCUCAAGACCAGAUGACUUAUCUAAGCUGACUUCUCAUGUGGUUUGAGGCUUGUUUAAGGUUGAUAAUCAAUCUGGAGAAGAGCGAGUUAAUCCUGGUGGGCAGGGUGCAUGUUAUAGAGGACUUGGCAUUGGAGUUGGGGUGUAAAGUGGGUGGUCUUCCUUCCUGCUAUUUAGGUUUGCCUUUGGGGGCACCCUUCAAAUCAGCGGCCGUGUGGGAUGGAGUUGAAGAGCGUUUUCAAAAAAGGCUAGCAAUGUGGAAGAGACAAUAUAUUUCAAAAGGAGGGAGACUCACUCUAAUUCGAAGCACUUUAUCUAGCAUGCCUAUCUAUUUUAUGUCACUUUUUUGCUUGCUAAGAAAAGUGAGGUUGAGAUUGGAGAAGAUUCAGAGGAAUUGUCUGUGGGGUGGUGGAGCUCUUGCGUAGAAACCACAUCUUGUUAGGUGGAACAUGGUUUGCUUGGAAAAAAGGAAAGGUGGUUUGGGUGUGAGAAAUCUAGCUUUGAUGAAUAUAGCUCUCUUAAGUAGAAUUGGUGAUUUGCUAAUGAAAGAGAGGCUUUUUGGAAGCAAGUCAUCAAUCACAUGUAUGGUGAAGAGGAGGGGGGAUGGCGCUCCCGUACAAUAAGUGAGAGGUAUGGUGUGGGGUUGUGGAAAACAAUUAGGAAGGAGUGGAUGUAUUUGAGUGGUAGGUUGGCCUACCAGGUGGGUAAUGGGUAGAGAGUGAGAUUUUGGAUGGACAAGUGGUGUGGAAAUGAGCAACUUUGUGAGUCCUUUUUUUUUUUUUUUUUUUGAUAGAUAAAAGGAUGUACAUUAAAAAAAAAAGAGGAAGCACAAAAAAAAAUGUUCACAAAGUAUACAAGGAGUAUUCAAAAAUAGCCCAAAGACACACUCCGAGGGGGAAAGGAUAGAAACACACCACCUUUCCUUACUUAGAGCCUAACCAAUCUAAAAAACUUACAAGAGAAGAAGGGCUCAAAACUAUAGACAUCCUAACCUAAGACCAAAUAUUACAUACAAAAUAAUAUUUCAGUCUUUGAAGCGAAAGCUCCUCAUUCCUAAAAGUUAAUAAAUUUCUUUCCUUCCAGACUGACCAAAAUAUACAUAAGGGGGCCAUUUGCCAAGCCUUUUUUCGAGCUUUCCCCACAAACGCUCCAUGCCACCCAAUAAGAGUUUCCUUCACUGUACACGAGAGAGUUCAAUCCACACCAAAAAGGGAGAAAAGAAGAUUCCACAGAACCCACGUCUUUACACAAUGAAGUAAAAGGUGAUCCAUCGUCCCUACUUUAGAGAGGCAUAGAAAACACCUGUUUGCCAAUGAGUACUCCCUCCUUUGAAGUUGCUCCAAAGUUAAGACUUUACCCCAAGAGGUCUCCCAAGCGAAGAAGGCCACCUUAGGAGGCACACUCACCCUCCAAAUACUAUCACUAGGGAACAAAGAAGAACCUCUGGGCUCCAAAAUAGAAUAAAGAGACUUGAUUGAGAAAGUGCCAUACUUUGGUGUUGUCCAAAACCACUUUAUCUUCCUCCUCCCUUUGCACCCGGAAGACUUGGAUCUUAUGCAAAAAAUGCUCCACCAACUCAAUCUCCCAAUCAUUUAAAUGCCCUUACAAACAGAGGGGUCCAACCAUUCCCAUCACCAACGGGAUUCCAAACAUCCGAUACCCAAGCAUUCUUAGACAAAGAGAUGGAAAAUAGAGAAGGGAAGGACUCACAAAGUGGUGCAUCUCCACACCGUUUGUCCGUCCAGAAUCUCACUCUUUGCCCACUAUCCACUUGGUAGGCUAACCUACCAUUUAAAAACAACCACUCCUUCCUAAUUGCUUUCCAAAGCCCAACGCCGUAUCUCCCACUCACUGCCUGAGUGCGCCAUCCUCCCUCCUCUUCACCAUACUUAUGACUGAUGACUUACUUCCAAAAAGCCUCUCUUUCAUUGGCAAACCUCCAAUUCCACUUACUUAGGAGAGCGAUAUUCAUGAGAGCUAGAUCUCACACCUAACCCACCUUUCCUUUUAUCUAAGCAAACCAAGUUCCACCUAACAAGAUGCGGCUUUUGGACAAGAGCUCCCCCGCCCCACAGAAAAUCCCUUUGAAUCUUCUCCAAUCUCAACCUCACUUUUCUUGGCAAGUAAAAGAGAGACAUAAAGUAUAUAGGCAUGUUAGAUAGAGUGCUUCGGAUUAGAGUGAGUCCCUCCUUUUGAAAUAUACUGCCUUUUCCACAUUGCAAGCUUUUUUCGAAAUCGCUCUUCAACACCAUCCCACACAACCAUUGAUUUGAAGGGGGCCCCCAAAGGCAAACCCAAAUGGCAGGAAGGGAGCCCACCCACUUUACAACCCAACUCCAAGGCCAAGUCCUCGAUAACUUGCACCCUACCCAUCGGGAUUAACUCACUCUUCUUCAAAUUGAUCUUCAACCCUGAACACGCCUCAAACCACAUAAGAAGCCAACUUAGAUAAGUCAUUUGGUCUAGAGACUCCUCACAAAAUACCAACUUAUCAUCCGCAAAUAAUGAGUCCUUCCCUUCAUUAUUUUCCAUUUCUUUGUCUAAGGAAGCUUAGGUGUCGGAUGUUUGGAACCUUGAUGGUGAUGGGGGUGGUUGGACCCCUCUUUUCUCAAGGGUGUUUAAUGAUUGGGAGAUUGAGUUGGUGGAGCGUUUUUUGCAAAAGAUCCAAACCUUUAAGGUGCAAAGGGAGGAGGAAGAUAGAGUGAUUUGGACAACUUUGAAGUGUGACACCUUUACAGUCAAGUCUCUUUAUUCUAUUUUGAAGCCCAGAGAUUCUCCCUUGUUCCCUAGUGGUAGUAUUUGGAAGGCAAGUGUGCCUCGUAAGGUGACUUUCUUUGCUUGGGAGGCUUUUUAGGGUAAAGUCUUAACUUUGGAUCAACUUCAAAGGAGGGGGCACUCAUUGGCAAAUAGGUGUUUUCUAGGCCUCUCUAAAGUAGAGAUGGUGGAUCACCUUUUACUUCAUCAUGCAAAAGACUCGGGUUCUGUGAAAUUUUCUUUUCUCCCUUUUUGGUUUGGCUUAGAUACUCUUUUGUUCAGUGAAGGAAACUCUUCUUGGGUGGCACGGGGUGUUUGUGGGGAAAGCUCGUAAAAAGGCUUGGCAAAUGGUCCCCUUAUGUAUAUUUUGGUUAGUCUGAAAGAAAAGGAAUAUGUUAGCUUUUGGUAAUGAGGAGCUUUCGCUCCAAAGAUUGAAAAAUUCUUUUGUAUGUAAUCUUUGGUCUUGGGUUAGGAUGUCUAUAGUUUUAAGCCCUUCUUCUCUUGUAAGUUUCUUUGAUUGGUUAGGCUCUAAGUAAGGGCAAGUGAUGUUUUUUGUUUCUAUCCCUUCCCCUUUGGUUUGAGCCUUUGGGCUUCUUUUGUAUACUUUGAGGGCACGACUUUUGGUGCUUCCUCAUUUCGUUAUAUAUACAUCUUUUUAUCUAUAUAUAUAAAAAAAUCCUACCAAUAAUACAUUUAGAUGGUCACAUCAUUACCCUUGGAAGGCCAUUGCAUAGGUUCUCCUGUUUUUUUUUUUUUUUUUGCACACACUCGUUUUGUGGUGGGUGAUGGGAUAAGAAUUUUUUUUUUUUUUUUUUUUGGGGGGGGGAUUAAUCCUUAUGUUCACAAUUUUCAAGUCUUUAUAAAGUUGGCACAAUUAGAAGUAUCUCCAUUUCAGCUAUUCUUGGCAAUUCUUCCACUUUUUUUUCUGGGAACCUUUAUUUUUGUGACAACCUCAUCGAUUUGGAAAUUAAGGACCUCAAAAGACUCAUGGCCUCUCUUAUUCACAUACACUUGUCUCUAUCCGUCCCAAAUGCAAGAACCUGGGCACUAUCUUCUUCAAACUUACUCUUCGUAAAAUAUUUCUUCUUCACUUUGUCCAAUAUUUCAAAUUCAAUCUCAUUUAAUCCAACCAAAUUUGUAUGGAAAUCUAAAGUCCCAUUUAAGGUUAAGGCCUUUGCUUAGUUAGGGGCACACAAGGAGGUAAAUACCAAUGACAUGCUACAAUUGAGAAGACCUUUCAAAGCCCUUAGUCUUAAUUGGUGUGUCCUUUAUGGUGGGUGGGGGGGGGGUUGGAGAGAUGAUUAACCAUCUCUUUCUACAUUAUUCGAUUACUUUUGGGGCUAUGACACAGACUAUUUGGACAAGUUGAGGUGGAUUAGGUUGAGCCUAGGAGUUUAUCUGAUAUGUUGAUUAUUUUAUAUAUGGGUUUAGAGAACUCCAUCAGAGGCAAAACCUUGUGGAAGAUUGCUUGUCUCAUUUUGAUAUGGAUCAUAUGGUGAGAGAGAAAUCUUAGGAUCUUUGAGGAUAAAUGGAGGAUGUUAGGGAUGUUAUGGGAUUGACUUCACUUCUUUUCUUCUUUUUUGGCCUAUGUAUUGACGAAUUUAAAGAAAUUCCCUCUAAAUGUCAUUCAACUCAAUUGGCAUUUGAUGUGUACACCAAUAGAGUUGGACCACCAUUGAAAGGAGCUUAGCCUGGUUUGAGGAGUUGUAAUCUGUGUAUAUCCUUUUGUGAUCUAUCUUUUUACAUAUAUCUCAUUGUAUAGUGGAUUAUGGACUAUUUGGAAGGAAAGGAAUAGAAGAGCUUUCAAUGACAUUGAGCGGUUUGACCAAACUAUUAAAUCCAUUUUCAUGUAUACUUUUGUGAUUUGAACUAGAGUGUUUAUAGAGGAUCACAUGUUGUCUUUGAUAAAUUUUGUAGAUUGGUUCUUUGUUAGGUAAGGAGAUGGUUAUUUUAUUUUUAUAUAUUAUUAUUUUUUUUUUGUCUCCUUAUAUCCUUGCUAUUGUUGGACUUUGUGUGUACUUGUGUUGCUGUCUUUUAGGUACUUUUAAUACAAGCCCCUUUCUUUUGCCUAUCAAAAAAGGAAAAAAAAAAUCUCCUUGUAUAGUGGAGUUCUUUGUUUUGAUUAGGCUUGUGUAUUUGUGGGGAGGAUUCCUCAUCCUUCUCAUGAAGUUUUUCUUUAUUAUUAAUACAUCUCUUGUUUUUGAUUAAAAAAAAAAAACAUUCUGUAUGUGAUCUCAGAAGUUGGCAGCAGCCUAGGAAAACCUCAAAAAAGUGCUCAAUUUUUAUAAAAUAUUCUGUCUUUAAAAUGGGAACACCCAUCCUCCCGGACUGUUUUGAGGCACAGAGUAUUGUAGUGGCUCUUUAAUUUUUUUUUUCCUCUUGUUGCUAUAUUUUGGUUUUGCUUUUGCUUUUGUCUCAUCUCUCUCUCUCUCUCUCUCUCUCUCUCUCUCUAUAUAUAUAUAUAUAUAUAUAUAUAUAUAUAUAUAUAUAUAUAUAUAUAUAUGAAAUUGAUCCUCACUUCUUCUAAAACAACAGAAUUCUGCUCAACAUCUUCCUAAAAAUAGAGUGCCAAACAAACCCUUGAGACUUGGGUUAAGUGGUGAAGGGUUGGGGUAGGUUAUGGGAGGUUCUGGGUGUUGGAAAAUAAAAUCUUCUUAUUAUUUCUUUGAAAAAUUAGUAUAAAAAUAUAUAUACAUUCAAACUUGUACAAUAAAUAGAAAUAAAAUAAGACAAUUGACCUAUUCCUAAUAUUCUUCCUACAAAUCUUCUAAAUUACAACUUCCCUAAUUUACAUAGUCAACUAAUUUAAAUAUACAAAAAAUAUGCACAAAAUCAUAAAUAAAUCAAAUCAACUCCAUGAAGUUAGGAAUAAUUAUUAGAUUCCAACACUCCCUCUCAAGCUGGUUCAAAGAUAUCUUCCAUUCCCAGCUUGUUAACCAUAGAGUUGAAUGUAAGAUUCUGAACUCCUUUUGUAAAGACAUCAACUAGUUGUAGUUUGGAUGUAACAAGCAGAGUGGAAAUCAGUCCACUAUCAAUCUUUUCUUUAAUGAAAUGUCUAUCAAUCUCAACAGGUUGUACUGAGUUGUAAGCAAUACUGAUUGCAGCCUUGUUAUCACAAUACAGUCUCAUGGGAUUCUCAAGAUUGACUUGUAGUUCCCUCAAUAAACCCUUUAGCCAAAUGAGUUCACAAAUGCCAAGGGCCAUAACUCGAAACUUUGCUUUAGCACUAGACCGAACAACUAGAUAUUGCUUUUUGCUUCUCCAAGUAAUCAAGUUGUUGCCCACAAAUGUACAAUACCCUGAAGUAGAUCUUCUAUCAGUAAUAGAACCUACCCAAUCUGCAUUUGUGUAAGCUUCAACUCUAAGGUGAUUGUUCUUUGAGAACAAUAAGCCUUUUCCUGGAGUUGACUUUAGGUACCUUAAGAUUCUAAAAAAUGCAUUCAUAUGACAUUCUAAGGGGGAGUGCAUAGACUGACUUACCAUUCUAACAGCAUAUGCUAUAUCUCGUCUCGUGUGGGAUAAAUAAAUUAAGCUCCCAACAAGUCUUUGAUAUCUCCCUUUGUCAACUGGUAUUCCUUUAAUAGACUCCUAAUUGAUGAUUUUGAUCAAUAGGUGUGCUUGUAGGUUUGCAUCCUAGCAUCUCGGUUUCAUUUAUCAAAUCAAGGAUAUAUUUCCUUUGAGUAACAUAAAUUCCCCUUUUUGAUCUUGCCACCUCAAAGCCAAGAAAAUAUCUGAGAUUUCCAAGAUCUGAUUUCAAAUUCUUUUGCCAACUUCCCCUUAAAAUCUGCAUCUCUUCAACGUUAUCUCCAGUGAACAAUUAUGUCAUCUAUAUAAAUAAUAAGUCCAACAAUCUUCUUUUCAAGUGAUUGCUUGAUGAAAAGGGUAUGAUCUCUUUGGCUUUGGUGAUAGCUAAAUUUGAGUAGAGACUUAGCAAAUCUCUCAAACCAUGCUGAAGGAGACUGCUUCAAACCAUAUGAUGAUUUCUUCAAUUUACAAACCUUUCCAUUGCUGAAUUUUCCUUCAAAACUAGGAGGCAAAUCCAUAAAUACUUCUUCCAAGUUUCCAUGCAAAAAAGCAUUUUUUACAUCAAAUUGUUAUAGAGGCCAAUCAAGAUUUGCUGCUAAGGAUAAAAUAACUCUAAUGGAAUUCAUCUUUGCCACAGGUGCAAAAGUUUCUUGCUAGUCAAUUCCAUAGGUUUGUGUGUAUCCCUUUGUCACUAACCUAGCUUUAUACCUUUCAAUCGAACCAUCAGCUUUGUAUUUAAUAGUGAACAUCCACUUGCAUCCCAUUAAUUUUUUUUUUUUUUUGGGAAAUCAACAAUAUCCCAUGUUUCAUUUUUAUACAAGGCUUUCAUCUUCCACCUAGGAUCGCCUAGAGCCUCUUGUACGUUUUUAAGAACUGAAUCUGAGGACAAAUGAGUGGUAAAGGCCUUAUAUUGGUGGCAAAGUCUAUGAUAGGAUAGAAAGUUUGACAAAGGAUGUUUAGUACAACUUCUAACACCUUUGCAAAUAGCUCUAUGAAUAUCAAGAUCAGUGUCAAAAUUAUGAUUAAGAAGAGAGGGAUUAGAAGGAUUAGAUGUACCUAAUUUUGGAGUUGAUGAUUGGCUGUGUGCAAGAGAGAUUGGGUCUUGCUCUUGCAUUAGCCUUAGCCUCCUAGAGUAAACCAUCAAGCCUGAAUCAACAAUUUCUACUACUGCUGGUUUUAUGAUGUCAGUUUCUUUUCCUGCUGCUGGUUGUAUGUUGUCUAUCUCCUCAACAUCACCAUAUUCAGUAACAUGAUUCCAAAUUGGUAAAGGAAGUAUCGAAAACUGAUCUUCUUGCAAUAUUUUCUCCUCCCUGAAGAUCAGAUUUCUGGUAAUAGUGCUGGUCUUUAUCUUCUUCAGGAUUGCUUUCAGUCAAGUCUUUCUUUAUAGCCUUGUCCCAAGUGCCCGAUUUAUCUCCUUGUUUUCCUACUAAGUUUGUAUGGAAUUCUCAAGUCCCUUUCAAAGUCAAGUCCUUUGUCUGGUUAGUGGCACACAAGAAGGUAAACACUAAUGACUUGCUACAAUUGAGAAGACCCUACAAAGCUCUUAGUCCUGACAUUUGUAAGUUGUGCAUGAAGCAAGGAGAUUCGGUAGAUCAUCUUUUCCUACAUUGUUUCUUGUCCAUGGGGUUGUGGCAUAGAUUAUUUCAGCUAGCCAAGAUGGAUUAGGUUCCUCUAAGAAGCAUUUCAGACAUGAUGUUUAUCAAUUAUAAAGGUUUUGGCACUUCCAAAAGAGGGAUAGUUUUGUGGCAAAAUGCAUGCAUUGCUUUAAUUUGGGUUGUGUGGCGGGAAAGAAAUGUUAGGAUAUUUGAGGACAAAGGUAGGAAUUCCGAGAAUCUAUGGGAUUCCAUUCACUUCCUAGCUUCUCUUUGGGCUUAUUGUUCCAUGGUUUUUAAGGGCAUUCCCCUUAACGUGUUACAAUUAUAUUGGUUAGCAGUGUGUAGUUCCAACGAGAUGGUCUAGCCAAGAGAGCUGGUUCGUAGUUUUCAUAGUGUAGUUUCUUGUUCUUUUAUUGUGUUGUUUAGUUUUAUCUUUGGUGGGAGGAUUCCUCAUCCUUCUUUUGUAUUUCUUAUUCUUUCAAUAUAUUUGUUGUUUCCUAUCAAAAAAAAAAAAAAAAAAAUAGUGCUGGUUUUCAUAAAAAACUUACAUCUAUGGAGACAAAUUUCCUUUGUGUAGGUGGGUGAUAGCACUUGCAUCCUUUUUGUGUGGGGGAAUAGCCCAAACAAAAAAAAAUACACUUAGUGGCUUUGAGAUCAAGUUUGGAUCUAUUUUUGUUUGGAAUAUGGACAAAUAUAGCACAACCAAAGACUUUGGGUGGAAGGGAGCCAAGGCAAUUUAUGUGAGGUAGGUGUUGUUUUAGGAUGUCUAUUGGAGUCUUGGAGUUUAAGCUUUUUGUAGGCAUUCGAUCGAUAAGGUAGACAGCUGUAAGUAGUGUAUCUCCUAAAAAAACUUAGAAAAAUUUCUAGCAAACCUUAGGGCUCUAGCUACCUCCAACAAAUGUCUAUUCUUCCUUUCGGUUAUCCCAUUUUGUUGAGGAGUACCUAUACAAGAGGUUUGAUGAAUAAUCCUAUUCUCUAAGAAAUAAUUUCCAAGGGUUUGGUUUAAAUAUUCCCCUCCACACAACUUGCAAUUUUGCAUUAAAUUGGGUUAAGAUCAUUUGGUGGAAUUGUUUAAGGGUGAGGAUGGUAUCAAAGUUUUCUUUUAGGAGAUAGAUCCAUGUGGUUCGAGUACAAUCAUCAAUAAAACUUAUGAAUCAUUUUGCUUUUGAAUGACAAGGACUUGUGAAGGACCCUAAACAUUAGUGUGGAUGAGAGAAAAGAAUUUCACUUCUUUUACUGCUCAAAGGAUAAGAAAUUCAGUGGUUUUUUGAUAACUCACAAACUUCGCAUUGGAAUAUAGAAGGAUCUAGGUUGACACACAAUUUAGGGUACAAAGUUUUCAAAGAGAAAAAACUUGGAUGCCCUAAUCUUUCAUGUAUUAACCUAAGUUCUUUUUUUGUAUUUCCUUUUAUUUGAUGAGCUUGAAUUUUUCCUUUCUCCUUAGUAACCAAGUAAUAGAGACCCUCUCUCUUUAGCACUACCAAUUAUCUUCCUCGUAGUUAGGUCCUGAAACACAUAAUGAGUGGGAAAGAAAGUUACAAAACAAUUUUGAGGUUUUGUUAAUUUACUGAUGAACAAUAAGUUACAAGACAUAUUUAGGACAUGCAAAUAAGAUGAAAGAGUGAUAUAGGGAGUGACUGAAACAUUGCCUAUACCACUAAUAGGAGUCAAAGAUCUAUUAGCAACCUAUACUUUUUGGUUGCUAAAACAUGAAAUGUAGGAUAGAAAAACAUUAGACUCUUUAGUCAUGUGAUCAAUUACCCGUAAAUCAAUAAUCCAAGUGUUAGAAUGAAGAAUGCUAGAAGCACUAAGUACCUGACUGUGCAAAAGCACAAGAAGUGGGGGAAGAGGAAACCUUGGAUUUUCCCAUGAUCUUAUACAAGAGAUCUAGUUGUUCUUUUGUGAAAGGGAGUUUGAUUGAGGUUGAUGUUGAACCUAGUGUCUUUGCUGUUUCUAAAUUGCAUGUUACCCUUGUGGCUGUCCUUAGCCCUUGAUUGUGGCUUUCCAUGCAAUUUCCAGCAUGUCUCUCUAGUGUAUCUUGGCUUAUUGCAAUGAUGGCAAUAAAUAAGGGUUGAUGGCAAUAGAAGGUUGUGAAUAUGAUAGGUAAGGCUUGACAAUGAAGGCCAAGAAGAAGGAAAAAAAAAAACUACUAGAAACCUUUUUCCAACUCUAAUACCAUGUUGGAAAAUAAAAUCUUAUUAUUAUUUUUUUGAAAAAUUAAUGCAAAAACAUAUAUACAACUUUCAAACUUGUAUAAUAAAUGGAAAUAGAAUAAGACAAUUGACCUAUUCCUAAAAUUCUUCCGACAAAUCCUCUAAAUUACAACUUCCUUAAUUUACAUAGUCAACUAAUUUAAAUAUGUAGAAAAUAUGCACAAAAUCAGGAAUAAAUCAAAUAAACUCUAUAAAAUUAGGAAUAAUUAUUGGAUUUCAACACUAGGUUUGUGUUUUAGGAGAGAGAAAAAAGAAGUGCCAAAUAAUUAGAAGGCUGAUGAACAGCUGGACCAUCAAGAAAGAACUGGGCCACUAAGAUACUCAUGUUGGUGAUAGCAGCACAAGUUGGGUUCAGGCCCAUCUUAUUUGAUAUAUUGGUAUAAAAAUGUUACUUUACGUUAGUCAUGGGUAUACUGCAGGUUGUCAUGCACAAAAAGAUGAUUUAUAUCUUAACUGCACUUGUUUUUUCCCCCCAAUGGGAAACUGAAGUAUCAUUAGUAGGAAAGUAUGAAGAAGGAUGUGAGGUCCUUUAGAGGUGAUACGAAUGUAGGAAGAAGGGAAAAUAAAAACCACAACACUGGAAAACUUCUCCAGCCAAUAGAAAACCCCUCCAACUAAACCGAAGAAAAACUCAAAUGGGGAGAAAUUUCCUACAAACUCAAUGGGAGAGGAAGCUCCUUCUUGGCUAGAAAGUUGGUAUCUUGGUUAGCCAACCUAGACUUCCAUGCGAAGAAGCAACCUAUAUAGAUCUUAAAAGAUCCAGAAUACAGUGAACCCAAGGAGCAUAUUUCUAAGGUCCUUUCUUGUUCGAUGAUGCUCUAGAUGGAACUUCUGUGAAAUCCUGCUACAUUUAAAAGGUAAAAGUCCAUUAUGAGCUCUUCUUUCAGGUCUUCCAAUAGGGCAUAAAUCUUUGCCUGAAUAUCCAAGGCAAAACUAGCAGGCCUUGAGAAUGCUCUGACAAACCCACUUUUAUGAUCCUUGAUAAGGCCACCAGUACCCAUUUAAAGUUACACUGCAUGCAUUCAUCACUAUUAAGCUUAAUGCACCUGAAAGUUGGGUUGGAUUCUAAGCGACUCCCCUCCACUGAGAGAAGCAAAUCUAUUCGAAUCCUAAAAAAGAAUGCCAACAGUUUGGUGAGUCGGUGACAACCACCUAUUAUUUGUGCAUGAGUUGGUGACUCAUUAUAGGUCUAAUGUCAAAUGCUGCACCACCAUUUCGUUUGUUAGCUGUUAGUGGUUAAUUUUGCCCUAGCUGUCUGGUUCAAGUGGCAAAGGGUUGGGAGGGUUUGUGGGAGGUUUCUGGUUCAAGUUCCAAUGGGCACAAAAAUUGACCUACCAAUUCUUUUUUUUAUUUUUGUUUUUUAUUAAUUAGCAUCAUAUUACAGCUCAAUGAAACUGCAAUGCCCUGGCUUUCUUUUCAUCUUCAUGUGAAUGAUAUUUUCAUAUCUAACCUGAUUAUUUUCCUUUUUGACAGUCUUUCCUAUGUUAAAUCGUUUGGAUACUGCUCUUAUUUAUUCUCAAUGUUUUGUUUACUUGUUUUCAAUUUGACUUUACCAUUUAUUAAAGUUUAUUGACAUCUUGCAGGAGAGGUUUAUCUGAAUCAGAAAUAAACUUUCUUAAGGAGGUAUUUUCCAGAUUCUUUCUGGCCUUUUAUGUUCAAAUAUCUGUUAUGGUCUUUCAGUUCUUUGAAUGUUCAUGUCUUGUAAUCCUUCUCUCCAUUUAGUAAUCUUGGUAAUUCUACCAGUUUUGAUGUGCUUUGACCAAAUUAUCAGUUUGUUUACCUUUGAAGUAUUAAUAGUUGCUUCUUAGAUUUUUCUGGGUGCUUUAUAAGCUUUUGUAGAAUCAGCAUUAAAGGGCUUCUUUUUCUGAACAGAAUAAGGACUUGCAAACAAAAAUUCUUCAGUCAGGAACUAUUCCAGAAAGUGUUCUUGGUGAGGAAGACAUCCACUCUUAGUUUCUUAUAUUAUUUUGAAUCAGAUGUUGGACAAUUAUGCCAAGUAUAUUAAAAAUUAGAACUACUCUAAAAACAAAAUAUUUUGCCAGCUCUUGAAAAGAUUAAGAGACCCCUGUACGAAAAGCAUCCAAUGGAGAAGUUUGCUUGGACAAUAACUGAAGACACUGAUACGGUCAGUAUACUUUUUGUUUGCAUUAUUGAAAAUAGAAAAAAUGAUGAUCUUAUUAUCAUUGCUUCUUAUUUGAGUUGUUGUUACCUUUUAAUUUAUUGUUAUUUUUCAAAUUUAAAAGAGAAACAAAGACCUUUGUAGAAGGGCUGAGAAUUACAGAAAGAGGAAGGGAAUUCCUUCAAAGAGAAGUAUAAUUUGUUAUUGAUAUUUGAGAUAGUUUGUGUUUGAAGAAGCAAAGUUAUUUUGGGCCUCUUUGCUUAUCCAAAAAAGAAGCAAGGAUAUUACUUCUUCAUCUCUAUGCAGCAAGAUUUGUGGAGGCUUAUUGAACACAAAGAUGAAUUGAGAAUGAAUUUCUGAUUCAUUCAUCUACCAUGUACAUACAGUCAUAUUUAUAGAUACAAUGGUCUAAAUCCAUUUAAGGGAGUGGCCUAUUUACAGGAAAUAAUUCAAAGAAUAAAAUAUUCUGAAAUAUUCUAAAGAAUAAAAUAUUUUAAAAUAUUCUCAAGAUGGAUGAUACUUCCAAAAUUUCAGUAGUGAAUCUCCAAUCUUUCCAUACUCAUUAUGUGAUCUAUUUGGCAAUGUAUCAAAAGUUCUGGUGUCAAAGAGGAAGUCCCAUAAAUAGAAAAAAAAAAAAAAAAAAAAAAAGAAGAGAAAAUAGAGGCAAUGCCUAUAAUUUGCGUCGGUAGAGAGUAUAUCUUAUUGAAAAGAUUGCUAGGGGAGGAUAUUUCUCCUAUAUUAUCACCUGUUCUUUAAUUUUCAGAACCAAUCAUAUCUGAGCAACUCAGCAUCAGGAAAGGCGCAAUGUUCCAUUUCUGAUGAGUUCCUCAGUUAAUGUAGAAGAGAAAAAAUCAUACAGAAUAGAAACCUGAAAAUGCAGAAAAAAAUUCAAGUUGUUUUGAUUUAUCUCAGCCAUCUAAUUUCACUCUAAUUCAGUGUGUGCUAGACAUGUGUAUACUACUGAUAAAGAGAAAAUUUUAAAGCUUAAUGAAUGAUACUAGAUUCUUGUUGCAAACCUACUCAAUGGAACUGAUUAGAUGGUGGAUCAUAUGCUACUGAAUGGUUGCAACAAAUUAACUGUUUAUCAAUCAUGGAGAGUAUGUCCAUUAGAAACAAAUUCCUAUAGAAGUGAUUUAACUGUCUAAUUCCUUAGGCGGAAGAAUAACUCUAAUUUAGUCCUACUUGUCUCGCAUUCCUAACUAUUUUUUCUCUCUUUUUAAGAUUCCAUCUUUAGUCCCAUCUAAGAUUGAGAAAUUUAAUAGGGAUUUUCUUUGAUCAAAGGGAUGAGAGAGGAUAAGAGAGACCGCCUCAUCAACUUAGACCUAGUAUGCAAGCCAAAGAUGGAAGGGGGUUUGGGCCUUGGGAGGAUUUCUUUGAGGAAUUAUGUCCUUUUAGGGAAGUAACUUUAGAGGCUCCCAAGAGAAAGUUCUACCCUUUGACCAAGUUAUUUUGACCAUCUAUGGAACACAACCCUACGGUUGGGACACCAACAUUCUAGUCAGGUGGUCACAUCAAUCUCCUUGAAAAGUUAUUGCAUAGGUUUUUUAGGAUUUUUCUAGAUUCACCCAUUUUGUGGUAGGUGAUGGUGUAAGAAUUUGUUUUUGGGAAGAUUUGUGAUGGAGGGAUCACAGUUAGAAAUCUUUCUAUCCUAUCUAUCCUUGGAGCUAAAUUUUGGCCACAACCUAAAUGACUUGGAGAUAGAGGAUCUUGAAAGACUCAUAUUUUGUCUCACCCAUGCACCUUGUCACCAUCCAUUCUAGAUGCCAGAAAUCUUUCUAUACUUUAGACACAAUUCCGUUCUUUGUAGCUAAAUUUCUAUGGAAAUUUAAAGUCUCAUCUAAGGUCAAAACCUUUGCUUGGCUAGUGGGGGGUACAUAAAAAGAUAAACACCAUUGACAUGUUACAAUUACAAACAUCUUACAAAGCCCUUAGACUUGAAUGGUGCAUUUUGUGCUAAAGGGGUGGAGAAACAAUUGAUCAUUUUUUUUUUUUUUACAUUGAAUGGUGACUUUAUGCCUAUGCCUAUGGCAAAGGCUAUUCAAAUUAGCCAAGAUUGAAUUCCACCAAGGAGCAUAUGUGAUAUGAUAACUAUUUCAUAUAGGGGUUUGGAGAGCUCCAUUAGAGGUAAAGCCCUAUGGCAAAUCACUUGUCUUUUGUUGAUAUGGUUUGUGUAGAGGGAAAUAAAUGUUAGAAUUUUUGAGAAGUGAAGGGUUUCAGAGACAAUUUGGAAUCUAAUUCAUUUCUAUUCAUCUCUUUGGGCCUCUUAUAUCAUGACAUUCAAGGGCGUCCCUCUCGAUGUUGUUCAGCUCAACUGAUAGUCGAUGUGUAGAUCAUAAGGGAUUGAAAAAUGAAGAUACGAGAGUUGCUUUGAUCCUAUUUGAUCGAGAUGAUGUUAUUUCUCAUGGAUGCUAAGAUGUAUAAAUUUUUUAUGGUUCUACAUGGAUAUAUAGGUCUUAUUAGUAUAUGAAAUAGUCAAAUCUUUUUUUUUUUUGUUUAACUUUUAUAAGUUUGGGGAGGAUUUCUCAUUCUUCUCAUGUUUUUACUUUAUCCAUUUCUAUUACAUUCUUGUUUAUGAUUGAAAAAAAGAAAAAAGAAAAAAGAUUGUUUCUCUCUUUUAAUGUCUAGUAACCAGUCAUAACUUGUUGUAGCAUCACAAGAGGAUCAGGACCACUAACCCAUGGAAAAUCUUUUUGGUUGAUCAAUCUUUCAGGAUUGUUUUAUUUGUUUCUCCUUCCCUUUUAGUCUCUAUCAAAUUCCUUAAUCGUGGAAGCAAAUGAUAUUUGAAAAAAGGGGAAUGAAAUUCUGAUAGUUGAUGGCUAGAUUUCAUCAAAUGAUGGCAAUUUAUUUGUUCACAAUUUAACUACUAGGGUCCAUCAGAUGAUUUAUCUAUAUGCAUCUUUACUGAUGAUCCUCACUAUGCGAUUGAUUCAACUUCUGUGAUUCAAUUUCUAUAACUCUGUUGGAUAUUCAAAAAUACCUCUGAUGUAUGUAAAUGUAAAUGAUAAUGAAGUGGAGAGUAUUGAAGUCCUAGAAAACUUAAAAAAUGCUAAACCCCCUAUGCGAACUCCAUCUUCCAUUCUGUUAGAAUACAGAAUUUUCCUGUGGUGGCAGUUAUGAUGAGAGGUAUAUUUCAUUAAUUUUUUUGAAAAUCCACCAAGCACAAAGUCUGCUUUUUCUAUUGUAAAAAUCAGAGUAUUGAGUGUUUUAGUCUGCCAUUAUAAAAAUUUUCAGGUAGAAUGGUCCAAUAUUUGCCUAGAUGCAUUGAAUAAUGUAGAUCGGUUUUAUCAAGGAAAGGACACUGCUGAUAUCAUUCAUGGCAAAGUUAUACAAGUAUGUUUUUCUGUCUCUCUUUUUUUGGAUAUGAGAUGGGUCUUUGGAAGUUUAACUUAUUUUAUAGAUGUUCUUAUUUUUCCUUUAUAUUCCAAGAUAUUGAAAGGAAAGAAUGAAGAUAUGAAACAGCUAUUUGGAAAAGAAUUAAAAUCUGGGGACUUAAGUGGUAUCCAUGCAGAGUGUCUUACGGAUACAUGGAUUGGAAAGGACAGGUUCUCUCUGUCUCUCUCUCUCUCUCUCUCUCUCUCUCUCUCUCACACACACACACACACACACACACACAAACUUACACCAUAUGCUUGGCAGGGCUUAAUCUCACUACAAUCUGUAACAGAUGGGCAUUUAUUGAUUUAAGUGCAGGCCCUUUCUCUUGGGGCCCUGCUGUUGGUGGAGAAGGUGUGCGCACGGAACUUAGUUUACCAAAUGUGAAAAAAACCAUUGGUGCUGUUGCAGGUACUACUCAUGGUUUCAUUUCCCAUCAAUGAUUGCAUUUCCUUGCUGUGCAAAUGAAUGUCUGUUAUAUCGGUGAUGAUUGCAGUGUGCCAGUUAAUAGUAUGAAUUUGAUGUUAGAAUGUUGUUAAGAAGACUUGAUGUGUUAUUUAUUACCAAAGAACAUUGUACUAUAUGUCAGUACAAGUGGUGUGGCUGUCAAGGUAUUUAAUUCUUUGCUUGUUUGCAUUUUCUAUAAAACAUGAUCUCAUUUCACGUUGCUGCAGAAAAUGUGGGGAAUCUUUCCUUGAUUUAAUUUUUUCAAUAUCUACUUAACAUUUGCAUGUUCUGUUAGAAAAAUGAUUAUAGUUUUUGUUUCCCCUCAACCCACUAAAUACUUAUUUUCAUCUACCAGGAUUUGGUCCAGUUGAGACACUCUUUUGAUGGUUUACUAGUAUUGACUUUACAUGUUUUUGAAUCAUGCAGUACUGUGUUCUCUAUUCAAGCUAUUUUAUUGUUUCUACCCACAUUAAGUUUUAUUUUCUUCAUGGCAUCCAGAGAUUUCAGAAGAUGAAGCUGAAGAUCGCUUGCAAGAUGCAAUUCAGGAAAAAUUUGCCGCUUUUGGUGAUGUAUGUGCUUUAUGAUGAAAUAAUAAUUAAUUAUGCAUUUUGAUAUUGUUUAUUGGAACUUAUAAAUGACAAAAUCAUGGGUUGUGUUUGAAAUCAUGUGCUUCUUCAUAUUGCAGUCGCUUCUUGAUUUUCUUCUUUAUGAUUUUGUAAAAUGUCUCUGGUGAAAGACAACUCUAGAAUGAUUGACUAAAAUCAAAUAGGUGGGCUAGGACUUUAAUCUUUUAGGAUUUAAGGAGAGGAAUGAUAAACUAAGAUUAUAAAAAUGGGAAAAAAAAUAUAUAGAACAAGAAAAAAAUAAAGAACUAAGCCCCAACGAGUUAGAUGCUUUAUAAAAUUCAUAAAGAUCAAAGAUUGGGCUUCUAAAAAGUAGUGGCUAUAACCCAAGUAUUCUCGAAGGUGGUUUCUUUCACCAUUUUGUAAAAAAAUUUUGGUUUCCGCCUCCUUGAUGAGUUUAUAUAAUUUGAUCUUCAAGGCGAUAAUCUUAUAACUUGGCUUAUAAUGAGGUGGUGGUUGAAUAUCUAUGUCCAAACUUACAUUGUCUUGAUACCAUGAUAAGCAGACAAAUCUUCCACAUUAGAUAUAUUUUUUUGAUAGGUAAACAAGAAAUGCAUUAAAAGCGCCAAAAAGAGUGCACCAUAGUACACAAGAUGCAUACAACGACCGCUAAAAGAUGGCCAAACAAUAGGGAAGGGAAAAACAAAAAACUACUCCCUCCCUCAGUGAGAACCCAACCCAAUCAAUGAAAUCACAUGAGGACAUUGAGCCUACAACCAAGUACAACUUGGUCCAAGAAAACAAGUUAUAGAGGAACAAGUUCCACAUUAAAUAUCAAAUUGGAACACAAUUAUGAGGUAAGUUCUAUCAAAUUAGCAUUUUCACACAAGGGCUUUAUUACUCAGAAUGGUUCGUCUUUCUUCAAAUGAAGCUUUGAACAAGGCUCUCCUUAGUAAGUGGAGAAUUUUGGGAAAGAAGAGGGGGGUGGUUGUUCUAUGGAGGUGAGGAAGUGGUAUGGUUUAGUGUUGUGGAAGGCAAUAAGGAGACAAUGGGGAAUUUUCAAAAGUAAAAUUUAUGAUGUAGUUAGUUGAUGGAGGGUAAACAUUUGGAACAACAUAUGGUGUGAGGAUUUGUUUUUGAGGGUUUCUUUCACAAUUGUUGUAUGCUAUAUCUAGCUUAAGGUUGCUUGGGUAGUUGAUGCAUGGGAAUGGGCUGGCUGGUGAGGGGAGGGGGGUUGGGGGUUGCCGCAUUGGGCUCCAUGUUUCUCAAGAUAGCUCCAUGACUAGGAGUUGGAUGGUGUUGAAGCAUUCUUUCUGAGUUUCUGUAAGAAGGGAGGUUGAGGAUUGGGUGACAUGGAUGGUCCUAAAGAGUGAUAACUUUGCAAUUAAAUCCUAUUAUUCUUGGUUGGAGCAUGGGAGAUCGGUCUUUUUCUAGUGGAUGUUGAAAUCCUUGGGUUUCAACAAAAGUGAGCUUUAUGCUUGGGAAGCAGGUUGGAAAGGAAGCUUGACUUGAGAAAAAUUAAAGAUGGAGGGGAUGGACAUUGAUGAAUAAGUGUGUUAUGUGAAAAGGCGAGGAAGAAUUUGUUGAGCAUGCACUCCUUUACUAUUUCAAGGCAAGACUUCUAUGAUAGCUAGCCUUUCCCUUGUUUGGGAUAAUAUGGGUGCUAAAUUCAUCGCUUAAAACAACUCUACUAAGUUAGCAUGGACUUUUUGUUAGGAAGAUGUAAAAGAAAGCAUGGAAACCUGCAUAUUUGUAUUUUUUUUUUUUGGGACUAUUUGGAAAGAGAGAAAUAGGAGGGGUUUUGACGAUGCAAAUCUAUUAGAUCAAGAGAUUAAAUCCUUUUUUUUUUAUGAAAAAUCUUUUGGAGUAGGUCAAAGGGGGUUUAGAGGAUGUGUGCAUGUUUAUGGGAGAUUUUGUCAAUUGGUUAUGAUGCAAGUAAGGGGAAGGAGUGUUUUUUAUUUUAUUUUUCAUCUUGUUUUUUGCCUUGCUUUCCUUGCCUUAAAAAAAAAAAGAAACUUAUGAAAGAUGAAAUUUUACUUGAAACUCAAGACAGUGACUUUUUGUCUAUUAUAUAUGGGGAAUGGUGAAUCUAUGUAUAUAUAUAAUUACUUCUGGGGGCAGAGCCAGAUGGCUGUUGACACACCAAUACAUCACCAAAAUUUAAUUAUUAAAAGAUUAAGUAUUUUGGAGCUUCUGCUCCUAUAUUGGUUGAAUCUUGUCUGUAGAACUUCUUCCCUUUUCUUUUUCAUCUUGUCUUUAAUAAUUUUAUAUCUGUAUCAGUCUAUGUAAAAGAUUUUCAAAAUUGGAAAAAAAAGGAACAAAAUUAGGUUAUCCCUGUUAUACAAACAGGACUUGUGACAUGCUAUUGAGGAUUCUUUAGGAGUUUGGAUUAACUUAGGACAACAAAAUGGGCACAUUCUUCUUAUCNNNNNNNNNNNNNNNNNNNNNNNNNNNNNNNNNNNNNNNNNNNNNNNNNNNNNNNNNNNNNNNNNNNNNNNNNNNNNNNNNNNNNNNNNNNNNNNNNAAAAAAGUGAGAAAGUAGUUUCAUUUUAUUGUUUAGAAAGUUUUUGCUAACCAUUAAAAUUUGUGUUAUUUUCUCUAAAUCUUUGAAGAAUUCUAUAGUUUUCUGGUGAGAAUUAAUGUGCACAGAGGCAUCAACUUUGGUAAGAAUUGGUUUCCCUAUCAAAGUCGAUGUAAACAAUAGUGAGGAUUGGACAGUUAAUAUAACUUUUUUUGGCUUGUUCUUUUAACUUUGUUUGAACUGUGAUGUUUUUAUUAUUGUGACUAUAAUAUGACAUUUAAAUGUUGCAGAAAGAUCACCAGGCUAUUGAUAUCCUUCUAGCAGAGAUUGAUAUAUAUGAGCUUUUUGCUUUCAAACAUUGCAAGGGAAGGAAAGUUAAGCUUGCUCUUUGUGAGGGUAAUUUCUUCUUCAAGCUAAGAAAAUUCUUUGGAAAAAUUAUACUUAGAGUCGGGGGGCGGGGGCAACUGGUUUGGUGCAGCAUAAGAUUGAGAACCAAACUGAUCAUCAUACUUUUUUUCAGUUCAAUUCCUUAAGCAGUUUGGUCAGAGUACUGGAUUCCUAAACUAGGAACCAAGUUUUGGUUGAUUUUGUUCUAGAAUUGUGUUAAUUGGUUUGAACCAAAAAUGCCCCAGAACCUAAAUUUACUGAAGUAAAUAGGGUUUAUAGCCUUUUUCCAUUGCCGCUUACUUUGAAUUCAUAGAUUGAGUGGUUCUUUAUGUAUAUCUGUGUAUUAGGUUUGGCCCCUUUUGGCCCUUUUAUUUAAUAGGCAAGUAAAAAUUGUAUUAAACCGAAAUACAGGAAGUUAUACACAAUGAAUACAAAGCGUCCAAAAGACCAAAAAAAGGUGCGAAGACACAAAAACCAACAACCAUGCCCUACAUAGAGCCUAACGAUUCAUAAAGUCUAUCAACGACAAAGGAUCAUUCCCAAUAUACACUCUAACGCAAUCCCAAAAAAGAUACAAGAAAGAAUUUUUAAUUGUUUGGUCCAUAAAACAUACAUCUUUUAUUAUUUGGCACUUUAAAUAUGCAUCUUUUAUUGUCCAUAAAACAAAUUGCUUAUUUUGAAAAUUUGAAACUUAGAACCUUGCUCUAAAAAUGUGACAUAUUUUGGUUUGCUGAUACUAACUCAAAUUUCUUUUAAUUGUUGAAUCCAGUGAUGGCAAGUGCUGUCAUCAUUUAUUUCAGUUGAAUUUUUUAGCCUUGGUUGAGUUAGUUAAUCAAAAAAUCAUUAUAAGCCUAAUUUUAUCUUUUCUAAAAUUGAAAAAAGUAGGACUAUAAUAGUUAUUUUUGUUUCUCAACAAGUCAAAUAAAGGUAAGAGUGUUUUCUCAUAGCAAACUUUCGGGAUCUUUAAUAAUUUUUCUAACUGAAUGUGAUGGUAAGGGAGGUGCAUAAUCAUGUAGCAAACAGAAGAGAGGAUACUGUUUAAAAUGUCAGAGGAGAUAUGUGAAACCCAAACCCAUAAGGUUUUAUUACAAGUUGAAGCUUUUUUUUUCCUUGUGAAGGUGAAGUCUGAUCAUAUUUUUCUUGUGGAAUUAGUUUGUAUAAGAAGCUUAUCAGAAAAUUUAGUUCUAUGAGAAAUAUAGCUAAAAGCAUAAAAGUAUGCAUGCUCUUAAAAUCCUUCAAUUUUACAGUUGUGUGUAUAUGUGUAUGGCUUUUAGUUUACUUACAACAGAGGGGCUUUCUUUUUUUUUUUUUUCUGUGUUUUUUUUUUUUUUAAGUUGGAUGCCUUUAUUGAUGAUUUCAGAGCUUGAUGAGAGAAUGCGGGAUUUAAAAAAUGAGCUCCAGUCUUUUGAAGGUGGAGAAUAUGAUGAAAGCCAUAGAAGAAAGGCUGUAGAUGCAUUAAAUCGAAUGGAGAGCUGGAAUUUGUUUAGUGAUACUCAUGAGGUAUGCCACUUGAUUCAUAUAGAUUUUAAUUUUUCUUGCCCUUUAUUACUCUUAAUGCAUAUCCAUUUUAUCCAUAUAACAAUUUCCAGAAAAGGUAUAUAACAAUUUCAAGAAAAGGACAUGCCUCUGGAUUAGAAAGGAAAAAGGUUUCUCUCAACAUGAUAACAAUUUUCCUCUACAGGAGUUCCAGAACUACACAGUUGCACGUGAUACUUUUCUUGCCCAUUUAGGUGCAACAUUGUGGGGCUCUAUGAGACACAUUAUAUCACCUUCCAUUGCUGAUGGGGCUUUCCAUUUUUAUGACAAGAUAUCUUUUCAGUUGUUUUUUAUCACUCAGGAGGUAUGAUGUUUAACUUAUGAGUUUGAGGGGAUUCCAUAAGCUUGAUGGUGUAAAGUGAAAAGGGAUAUUCAGUCUAAAUUUAUUGAUGCAGAAAGUUAGACACAUCAAACAAUUGCCAGUGGAUCUCAAGGCGCUCACAGAAGGGCUUUCCUCUUUGUUGUUACCUUCUCAGAAAGCUAUGUUUAGUCAGCACAUGUAUGAGUUCUGCAUUGUUGCUUUAUUUCUUUUAUUUUUCUAGUAUACUGAUAGGUCCUUACAUUAUUUGGCUACUAUAUUUUUCUUUCCUGAUGCCUGUGAUCUUCUGUGGGAUUUUAUUUUUAUUUUGGUCUUAUGCUGCCAUCUGUCAGCAUUAAAAUUUCAUUUUGUGAUCUUGUUAUUCUAUUGAUUUUUUUAAAUGAUUAUAUGCUGACAUAUAAGGGUGUUCAUUCUUCUUAAUUUAUAAAUUGCUUCAAGCCUUAUUGAUGUUGCUAAGUUUUGUAGGUUACCACUUUCAGAGGAUCCUGCUUUGGCUAUGGCCUUUUCAGUGGCACGGCGAGCUGCAGCUGUCCCACUUUUGCUUGUUAAUGGAACAUAUAGGAAAACAAUUCGGACCUAUCUUGAUUCCUCCAUCCUCCAGCACCAGUUGCAGAGGCUCAAUGAUCAUGGUUCUCUUAAAGGUUGCCUGCAGCUUUAUGUUCCUUUUUUUAAUUUAUCUAUCUUUUAAUUUUCCUCUUCCCCCAAAUUGUCAAAAUGAUUUUCGUUUUCUUUCAUAUUUCAUCUUCUAAGAGGUGUUAGAGCUUUAGCUCAAUCCAUGUUAAUAUAAUUGUUAGCUCAUUAUCCAAAAAUUUAAGUUUCUUGAUUAAUUUAUGUCUUAAUAUGGUAUUAGAGCCCUUCUUUACGAGAGACCUAUCAAAAAAAAAGAGCCCUUCUUUAUGGGAGAUCAUUAGUUCAAAGUUCACUGAUGUUUUUUUCCCCUAUUGUUGAGGCCAUGUCAACACCCAAUGAAAGCUGCUUGUGAAGCCAGGUGUUACAGUUUUAGCCCUAGUCAGCUUGAUAUACAUUGUUUGCCCAUUAGCAUUGGAGUUAAUUGGUAACUUAACAGGGGUAUGCGGUGACUCUUAUUGAUGGAUUAUAUCUCAUGAACCAGAUGUUGACUAGUUUGCAUCAUGAAUAUAGAAUUUUCCCUCUACUCCAGUUAAUAAAAUCACAGUUCAAUUUUUGGUACUGAAAGUUAAACUUGUGUUUGUGCCAACAGGUAUAAAACCUUUGAAUUAUGGACAUAAUAAGAGGACAAGAAUGGAAUGCCACGUGAAAUUACUUUAUUCUUUUUAUCACCAUAGUUUACAAACUGUAUUUUAUCUCAUUCAUUUGUGCAACUUGGGCUGAUACUCAAUAAAAUCCGUCUAAUGGGUAGGGAAUGUGAGGUGCACACACAUUUUGGCUAUGAAAACGGAUUACAUUUUAGUGGAUGACCAUAAAAUAUACAUUGUUGGAUGAUUCAUUUGUAAAUUAAGUGUGCUAUUUCUGUUGAAGGCAUUAUACUUAUCCAAAUUAUGCAUCAUUGUCUUUACACCAUUCACUGCACCAGGUAAAUAGGGUUUAUAAGCCCAGAUGCUUUGUAUAUUCUGGAAGAAAUAACAAAAUGUUUUUAAUAAUGCAGGGAUGCACGCCCAUAGCAGGUCCACGCUGGAAGUUCCAAUUUUUUGGUUUCUUCAUAGUGAACCGUUAUUAGUUGACAAGCAUUAUCAGGCAAAGGCACUUUCUGACAUGGUUAUUGUUGUCCAGUCAGAGACAUCAUCCUGGGAAAGCCAUCUGCAGUGUAAUGGGAAAUCACUUCUUUGGGAUUUGAGGUUGCAAUUUCUGGCAAUUUAGUGUUGAGUUUUUAAUAAGUUAUUCUUUGUUCUUUAGCUUUCUUGGUCUGGUGUAAUUUUAGCCUAGGAAUUUCCAGCAGAUGCAGCUUUGUAAUGUUUAGUCAAGGAUGACAUGUUAUAGAUUUGUUAGAUAUUUGUGCAAAACCACUAUUUCUCAAAUCAUCUAGCAAGUUUGAUCCAAUCAUGCUUUAAACCUGACAAAUAAAAUGGCAGCACCUAUAUGGACUGCCUUCUGGCUUAGGAAGUAAUGAUAAUCUUGCUAAAUUCAGGCAAGAUCCAUUUAUAUGCCUCUUUCUCUACUAUGUUAAGUAAUCUUGCUUAUAUCCGUGUUUUUUGGAACUACCAAUCCCCUAUGUAUUAGGUUUGAGUUGUGAUCUAUGGCAUCUGAAUUUUGGAAUCAGGUGAUAGAACUUUCAAGUUGUACCAUGUUAUUUUUUUUCUUUUAUCAGAACAGAAUAUAUCUAUACAGUAUGCCUUUUUUACUUGAUUGCAAAUAAAUAGGCAACUCCAUAUAAAAUGCUUGUCUAGAUACAAACAUGUGGGGUAUCCACCUGCAUGUUCUGAUUUUUGUGCUUAUCAUUAAUUAUGUUUUCUGGAUAAACUUGCAAUUGCUAUCCAGUUAAAAUAAUCAAGGUGGAUAUCAUGGAAAUCACUGUUGCUCUCUAAGAUUUAAUGGCAUUUUGUUAAUGAGGAUAUUUCUAUAUCUAUUUUUUACUUGAAAAAUGAUAUUUGAAUUAAACACCGGCAUUUUCUUUCUACUUUACCCAAAACAUGGCAGGUGGUUUACAAAUACUUUACCAUGUCUAGUCUGAUGGAGCAAAAUCAUAUAGAUUACUGUUCUAUUUUUCUCUGUUUUUUCUGAUUAAGUUACCUUUUCUAUUGGGUGUUACAUGGAAUCUUAUCUGGAACCUCCCCAUCUCCACCCUAACCCCUUCCCAAUUUAAAAUGCUGUUUUAAUUAAACUCAUUGUGAAGAAAGUUCCUGUUUUAUCCACGUAUGAAAAGUGUCACCAAUCAUAAGACUUAAUAGUGGUGUUUUUUUUUCUUCACCAGGAGGCCCAUUAAAGCUGCACUGGCUGCUGCUUCUGAACAUCUUGCUGGUCUGCUUCCCCUGCAUCUUGUUUACAGUCAAGCUCAUGAAACUGCAAUUGAGGUAUGUCAUUUCAUUUGCCUUCCAAAAUGGUAUCUCAGUAAGUGUUUUCUAAAGCUAUGUUUCUCAUGAAAUAUUUUCUAAUUUUUUUGGGGUUCAAACAUGAUAAGAGAGGCAAUUGGGGUGGAAUAUUUCAAUAAUUUCCUCCCCAACUGUGUUCCAGGAUUAUUCUUGGAUCCCUUUUGUUCAAGCCAGGUAAGAAUUUAUGGGAUUUGAAAACCAUGUAAAAACCUGUAGUAAUGUGAGUGCUGUUAGGCUUGAUAUUUUAAAACUAUAUGAUGUUCCCUGACCUGUGGAAGUGGUCCCUUCAAAGAUUGAACUAUUCAACUCUACCCAUAAUUGUCUGCUACAUAAAACAUAAGUAAUGAAAUGAAAAUUUUGUCCAUGAUGAGUCCUCACUCAUAUUUAUUGCUUUAUCUCAAAUUUUAUACCUUUUUUUUGUCACAAUUUUACAACAUCUACUUGUCAUCAUAUUUCUCAAACUCUAGGUUCCAUCCUGUAAAUUCAGCAAAAGAUAAAGUAAUGGACCAUCAAAGUAGAGGGAGAAUGUCAGUGAAGUUUAGCUGAUCUAGACAGAGCACCAAAAUUUUGAUAGCUGAAUCAUUAAGCCAUGAGGUAUUCAGUGAAAAAUAAAGUAAUGGACCAUCAAAGUAGAGGGAUCAGUCAAAUUUAGUUCAUCCAGAGAGAGCACCAAAUUUUUUAUAGCUGAGUCAUUAAGCCAUGAGGUAUCAUAUAAAGAAAUUUUUAUAUGAAGCUAUUAUAGGACCCUCCAUUUAAGAACAAGGCACAUUUCUUGGGAUCAAGAUUUCAUGAAUUCACUGAAGAGAGCAGCCUCUGUCAAUGAAAAACAUGAUUACGUGCUAAAACUUUAAAAAUUAUGGUAAUGUAGUUCAGUAGGACAUAUCCUUUGAAAGCUCUAAUCUAUGUGACAUGGACACUUCAAAUAUAUGAGAAUUAUUGUGCUGGACGUGCCAGGCGAUGGGUGUGCAAUGUGUUUCUGGUACAAUUUCCUGGUGAACAUGUCUCUGAUGAAUUUAUGUGUGUGUCUGGGUUUGUUUUUGUUUUGUGUUUUGUGUGUGUACUUUUAAGUUGAUUUAUUUGUUUUUUCUGUGAUAUAAAGGAGAACAUAUUUCCACUGUAUGACUCCCUCAUCAUCAUGGCUCUUUCUUUUCUGUAUAGUUCUAUAUGCAUGGAGUUACCUAUGUCAUACAUCUUAUGUUACAUUUACGAUUCAUUUUUCUGUAGAAUUGGAGGUUAGACAAAUCCAACUCCUACACAUACCAAACCUGAUACCUGUAUCUCAGUCACUGUGAUAUAGACUGUAACAUUAUGUUUGUGUGUCUACAUGUAAAAAAAAUGGUUGCCUGUUCCGGUGGUUAAACUUUCUCUAGUCUACGCCGACUCAAAUUGGAAUUGUCAAGUCAUCCAUAACUGAUUUAACCAAUUCGAUGAAUUACGCCUAAAGGAUUUAUUUGUUACUAAUAUAGUCUAGCCUCUGUUCUUCUUUAGAUCCCUUGUUUCACUUCGAUAGUUUCAUAAAUUGGGUAGGUGCAAAGAACCAACCAGACUGACCUAGUGGAUAAAUUAGGAAUACAAAAACAAAAACAGCAAUUGAAACAGAGAAUGCGAUUGAGCCAUUGCGACACCCAUUAAAGGAGUAGUUCCCCGUUGAAUGCCCUAGUGUGACCUUAGGUCUGGUCAAGGGUCCAUUAGACCAUUGAAUCUGGUUAUUGCUGCUUCAGUUUAUUUUUGUGUAUGUCGCAUAUGUUUAUUUGUGUUUGCUUUAUCUAGAAAAAUACUCUUCUCCAAGUCAAUUAUCUCAUGGUUGGUUUCUAAACAAUGUUCGCUUAAUUUAAAAUUUGCUUAGAAUGAAAUUUGUGGCAAGGUAUUUUGAGAAUUUAAAUCUUAUAUUCUUUUAUUUAUCCAUAUCUUCUGAAGCUGGUAGAGGACUUUAUGAUAUCUGUUGGUGCCAAUCUUUCUUUUUUCUGUCUAGGUUGACACCCGUUUAUAUGUAUCAAAUUAUGAUUAUCAUUUCUUUUAUUUUUCUCUUUUCAUUCACACACACAUGCACGAACAUGAACAUGUGAUGCACACAUGUGAAUUGCAUGUUAUAAUAUUGCUUAGCCGCCAAGUAUUGAGUGAAGUGCUUUCUGUUGCUAAGACAUGUACAUGCAUCGUGACAGGACUGGGCAUGGUCAGUGGGAUGCAACCCUCUGUCUAUCACAUCUCAAGGCUGGCAUAUUUCACAGUUUCAGUCUGAUACAGUUGCUCGGAGCUAUAUCAUCACAACCCUUGAGGAGUCGAUACAACUUGUCAAUUCAGCCAUUCAUCGUCUUGUCAUGGAGCAUACAAGUAUCCUCACAUAUUAAUGUUAAGCACAUGGACUAAUUUAAGAGAUUUAUCAAACAUUACUUAAACUAGGAAUAUCAAGACGGGAAAUAAUAUAUGGUAGUAUGGGCUCCAGUGAAUGAUGUCAUGCUCAGUGAAUGGUGGCAUGCGCAAUAUGUAGGCUUUACCAGCCUUGCGGGCCAUACUACAGGACAAAAAUGUACCUAUCCGGAAAAAAAAUUGUAGGCUUUAGCUUGGACAUUAAGUGCUUGUUACUAAAUGCCUUGGAUUUUUGGCCUCACUAUUCAAACAGCACUAUUUCCACUUAUCCUCUGUAAAAAGCAUACACAGAAACCUAUGAAAUUGACAUUCUGACACAACCUUUCUCACAUAAAUUGUGCUGUCUUAAGUAACUGCUUCAAGGAUUGAUUGUGUCUAGCAUUUGUUAUGGCUACUGGAAUUGAAAUUUCUCUUGAUGGGGCCUUAACAAAACGCAGCUGAACAAACUUUUAAGCUCUUCCAAUCCCAGGAGCGUGAUCUAGUUAACAAGUAUAACCAUGUUGUUGGACUGUGGAGAAGAGUGAGUAGAUGUGUUCAAUACCUCUUUUCAAUAAUUACUGUUUUCCCUUUUCAGAUCCGUUUGUUCUUAGAAACUAUGUUGUUUAUACUGAGUGCUAGUAACAAACUUUGGUCUCUUUUUCAGAUUGCAACCGUAACUGGAGAACUUCGUUAUGUGGAUGCCAUGAGACUGCUAUAUACCCUGGAGGAUGCAUCCAAAGGGUUAGGCAUUCAUGAAUUCUCUUCAUUGCUUACAUGACUUAUGCAGUAUUUAUAUUUAUCAAAAUCUCCAUACACCAGAUAUUAAGUUCAGUGCAAUCUGUACCUCAUUUUUAUUCACAUUCGUGACAAACAUAAAAAGUACAAACAAUCUGCUAAUUUUGCACAAGAGAGAACUGGUUCAUGUGAUGCAAAUAUUUCUGCUAUUUUCACUGUGUUCAUGUGUAACCAUAACUCCAAGUAUGGAAUGAUUGAAAUCCCUCAAAUUCUCUUUGAAUUAAAUUUUAGCUGCCCAUAUUACCUUUUUUCCAUGGACUCUUAAUCAGUAAAUUACUGACAUUGUGGCAGAUAAAACAUACUUGUAACUUUGGUGCUUGCUGGCUGUCUCCACAAAAGCUAGCCACAUUUACAGCUCUUUCCUCAUUAGAUCUUAAUGCAAUUGUCUUGGAGAAAACCAGUUUAUCAAUAUGUUCAUGUAGAUUGGGGUGUUAGGGCAGGGAGGAGAGAUCAUCUCAUUGAUUGGAUCAAAGUAUGAGCCUAUGAGAGAAGGAGGUUUCAGUUUAGGGAACAUUUCUUCGAGGAACAGAAAACUUUUAGGGAAGUGGCUGUGGAAAUUUCUAGGGAGGAUUUCAGUUUAGUGGAUAGAGACAUCUUGUGUAUGUACAACGACUCUAAUGGUUAGGAUGCCAAUGUGGUUGUUAGACAGUGACACCGGUGCCCUUAGAUGACUAUUCUCGAGGUUUUAUCUGUUUUGUCUUGUUAUACUCAUUUUUUUUGUUGGUGGUGGCAUGAAGAUUUGUUUUUGGGAUGAUAUGGGGUGCAUCAAUUGAGAGAGAAGGGGGAGGUUCUUUGGAGCGGGGAGUGGGUGCGUUGGAAGUAGGGGCUGAUGUUGUGAAGGGGCCUCUUUCUAUGGUGUUUAAAGAUGGUUCAGCUGUUGUCUUUCCUGACAAUUUUAAUCCCUUUCAAGAAAAAGGGGCUGUGUCCGGGGGUAGUGGGGUUUCAGCCUCUUCGCUUGAGGGGAGUGACAGUGGCCUGGUUGGUGAAGACCAUUUUUUAGAAAAGGAUUUCUCAAAGCUUACCGAAUUUAGUAGAUUUUUGGGAAUGCCGGUUGAGUGGUUCAAAGAAGAAAUCUGGCCGAUGUUGAGAAAGCUAAGGAAGAAGGCUGGAGGUGGGACCCCUAGUAAAGGGAAUAAAGAAGAAAUCUGUGUUUUCUUCUCGUUUCGAAAGGAAACGUAGGAGAUUGGACUGUUCAGUAAGUUAUGGAGGUUCUUCUUUGGCGUCCAGAAGGAGAGGUAAGAACAAUUGAGAACUGAUUCUUGUUGAUUGAUGAAGAUUAAAAUACUUUCAUGGAAUGUUAGAGGACUCGAUGACGGGGAGAAGUGGAAGUUAAUUAAAUAAGUGAUUAGGUCCUAGAAGGCAAAUUUGGUUGUUUUCUUGAGACUAAGAUGCAAGAGAUGUCAAAAAAGGUAGUGAAAAUCUUGGGUGUUGGAAGGUUUUUGAAUUGGGGAAUAGUUGAUGCUACAGGAGCAUUAGGAGGCAUUAUUCCUUUUUAGGACAAUAGAGUUUUAGGUCUUUUGGAGUUGGAGCGAGGAGGUUUCUCCAUUUUUGGUCAUUUUAAAAAUAUUGAGGAUGGCUUUGUUUGGGUGUUCACAAGUGUCUAUGGUCCUAUCUUGGGGAGAGAAAAAGGAUUUUUGGGAUUUUUGGGUGCAAUUAGGGGUCUGCAGGAUGAUCCUUGGUGUGUAAGUGGGGAUUUCAACUCUGUUAGAUUCCUAAGGGAAAGAAGGAAUGAUUUCAAAUUCACAGCAGAAAUGAAGAGGUUUACAGAAGUCAUUGAGUAGUUGAGAUUGAAGGACCUUCCUCUAUCCAAAAGUCAGUUCGUGUGGUGUGGAGGCAUUAAUUCUUAGGUAGCUUCAAGGUUGGAUUGCUUCUUAGUCUCUGAUGAGUGAAAGGACCAUUUCUCGGGAUCUUUCAACUUGCCCUCCCUAGUAUAGUUUUUGAUCAUUGUCCUAUUGUUCUUGAGGGUGGAGGGGUUAAAAGGGCAUGACCCCUUUUAGAUUCGAGAAUAUGUAGCUCUUGACAGACGGUUUCAAAGAGUUAGUGGGAAAAUGGUGGACUAAGUAUAUGGUUACAUGCACCAUUAGUCAUUGCCUUGCUGAAAAGGUGAAGGCUCUUAAAAAGGAUCUAAGAGAGUGGAAUAAAGAACUUUUUGGCAAUGUCUCUGUUAGCAAAUCAGAAGCCUUUGCUCACGUUUAGUUUUGGGAUUCAAAGGAGAGUGUCAACCCUCUUUCUCUUAAGGAGGCAAAGGCCAAAAAAAGGGCUUUGGAGGAUUACAAGAAAUGGGUAUUGUUGGAAGAAACUUAGUAAAGACAUAAGUCUAGGGAAAUCUGGUUAAAGGAGGGAGACAAGAACACCGGGUUUUUUCAUAAGAUAGCCAAUGCCCUGUGUGAGGAGGAAAUUAUUAACCAAGGUGAAAAUCAGUGGGGUUACACUAACCAAUGAGGAUGAGAUUAAGGCUGGGGUGUUGUUGGAAUCAAGGGAUUGGAAACCAAGUGUAAGGGGGUUAUAGUUCGAAGUGUUAGGGGAAGAAAGGUCCAAAAGGUUAGAGCCGCCUUUUUUGGAAGAGGAAGUUUUUUAAGCCCUUGGCCCAGACGGUUUCACCUUGGCCUUUUGGCAUUUUUGUUGGGAGUUCACCAAAUCUAAGAUUUUGGCUUUUUUCAAAGAGUUCUUUAGUCGUGGCACUUCCAAAGGAGCCUAAAUUCCACUUUCCUAGUUCCGAUUCCAAAAAGAGGGGGAGCUGUGGAUUUGAAAGAUUUCAGAUUGAUCAGUUUGGUUGGGGGUUUGUACAAGUUGUUAGCCAAGGUGUUGACAAAUAGGCUAAAGAUGGUCGUGGGGGAGAUGGUUUCGGAGAAUCAACAUCCUUUUAUUCAGUGUAGACAGAUCUUAGAUGCAGUUCUCAUUGUCAGUGAGGCUGUUGACUCGAGAUUAAAGAGCAAUAUCCCGGGUUUCCUCUUAAAAAUGGACAUUGAGAAGGCGUACGACCAUGUCAACUAGGACUUUCUUCUUUCUGUUAUGUCUAAAAUGGACUUUGGGGAAAAGUGGAUUAGUUGGAUCAAGUAGUGCAUUUCCACGGCUAGUUUAUCAGUUCUAAUCAAUGGGACUCCUUUGGGGGCUUGAGACAAGGUGACCUGUUGUCUCCCUACCUUUUCAUUCUAGUCAUGGAGGCACUCAGUCAGUUGCUGUUCAGAUCCAAAAGUGGGGGCUUUAUUUUGGCGUUAGGUAGGGAGAAGAAAUGGAAAGGAGCGGGAUGUCUCCCAUUUGUUCUUUGUUGACAACACCCUAAUUUUUUGUGAGGCCAAUAGUGACCAAUUGAGAUAUUUAAGUUGGGUGUUAUGUGGUUUGAGGUGCUUUUUGGUUUAAAAGUGAAAAUAGAUAAAAAGUGAGGUUAUUCUUGUUGGAAGGAUAGAGAAUUUGGAGGAGGUAGCUUUGGGGAUGGGGUGUAGAGUAGGGAAGCUUCCCACUUCUUAUUUGGGUCUUCCUUUGAGUGCCUCUUUCAAAUCCCUAAGGGUGUGGGAUGUAGUGGAAGAGAGAGUUAGAAAAAGAUUGUCUAUGUGGAAGAGACUUUAUAUCUCUAAGGGUGGGAGGCUUACCUUGAUCAAAAGCACCCUAUCUAGCCUUCUGAUUUAUUUCAUGUCUAUCUUUGUCAUUUCCUAGAAGGUGAGUGCAAGACUUGAAAAGAUCCAAAGGGACUUUCUUUGGAACGGUGGAGCUUUAGAGAAAAGGCCUUAUUUGGUGAAGUGGAAAGUUGUUUGUGUUGAUAAGGAGGACUAGGAAUUCGUAGUCUUGUAGUUGUUAACAAAGCUUUGCUUGGGAAGUGGAGUUGGAGAUUUGCAGAAGAAAGGGAGUCCCUUUGGAAACAAGUUAUCAUCGACAAGUUUGGUUUGGAAGAAGGGGGGUGGUGUUAGAGAGUAGGGAGAGGAAGCUUUGGCGUGGGGGUGUGGAAAGCCAUUAGAAGAGAAUAAGAGGGCAUAUGAAGUAGAUCCCGCCUUUUAGUAGGGAAUGGGAAAAGGGUUCAUUUUUGGAAGGACUUGUGGUGUGAGGAUCAAACAUUGAAAGAAGUUUUGCCUAAUUUAUUCCUUUUGGCUGUUGAUAAAGAUGGUUGGGUUUCAAAAGCUUGGGAGGAGGGCGGGAAGAUGGGUUGUUGGAGUCCUCGCUUCUCAAGAUACCUUAAUGAUUGGGAGAUGGGAGAGGUGGAGUCUUUGUUUCGAAAGCUUCAACCUUGGUUGUUAGAAGAAAUGUGGAGGACACUUUGAGCUGGAGAGAAAGUAGGAAUGACUGUUUUUCCGUUAGUUCCCUCUACCGUUCCUACAUAAGGGCUUCUAGUGAUCCUUUCCCUUGGUGCAUAAUUUAGAGGUCUUGGGCUCCAGUGAGAUUGAGUUUUUUUGCUUGAGAAGCAUCUUGGAAUAGAAUUUUGACCACCAACCAGCUGAAAAGGAGACGGACUUUGCCGAAUAGAUGUUUUUUGUGUAAAGAAGAAGAGGAACCAAUGACCACCUUUUUCUGUUUUGUAACAAGGCUAGCAUGUUGUGGAAUCUGAUCUUCUCCCUUUUCGGUGUGCAUUGGGUUUUGCAUUCCACCGUGAGGGGAAACUUGCUUGGGUGGAAUGGAGCUUUUGUGGGUAAAAGAAGGGAGAAGGCAUGGAGGGUUGUCCCUUUAUGCCUAAUGUGGACUUUAUGGAAGGAACAAUGUCGAACGGCCAACCAAGCUAUCAAAUAUUCUUUUUUGUAUAAUUUUGUGAAUUGGGCUAGGGUGUAUAUAGAGGAUCUCACUUUGUCUUUGGUUAACUUUAUAGAUUGGCUGUUUGUUAAGGGAUUGGCUCUUUUGUUUUUGUGCUGCCUAGUUUUUUGGGCAUUUAGUGUAUACUUAAUGUGUGCUGUUUUCACUAUUUCUAAGUGUUUCUAAUACAUGCUCUUAUUUACCUAUCAAAAAAAAAAAAAAAAACUCAAUCCAUUUGUGCUUAAAUUCCAAACUGUUUAGAAUAGCGAGAUCUAAAAUUCUCCUACUUCAUGCAUUUUGGUUUUCUUCUCUUCCUUUAUGUCUUGUGACUUUAAUUUUCUCUACAACCUUUCUGGUUUGAAAAUGUAGGAACUUGAAGUUCUCUUAUCCACCUUUAUCUGUAUCUACUUGUUGCCUUCAUCCCAGAUGUAAGGGUUUGGUCUUGGACUUUCUCAAAGACCUUUGCAUGCCUCAUGGUCAAUAAGAAUGUCAAAGACUAAUGAUUUACUAGAAGUUAGGAUGCCUUUUUUGGUUUGGAAUUGAAUGUUUGAUGUUGGGGGUUGGUCCACCACUUCCCAUAUCGAACAUUCAGUUCCAAACUGAAAAAGGCAUCCUUACUUCUAGUAAAUAGACCAACCCCCAGGAGGGUCCUUCCCUUUGGGGAAGUCAAACAAAACCUCUUUGCCUCUGCACCAGUAAGAGAACAGAAGAUGAACCUCCCUGCCCAUUUGAACAAUGCUCCAGCCUAAUUGUACUAGGCUUAUAGCUACUGGGAGAAUCUAUACUAACAAGUUCUUACAGUUGACCAGGCCAUUUAAAGCCCAGUGUUUGGAUAAUGAGGGAGCAAUAUAUCUUGUUUUCCUUUAUUAUCCUGCAAUAAUUGAAUUAUAAUGGAGAUAUUUCAAACUUGUUGUCUUGGCAUGGUUCCCUCAUGGGGAGAUGGCUGAUAUGAUGGUGAUAGCAUUUUGCUGAUUUGGUGCCAAUGCCAAGAGCAGGGUCCCAUGAAUGUCGCCACAUGUUCCUUAUUUGGAUGAUCUAGUUGGACAGGAAUGUUGAAAUCUUUGAAAAGGAAUGGAAUUUGUUGGAUUCAAUUUAUGAUAUAGUGUGUUUAUUGGGCUCCUUAUGGGUGUGAGUCUCUCCAGAACUAUUUAUGUACUCUACUUUGUGUGAUUUUGCUGGAUUGACAAACUGCUUUGUUAUCAGUGUGCACUUUGCCGAAGUGCUAUCUGGGUGGUUUCUUCUCCUUCACUGGUACAUCUGAAGCUUUAUUUUAAUUGUUGUUCUGUGGGGUAUGUAGGCUAGAUUGGUACUGGUGAUGUUUUAUAUGACCAUAGGGAAGUUCUGAUUAGAGCUUAUCCCAUCCUAGUUCAAGUUAUUUUACCAUAGAGGUAAGGUUGCUUGCACUUUGGGAACCAGUAACAAGUAAAAUUCCUGGGCUUAAACAACUUCUUGGUGUAGGUUGACUUAGCCCCAGUUAAUUGCUUGAGUUUUGCAGCAUAGAAGAGGUCGUUGGAAAUUGGAAGGUUAACAUGGAAGAUAUAUGAUCUUUCCACAAGUUGGGAUGCUCCUCCUAGUGGAGGCUAUACUGUCCAACCAAUUAGCAAACAUACAUGCAAAUCAUGGUUCUUCUAAAUUUAGAAAUUUUUUUUUUCCUGCCCUAUUGUUUGGUUGAAGCUGGACUCAUUCUGCCUCUCCUGCAUAACAUGUAUUUCAUAAAAUUUUCAGGUGGUUUGGCCGCCCUACUUUUCAAAAUAUAACCAAAAUCUGUUUCUCUCAUCAGAUUUUCUUAAAUAAAUAUAAAGAGAUUGAUUUGUUGAAAAAAUGCUAUAGGUGCAAAAUUAGGAGAUAUGUCAGGUGUUUAAUGUUUCCAGUAUUACAGUAUCUUAAAGAAAAUGUUAAGACCUUUAUCGACUUGGGGAGGUCUCCAUGUUGCUCUUUUUGUUUGCUGAACUGCACCAUCAUAUCUUUGGUUUUCUUAAUGGAACUGUGUUCUUUCUGACUGUUCUGCUAAAUUUGCUGAAGAGGCUGAGCCUGGAUUUUGGUUUGGGUGGUGGGUUUGGGUUUUGUAGGGCUGGCACAAUUAAGUGUAGGCAAAUUUAACCUUUUUUCAUGUUGACCACCAACAGGACUCCUGUUUGUGCACUUACAGACUAUAUUCUUUUAGGGCAACCACUUUUAAUGUGGUAUUGUGUUUGCAGUUAUUCAAAGAACAUAUAUGUUUUAUUGUAUUUUAUAUUCUUACUUAUUUCUUGUGGGUGGGGGGCUGAUUUGUGUGUGGAUGGGGGAGAGAAAAAUGUAAGCAGGUAAAGAUAGAAUCAAGCUUAGUAUGGGGAUCUCUAAUCUUUAGUAUGUUGAGACAUUCUGAGAUUUUGUGGUGAUUAUUUGCCCCCCCCGUAGCUGAUCUGUGAAAUUGUUUUGUGGUGCAGGUUUGUUGGUCAGGUGAAUGCCAGUAUAACCCUUCUCCACCCGAUCCACUGCACCAGACAGAGGAAAGUUGACGUGGAGUUUGAUAUGACAACUAUUCCUGCAUUCCUGAUUGUCCUGGGUGUUCUCUGGUUGGUGUUGCGGCCAAGACGUCCCAAGCCUAAGAUUAAUUGACAAUAUCACUAGGACACCAUGGUUGGUACUUCAGUUAGAAGAGUAGCAGCCUUCUGGAGAUUAUGUGUGAGGGAGGUGCGGCAUGGCAUUUUUUGUAUUCUAUCUCCAUGUUCAGGGCAGCAAAGUGCCUUAAAAUGAAAGUUGAUCAAAGAACAGGUAGGACAGGAAAAAAAGAAAAAGAAAAAGGGUGGUGGGACGACCCACUUAGCCAAAUACGAUGAGAUGAGGAUGAAUGUGAAUGCAGAUGUUGUAGAUUUACCAGAGUUAUUUUUUGUUGAGUACAUCGGAAGGUCAUUUUCCUAUUAAUUAGGCAUUCUUGAAACUUCUUUUACGCCGUUAAAAUGUUUCAGCUAACGUUCCUCAGAAGCAUUACAUGGAGAGAAAAGAAGAAAAAGAAGGAAAAUAAAAUACCCAGGUAACUAAUUGUCAUAUGAAGGACUGGCGUCAGCUCAUAAACUGCAAAUAUCUACUGAAAUGAGAUAUCAAUUAAGAUUUAGGAACCUGUAGAAAAUGAUUCAAUAAAUGAAUAGUUUUAUACACAGGGAUUCAAGUAACAUGCAUAUAUGAGCUAUUAGUUGACCAAAACUAGCAUCUAUGCUGAACAAUUUAUCCAGAACAAUCAGUCAAAUUUUGAUUAGAGCUAAUUCCUUUCUAAUUUCAAUGAACCUAUCUUUACUUGGGGAUUUAGCAAAUAUAUCAUCUAAUUGUACUAACAAAUUCUAUUGCCAUCUUUUUGUGCAUGAUAUCUAAGAAAUCAUGUCUAAUUUCAAUAUACUUAGCAAGAUUCUUUAAGAUACUAAUGAUACUUGUAUUAUCACACUUAAGGGUCACAUGAGUGUAAGACAUAGAAGUUCUUUGAAGUUUGUUUCAUUCACUAAAUUUGUGUACAACAAAGGCCGAUUGCAUUAUAUUCCACUUCCACUAUUGAGAAUGCAACUAAGUUUUGUUUGUCAUUAUGGCUAGAAACUAAGGAAUGUCUAGGAAGUGACAUGUUCCUCUAGUGCUUUUCUAUAUACCUUACAACCUGCAAAGUUUGCAUCAAAUUAGCUAAUUAGGAGUUAAUUAGUGCUCUUAGGAUACCAAAGUUCUAGGUCAAUUGAGCCUUUUAAGAUACCUAAAAAUUCUUGUAGCCAUACUUAAAUGAGAUUCAUAAUGACAUGAUUGAAAUUUGGUACACAAACAAAGAACUUAUCAUACCUUUAUAAGAGUAGGGUUAAUAGGUUUACUCAUCCUAAGCUUGAUGGAUGAGAUCAUUGGAGUUCCUAUAGUCUUGGCAGCCUCCAUCUUGAAUUUCUUGAAAAGGUCUCUUAUGUACUUAAUUACUGAAGAUGUCUUUCUUUGUUUGCUUAAUUUGAAGCCGAACAAAGAAAUUAAGCUUCCUCAUCUUGCUUCACAUAGUAAAAUAGUAAUAGCCCAAAUAUAAUAUCAACAUGUAUAUAGACCUAGAGCAUGUCAUCAUUUUUUAUUUUAAUGAAAUAAGUUGUGUCAAUAUUGCAUUUUAAAACCAUUAUCUAGCCUUAAUCUGUCAUACCAUGUUGUAAGUUUGAAAACAUGGUUUGGAAAAUCAACAUUUAUAAAACUGAGAGGUUGUUCAAGAUAAACUCACUCCAUAAUGUAACUAUUUACAAAUGCACUCUUGACAUCUAUUUAUUCCUUCUUUUUGAAUGAAAUUUUAGGUUGCUAGUCUAACUUUAUUUCUAACGAUUAUUUCUAAAUACCCAUUUAGUAUUAAUUAAAGAUUGAUUAGAUGACCUAGAUACUAAUUCUCACACUUCAUUCAUUUCAAAUUAAUAUAGUUCCUCUUACAUGAUUUUAUCCAAUUUUCAUCAUUUUCAACUUCUUGACAUUUUUAAGAGAGGAUUUAGUUUUUGCUAUUUCUGGCCUAAAAACAUUUCAAAUAUUUCAGAAAAUCAUCUUCAUUGAACAUGGUUCUUGCUAUUUCUUGUAGAAUAUAGUUUUUCCUUUCUACAAUCCUAUCUAGUUGAGGUGUUCUAGGAAUUAAAAAAAAUUAUGUUCAAUCCUAUGCUCAUUGCAAAAUGAUUCAAAUAAUAGUUUUUAAAUUUUCUUCCAUGAUAAUUUCUAAUGCAAGUAAUUGUAAAAUUUUAAAAAGUAAGAAAACUUCAUUCCCGUAACUAAACAAAUCUAUAAAAAAAAAAAUCCAUAAUCACAUAUGCAUAGUAUUUUUCUCCAAGACUAAAAGUCCUAGAGGGAUUAAACAAAUUCAUAUGAAACAAUUUCAAAUGUGUAGAAAUAGUGUAUUGUUUAUAAAAUAGUUUUUUUUUUCUUCACAUGCUCACAAACUCUUAUCUUUUUAAAAAAUAAUUUUGGAAAGGCCCUUUACAAGUUCAUGUCAUUUGAGUUAUAUAAUGAGGUUCAUGUUUACAAGUCCUAACCUCCCAUGCCACAACAAAUCAUGCAUGAAAAAAAAACACAUUUAUUAUGACUAUUAUAUCCUUCAAUAUCAAUUAUAUAAACAAUUUCAUUUGUGUGACCCAUGAAAAUGGUUUAGUCAUUUUGAAUAUCUUCAAUGAUGUAACAAGAUAGUUCAAAAAUGACUUUAAAACUUUUAUCAUACAAUUGACUAAUGUUUUAAAAAACCAUGCUUUGAACCAUCAACAAGAAUGACGUAUAUUUUCAAUAAAAGAAAAUGCACCAUUACCAACAUGUCUUUGCCUAUUAAUUCUCUCCUUUGCAUUGUCUCCAAAAAUUCACUUUUGACUUGCUAGAAUCAUGUCAAGAGAGGAAUCAAACAUUCAUUCUUUUCUUUCUUUCCUUUUUUUUUUCCAAAAUUUUCAAAAGAUGCUUUUCCCUUUUUAGUGCUUUGAAUUUUUUUGAGUUUAUUUUCAAGAGGAAAAAAAUCUUUUCUUUUAUUUUUAUUUUUUUUAGAGAAAUCUAUUUUUCAAACGAAGUUUUUCAAAAUCAAAAUACAAUUCCUCAAAAUCAUAUUGUAAUUCAUCAUAAUUUGGAAAAGAAUUUAUCUCAUCUUCAUGAUCCUCUAAGGCCAUCAAGCAUUGCCUACUCCAUUCUUACAAUUUUCUUUGGUGAAGUCUUCAACAAUAUCGCUCCAUGUUGUUAACAUUGCUUUUUUUUCCUUUUCUUUGCCUCAUUUAUGUGAAGGAUACAUUCAUGCUUGAUGUGGCCCAACUUUUUACACUUGUAGCAUAUUAGUUCAUUUUUCUAUUUCUCCAUGCUUGAAGCUUCAUUCUUAUCAUGAAGCCAUCUUCCUAUGUGUUUUUCAAAUUUGAUGAACUUUUUAAAUUUUCUUGCAAUGAGAGCAAGUUCUUCAUUCUUGUUAUUUUAUUUGUCUUCUUCAUUGUAAAUGGUUGAAGCUUGAAGUAAAUUGUUUUUCUUCUUUGUUUUCAACUUCUUGAUCACUUUUCAUAAAUAAUCUCAUAAGUUUUAUAUAAGUGACCCAAUGAGUUCUUCAAGAGGAUGUUUGUGUGAUUCUUAGUUUCUUGUAUAGCGGUGACUUUGGCUUCCCCUUACUUUGAUAAAGAUCUUGGUAUAUUCAUCACCUGUUUCAAUUUUGUCUAGACUUUUCCUAAUACUUAAGGCCAUUGAUGAUAUCCAUGAACCUAGUAAGCAUCUUAACAAUAAUCUCAUUAUUCUUUAUAUUGAACAAGUUACAACUAUUCACAAGCAUGCUUAUCUUGGAUUCUUUUCCUUGAUUGGUUCCUUCACAAGUUAUUUUUAAGUCUCCAUAUAUCCUUAACUAGUUUAUAUUAUAUCCUAUUGUAUUUAUUUUUAUCUAUGAUCUUAAUUGAGCUUUUCUUUUAUUUAGCUCAUGUCACUUUUAGCUUAGCUUAGGAAUAGCCAUCCCAUUAUCUAUAUUGAUAUGCACAUGAGAGUCAUUUUAAAUGGCAUUCCAAUGAUCAUAAUCAAUAGAUUUUAGAAACCAUGUAAUUCUAGUAGUCCAAUAUGAAUAAUUACUACCCAUAAAGAGUGAGGGUCUAUUAAUUAAGAAAAACUUUCCAUGUGUGAUAAACUUGAUGGAUUAGAUUAUCCUUUUAGAGAAUUGAAUCCUAAAUAGGAGGCCUUGCUUUGAUAUCAACUAUGAAGUUUUUGCUAAUCCAGCUUAAGAAGACACUCAAAAGGGAGGGUGAAUUAGGAGUUGUCCAUUUUUAUUUUUUUAUUUUUUUUAUUUUUAACAAAGAUGAAUUCAAAUGAGAAAAAGUAUAUAAAAUAUAUAGAAUAAGAGAGAUGGUAAACUAUUUAUAUUGAUUCAAUACAAUUUGAUCUAUAUCCAUAUUAAGAUAAAACCCAUGGUUUUGAAAACCAAACUAGACUGGUUGGUUUCACUAGUUCAAUUUUCGAUCAAUGGCAUUUCUUGUCGGGUUCACUAUAUUGAACCACCUAAUCAUUAGACCGAUUACAAACCACUUAAACCGGCGGUUUGACUGGUAAACUAAACAAACCAAGUAGGUCUUGAUGAACCAAACGAUUUAAUGAUGAGCCCCCUUUUUAUCCUUCAAGCCCACCACUGGGCCUUUUUUUAUCAUUCAAGCCCACCACUUUCCACAUUUAUUUUUGGCAAAAAACCCAGCCCUACAAGCCCAUAGACCACCUUACCUUAAGCCAAUUGUUAGCUUGCAUCUUGGGCCCACAAGAAGGACAUGCCUUUAUGUGUUGUUUUUAUAGACUUUUUAAUCUUAUCAAGAUCCAUGUGAGAUUGAUGAUAUUAAUUAAUGAAAAACAAUCACAAACUACCAAACCCACCUAAAAGGACUUGAACCCUUGACUUCAAGUUAAGGAAAAGGCAUACGGCACUACUCAACUACACACUAUUGGGUUAGUCUAAGAUGUCAUGUACCUAUCUUAAAGAAGAGAGGACUUGGUUGCAAAAUUGGUGCACUUAAAAAAAUCACUUAAGUUGUGGACUCUCCUUCAUCAACUAAGUUUAUGCACCCAAGAACCCAAAGAAAGUGGAGCACCUAAAAAAAUCACAAAAGUUGCAAAUCCUCUUUCAUUAACUAAGUUUGUGCAUCCUAUAAUCCAAAGGAAAGUGGCACAUCAAUAAACCCAAAGAGAAGAUAAAAUUUGCUCACCUCUGAAUGUUGUUUAUGUUGUACAACUAAAUUAGGAUAAAAUGUAAUGUACCAUAAAGUUGCACACCUCCCUUCCAAUUGAACAUUUAAGUGAUGCACCUCUAAAGAAAAGUAAGUUGGCAAAUCUUAUCCGUCACUCCUAAGCAUGUAAGUAGCAUACCCAUCCUCUAGGACCCAUGUUGUACACCUGUUCUUUCUAUGCAAAAGUGGUACACUUGUAGACAUUUUUCCAUGAUUAACGUACUUGCUUUAAUAAUCUAUAUGUGCGCCAAAACCUAAAAUCCAUCAAAUCCAUCAUUUAAUUGACCAAUACCAUACCUUUGCCUAUAGUUUCUACUCCAUAGAUAUAUAGCCAUCAUGAGAAAAAGGGAGCAUAAAUUUAGAAGAAAAAAGGUUACCUUCAUGCUAAUUGGUAAGAAGAAAGGUGCAACUACAACUUUAUUCACCUAAUUGAGUUGACAAUGAUAAGAAAAAAAAGGUUGUAUUGAGAAGCAGGUGGCCACAAAAAAGCUCAAGCAUGGGGAUUAGAAAAUGCAAUUAAAAGGGAAUGAUUGGAAAGGUCCAACAACAAAGCAAGGGAAGAAAAAGUGAUUUUUUAUCCCUAUACACAAGGGAAUGUGUAAAGUUUAAGGAGAUCCUUUUUUUUUCUUUUCUUUUUGUACUCUUCUUCUAAAUUUUUCUUAGACGGUUCUCUAAGGAUAACUUCAAGCUUUCUAGAAUAGUGUUAUAAGUCUCUCUAAGAAGUUAACUAUGAAAAACAAUUGACUAAAAACUUAUAUUCAAUUUCCAUAAAUCAACACAAUCAACCCAACUAAAAUAUUUAUUUUAUUUUGUUUUGUCUUUCUUUUUUCCUUUUAUUGUGUUGAAACUUUGAAACAACUAUGUAUCAAAGUAUUGUGGAGAGGUUAAGGAGGAAGUAUUUACAACUCACACUCUAGUUAUAAGUAUUCAAAGUGUAAUGGGAAGGAUAAUUGAAGCCUUUGGUUAUAGCAAAUGAAGGUUGCAAGACUAUGAAGGUCACAAGCUAAACAAUCUUGGGAGUAUGUUUAAAUCUAAAUGUGUGGCUUGCCCUCCCUUAUCACAAGACCUAGAAAGGCUAAGUUGAUUAAUAUUGUAACAAAUGUUUGUUGUAAGAGUGUGAAGACUAUAAGUGAAGCAACCUUAGGAGUAAGUUUGAGAAAUAUUGAAAUAUCUUAGUUGUACCUAGUAUUUUAGUUCCCCUAAGAUUAAAUGGCUACCAAGAUGAUCUAUUUUGAGGGAAGAAAACUAUAGUAGAUGAUUAAAUACCUUCUCAUUCAUAUCUCCCAUAAAAUUGCUUUUCAAUUAGUUAAACUUAACCUACCUUCAAACUAACACCUUUAAUGUCUUUGGCAAUAGGAUUUUCUUGGUUUGUCUGAUACUUCUCUAUGAAAAACAUUAAUUCCCUGUGGAGACAACCUAACCACUAUACUAGUUGUUAGUUCUUUAUAAGUUUCUAGUUAGAAACUAGUAAUUUCAAUGACAACUCUAGUUUAACCUCUUAAGUGAAUUUUGAAUUAUUGAUAGAGAUCACAAAUCAAAGAGCAACAAAAAAAUAGGCACCAUUGUCAAGAAAUUAAUUUGUUUCUCAAUUUCAGGUCGACCUAUACAAAUGACCCAUGCAUAUACCAUCUUUUUAUCUUCUUUGUUUUUUUUUUUAUUUGUUUAUGAUUGGUUGGACUAGAAAUACUAUAGGCAAACUUAUGAAUUUAAAAUCAUACUCAUUUGAGGGUUAUAAAAGGAGUCAAAGCCCUGUAGUUGAACUAUAAUUCACUUCCUUAGCUUACAUCACUCAUUUUUCCCAACUUGUGAUUUUCAAAUUUUCUUAAUUUUGAAAACAUGGACUAUUCUUGCAAAUUCUAAAUUAAUGGGAUUAAUUCUAGCCCUUAUGGGCCUUUUCCCAUGCUCAUUAGAGGGCUAAAACGUUGAUUUGUCCUUGGAAAUUAAUUUAAGCUUAUCUCAAAGCCCAUAUAUCUUGCUUAUUAAGAUUUGACUCUUUAAUGCUUUAUUUUUAACCCCCAAAGUGUUUUAAAAAAUCUAGAUUAUUUGUCUUGUUCUAAAAUCUUUGAGGUUUGGGUUGUGUUUUGAACUUCUUAAAUGGGUCGGAGAUUUUUUAUUUAUUUUUUGUUAAACAAACCUUUCCAAGUUGGUUGAAUAAUCCAGUUUUUUCAAGUGACUCUCUAUUGCGUUGUUCUGCAUGUUAAAAUGUUUUUUCAAAUCAAUCCCAAUUAUUUGGUUUUUAAUUAAUUUUGAGAUUUUUUUCUAUAUUCUAGACAUCUUAAAUAAACCUAGGAGCUUUGGCCUUGUUACAAAAUCCUUUCUUAUACUUGUUAAUUAAAUCAACCUUUGCAUGCUUGUUGUGUUGUCUUGAUUUUGAGUUGUGAGAUGUUCUUUAAAAUAUACAUAUAUAUCAUAUGAUGCAUGUUUGCGCUUCUUGGGCUAAUUAAUCAAUUAGAACCCAUUUUGGGCUAAAUUGAGUGACUCAAUCUCUUAGUGGAGUCAAAUCACUUAAACUCAUUAGGGAACCCUAUAAAUACCCCCUUUAGGGAUUAAGGUUUCCAUAACUUUUCAAUAGACUUGUCAUCUUCCACCUCUAAUGUGGAAAAGAGCCAAAGUCUUUACCAUAUUUUCCUUUCCAUUGAAAGUAUGCCAAAAUCAAGGAAGAGUCACCGGACAGAAGAUUGUGAGUCUACGAGACUUCCUACGACAAUGAUCUUCAUCUUCAUCGUGUGGAAUAGAUUUGGGAAUAUCCAAAUCUCAGGUAUGAUUUUUUCUUGCACAUUCUAAAUUCGUUUUGUAUAAAAUUGUGUUUGUUUCCGUUGUGCAUAGGAUUUAGAAAGCCUAGGAAAGUUUUCACAUGCACAUAACCUAAUCUGGGUAUAAGGAACAGAGAGAUCCGAGAUUCCCUACAGCAAUAAAUCCAUAUUUGUUACAUUAUGUCAUGUUUUUAAGUGCUCUAUUCUAACACCAAAUGAUAAAGGGAUAUACCAAAGACUUGUAAGGAGAUUGAUGUCUUUGCACACACAAGGUCGAAGCUUUCUUAUGCAUCAAGUGUUGUAGUUAUGCACAUUUUGAGAGCAACAUAUGAAUAUGGUUAUGCACCUUUUGAGGUCUUUGAAGUUUGGUCUUAGAAAGGGAAUCUUAUUCGCUAAAAAUGCGGAUUGUUAAAGUGUGGAUGCAUAUGUUGAUGUUGAUUGGACUAGAGCAAUAGAUGACAUGCAAUCUACUUCAAGUUACUUCACCUUUGUAAGUGGUAAUCUCGUCACAUGAAGAUGCAAAAAAUAGAAUGUUGUUGCAUUAUCAAGUGUAGAAGCUAAAUUUAGGAAUACAUCACUUGGGCUUUGUGAAGCAUUAUGGUUAAGACUUCUCUUGCAAAAUUUAGGCUAUUCAUUUAAACAACUAAUUUGACUAUAUUAUGACAAUAAGCAACAUGUGACAUUGUUGAUAAUCUUGUUUAACAUGAUCGUACAAAGCAUGUCAAGGUAGAUGAAUUCUUCAUUAAGGAAAAGUUGGAUGUAAAAAGAGUAGAGUUGCCUAAGAUUUGAUUAGAGGAUUAGUUGGCCAAUAUCCUCACCAAAGCAAUCUCAAAUUGAGUGUUCUCAAAGUUCUUACGCAAAUUGGCAUGUGUAACAUCUAUGCACCAACUCAAGAGCGAGUGUUAAAAUUGUCAACGAUUCUUAUAAUCUCCUUUGUAAUUCUUUCUUAAUUUAAAGACAAUAUAGAUGUACAAUAGGUGUGAAUAGAUUAAUUAGGCUUGAUUAUAAUGAUUGAUUUUAGGUUUCUUGAUUGUAAUUCCUCUUCAUAUAAUAUUAUACAUAUUCGUCAAAAAAUAUAAAUGAAAAAUAUUCUUCCUUAUCUAUUUCGAUACUCUAUCCUACUUUUCGUUUUAAGUUGGGAAGGAGUUGCAAGAUAUUUUCUUUCAGCAAGAGUAGGGUAGCAUUCCUUACCCUUAAUCAACUCCAUUGGCAUCCAUACUCUUCCUUGUUCCUUCUUCCCUAGCAGAAGGAACAACAAAAAUGGCAUUCAAAACUGUCUCUAUUCAUCCAAACAAUUUUCAUUUUCAAUUAAAGAAAAAAAAAUAAGGAUGUGUAAGAAAAUUGAGUAUGAGAUGGUAGUUGUCACACCCUCGAAAAUCACCCUAAAAUUUUCACCUGGUGCGCGGUGCUAAGGACCCUUCCUCAGCCAACCUUCCUUCCCAGCCUUCUCAAAACGCACACAAACAAUAGCAAACCAAAGGAAAUAGGGACACAACGAGGUUACAGGAAAUCCUUCCCAACUUGUAUUAAUCUCAACUACAAGAUACAAAAUUGUUUCCCUGAGUCAGAGAGCAAUACUUACAUCCCAAGCAUUCAAAGACUACUUUCCCUCUUCUCUCUUCCUCCGAGUCAGAGAGUAAUGCUUACAUCCCAAGCAUUCAGAGACUACAUCCCUUUUCUCCCUCUCUCCCUCUCAAGGCUGCAGGAGCCCUUUUAAAAGACUCACCCUGCAGUUUUUCCCUUGGUGGUUAUGCAACCGCCCAUAACUGCCCUGAAUCGCUUGCACAACCACCCACUACCCAGAUGGUGGUUUGCUGAGAAACCACCCACUUGUGGGAUCCUCCCUAAAACCUACCACGUGGCUUCCUCUUUCUUGGACACGCAGACGUCCCCCUUUCGACGCGUGACAUCACUCAUUCCACCCGGACGGGAAUCAUAGCUCAUUCCACCCGGGGUAGGAAUUCUGUCUGGCCGACGUUCCACCUUCUCCUGAUAUUUCACAUCCGGAAUUCUGUCCGGCCGACGUUCCACCUUAUCCGGAUAUCUCACAUCCGGAAUCUUGUCCGCCGACGUUCCAUCCACCCGGAUAUAUCACAUUCGGAAUCCUGUCUGCCGACGUUCCAUCCACCCGGAUAUCUCACAUCCGAUGCCUAUCGUCGGAUGGAAGAGGAGGACGAUUCAACUUCCCCAGGCAGACAUGUCUGGAUCCUUCGGUAACGCUUAUCCGGAGAACAUCCGUGGUCAACGAUUCAGAUUCCCCGGAUAGCUUGGCUUGCUCGCGGUGCGCGCGCGGUGCACGCUUGACUUGUCCGCGAUCCCCACACUUAGCUCCUAGGGUUUGAAUCGCCAAACCUUCAGGCUUUCCUUGCUUUCCGUCUAGGCUCUCAUGGGUGCAAGGCUUACCUAUGAGGCUUAUUUCUCCGGAUCUAAAUCAAGUUGCUAAGAGGCUGACAGUAGCCAAAUAUACUUCAUGAGCAACCCAUAGGCCGGCAUACUUGGCAGUACAAAGUAUCAAACACCUUAUCUUUGACCAAUUGAAUUGAUUUAUUUUUAUCCUAAUCCUAAAAAAAAAAGAAAUCAAUAAAAUGAGAUUCAUGAACCGAAUAAAUGGCUUUUUAUUUUUAUUUUUUUAUUGAUCACGUGUUGAGGAAAAAGAAGGGUGUGGGGAUGGGGAAAGUGUGGGUAAUGGGCCCCACUGGUCUCCCUUCCAAGAAACCAAAGGCAAAGGGAAAAGGAGGGAGGACCGAGGCGAGGGGGAGGCGGAAGCGCAUUCAAUAAUAAUAAUAAUGUAAAUUUAGAGAAGUUAUAUAUGGUUAUUAGAAAAAUUAGGUCAAAGCGACCGGAAACUUCCGGAAGAACACGGUGAAUAAAAAGGAACCAUCUCUCUAGUUUCUUCUCCACAUUGUGGUCACAAAUUCCUCCUCCUCUUGGUUGGACUUGGGGGGUUUCUGACGACUGCCUUGCCUUUUGCCUUGAGAUCUGCUGGAGGAAUCAUGGAGGGAGCGGUUUCAGAGAAACAGGCGUCCUCUUCCUACACCUAUUGGGUUAGAGAAGCGAGGGAAGAUGCAGCUCCUCUCCCAGUUCCUCGGAAGCUCACCCAGGAUGAUCUUCUUUCCCAACAAUCUCACACGUCUGCCCUCGGUUCCGUCUGGAAUAAAGUAAGACUCUUGGGAUUCCGAUCCCUUUAUCCUCAAUUUCCACCAACUCUUUCUCGCAUCUCGUCUUGAUUUAUUCAUGCGUUCUUGCUUGCUAACGCCGUGCCUCUGCCUUCAAUGCAUGUUCAUCUUGUCCUUCAUUCUGUAAUUCACUUGAUGAUUUAAUGGAAUUCCGUCCCUGUUUUGUUCCCAAAUCUGCGACUCAUAUUAGGUUAUGGUUUCUCUUGGAUUUAUAGCAGACAUGGACAUCCCUGGCAUUCCCUCCUGUACCUUAAGAAAAUCACCCCAGUGCAUGGCUGAUAGUUUCAAUCUUUAAUGACACAACUAGGCAUCUUUUGGAAAGAGAAAUGAUGAAUGAGCUGAUAAAAUACAUCUUUAGCUUCACCGUAUAAGCAUCCGCUUGUCGGUUUCAAAUUCUUGCACCUUACAAUUGUUGGCACUUUAUUCCUCCGCAUUCUUUUGAGUGGCUUCUAUUUAGUUCUAUGUUAUUAUUUACUCCUUGGUUGGAACAUUAACAACUUAUUUGUCUAACAUAAAUAUGUACAUACAUACAUGCAUGCUUCUUAAUGUCUUUCAAUCCACUUGUCCUUUUCUUUUUUUUUUUGUUGUGUUUGAUGUAGCAAUGCCAUGAGUUUAUUUUGAUUAAGUGGUGUUUAUACCUGCAUAUGCCAAUGAGAGGAGGUUGACCACGUCGAUGGUGAGAUGGUGAAGUGGUGAGGUGUUCUGAAUUGAAGGGAGAGUGGAGUGGCUUGAGAGUUGAGAGGGGUUGGAGAAAGAAUGACAAUACAUUCUUGAGAGCAAAUCCCUUCAAGAGCAAAAUUUUCAUCUCUUUACAAUGGUGAUCCUUCAGGCCUAAUCUUAGGGAAUUUUAGAUAAAAACUAAUUUUAUGUCAUCGCAUGUGCCUAUAAAAUGUUUCCAUAUGUAUAUGAAUCAACAAGAUGAUGUCAUGUGAAUAUGGACAAACAAUAUGCCAGCACUUAUCUGUUCAAGUGAGUGAUUGUAGAACCAUGUGGUAGUAGCAGCAACACGUGUUCUGCAAAGUUAUCCCCCCUUCCUGUCAAUUUGACCAAAAUGGGCUUAGUAGUAUUUGGGCCAAUUUCACCUUGAUAGACUUCUAGUUCUAGCCAUCAAACCAAGAAUCUCAAACCAUUCCAUAUACUUAAUGGUAGGGCAAGCCAAGACCACCACCAAGGGGCAUUGGGCUCCAUUAGCCUUGCUUUUGACUUAGGUAGGCAAAAAGCAUAUGAGUGAAGUAUUAACUUAGGCAACUACCCUCAUGAAUGAGGGUGAUGGCAAUUAUUUGAAAUGCUCCUUUAAUUAUCUGAGAAGGGUUAAUGAAACUAAUAAAUGAAGAUGGGGAUGCGACCUCUCAUCACCCACCUAAGCAUGUUAGGGAUAACUCAUUCUUUCAUCCAUGGUACCAAGUGGAUGCUUCCACCUUGAGGUGAGAAAGAGACAUGGAUUGACAUCUACCCAAGGGUAGGUAUGGCAAAAUAAGGUAAUUAAGAUCAAAGUUUUAAGAAAUCCAUGUGAAAGCAAAGCAAUAGAUCACCCUCAAAGACUUCGUGUAGAGAGAACCCUUUAGUAUCACGACCUUAAGAGAAAUAUAUACAUAUUUACCCUUGUGCAUCAUUAUAGAUAUAUGCAUAUUCUUAUAUAUCCAAUUGGUAAUACAAAGCUCAGAUAUUGGGUUCAUAUUUAGUCUUCAAAUGCUUUGACCAACUUAUCAUUUGUCUUUACAUCAACCUUGGUGUCUUGGUGGAUGUCUAAUACCCAUGUCAUAUAUGACACUUCAAGUUAACUGUGUCAUAUUAUUGUUAAACCAUGCACUACUCUUAAGUUGGUCAGGCUCCUUUGUAGGGAAGAAAAGUAAAAAGGUGUGGAACGUUGUUCCUCUUUGUAUUUUUUAGAAAAUUUGGAGGGAAUGGAAUCAAAGAGCCUUUGAAGAUAAGGAACAAAAUGACCAAUUGUUAAAACUCUCGUUCCUUUGUAAUCUCUCGUCUUGGGUUAGUAUAUACUUAAGGCAAGACUCAAUGCCCUUGUUUGAUUUUGUAGAGUGGGUGGGGUCUUGUUGAGUGCCAAGAUGUUUUUUGGUGCUCUUUUUUGAGGGCUUGCUUUAGGUGUUCCUUGUAUACAUUUUGUGUUCAUUGGUAUGCUUUGUUCUUUUACUAAAGUAGUUUUUGUACGAGUUAUGAGCUACAAAGCCAAUCUUAUGACCAUAUUGCUUUAAGCCAAAGGCACCUCUAAAUGGGGCCCCAUAGAGGGGUAGCUUAUAAUGUUAUAACUAUUUGUACCUAAGAAAGGAUAACAAUAUCUAAGGUCACUAUGUCUCAAGGGCAGUUUGACCUGGUAUUUAGGCCCUUCACUUUUUGUCCAUACUUCCUAUUACUAGGGAUUGCCUCCCUUUAUAGCACUCUCUAUCAUACAAUAUUUUCUUAUCAAGGCCAAAAUACACCCCAAUACCAUCCUUUCAAGUCCUGCUGGCUGAUCUGCUCAAGGCCCCUCUAACUUUGUGAAUUGCAACAUCAUCAAACACCUCUUUACUCUGCUUUUUAAAGUCUCUCUUAAGAGCCAUCAACUUCUGAGCAAGAAUGAAGCCAAGUUCCCUGGCCCCCCCUCCCCUUUUUCCCCUCUCAAUCUUUACUAGACAAUAACUAUCAAUACACUAUAAAAUUACUCCAAAUUCUAAUGCUUCCUAAAUAUGCAGGGUAAGUUGGAUAUUUGGAGAUGUAAAGCUUUUAGCUUAUUUCACUUUCCCCCUUGGUUUAGAGGUUAUUUUGGAUCUUGGUACAUCCUCCUUUGUUUUGAUAGGUAAAUUUUUUUCCCCAUCCGGAGUUAUGAGCUUAGAAUCAACUUCCCAUAAACACCACCCCACCACCCAUCACGUCUCUAUUGACAUUCGAAUUCCAAUCAAUUAUGCCAUGAAGCAAGUCCAAAGUCCCAAAUUCAUCAAAUGCCAGAAUCAUGUGGUAAAUAGAACAUACCUUUUACUUCUGAUAAAAAAAUAAAAUAAAAUAAAAAAAGACACAACAACAUACCUUUUACAGUGACCAUAACAUGUGAGCUUCCAAAUUGGUCUUUNNNNNNNNNNNNNNNNNNNNNNNNNNNNNNNNNNNNNNNNNNNNNNNNNNNNNNNNNNNNNNNNNNNNNNNNNNNNNNNNNNNNNNNNNNNNNNNNNNNNAAAAAAAAAAAAAAACCCUUUGCCAGUUAAGCUAGGCCUUAAGAGAUUCAAUCUCCUCUGCCCUUACACCUUAUGAAUAGAUUUUACUUCUUGUGAAUAGAUUUUACUUGUCAUUGUUCUCUUUUCUCUCUCUCUCUCUCCCUCCCUCCCUCUUUACUCUGUUUUGGGUGUUUAUGCCUUUUUAUGUGUCUGUGCGUUGAUACAUGUAUUUGUGAGGUUUUUAACUUGUGAGAGCUCAGAAGCUAUGAUAUUACAAUAACAUUCCAGUUUCUCAUUAAUUAUGAGCACAGCUUGAAACAUCAGUUUUAGAUGCUCCUUUGAGCUGAUUUUAAAAUGGCUGGCUGAAUAGACACCCAGCUUCACUCAAAUAUAUAUUUUAUUUUAUUUUAUUUUCUCUCUUUUUAUAAUCGAGGAACCUUCCAUGACAGAUUCUUUAGGACUCUCCACGGGGACCCAAACUAACCAGCUGUAGGAUUUGACCAUGCACCUCUACCACACAUCCCAACAUUUUUGCCUACCCAACUAGGCCACCUUGGUGGGCUAGCUUCACUCGAAUGGAUUGUUUCCACUUUCCAUUUAAGCUGAUUGAUGUGAGAUGCAAAUGAGUCUAUCAUAAUAAUUUUCUGUUCACAGCAGAACCUCUUCCUUUAGUAAUACACUGAUGUUGUCCCAAUAUAUUGAGUUUUGGAUAUGUUUGAGGGAAAACAAUAUAAUACCUAUAGUUUCAAAGCAGACCAGAACCAUUGGCCUUCAUAUUUUGUUCUGGGUUCCAUGUUCUACGCUUCUACUAGUCCAAUGAUAAUACAGUCAUCACAUCUAGAGUCUUGCACACUCAUAGCUGCUUAUUGUUAUGUGUUUGGGAAAGAAACAAUGGGGAUCAUCACCCUAAAGGCCUGGUUACAUUUCUAUGUUUUUUUUUAUCAGAUUUGGUAAAUUUUCUAUUGGUUGCUUAUUUCUGACUGUAUGAUAUUUAUUUUAAAUAGGCUGGGACAUGGGAGGAGAAGAACCUUAAUAAAUGGGCAAGCAACAGAAUCAAGGUCUGUUUCUGUACAAACUUCUGAAUAUUUGGCUUAUCUUGUAGAAUAUGCUGGAUAUUUUGGACAUCUCAUUAUCUAUAUAGUAUUCUCCUGGGCCCACUUAUUAAGUGGUUCAAUUGGAUUCAAUACCAUGUGAAUUAUAAUUAAAAUGUUUGUUUUGUACCAUGUUAGUUGUCACUGGAGCAUUGCUAAUGCUCCUUUACGCCCUAAAAUAUUUUCCCUUGUGGGUGGGAGUCAUGUUGCUGGACUGCUAGUGGCCUAGUAAAUAUCCCUGCACACAUGCUUGCAGCACACACACGCAGAUGUUUGUGCAUUUGUGCAUAUAUACAUGAAAGUGCACACACAUACACACAAAUGUUCUUUUGUUCUUUCAAAAUUUCCUUCUGAAUUUGGUCUUGAAUUGUAGGAGUUGCUGAUUUCAGUCGGCUCCUUGGUGCUCUCUGGUGGUAAAGCAGAAAUUACUGAAGUAUCAAAAUGUUCAGGCGAUGUGAGUUCUUAUAACAAUCAUGUGACAUUUCUUAUAACAAUCAUUUGACAUAUAAGGCCUCAUGCAUGUAUAGAUUUUUUGAGUUUCCUGGACUCUUGUUGCAUAGUGCAUAUGAAUAGGCACAUGUUUUGCGUCAGAGUAACCAUUUACCAGUAUGGCAUUUCUGUGGUUAUUUUGUAUCUUUGACAUCACCCACUGGAGUACUUUUUUCAACCCUUAAGUUCACAAAAGAUUUUAGGAAAAUAAAGAAGAUAAAAGUGGUGCAUGCAUAUUUAAUCCUUCUGAGAAAACCUGGAAAUUAUUCUUCCAUGCUGUUAACAUAUCAUUUUAAGGUUUGUUUGAUCGUGAGUUGAAGAAAUUAGAGUGGUCCAUCAAUUACAAAGGGGCGAGGAAGGAGAAAUCUCUGGUUAGAGAUGGUGGGGACAGAAUCUCGAACCUUAGAUGAAGAUAAAGAUCAUAUCUUGGAAUAUAAGAAGGGCCAAUGAUAGGGAUAAAAGGAAAGUUAUUAAGGCUUUGAUCAGGUCGCAAAGAGCGGAUUUGGUGUGUCUACAGGAGACCAAAAUUCAAGAUAUAUCCAGAGGGAUUGUUCACAGUCUUGGAGUGGGAAGAUUCUUAGGUUGGGGUGCUAUGAGUGCAAGGGGGGCAGCCGGUGGGGUAGUAGUGUUUUGGGAUAACAAGGUUUUGGAGUUAAUGGGCAUGGAGGUGGGCCUUUUCUCAGUUUCCUAUCGCUUUAAAAAUUGUGAAGAUGGCUUCUUGUGGACCUUCACGGGUAUAUAUGGACCCACUAUGAAACGGCAUAGAGAGUUGCUUUGGGAAGAGCUAGGAGCCAUUCGAGGGUUGUGGUCUGACCCUUGGUGUAUUGGCGGGGAUUUUAACGUGGUCAGAUUUCCUAGCGAGCGCAGUAGAGAAGGAAGACUGACUGGUUCUAUGAGAAGAUUUUCGGAGGUAAUUGAGGAGUUGGCUUUAAAAUAUUUGCCUCUCCAUGGGGGGUUAUUCACGUGGAGUGGAGGGCUGAAUGGUCUUUCAAGGUCCAGACUGGACCGUUUUCUGAUUUCGGAGGAUUGGGAGAAUCAUUUCAGUGGGGCGUCUCAGUGUUCUCUCCCAAGACCGGUAUCCGAUCACUUCCCAAUCCUAUUAGAUGGGGGUGGGACGAGGAGAGGUCCAAUUCCAUUUCGGUUCGAGAAUAUGUGGUUGAAGGAGGAGGGGUUUAAGGAGUUGUUGAAGGGCUGGUGGCAAGGAUUUAAUUAUAGUGGGUCCUAUGGUUUCAUCUUGACAGAAAAAUUGAAGGCCCUGAAAAUUAAGCUGAAGGAAUGGAACUCGGAAGUCUUUGGCAAAGUGGGGGUGAACAAAGGGCUGGCUCUGGAUAAAGUAUCCUACUGGGAUAAUCAAGAGCAACUUAGAGCUUUAAAUGAGCAGGAGCUAGAGGCGAGAAAGGAGGCUAGGGAGGAAUUUAAGAAAUGGGUUCUAAUGGAGGAGACUUCAUGGAGACAAAAAUCGAGAGAAAUUUGGCUGAAGGAAGGCGAUAAGAACACGGGAUUCUUCCACAAGAUGGCAAAUUCGAACAGAAGGAGGAACUGUUUGAAAAAAAUCAAAAUCAAUGGAACCUGGCUUUCAGAAGAGCAUGACAUUCAAAGGGGAGUGGUGAGGGCCUUUAAGGACCUUUUAUCAGAUCCUGGAGGAUGGCGUCCUUGCUGCAACAAUAUUGAGUUUGACAGCAUUGGGGAUGAAGAGGCAGCCAGGCUGGAGGUGAGUUUUUCUGGGGAUGAGGUGUUCUUGGCCCUUUCAGAUCUGAAUGGGGACAAGGCCCCUGGUCCGGACGGGUUUUCCCUUGCAUUUUGGCAAUUCUGUUGGGAUUUUGUCAAAGAUGAGGUCUUGGGUUUCUUCAAGGAGUUUUAUGAGAGGGGAAAAUUCGUUAGAAGCCUGAACACCACCUUCUUAGUUUUAAUUCCAAAGAAGUGUGGGGCCGAAGACUUGAGUGAUUUCAGACCCAUCAGUUUGGUGGGGGGUCUCUAUAAGCUGCUUGCUAAGGUCUUAUCCAAUAGAUUGAAAAAGGUGGUGGGAAAAGUGGUGUCCUCUUCCCAAAAUGCCUUUGUUGAAGGUAGGCAAAUUCUUGAUGCUGCAUUAGUUGCUAAUGAGGUCAUAGACUCCGUGCUGAAAAGAAAGGAAAGUGGGGUCUUGUGUAAAUUGGACUUAGAGAAGGCCUAUGAUCGGAUUAAUUGGGAUUUUCUGCUAUCAGUGAUGCAAAGAAUGGGUUUUGGGGAGAAAUGGAUUGGGUGGAUUAGAUGGUGCAUAUCCACUGCCUCGUUUUCGGUUUUGGUCAAUGGUUCUCCUACCGGUUUUUUCCGGAGCUCCAAGGGGUUAAGGCAAGGAGAUCCACUCUCUCCUUACCUUUUCGUCUUAGGAAUGGAGGCCUUAAGUAGUCUCAUCAACAGAGCAGUGAGAGGGGGCUUUCUUUCAGGCUGCAGGAUAGGGGGGAGGGAAGGUGUCGGGAUCCAAGUUACGCACCUGCUGUUUGCCGAUGAUACUUUGGUCUUCUGUGAUGACUCUCAAGAGCAAUUGGCUUUUCUAAGUUGGUUAUUAAUGUGGUUUGAAGCCACUUCCGGACUGCGCAUUAAUUUGAACAAAAAUGAGAUUUUGCCGGUGGGUUGUGUGGUGAAUGCUGAGUUACUGGCAGCUGAGCUGGGCUGCAAGGUGGGAUCUCUCCCUUCCACCUAUUUGGGGCUCCCUUUGGGAGCUUCGCAUAAGUCUGUGAAGGUUUGGGACGGAGUGGAAGAGCGGAUGAGGAAGAAACUUGCCUUGUGGAAGAGGCAAUUCAUUUCUAAGGGAGGAAGACUCACUCUCAUCCGGAGUACUUUGGCGAGUAUGCCAACUUACCUUAUGUCAUUAUUGCGCAUGCCAAGAGUGGUUAAAUUAAGACUUGAGAAAAUACAAAGGGUCUUUCUUUGGGGAGGGGGAGCAUUGGAGAAGAGGCCCCAUCUUGUUAAGUGGGUUGUUGUUUGUACUCACAAAAAGAUGGGUGGAUUGGGGAUUAGAAAUCUCUCCAUUCUUAAUAGAGCCCUCUUGUGCAAAUGGAGUUGGCAUUAUGCGGUUGAAAGAGACUCAUAUUGGAAGCUUAUUAUUAGUACGAAGUAUGGGGUUGAAAGAGGAGGGUGGAGCACGUGUGGGGCUAGGGAGGGCCAUGGGGUUGGGCUUUGGAAGGAAAUCAGCAAGGAAGGUUUGCUACUGCUCAAUAAUGUAUCUUUCUCGGUGGGGGAUGGUAAAAGGGUGAGGUUUUGGAAAGACAUUUGGUGCGGGAACACCCCCCUUUGUGAGGUUUUUCCCUCUUUGUUUGAUUUAGCGGGUUCUAAAGAUGCGUGGGUUGGACUAUUGGGAUCCAAUGGGGGAAGUGGGAGGGUGGACUCCACUUUUCCUUAGACCUUUCAACGAUUGGGAGGUGGAGGAGGUGGAGAGACUCCUAUCGUCCAUUCAAGGGAAGAGGUUGGAUGCUGAUGGGGAGGAUAGGAUGCUGUGGAGAGGGACGAAAAAUGAGAUUUUCACUGUAAAAUCUCUUUACAAGUCUCUUGAUCAUAGCUGUGCAGUCUCGUUUCCGGGUAAUAUUAUUUGGAGUCCGUAUGUUCCUUCAAAGGUGAGUCUUUUUGCUUGGGAAGCUUCUUGGGAGAAGGUCCUUACUCAAGAUCAACUUAAGAGGAGGGGCUGGAUUCUAGCCAAUAGAUGUUGCUUGUAUUGCGUUGAAGAGGAAACGAUAAAUCAUAUCCUUGUUCAUUGUUCUAAGACGAAGAUUUUGUGGGAUCUUUUGCUUUCUCUUUUUGGGGUCAAUUGGGUGUUGCCGUUUUCAGUGAGAGACACUCUAUCAAGUUGGCAUGUCUCUUUUAAGGACAAGAAUCAUAGAAAGGUUUGGCGGGCAGCUCCUCUCUGUUUAUUUUGGACAAUUUGGAAGGAAAGGAAUAGGAUAGUCUUCGAUAACGAGGCUUUGUCGACUCAAAGAUUGAAAAACUCAUUUGUUUGUAAUCUCUUAUCCUGGGCUAAUUCUUCUAUAAUUGUAGGCCCUUUAUCUUUGUUUAACUUUGUGGAUUGGUUGGGUUUUUGUUGAGGGCCGGUGAGUGCUUGUGUUUUUGUUGCUUGUUUUAGGUGUCUCUUGUAUACUCCCUGUAUGCUCUGGGUUGCCUUUCAAGCUCCCUUUCUCUAAUAUAUUUUUGUGCUUUUGCCUAUCAAAAAAAAAAACAUAUCAUUUUAAGGUUUGUUUAGGUUGUGUUGCAUCAUUGAACUUGGUGGUAGUUUCUUUGAAGGCUCCAUGCAGGAGUGGACACCACCUAUUAAUCAUGUCACUAUUCUAUCAUGUCUUGGAACAUCUUAUGUUCUGUUCUGGUUAUUAUCCACUUUUGAGGGUUCUGGUAUCUUUAUCUGGUGAGUUUUUCUGAGUUCUGAACAGGCAUACUUGGUAACUGUGCGAAACAAGAAACGUGUUGGCUACACUUAUGAGUUAACAUUGAAAUUCCAAGGCAAGUUGUUUUGGUCUAAAAUGGGAAGCCCUUUUAUUUUUUACCUUUUCUAGUCCUGUUCAUCUGAAUUGAUUGAAGUGGGAUGCUACUGUAAUUAGGGGAGUGGAUCAUCAGAGAGGAGAAAAAAAUGAUCAAGGGUCAUGUGGAUAUCCCUGAAUUCUCGUUUGGUGAGCUGGAUGAUUUGCAGGUAUGUCUUAUAUUCCCAUUUGAAUGCCUUUGAGAAUGAAAAAGGAAAAUGAUGAAUAAGCAACUGGGUAAAAAUUCUGGAUUUAACUAUCUAUACAUACACAUUUUUAGCUAUCAACAUAUGAUGCAUUGCAUGCCAAACAUACCUUUUGGACAACAAUUCAUAUUUACAUUUUAUAUUUUAUUUAUUUAUUUAUUUUUGAUAAGUAUAUUUUAUCACAAACAAACAAUUGAUUGAUAUAAAUUUUUGAAGUAUGAGUGAAGGAUGAGAAAUCCUUCCAAAAAUAUGAAGGAUGAUUUAAACCCAAAAAAGAAAAAAAAAAAAAAAAAAAAAAAGGAGGGGGAAUAUACUGAACAAGAUCUGCAAGAUAGCUAUACAAAUCAAAGAUGAAACAAGAACAUGAGCAAAGUAUCGAAACAGUGUACAACUCAAGGGGGUAAAAAUUCCUUCACAAAAGAAGCCAUUUGCUUGGCUUCAUUUUUUGCUAAUCAAUCUGCAAUAUGAUUAGCUAAAUUUGGGGACUAAGAAAGUUCUGAACAUUGUGCCAUGGUGAUCUCUAAUUACAACCUCAAUUGAAGUUUAACUUAGUCAUGCCCAUUGGAGGCACUGUCCCUACUAAAAGCAACUCAUUAUCUAUACUCUUUGGCCCACAAACAUUGUUCCAAUCUGAGUUUUAAAAUGGUCAAAGAAGUAACUUACAAUAGUUUUAGGAAUAAAAGCCUAGGUCAAGGAACAGAAGUGUAUCAAAUCCUAAAUAAACUCCAUUCAUCCUUAAACAAUCCUUACAUCUGUUUCCCUCCUAUUAUCCAUAACAAAGUGACCCAAUGAACAUGCCAAAUCAUCUCUCAGCACCCUAAAAUCCCCUAAAAGAAAAAUAAUAAUCAUAAUCAUAAUCAUCAUAUUUAGUGAUGACUAUGGGGCCAGUAUUUUUGUGCACUUGCCUCGCCCCAUCCUUAAUAAGAUUGGUUUAGGAGAGCUAUAAAUGGUUAUAUAUAUAUAUAUAUAUAUAUAUUUUGAAAAUUGCCUUGCACCACCCCACCUUCAUAUAAUUUAAUUUUUUUUCAUUUUUCUAUAAAUUUACUUCUCAUGAAAAUAAAAUAUAAAGAUUUGUGAAAAUUUAUUUAUUGAAAUAUUGUAUUUAUUUGAAUAUAACUAAAACUUUUUAAAAAAUAACAAAAAGAAUUUUAAAUGAAGUGGGGCAAGGUAGGUACAGUAAAACUUCGAUAAAUUAAUAAACUUGUUUGAAUAAUAAAAUCUUUUAAUCUCAACUUGAGUUAGUGUAUUAAAUUAGUAAUUUAGCUAUAUGCAUAAAAUAACACUUUUUUUAGGUAUGCUUAAGGGCCCAAGGAAAUAUAAAUUGAUGAUUGAUGAUCGAUGAAGUACAUAAAAAAAUAGUAAACAAAAAUUCAUAAUACAGUAUUAAGUAACUUUUUACAACUAUUUUCUUAAUUCAAUUUCAUGUACAAGUAUUGUAAUAGAAACAUAAUAUUUUCUCUAAAUUAAUAAAUACUCAUUUAUCAAAAAAUUAAUAAAUAAUUCAUUUAUUGAUAAAUUAAUAACCUUGUUAAGAUAAUGUCUUUUGGUCCUAAGAAUCUUAUUUAACUAAGGUUUACAAUAUGUGAAAUUUCUUUACCCCCCUUGCCUUGCCCUAAUAAGAGCUUGAGACAAAACCCAACUCAAAUCCGUCCUAUUGAUGCCCCUAAUAAUCUUUGUCACGCUCUAGAGGAGACCCUAUCUAUUUUAAACAAGGCUAAUUGGUUUAUGCCAAAAACUCAAAGUCAUUGGGCAAUGUAAAAAAAGAUGAUCAAUCAAUUUUCUAUUCCUUAGAAUUAGUAACAUAACAUUUGGGUUGAGAACUUUGAAGGGCCUCCUCAUCUACAAUACAUCAGUGGUGUUGACUUUCUUAUUAGACACCAACCAUGUAAAAAUCUUAAACUUAGAUGAGGCUUUAGAUUCCUAAAUGAAAUUAGCAUGGGAAAGAGGUUUAAGUGUCAAGGAUUAAAAAGUGCUAAGAAGAAAGACUCUACAGAAAUUAAGUUUGAUGAAGUUAAUGAUAACUCUCACAUUCAUGGAGAUAAACUCACGAGGGUAAGAGAUGCCAUGAGAAGAUUGAGCUCUUUAGAUUUUGGAUCAGUGAGGUUGUAACAAUAAUUAAAGUUCCAAGCCAAAGGGGAAGAAGAAAAUCUAGAAUAGAUGAAAUUGAGGAGCCUCUAACUCUUAAAACUCUGAAGAAAUUCGGAGAUUGAGUGCAAAGUGGUUGAACUCUGUACCUAAAUCUUCCCAAAAAUGAAGCUUUGCACUAUCACCAAUAGGAAAAAAAAAACUAUAACUAGAAAAAUCAUAAAAAUAUUGUAAAUUGGAUUUCCAAGGGCAACAAUGGGACCAUCUAACUGCAUUAAUGACAUCUCAACCAUUAGAAUGUGACUCAUAAGGCUCAAGCUAACCAUAUACCAUAAAACAUGAAUGUCCCUUGAGAACCUUCAUAGGCACUUUCUUAAGAGGACUUUGUUUCUAAAAGAGAUCUUUCCCAAACCCAACCCCACUUCAUCCUAGCUCACACACUCAGUCCCAACUUAUGAAGGGGUCUCUUCUUCCUUCUCUAACACCCCACCAAAGAAAAUCCCUAUGUGAUAUAUUAAUUCUAUAUGCUAUUUUGGAAGGGAUCUUAAACAUUAAAAGGACGAAAAUGGGUAUUUGGAAAAAAUAAGGCUACACCAAGGUUAUUCCAAGGCCUUAGAAGAAGGCUUUCUUCCCUUCUGUGACAUGCCCAAAUAACUGACUCAUUCUUUGCCUUGUAAUGAGAGGACAUGAUCAGGGGUAUUUAUCGGUAUCCUCUUUUUUGUCUUCCUAAGGUUUGUAUUUCAAUACAGUUGGUAUUUUAUUACUCAUGAACAAUUUAAUGUAGCCAGAUGUUAACCCUAAUAUACCUAUGAACAACCUGAGUUUGCCCUCAAGUUAAUCACACCUGAACCACCUUUAGUCACACCAUCAUUUUCAUUGCAAACAAAAUAAUGGCUCGUCCACCUCAAUUUCCAUUUGGCUAGCAAUGGAACUAGUUAAAGCUGAUAAAAAAUUAAUUGUGAAUCUAUAUUUAUCAUGUACCUUGUAGAUUGAAGUGAGACUCGGUGAAGAGAAGGACCUUUUGCAUCAAGAUAAGCUGCAAAUUAGCCAGGAUUUGAAGCAGUUUUUGCAGCCAGUCCGUGAAAAGUUGCUUCAAUUUGAAGAGGAGCUCAAAGACAGGUAGAAGGGGACCUGUCUGGCCUCGUCUCUAUUGAAGCUUUGUGACAGUUAAAUUAAUUGUAGGUUACAAUUUAUGAGACUAUUUAGGAUACAAAGUUUUUCUUGCUGCCACUAGUAGGAUUUGGCAUAAACUUUAUUGGUUGCAUCCUGCAUUUGAUAAGGGAAUCGACAGGGUCUUACACAUUGUUGUAGUUCUAUAUGAUGAAGAUAUUGGUGGCAGUUUUGUAAACUUUGUUGUAUGUGUCAGAAGAUGGAAUUGAGCAACUGGCUUGCUGUUUCUUUUAAUUUAGUAUUUUCUGCUGGCUGUACAUGCCAACAUUGAAACACAGAUUAGAGAGCCCCUAUCUUUGGCUGCCGGAUUAUGCAAUAUCCUAAGUCCUAGCCUAGGGUGGAAAUGACAAGUAUAUUUUCCUGUUUGUUUGGCAACAAGCUGGGAUAGUGAAAUUUUUAAUUAAUUUCUGGAUUUUCAAUUUGAGGAAAAGAUUUAUAUUCUAAUUUUUAUUUUUAAAAUUAAUUGAAAUUAUUAAUUGUACUAAAUAUUUAAACGUUUAAAUUAGUUUUUGGAGUUCCAAUUGAAAAAAACUUUAUUGGAAUGGAUGAUAUAGCUCGCCUAUUUAGGUUUUGUUGUAUUGUAAGAGUGGUAAAUUUAUUUCUUAUAAAAAAUUUAUGAAUUUAAUGUUAUUAUUUUUAUUUUUGAAUAAAGAAUUUAUAGAAUUUAAUUUGCUUUAAAAUUAGAUGAGCUAUGAGAUGAAAAUUGGGAGUGUAUGUGGGUGAGGGUGGGAACUAUUUUUUAAAAUAGUUUUUUGUUCUCUAAAAUAAAAAAAUACAAAAAACAUAUUUGGUAAUUAAACUAUUUUUUGUUUUUUGUUAUUAAGAAAAGAAAAUAGUGUGUUUUUAAAUAAUAUUUUUAGUUGUUUUCAUCUAUUUUAUGAGAGUUGUUUUAAAAAGUAAAAUGUUAGAUAUAAAAAUUAUUUUUAAAACAUUAAAAACAAGCUAAAAAGAUUUUAGGUUUUGGAACAAAUUUUUUGUAGAAAUAGUUUUUAAAAAUUAUUUUUUAGAAUUAUUUUUUUAAAACAGCUACCAAACGCUUAAAUUUAAGUUUUGGUUUUAAAACUUUUUAGAUUUAUUUUAUAUUUAUGUCUUAAAUUUUAUUUUUGAGUAAAAUUUAAUGAAAUUUUUUUGAAUUUAAAAGGUAUAUUUAAUCUUUAUUUUGUGUAUUUGAUGAUGUUUUUUUAAAACAAUUAUUAAAAAUAUAUUUUAGAAUUUUUUUAACUCUUUAAAUAAAUAAAAUUUUAUUUGGAAAUUCAAAUAUGAAAAACAAUUUUUUUUUCCUUAUAUAUAGAAAAGGUUCAUAAAAAUAUUUUUCAUAUGUAAAAAAAUAAUUAAAAAUAUUUCAAAUUUGUUUAACAUACAAGAAUAAUUUAUUAAAAAAAUCUGAGAAUUCUCAAAAAAGUAUUCUUUUUGUUUUCUUUUAUGAUGUGGAGAUGUCCGCGCUUGUUUGAAAUGGGCGUGUCUCCGAGGACGUCGUCCCAUCUAUUUCAUUGGCCACCUUUAAAUGCCAACUUUGACUGUAGCUUUCUUUCCUGGAAGGAACACAUCUGCUUGACUCAUUCUCCCUCUCUUAAACAAAUUCAUUUACAGACAGGGCCUUAAUUCAUUAUAUUCCAAAUGAAGGUGCCAAAAUCGUGCUUUAGAUGAGGAACAUAAGGUGAAAAAUUGUACCCUGCCUGUCAAGAAACCUGCAGGUGGGGAAUCAAUUCCAGAGUCUCAGGAUUCUGUCCUUCUCCACUUGAAUGCUUCCCCAAAAGGAAAACAGACAAACUUGAAACAAGGUAAAAAGGAAAAGAAAAGAAAAGAAAAUACUUCACCAUAUAUUUACAUGCACCUUCCUUCCACUCUUCUCACACUUCAUGGCCUCUCUUCCAUCUCUCGUUGGAUUUCUCCUUUUGGGUGCCUUGCUUGUGUCCUCAACAGCUCAGAAUAUGACCCCGGGCAUGGAAGCUGGAGAGUUUUUGGGGUUGUCUGAAGUGAUGGGUGCUCUUCUGGACAACCCCAACUGGACCCAAAUGCAUCCGCAUCCAUGCACCCACACCCCAUGGCCUGGUAUUCGGUGUGACGUUAUUCAUCAUGGACAUGAUAGCCUACCGAUUCUCCAUGUUACCAAGCUCCAUAUUGGCCCAGAUGUGGCCAACCCACCAGUUUGCAAAACCACUGCGUAUUUGUCUGCUUCAUUGCUCAAGUUGCCUCACCAUAAUUCUCUCUCUAUCGUAGGCUGUUUCCGUAUGUCGAGGGUCUUCCUUCCUGCACCCAUCUUUGGUUCCUUCUCUUCCUUAGAACAACUUGUCGUCAAAUCCAAUCCUGGCUUAUACGGAGAAAUCCCUCUCACUUUGGCAGACACUACUACCCUAAGAGUUCUCAGCCUGUCACAGAACAGCCUGCAUGGACAAGUCCCCAAAGGGCUUGGUAGGUUGAGAAAGCUGGAGCAGUUGGACUUGAGCUACAACAAUCUAACCGGUAAGAUCCCUCAAGAGAUUGGUGGGCUCAAGAGUUUGACAAUCCUUGACAUGAGCUACAAUGGUCUUCAAGGGCGCUUGCCUUAUUCUCUAGGGCAGCUUCAGACCCUACAGAAAAUAGACUUGAGCCAUAACAGGCUUGUUGGAAGAAUACCUAGUGUUAUUGGGAGGUUGAAGCAAUUGGUUUUUUUGGAUUUGAGCCACAAUAACCUGACGGGGCCAAUACCUGACACCCUCUCUGGCUUGAAGCGUUUAGAGUACUUGUUGGUGGAAAACAACCCUCUAAACACCAAACUGCCUUGGUUUAUGGGGACACUUGUCAAUCUGACUGUUCUGAGUCUCUCCACGUGUGGACUCGUGGGAACAAUACCACCAUCUUUUUGUUGGUUGGAUCAGCUCAUUGUUCUUUAUCUGGACAGAAACAAUCUCCAUGGAACGGUUCCUCCAAAAUUAGGGGCGCUUCCUAACCUUUGUCAGCUAAAUUUGAGUCAAAAUCAGCUGAGUGGUGAGUUGUACUUUUCAUCUGAAUUCGUCCAACGACUCGGCAAAAAAUUAGAUGCGAGUGGUAACGAUGGGUUGUGCACAGGCCACCAGUUCAAUGAACAAGUUUCCCAGUAUUUAGGCAUUCCUCCUUGUGCGGAUCAAACUGCCAAAUCCAGUAACACUUCUGACCAUGAAAAUUCAAACCCAUACUGGACUGACGCCUCAAAUGCAAUUAUUAAGGAACCAAUGCUUCUUUAUCUUAUAUGCUGUAAUCUAAUUGGGUUUCUUUGAAAUUUUAGCCUAAGCUAUGAUAUCUUCGCCAUCUUCUCAUAACCAAAUUAGUUCUGAUCCAUGGCUUAGAAUUUCAACUUGCCCAGUUUGUAUAACACAGUGCUUUCUAAUGUUGUUCUGUCACUUGAUAUUUAAGGUAAUUAAGACCAUUAUCUUUGUAUUUCAAUGCUUGUGCCAAGCAUCAUCCACCUUCGAAAUUUUAACUCAAACAAAUUCACAGCACAUCAGAAAUGAUGAUAUGGCUCCUGUCUUAAUUUUAUACACAAGUUAUAUGUUAAGAGUUUGGUGACCCAAAUUCUACUUAGUCUGAUUCGAAAAGCUCACGGUGUGACCUAUAUGGUAAAGUUAUAAAGGUUUGCGGCUUGAUCCCCUAGCCCGGUUUGUUAAUUACUCACACACACACACACACACACACACAUAUAUAUAUAUAUAUAUAUAUAUAUAUAUAUAUAUAUAUAUAUAUAUAUAUAUAUACAUCUCCUCUCAUGUGAUUACGAUGAUCAUAGCGGCUCGCAACUUCUCUCUCUUGUACCAAUCUUUUGAUAUAGCAGAUUUCCUUCUCCUCUACUCGUGGUUUUUACCAUUUAGGAUUUUUCAUGUAAAUCUCUGUAUUUUUAUUUUACAUUUUUAUCACCUAUUCUCGUUUUUGAGGAGAUCGUAUGGAGACUAAGGACUCGUUCUAUUUCAUUUAUUCCAUCACAAUUAAAUUUUCACCUGAAUUUGGUUGGAUUUAUUCUCAAAAGGAAUUUUAUUAAUGAUGCAUGCUUAGGAAUAAGAAAUGGAAAGGAAAAGCUUUCUUUUCAUGGAAGUAUUGUAGUUUAAAGUGGUAACAUAUAUUUAGUUGUACAUUUAGGAAGCACUUGUGGAUGUGUUCAAUCAAUAGCACCCAAGUUACUAAACUAAAUUACUUAACUAUUUUAAUCUCCUUAUGAAUUAUUUAUAACCCAAACGAUCUCAAUCAAAAUAGAAAUGGUUAAUUAGCUUUCUAGCAACCUUUUCCAUAAUUCCAAAAGGAUGAGGUUUGCCCUAGUCCUACUAGGUCUAUGAAAUAUACUUCAUUCCUCCCAUUAGAAGUAAUAGAAAAUGGGUAUUUGAUGGCAAUUUCUAAUGGGCUGGGCUUUACUCAGUCCAAUGGCUAGUUAGGCUACAUCUUAAAAUAAUAAGGUGUGGGGGCCUACCCAAGGCCUGGUUAUUUAGGCUCCAUCAAACAAAUAAGUUUUCAUGAGUUGGGUUUGUCAUUUAGGCUCAGGCCACCUAGUUACAUUAAAUAGGGACUAGGCCCAAUUGAGGUCCUUAUUAGAGUCUAAUUUUAUGAUCUUUCAUAAACCGAGCACUACCAAUUGGAAAUAUUGGAAACCAAGAUAGAAACGACCAUCAGAAUCCCACUAACUGGGUUAAGUACUACAGGAUUGUAUAAAUAAUAAGGGUGCACAUAUAUCUUAGGGUAAUGUUUUCGGUCAUUUCAUUAUUUAAGAAGGUAUUUCCUUUCUCCGUUUUAGCAAAAAUAUUUUAUUUCACCUUGAAAAGUCAUUGCAAAGCUUGAAAUAAUGCAAACUUCUCUGCAAUUUCCAUUAUCAUUUAUUGGAAAUGAAUUCAAAUCAUUUAAAAUAAGUGAAAUAAGUUUAAAGUAGUAUAUAAAAAUAAUUUAUUAAUUUUAAAUCUAUUUUUAUUUUACUUCAUUUUUUCUUUCCUUAUAAUUUUCUUCAUUAUUUUCUUUUCCUCAUGUUUUGUGCGAACCAACAUAGCUUAAGGUUAUGUUUGCUUCUUGAAAAGUAUUAAGAACAAAAUUAAAGAAAAUGAUUUUAUCAUAUUUGGUUGUAUUGUAGAAAAUAUAAAAUAAAAGAAAAUAUAAUAAAAAAAAUGAUUAGAAACUUAUGCAUUUUCAAAUCUGUCAUCUUUAUAUCGAAGAAUUAAAAUAAUUGAAACAAGUUCAAAGUAACAUAUAAAAAUAAUUUAUUCACUUUAAUUAAUUUUAUAUUUUUCUUCAUUUUUUUCUUUUCUUUUAAUUUUCCUCUCUACUUUCUUCUCCUUUCAUUUUCCCUCUAAUUUUUUUGGGAACCAAACAUAGCAUAAAAGUAUCAUACACCUUUCAUUUUCCCUCAAAUUUUUUUGAGAACCAAACAUAGCAUAAAAGUUUUUUUUUUUUUUUCUUUUUUUUUGUGUGUGUGUGUAUGUGUUGUAAGACAAUUUUACAAUACUUAUGAAACUAUAUUAAUAUUAUACAUGUAAGUAUUUAUUGAUAAUCAAGUUAAUUAAUUCAUAGAAAAAAAAGUUUUCAAUUACUUAUGAAAAUAUUAGUUAUAUCAAACAUCUUGUGCAUGCUUGAUGCAUUUUAUUAAAACUUAAAAAUUGAAAGGAUGACUUAGACUACUUUAUAUCAAAUUUAAUGAUAUUACAAAAGAAAAGUAACUAAUGAGAAGAAAUUGUUGGUUAAUCUUACCUUUAAUUUAAUAACAAAAGAUCAUAAGUUUUUUUACCAAGUUAAUAAAGUACCUUGCACUAGUUGAAAGCUUUCCAAACUAUUGUGGCUUAGAUCUAGCACUUUCAACUUUCUCAAACUAGCUAAUUCUACAUCAAAUAUGAAUAAAAAAAGAGAUGAAAUUGUUGGCUAAUAUUAUUAAUUUAAUAACAAAAUAUCAUAAGUUUUUUUAGCAAGUCAAUGAAGUACCUUGCACUAGUUGAAAGCUUUCCAAAUCAUUAUAGCUUAGAUCCAACACUUUCAAAUUUCUCAAACUAGCUAAUUCUGCAACAAACAUGAAUCAAAAGAGAGAUUAACUAAGGAACAUUAAAAGUUAGAAAUAUACUAUACUUAAUUUUGAAGAAACAAUGUAGACAUAUAACAUGCCUUGAAUGGGAAAAGAUCCAUCCCAUCCCAUGCUACAAAGAGCCAAUGUCUUGAGUGAUGAUAUUGCACCCAAUGAUUUUAAGUCACUUUUGUCAAACUCAUUACCACUUAUGUCCAAGAUCUCCAAUUUCUUUAAACUUGAUAACCCUUUAAAUCCUGUAAAAUAUAGUAAUAUAAUUUUAAUUAGAAGCAUGUAAUUACAAGUUGAGAUCUUCAUACUUAAAUCUAUAAGCUUACAUGUCUUUAAUAUAAGAAUAUGUAUCCAAAUUUCUAAUUCAAAUUUGUGAUUUUUGUGUUUAAAUGUUAGAAAUAAAAAAAAGUCCAUAGAGCUUCAAAGAGCUUUUGUGAUCUUUGUGAAUUUAAACAUGAAAAUUUUCAUGUUUUGUGCCCCUAUAAUCUGAAUCCUAACUAAAUAAAGGAAAUUAUGUUUUGAAUUAAAGUUUUUAUAUUCGUUUUAACAUUGUAUGUAGAAUCCAUCUAAUAGGUUUAAUUAAUUAAAUUAUGUCCCUGACAAUGGGUUAUGGAUGGGUGGAAUUUGGAAAUGUGUAGAUGGUCAUGGGUUGGGCUUUACCUUGUUCAUUGUUAAACCAACCUGACAUCAGCUUAAAACAAUAAGGCCUGGGCCCUACCUAAGGCUACGUUAUUUUUUUUUAAUGUUUUUUCUUUUUUUUUUGGUAAAUGUGAAAUUCUAAAGAUGGUGAUUCCUCAUUUGAAAGCAAUAGUCAAAUUUUGUGAUCACCUUUCUUUAACUAAUCUCUUUGGAAUAUAAUAAUCAAGCUUUUUUAGGAAUGGAAGAUAAUGAAAGACAAUUUAGCAAAAGGAAUAAGGAUAUGGGAGCCUAAGUGUUCCAAUUAAUUAAUAAUUGUGAAAUUGCUCACUCUUAGUUGAAUCCCACUUAUUGGGUUGAGUGUGAGAUGAUGACAUAAAUAACAAGUAUGCUUAUAUAUAUAAGGCUAAUGUAAUCUACAAUAUUCUAAAAUAAUAAUUUUUUAUUGUUCUAUUUAAAUUUUAAUUUACAUUAUAAAUUUUAAUAAUUAGUAAUUGCUCUUAUAUUAAAUUCAAUAGUUACUAGUGACCAUUUGGUCUCCACCUGAACACUUUUGAGAACAUAUGCUAGUAGUUCCUUUAGAAUGUUUGGAGUAUAAGUGAAAAGAAAUUUUAAAGGUGAGAGGUAACAUACCUUCAUUCUCAAGAAACCCAUCAAAUGAGUUUGCAGACAAAUUUAGAUGGUGAAGUUCUUCAAAAUGCAGGAAUAGGGAGACAUUUAGUAACCAAAAUUUGACAUUUUCAUAAUAGUACCAAUCGAAUUCCAAUAAAUUUUGUUGUUGCCUUAUAUCAUUGAGGAAAAGCUUUUUAACUCGACCUGUGGUAGGAUUGCAAAUAACCCGCUCCCAAUUACAACAUUCACUAGUGUUGUUAUCUAUCCAUGAAGGGAGAAGAAAAUUUGCAUGCUCAUCAUUCAAUUUAAGAAAAGCCUUGAAUUCAAGCAAACCCAUCUUCUCUUCUUCGAUGCAACCUUUGCAUCCACAUAUUUGAACCAAGAGUAGUAUAAAAACCCACAUCAAAUAUUUAGAUGACAAACUCUCCAUUGAAAGUUCAAACAUGAGGUACAUAAGAAAGACACUACUAAAUUGCUCUUGAUAUGCAAAUAGAUGAAGAGUAUUUAAUUUAGUUGGUUUAUCGUUCUUGCCUACAAAUUGUCUUCACUAGUAGUUUGAUAGGGCCCACCAUGCAUGCUAAAGUCUAUAUUCUAUUCAAAAAGGCUAUUCAUUAGGAAAUAAAUUGCGAUCGAUACAAAUUAUAGGGGAGAUUUGGUCUCACUUUAAUAUAUGACACAUGUUUAAAGGAUGAAAUCUUUCAAACUAAAAUUUUCUUGUGAGAUUCAAUGAAGUCGUGAUGUUCAUGUUAAUAUCAAAUCUAAGAGUCUUCAUUUACCAAUUUAACGGUAACAAAAUUAAACUAACUUAAUUCAAUUGUUUAAUUUGUUGAUUUUAUUUCUAUUUCUUUUACAAAAUAAAAAUAUUGAAGUGAAAAAUAAACAAUAAAAAAAAUUUAAUGGAUGUAAAAAUGUAUUUAAAUAGAAAAAAUAAAUAAAUUAAUUUCAUAUCAAAUACUUUCUUGAUUUUGAAUGUCUUUUUAAGUAUGUUAACUUCUUUUAAUAUUAAAAUAUUUUACAAAUAUCAAUUAUUAAUUCAAAUAAAAUACUAAAUUAAAUAAAAAAAAACUAAAUUUUUUUCAACUGCAUAUAUUUUAUAAUUGUCUUUUAACAAAUAAGUUCUUAUUUAUUGAAAUGAUAAUUUAGUAAAAAAAAACUCAAUUAAUAAUUUUGCAUCUAUAACAAUAUAUUGUACAAAACUUUAGCAUAUAAUAAAUAAAUUAUUUAUAUUUUGUAGUAAACAAAAAAAAAACAAAAACAAAAACUUCUCCAAAUAUUGUCAUCUAAGACCUCAUACAAUAUGGUGAGACUAUACUUUCAAGUGAAGACUAUAUAUAUUAAAUUAAUAAUAUUUUUUAAAAAAGUUCUUAACUUUGGCUAUAUUUCCAAUAUCUUAGCGGCCUUUAAGAAAAUGAUUAACUUCCAACACCACAAUUAUCAUUUUUACGGGAAAAAACGAAAAGAGAAACAUACAAGUAAGCAAGACAGAUAGCAAUUAGCAGGCACUGAAAAAUUGUCUGAAGCUUCAACCUUCUAAUAAACUACGGAUAUGUUGUUUGUGUGGUUCAAGGCUAACUCUGGCUGUGGCUCAUGUAUUGGUUGUAAAAGACAGAUACCAUGUCCCCAAUUGCCACGUGGCAACAAAGCCUUGGGGUCCUUGUUAUGAUGCAAACUAUGUUGUUGGACAAAUCUGCAGCCUUGUUUCAAUCCACCAACCCAACAUUUUCUUUUAUUCUAUUCAUCCUCAUAUGGAGAGAGACAUAAAGACGCGUAACGGGCUUUCUCUUAGUUUGAUUUAUGGCUAAUUUUACUGUUUAUGAUGAAUGAGAAGAAGGAAAAGAGGGCUGUUGAAUGGUGCAGAUAAAGACGGGAAGCACAAGAAUGUUGUUGAAGCCCUUCAAGGUCAUCUCACUUCUCUCUCUUCUAUUCUUUCACUUGUGGUUUUGCUUAUUGUGGAUUUGUAAAUUGAGAUUAUCCAGUGUUUGCGUUUUUGUUUAACAUGUUGACUUUGGAAUCUAACAGCUUAAUCUUUCAAUUUUGACAGUGUUGACGAGAAUUGAGCUGUCACCUGAGCACCAUGAAUCUCCAUACUAUCAUGUCCUUGAACCAAAUGGAUAAUCUGAAGAAAGUGAUGCAAACCCAUUACUCUGUUCCCUCCCGGGUACCUAAUUUCUUGGGUGCUGAAUCAGUUGGUGAAUACUCAUUGUAUGGAAAAGAGUCACCUGCAGGUAUUCCUCCAUGUAUACAAAGAGAACAAGUCCUCAAUUCCCUUGCACAACUGAGUCUGUUUAAACACCAUAUUUUGAAUACAAGCCCUGUGUCCCACAAACCUUUCCCUAUGGGAUCUUAUGUCAUGAAUCCACAUGCCAUGUCUACUCAGUCUUCUAUGUUCCCUGCCGCUUUAUAUUCUCCAUCUUCGACCAGCUUUGAGACCCAUCAGCACCUUGGAAAUCCACACUUUCUUCCACAAUAUCCCCCGUGCGUUUCUCCUGCUAAUUCAUCAGAAUCUCCCCUGCUUUUGGGUGACGAUGUAGCUGAUAAAUAUGACAAAGAGAAUUCAGGGGACUUGAUGAAGGACUUCUUUGGCAUCCCGGAGGAAAGUUCUGAUCAAAGCUUGCAAGGUUUGGAUGCUGAGAAGGACAGUUUGACAUUAAUGGACCUGUUGGAUCUGCGAUAUUUGUCUGAAGAGCUAGACAUACCUGUAAGCAAGAAAGGGGAAAAUCCCAGUGUUGAUGUGAGUACUAUUUUCCUGAUUUUGAUUUGUUCUUUAAUAGGUAUUGUCAUUGUAAAGGACCUCCCAGGUAUCUCAUUCUCUGCUUGCUUGGACAAAAUUUACAUGUUCAACAAAUCUAUAUACGCAGUUGAGUUUUAGAUGGCAUGUGUUGAUUGUUAUCAUGUCAUGCAUCCAAAUAUGAAUAUACCAAAUUGGACAUUUCAUCGGAUGUUAAUUGGUGUUCAUUUGGUGUAGGAAAUAUGCCAAGCACCAAACGUUUCAUCAAUCCCUCCCCAAAGCCACCCACACGCUUUGGUCCCGCCUAUGGAUAAUCAAGUUCCCGAGGCUGCAGCUGCCCAGAAGCAAAGAAUAAGGUGGACACCCGAGCUCCAUGAGCUUUUCUUAGAUGCAGUCAGCAAACUUGGUGGCCCUGACAGUGAGUCCAUCACCUUUGAAUCUUUUGUGAAAUCCAUCUUUUCCAAGGCUAACAAUCUUGUGUGAAAUUCAGAGGCAACUCCAAAGGGUAUAUUGAGGCUUAUGAAUGUUGAAGGUUUAAACAUCUGCCAUGUGAAGAGCCACUUGCAGGUAAUUUUUAUUCUCAAAAAUAUGGAUUAGAUCUUUGAGCGAGCUACAUCUCUGUUUCAACUUACAAUGUUAUAUGGACCUAUAAAUUUGCAGAAAUACCGACUAGCCAAGGCUGUGCAGAUGAAACAAGGUAAAAGAUAUAAUAAUACUAGAUGAAGGAAGCUCAUCAAUAGCAUAGCAGUAAUAUCUUACCUUAGUUACUAUAUUUUUGCAGCAGCCUGAUUCCUUACCUAUCCUAGUAGGUUUAAGACAAAACACAUGAAAAGUUCGAUAAGUAGGUUGUAAUGAAAUUCAACCAUUUCAAACCCCUGUUAGCUUCUGAAUUUAGAGUUCGUUUGAUACUAAUUUUAGAAAAUAUUUCUAGACUUUCUAAUAUUUGAAUAAUAAAAAUUUUGAAGUAUGAGAAAUAUUAAAAACGUUUCCUAAAAUCACAGUCAAAUGAGCUCUUAAUCUACAUACUCAACAAAAAUAAUUCAAGGCAUGCACAAAACUCGAGAUAUAGGUAGAACAUCUCCCCUACAAAAAUUACAUUUCUUUUGGGGUAAAAAUUAGAGGCUUAGGCUACUUCCCAUCAAUCCAUCCAUCCUUUCAUCCAUACACACACUCCAAUUCCACAAUGAUCCCCCAAACUACAUAAUCUUAUUACUCACUAUCUUAUUGAUGAAUUAGAUACAAAUUAUUAAAAUUUAUUAAAGAUAUUUUGAAAUUAUUUUUGAUUGUUUGGAUAGAAUGUGAAGUAUGAUUUUAAUUUAAGAGAGCUUUUGCAUGGUAUUGUUAUUUUUAUGAUCAUCCUUAUCACUUAACAAAUAAAAAUUUGACUUAAAAUUAAUAUAAUAUUUCAAAAUAGUGAAUAAGUUUGGAGUAUGAUUUGAGCCUCAGUGUAAAUUAAUUUUAACAAUUAGGGGGAAAAAACUUGUUAUAAGAUGGGUGAAUUAAGUUAACUUUAAGUUGUUGAUUCAAAACUUAUCAUUUAAUUUUUAUUUAAGUAUUAAAGUUGUUUUGUAAAAUUAACUUAAAAUUUAUUCUAAAUCAUCAAAUUUACCUAUCUACCCUCAUAUUUAAAAUAUUAUGGAUGCAUAAUAUAACCACAAAAAUAUUUAUUAUGAAAGAUAAGUUGUGAAUAUAAAAUUAUGGUUGUAAAAUAUAUUCUCAUUUAACAUGAAUAGAUGAAAUAAAAAUAAAUAUUUGAAAUUAAAAAUAAAUAAAUUAUUUUAAUUUUGAUUUAUCAAACCAUCUGUGGCUAAUUAGGACUGCAACUUGGGUAGAUUGGUUAGGUUGAUGGUUAACCUAUGCCCAACCCAAAUUAAGAAACAAUUAAUUUAAGUUCAACCCAACCUGGUCUCUAAUCUUAGAUAUUCAACCCAAGCUAAACCCAAUCUCAUUUUUCUAAACUUAGUUUGAUUGAGUUAAACUCGGAUUGGUUAGGUUAAACUUGCAUUUGUGAGGUUAAUUAGGUUACAUGAUUCAAAAUCUAUUAAUAGUGAGUUUAUAUAUAUAUAUAUAGUACCAAAAUUUAAAUAAUAAAUAAGAAAAAAUUUCAAGAUAAUAAUCAAAGUAAAAAACAAACUUAUAUAUUUUUUUAAAAUAAAAAAUAAAAAAAGUAUAUGAUAUAAUUAUAAUUUUAUAUUUUUUUUCUCUAAAAUCUAAAAAGAAGAUGAAUAUAUCAUAUAUGGUAUAAACAGUAGCCUCAAGUUAUUCGAAUCUUAGUUAAGUCCAAUCCAAAUUAAGUUUGGGUUGAGAAAACUUAACUCAAAGUCAACCUAAAUAUUCAAAACAAUUUGUCUAAGUCCAUCCAAAUAUGGUAUUGGGUCGGGCUAACUACUCCAAGUGGGUUGGGCUAAUUACUCCAAGUUGCAGGCCUAUGGCACAUUCGAAGUAUUAGUUAUCAAAGAGGGUCCUGAGGGGCUCUUUUAUGAUUUGGUGGAGCUCUCUCUUUUACAAUCUUGACCAUGCAAUUAUCAUUAUAUCUGGCUGCUGCUUUUAAUGAUUGCGAGGGUGGACACGAUUGAGUAUUUAUAAAUUACAAUGUUGUCACUUUUCAAAGACAAGAAGGCUUCCAGCUCUGAAGAAAGGAAGGUAGCUACAAAGACUGAUGAGAGGGAGACGCCUAUAGAAAGGUAAACCCGGAGCAUAAUUGGCGUCUACUCCUUUAAAAUGCUUACUUCAUGCUAAUGAUAGUUGGAUGGCAGGGCAAUGCAUGUCACAGAAGCUUUGCGCGUACAAGUCGAAGUUCAGAAAACACUUCAUGAACAGCUCAAGGUUUAUUUCUUCACAUUGCUUCGAUCCAUGGCUUGUUGAUUGGUUAGGCUUAUUUUUCAUUUCUACUGUACUUUUAUUUUGGCUUCUGCAGCUUCAAAAGGUCAUCCAGCUCAAUUUGGAGCAAAACGGAGAGUACUUGCGAAGGAUUUUGGAAGACCAACAUAAAGCUGGUGUGGCCUUGCCAUCAUUGAUGGGCUCCCAUUCGAACCCUCAACCGAUAACUCUUUCUUCAUCCGAUGGUGCAUCCUCACCAAAACAAUACGACUUUGAAGUUGACUGCUUUCCAUCGCUACUGUCAAAGCAUAAAGCCUCUCACACUACUGAAUCAGAGCAGCCAAGAUGUCAUAAAAAACCCCGGCGAUCAAGCAGUGUGGAAAUAAUUUCCAUCGAUUCUCCGGCCGAAAGUGUGGAAGGCUGAUAGUUCACUACCCAUAAAAUCUCUAUAUCAUGAUUGAAACCCUUUGUGAUUAUUUGCAAGUAUCGGCUUGUAUAUAUGCCUUUAUUCUGGAGCCAAGAAUCAGGAUUGCCUUGGGCUUCUUAUCCCUUUUGGCUGGAAUAUGCCAUCCUAGCUUUAAGUCUCUGCAUUCCUUAAUCACUUUUUUUUCCUUGACGACGCUUUUUGCUCAAUCUUGUUUCCAAGGAGGGGUGCCUGGUAGUGUUUGUGAGAGUCGAUAUGAUGCUACUUGUGACUCCAUAAAAACUUGGAUGGGCAUCAAAAUCGAUUUGAAAGUAAAUGAGGGAAGGCUAUUGGCAUCGUGUGAGUGUUAUAACUCAAUCAAGAUGAAUACCCUAAUUUCAUAUAUACUAGAAUAUUUAACAAGGUGAAUACCCUAACUUCAUAUAUACUGGAAUAUUUAACAAGGUGAAUAUACCAUAAUUUAUAUAUACUGGAAUCUCCUGAUUAAAAACAAUGAGUAGAAAAAUAAUAGCGGAAGCAUACCUGAAUCCAUUGAAGGAGAAACCUUAUAGGAAGAAAACCCUUUGAGAUGGUCUUCCAAUUCUAGCCACUAGAUUCUGUGUUAAUUUCUCUCUGAGAGGAUUUUCAGAAAUUGGAAUACGUAGUCGUAGAAUGGGGACCAUAACCCUAUUUAUAAACCGUUAGGGCAGUUUUAAUUUUAUCACAAUUAUAUUUCUGCCCCUCAUAGAAAUAAUAAUUGUCUAAUGGUAUCUACACAAUAAUCUCAUGACAAUUAUACCCUUAAGCCAAUUAAUCAAUUAUUAAUUAGAUCACUAUAUUUAGGCUUAAUUAAAUGAUAGCACAUACAUUUUAAUUAUUUACAUGUGUGGCCCAAAUUAUAGAUUAAUUACAAAAAAUUAAUCUAACAAUCUCCCACUGGGCCACAUGCAUAUGUAAUCAAAUAAAUGUGCUUAACCUUAUGAGCUCAAAAUUUGCUAUCAUGUCCUUAGGGUAUAUCCGAACAAUCUCGUCCAUUAACUAUACUGACAUAGGAUCAAGGUGGCCUUUGUUACAUCAAUCGUUACUAGACCAAUCAAUGGUCACAUAUAUCUGCACAGCUAAAUGACAUAGAUCAAUCAUGAGUGCAUAGCAUGGAAAUUACAUGCAAUGUGAUCUAUUCAUGCCUAUUUCCAACUGGUCCUACUUAACUUUAUUGAGAUCAAAUCUUUAGCAUAAUUUAACAGAGUGCAAUAAAAUGAAUACUUUAUUUCUGCAGAACACAAUCCAAAUUUAUAGAUAAAGUCUAAACAUAACAUAGAGCAAUAUACAAUGAAUAAUAUAAACUCCCACUAAAUUUGGAUAUCCUCAAAUGAGACAACACCCAUAUGAGCAGUGUGCUUAUGAAAGACCUUGGGUGGUAAUCCCUUUGUAAGCGGAUCCGCUAUCAUGGAGUUUGUUCCAAUAUGCUCUAUGGAUAUCUGUCCACUCUGUACUUUUUCUUUUACAACUAGGAACUUGAUAUCAUUGUAUUUUGAUUUUGUAGAACUCCUGUUGUUAUUGGAAUAUAAAACUGCUAAUUUAUUGUCACAAAAUAUCUUCAGUGGUCUUUCAAUACCAUCCAGAACACGCAGCCCAGUGACAAAAUUUCGUAGCCAUAUUCCUUGAUUGGAUGCCUCAUAACAUGCUACAAACUCUGCUUCCAUGGUGGAUGAAGUUAUGAGUGUCUGUUUGGCAGACCUCCAUGAAAUUGCUCCACCAGCCAACAGAUAAAUAUAGCCUGAUGUGGAUCUUCUGCUGUCUUGGCAUCCAGCAAAGUCGGAGUCGGAAUACCCAAUGAACUCUAACUGAUCCAAUCUCCUAUAUGUAAGCAUGUACUCUUUUGUUCUCUAUAAAUAUCUCAUAACCCUCUUGGCUGCUCUCCAAUGAUCCAUUCCAGGGUUACUUAGAUAUCUGCCUAACAUGCCAACAAUGUACGUAAUAUCCGGACGUGUACAUACCUGAGCAUACAUUAGACUCCCCACAGCCGAAGCGUAAGGAAUCUUCUACAUUUCUUGACUUUCUAAACUAUUUUUAGGGCAUUGAUUAAGACUGAAUUUGUCUCCUUUAGCGACAGGGGUAUCACCUGGUUUGCUAUUUUGCAUGCCAUACCUUUGGAGGACUUUAUCAAUAUAGGUCCUUUAUGAUAAUCCUAAAAUACCCCUAGAACGAUCUCGGUGUAUGUGGAUUCCUAAGACAAAGGAGGCAUCACCAAGAUCUUUCAUCCCAAAAUGUUUUGAUAAAAAUCUCUUGGUGUCGUGCAAUAUGCUAAUAUCAUUUGUGGCUAGCAAUAUGUCAUCGACAUAUAAAACCAAGAAAAUAUACUUACUCCCACUGAAUUUGUGAUACACACAUUCAUCCAUAAGAUUUGCCUCAAAACCAUAUGAGACAAUAAUUUGAUGAAACUUGAAGUACCACUGACGAGAAGCUUGCUUGAGCCCAUAAAUGGAUUUAGUUAAUUUACAAACCAUAUUCUUUGAGUCUUCGGACACAAAAUUUUCUGGUUGUACCAUAUAAAUUGUUUCAUCAAUGUCACCAUUGAGAAACGCUGUUUUAACAUCCAUUUGAUGUAACUCAAGAUCAUAAUGUGCAACUAGUGCCAUGAUUAUCCUGAAAGAGUCCUUCGUAGAAACUGGAGAGAAGGUCUCUUUGAAGUCCAUUCCUUCUUUUUGAGUAAAGCCUUUAGCUACAAGACGUGCUUUAUAUCUUUCUACAUUACCAUUUGAAUCCCGCUUGGUUUUAAAUAUCCAUUUACAACCAAUGGGCUUCGUACCAACUGGUAAUGGGACAAGUUCCCAAACUUUAUUGUCUUGCAUAGAUUUGUACUCUUCAUUCAUGGCUUCAAUCCAUUUCUGAGAGUUUGAACUUUUCAUGGCUUCCUGGAAGUUGAUUGGAUCAUCUUCCAUCAUUCCACUUUCUACCUCACGUUCCUGAGAUAUACGAUAUAAUCGUCCGAAAUUGCAUUUCUCCUCUCUCUAGUGGAUCUCCUUAAUGACAUAUUUUCUUGAGGUUGUUGAGUUUGUUCUUCAGGAGCAAUGUCCUCAUUUGCAAUUAAGGGUUGAACAAUAUUGUCUGUUGGUUGAGGAUCCAAAUUUACUUCUUGAUCAAUGAUAGGUAGUGAAACUUGUACAUUAUCAAAAGCAAUAGAAGAUCCCUCUUCCUCCUCAAAGACAAUAUUCCUAGCUUGAUUUCUCCCCCCAAACUCAACAUCCUCAAAAAAUGUUGCAGUUCCCGUCUCAAAAAUUGACCUAAUAGCAGGAUCAUAAAAUUUAAAACCCCUUGAUCGCUCUGCAUAGCCAAUAAAGUAGCUGCUAACUGUUUUAGAGUCCAAUUUCUUUUCAUGAGGCUUAUAAGGUCUCGCUUCAGCUGGACAUCCCCAAAUAUGAAAAUGCUUUAAACUGGGCUUUCGACCCGUCCAAAGCUCAUACGGCGUUUUAGCAGCCGCUUUAGUUGGCACCCGAUUUAGGAUAUAAGCUGCCGUUUUGAGUGCUUCACCCCAGAGUUUUUCGGGUAAAGUAGAAUGACUAAUCAUACUCCUUACCAUGUCAUUAAGAGUUCGGUUUCGUCUUUCUGCUACACCAUUCAUGCUAGGUGAUCCUGGCAUGGUGUAUUGAGGGACGAUCCCACAUUCCUCUAGGUAUUUAGCAAAUGGUCCUGGACGUUGUUCACCUGAUCCGUCAUAUCUACCAUAGUAUUCACCACCACAGUCAGAUCUGACGCUCUUUAUUCUUUUGUUGAGUUGUAACUCAACUUCUGCUUUAAAUGUUUUGAACACGUCCAACGAUUGUGAUUUCUCAUGUAUAAGAAAUAGGUAGCCAUAUCUUGAAUAGUCGUCUAUGAAUGUUAUAAAGUACUGUUGACCAUUCCAAGAUGCCGUAGGGUAUGGUCCACAGAUAUCUGUAUGAAUUAAUUCUAAGACGUCUGUAGCUCUAUUGGCACCUAAUUUCUUUGUUUUGGUAUGUUUUCCUUUAAUACACUCAACACAAAUAUCAAAAUCUGAAAAGUCAAGUGAAUCCAAAAUCCCAUCGGACACAAGUCGCUCAACUCUAGAUUUAGAGAUAUGACCUAGGUGUUUGUGCCACAAUGAGGCCGAAUUAUCUUUAUUCAAUUUACGUUUAGUACCUCGUGAUUCCACAUGCAAGGUUUCAUUAUAGGACGGAACAGUUUCCAACAAAUAUAGAUUAUCAUAAACAUUAAGUAAACUGGUUCCUACAGCAUUUGAAUUAAUAGAUAAUGUAAAUCUAUUGUUUCCAAAUGAACAACAAUAACCUGAUUUGUCCAAAAUAGAAACUGAAAUUAAAUUCCGUCUGAAAGACGGUACAAUAAAAGUAUCUAUUAAAUCCAAAAACUAACCAGAUUUCAAUAAUAAUCUAAAGUGCCCUAUUGCCUCUACUUCUACCGACUGACCGUCUCCGACAUAGAUGCAUCUUUCAGCAUCACUUGGUUUUCGGUAACUCAGGCAACCCUGCAUAGAAACACAAAUGUGAGUAGUAGCACCAGAAUCUAACCACCAUGUGUUUCUAGAUACUGAAGCUAAAUUAACUUCAGAACAGACCAAAGUAAGAAAUAUACCUUUCUUAACACGCCAAGCAGCAUACUUGGUACAUUCCUUCUUAGUAUGUCCAGGCUUAUUACAGAAGAAACAUGUUACCUCAACUUUCUGUUUCUUUUGUUCUAGACCAUUAGAAGCAGCAACCUUAUUAUCCUUAUUCUUUCGUUUGCCCUUAUCCUUGGAAGUGCUAGCCAGAUGAGCACUUUCGGUCUUGUCUUGCUUCAAUCUCUUUUCCUCUUGCACACAUAAUGAAAUGAGCUCAUUAAGAGUCCAUUUAUCUUUUUGACAGUUAUAACUGACCUUGAAUUGAUUAAAUUGUGGAGGAAGAGAGAUGAGAACCAAAUGCACGAGUAAAUCAUCAGAUAACUCGAGUUUCAAAGCCUUAAGUUUUGAAGCAAGAUGAGACAUCUCCAUGAUGUACUCCCAAACAUUACCCUUGCCUUUAUACUUCAUUGAAAUCAAGCUUGCUAAAAGCGUGCUCGUUUCAGCCUUAUCGUUUUUGGCAAAACGUUUCUGAAUUUCCGCAAGGAAGUCACUGGCAUUAGUAACCUCAUCGGUUACCGCACCCCUGAAAGCUUCUGGAAUGCCGCGCUUCAUGAUCAUAAGACUUAGCCUAUUUGAACGUUCCCACUUACCCCAAUAAACCUCAUCCUCUUGAGUACUUUGCUCAUUGAGUUCAUUGGGUUUGGGCAUUCUCAAGGCUAAGUCUAUAUCCAUGCAGCCUAAGAGAAUUAUCAUAUUCUCUUUCCAGUCCUUAAAAUUAGUCCCAUUUAACAUAGGGACAUUAUUGAUGUUGGCAGAUAUAGAAGUAGUUGAUAUAAAAGCUGAAUCGAGAACAAAAUAAAAUGAAUCAAAUAAACCAUCAUGCUCACAUAAAAUAAAUUAAACACAUAAUCUUUAAAUUUAAAAGCAAAUUAUGACAUUUCAAGAUACUUAGCACAACAUUAAUAUCAAGUCUUUGGACAGUAAUAUUAACUGUAAGUGGUACUCUUGUUGUAGUGAUCAAACAUUGAUGAUAAGUUAUGUCAAAUAAUAAAUCUAUCUUUGGAUUGAUUUAUUAUUCACAUUAAGUUACCUUUAUAAUCAUCACAUAUUUAUCACCACAGGUAUGUAUGCAAUUUGACCAAAUAUUAACUUUCCUUUGGGCCAGCCAAUACCCGCAUGAAUCACAUACACACAAAUAUCUAACACCCCGAACAGACUAAUCUACACGAAAGAUGUCACUUUGGUGAUUUUCCGCUUUAAUUAGCCUAUUUAAAAUGCUAGAUCAAUAACUUAAAUAUUAAUAUCAUAAAAUGCUAUUAAAUAAUAAUAAUAAUAAUAAUAAUAGUAAUAAAAAAAAUUUAUCAACUCAAUAUUUCAUAAAUCUUAAUCCAUUGACAUAUAUAUAUAUAUAUAUAUUAAAAUAAUAACUCAAAGAAUUAAUCAAGGAGUAGGCUCUGAUGCCACUUGUUAUACUUAACUUGUUAAAAUCAAUCAAGAUGAAUACCCUAAUUUCAUAUAUACUGGAAUAUUUAACAAGGUGAAUACCCUAACUUCAUAUAUACUGGAAUAUUUAACAAGGUGAAUACCCUAAUUUAUAUAUACUGGAAUCUCCUGAUUAAAAACAAUGAGUAGAAAAAUAAUAGCGGAAGCAUACCUGAAUCCAUUGAAGGAGAAACCUUAUAGGAAGAAAACCCUUUGAGAUGGUCUUCCAAUUCUAGCCACUAGAUUCUGUGUCAAUUUCUCUCUGAGAGGAUUUUCAGAAAUUGGAAUACGUAGUCGUAGAAUGGGGACCAUAACCCUAUUUAUAAACCGCUAGGGCAGUUUUAAUUUUAUCACAAUUAUAUUUCUGCCCCUCAUAGAAAUAAUAAUUGUCUAAUGGUAUCUACACAAUAAUCUCAUGACAAUUAUACCCUUAAGCCAAUUAAUCAAUUAUUAAUUAGAUCACUAUAUUUAGGCUUAAUUAAAUGAUAGCACACACAUUUUAAUUAUUUACAUGUGUGGCCCAAAUUAUAGAUUAAUUACAAAAAAUUAAUCUAACAGUGAGGAGAUGAGGGAAGAGGGGAGUCAGUUAUUUGGAUUUUCAAAAGUUUUUAUAAACAUAAAAACCAAUCUUUUUGCUCCUGCUUAUUUUGGAGAACAAAUUCAAACGUGGAAUUACCUCAUUUUAAAUUAGCAAAAAACAUACAAGAUAAUAAAAAUUAAAACCUUUAUUCCAACUCUUAUUUUAUUUUAUUUUACUUUAUGCUUUGAAAUUAUUGUAAACCUUGUUGAAAUUUUCACACAAAAUAAUCUUUCAUGCUAUUUUUGGUAUCUAAAAAGCACUAAAGAAAGAAAAAAAUGUUUAGGAAAAUGAUUUUCUUAUAUUUGGUUUCACUAUAAAAAAAUACAAAAGAAAAUCAAAUAUAAUUAAAAUUAAUUAGAAAUUUAUGCAAGUUGAAAUUAUUUAAUCUUAAUACAAUGAAGAAAAAUAAGUUAAAUAAGUUUAAAGAAAUAUAUAAAAAUAGUUUAUUAUUUUUUAAUCUAUUUUUUAUUUUCCUUUACUUUUUUUUUCUUAACCUUUUCCUCUCUUUUUUCUUUCCCUCACAUUUUUUGGGAACAAAACAUAGCCUAAACAUUGUCCUUCUCAACCUUCAACAACAUAUUACUCAUAUUGAAUAUAUUUUAAUUCUUACUUACCUUUUGUAUGAUAAAAAUAAAAUUAUAAUUUGGAUAAAUACCUAUGGAAAAUAUUUGUACCUUGAAUUAUGCUCUCUAAUUCCGUAGCUUCUUUCUUCAAAGAACUACUAAAGUUUCUUAGUAAUGCACUCUUUAGGUUUUAGGUGUAGAUGGAUACCAUGAAGAACUUGAUUGGGAGAAAAUAGUGGAUGCAAAGAAGCUCAAAUACUCUAAAAAACAAAUUAUUGAACUCACCAAUAAUUGUAUUAUUUGUUGGUACAUUAGGCUAUGUAUUUUAAAGUUGGCAAUUUUGUUCAAAAUAUUAUAGCUUAGGGCGUUUCUAGAUUGUGUCUUACUCUCUUAUGAUGAUUUAAGGUUGUUGCAUGAUCAAUUGUUGCCACUAUUUUUUUUUUUUUCUCAUUUGUCAUCCCAUGAUUUCUAUUUUUUUUUUUUUUAUUUACGGUUGAUGGAUGUGACAGACGAGGUGUCAUCUUACUGAUCAUGGAAAUCCAAUGAGAGAGCAUCACUGUAGAGAAGUGUGACUAAUGUUGUUUAAUUGCGAUGGACUAAUCCCCAUGACGUAUUUGUUCAACGGUGGAUGGCUAACAGUAACGGUAUACCAUUGUCACCACAAUUUUAUCAUUUUUCUUGUUAUUAAUUUGAGCUCAAGUCACUAGUGGUUUUUCUUCUUUUUUUUCAGACAUCUGGCCAAGAGAUCCAUGUUGAUCUUGUCAAUCGAGAGUACAGGAAUGUGAUUGAUGGAGAGGAGGUCACAAUCACGAACCUAGAAGCUAAAUUUGUACCCAGAGGCUGAGAUUGUUCCUUUUGGAUUUGUCCUUUAUGGUUGUUAUUUGGAUCUUCUUUUAGAAAUUUUGGAUGUUUGGGUAUUUUGGAUGUCUUGUUAGGAUGUUUAUGUGUGGAUGUUAUUAUGGAUAUUUGGAUGUUUAUAUGUGGAUGCUAUGGACGUUUGGAUAUUUAUGACAUUGACAAUGUAAAAUAUGAUUGAAAAAAAAAGUUUGAUAACAUUUUUCAAAUUUUCUAAAGACACUAACAAUGUAAUUUUUUGUUUUUUUUUAUACCUUUUGCUAUUAAGUUAAUAAAAUCUGGUCUUUGCAAGCAUAUCUAUAACCAUGUAACCAACAUGUAGAUUUUAAAUUUUCAAUUUAUUUUACAAUGGGCAUUAAAAUAACAUUUUAAGGAAAUAAUAUAAUAGUAAAUAUUGUCAAUAUUAGCAUUAGCAAUCAAGACAGAAAACUCAAACACCCAUUUUUUCAGUUUAAAAAUGAAUAAAAUUGUGAAAUUAUUGGAAUUUCAAAGAUAAUUAAGGUAUAAUAGAAGAUAACAAAGAUGCUCAAGGCUAACUAACUAAAGUGGUGGAAUAUAGGUAUUGCAUACAUGUAAAUAUGUCCUCAGAGAGGUUUGGCUUUUGACUUUGAUUGAAAAGGGUGUCUAUAUUGCGUGAGUAGAGAGGUCUGGCUCUGCAGCCAACCCUUAUUUGUUUCUUUCCUUCCCUUUCAUUUGUGCGAUCUCGUUGCAUGAAACCAAUGCUUUCUAAUAUGGUGGAUAAAUAUUGUUUUCUCUCAUUAUUAGGGUGGGUAAGAGUUCCUUUCCUUCAAUUACUUCUACAAAUGGAGACUCUAGUUAUUGUUAAAGUGGAAUGGAAGGCAUGACUUCAUUUUUCCCUUCUCCUAUAAAUAGAGAUGAGGAAUAAUCUCAUUGUAUCAAUUCCACUGUUAUUCACAAAAGGUAAAACAAAAAAAGAAAUAUGCCAAAGGUUAGGUUAGUUGUAUCAGCCGAUAUGAGGAAUAUUGUCGUUCUUCAACCUCGGGCUAGUAGUGAUGAUACAACCAUCAACUACUUCCAAAUGAAAAUUUUGAGUAUUGUUUUGAUUUAACAUUGAUGUUGUUUUGUAUUUUAAUUAUUUGUUUGUUACAUUGAAUGUGGAGUGUGAACAAUGUGGUUAGGUUUCCGUGGAGGAAGUUUGUGUUUCUUUGAGAGUCGAAGAAAAGCGCAUUACAGGGAGCAGGAUAAGGAAUUAUAACAAUGCAUCUCUUAGAGUGGGUUAUAUUUCUUACGUUUUUGUUGUUUUCUUUGCUAUUGCCACUUUUUUUUUUCUCAUUUUUCUGCCCAUGAUUUCUAUUCUUUUUUUCUUUUCUUUUUUGCAGUUGAUGGAUGUGACAGACAAGGUGUCAUCUCAAUGCUGCCAAGCCAUGGAAAUCCACUGAGAGAGCAUCACUUUAGAGAGGUGGGACUGUGUUGUUUAAUUGCGAUGGGCUUAUCCCUGUGACUUAUAUGUUCAAUGGUGGAUAGUUAGCAGUGACGGUAUACCAUUGUCACAAUAAUUUUAUCAUUUUUUUUUUGUUAUUAAUUUGAUCUCAAGUCACUAGUAGUUUUUUUUUUUUUUUAGACAUCUGGCCAAAAGAUCCAUGUUGGUCUUGUUCGUUGAGAGUACAGGAACAUGAUUGAUGGAAAAAAAGUCACAAUCACAAACCUGGAAGCUAAAUUUGUGCCCAGUGGCUGAGAUUGUUCCUUUUAGAUCUGUCUUUUAUGGUUGUUAUUUGGAUAUUCUUUUAGACAUUUUGGAUGCUUGGGAUAUUAUGGAUGUCUUGUUAGGAUGUUUAUGUGUGGAUGUUAUUAUGGAUAUUUAGAUGUUUAUAUGCGGAUGUUACGGAUGUUUUGAUGUUAUGACAUUGACAGUGUAAAAUAUGAUUGGAAAAAAAAAAGUUUCAUAACAUUUUGCAAAUUUUCUGAUGACACUAAUAAGAACGUAAUUUUUUUUAUAUACCUUUUGUUAUUAAAUUAGUAAAACUUGUCCAUUGCAAUCAUAUCUAUAACCAUGUGACCAACAUGUAGAUAUUAAAAUUUCAACUUAUUUUACAAUGGGCAUUAAAAUAACAUUUUAAGAAAAUAAUAUAAUAGUAAAUAUUGUCAAUAUUAGCAUUAGCAAUCAAAAUAGAAAACUCAAACACCCAUUUUUUCGGUUUUAAAAUUAAUAAAAUUGUUAAAUUAUUGGAAGCUCGGAGAUAAUUAAGGUAUAAUAGAAGAUAACAAAGAUGUUCAAGGCUAACUGGCUAAAGUGGUGGAAGAUAGGUACUGCAUACAUGUAGAUAUGUCCUUAGAAAGGCCUGGUUUUUUACUUUGAUUGAAAAGGGUAUCUCUAUUGCAUUUGCAAAGAAGCCUAGCUCUGUAGCCAACCCUUAUUUGUUUCCUUCCUUCCCUUUCAUCCAUGCGAUCUCCUUGCACGAAACCAAUGCUUUCUACUAUGGUAGAUAACCAUUGUUUUCUCUCAUUAUUAGGGUAGGUAAGAAUUCAUUUCCUUCAAUUACUUCUACGAAUGGAGACUCUAGUUAUUGUUCAAGUGGAAUGGAAGGCAUGGCUUCAUUUUGCCCUUCUCCUAUAAAUAGAGAUGAUGAAUAUUCUCAUUGUAUCAAUUACAUUGUUAUUCACAAAAAGUAAAACAAAUAAAAGAAAGAUGUCAAAUGUUAGGUUGGUUGUAUCAGCUGAUAUGAGGAAUAUUGUCGUUCUUCAACCUCGGGCUAGUAGUGAUAAUACAACCAUCAACUACUUCUUCCAAAUAGAAAUUUUGAGUAUUGUUUUGAUUUAACACUGAUGUUAUUUUGUAUUUUAAUUAUUUGUUUGAUACAUUGAAGGUGGAGUGUGAACAGUGUGAUUGGGUUUCCGUGGAGGAAGUUUGUGUUUCUUUGGGAGUCGAAGAAAAAUGCACUACAGGGAGCAAGAGAAGGAAUUAUAACAAUGCAUCUCUUAGAAUGGGUUAUUUUACUUAAGCUUAUGUUGUUUUCUUUGUUAUUACCACUGUUUGUUUUUUUUUUCCUCAUUUGUCUGCCCAUGAUUUCUGUUCCUUUUUUUUUUUUUUUUUUGCAGUUGAUGGGUGUGACAAAUGAAGUGUCAUCUUAUUGAUCCUAGGCCAUGGAAAUCCACUGAGAGAGCAUCACUUUAGAGAGAUGGGACUAAUGUUGUUUAAUUGUAAUGGGCUUAUCAUUUUUCUUGUUAUUAAUUUGAGCUCAAGUCACUAGUGGUUUUUUUUUUUUUUUUUUUUUAGACAUCUGGCCAUGAGAUCCAUGUUGAUCUUGUUGGUCGAGAGUAUAGGAACGUGAUUGACGGAGAGAAUGUCACAAUCAGAAACCUGGAAGCUAAAUUUGUGCCCAAGGGCUAAGAUUGUUCCUUUUGGAUCUGUCCUUUAUGGUUGUUCUUCGGAUCUUCUUUUAGACAUUUUGAAUGCUUGGGAUAUUAUGGAUGUCUUAUUAGGAUGUUUAUGUGUGGAUGUUAUCAUGGAUAUUUGGAUGUUUAUAACACUGACAAUGUAAAAUAUGAUUGAAAAAAAAAAGUUUCAUAACAUUUUGCAAAUUUUCUGAUGACACUAACAACGUAAUUUUUUUUUAUACCUUUUGCUAUUAUUAAAUUAGUAAAAGUUGGUCAUUGCAAGCAUAUCUAUAACCAUGUGAUAACAUGUAGAUAUUAAAAUUUCAAUUUAUUUUACAAUGGGCAUUAAAAUAACAUUUUAAGGAAAUAAUAUAAUAGUAAAUAAUGUGGAUAUUAGCAUUAGCAAUCAAGACAAAAAACUCAAACACCCAUUUUUUCGGUUCAAAAAUGAAUGAAAUUGUUAAAUUAUUGGAAGCUAAUAGAUAAUUAAGGUAUAAUAGAAAAUAACAAAAAUGUUCAAGGCUAACUGGCUAAAGUGGUGGAAGAUAGGUACUGCAUACAUGUAGAUAUGUCCUUAGAGAGGCCUAACUUUUGACUUUGAUUGAAAAUGGUGUCUUUGUUGCGUGAGUAGAGAGGCUUGGCUCUCCAGCUAACCUUUGUUUCCUUCUUUUCUUCUCUUUCAUUCAUACGAUCUCGUUGCACGAAACCAAUGCUUUCUACUAUAGUGGAUAACCAUUAUUUUCUCUCAUUAUUAGGGUGGGUAAGAGUUUUUUUCCUUUUAUUACUUCUACAAAUGCAGACUCUAGUUAUUGUUCAAGUGGAAUGGAAGGCAUGGCUUCAUUUUGCCCUUCUCCUAUAAAUAGAAAUGAGGAAUAGCCUCAUUGUAUUAAUUCCACUGUUAUUCACAAAAGGUAAAACAAAGAAAAAAAAAUGUCAAAUGUUAUGUUGGUUGUAUCAGCCGAGAUGAGGAAUAUUGCCCUUCUUCAACCUCGGGCUGGUAGUGAUAAUACAACCAUAAACUACUUCCAAAUAAAAAUUUUGAGUAUUGUUUUGAUUUAACACAUAUGUUGUUUUGUAUUUUAACUAUUUGUUUGUUACAUUGAAGGUGGAGUGUGAACAGUGUGGUUAGGUUUCCCUGGAGGAAGUUUGUGUUUCUUUGAGAGUCAAAGAAAAGCCCACUGCAAGGAAUAUGAGAAGGAAUUAUAAUUAUGCAUCUCUUAGAAUGGGUUAUAUUACUUAAGCUUUUGUAGUUUUCUUUGCUAUUGCCACUAUUUUUUUUUCUCGAUCGUCUGCCUAUUAUUUUUGUUCUUUUUUUUUUUCACGAUUGAUGGAUGUGACAGACGAGGUGUCAUCUCACUAAUCCCAUGCCAUGGAAAUCUACUGAGAGAGCAUCACUUUAAAGAAGUGGAACUGAUGCUAUUUAAUUGCGAUAGGCUUAUCCCUGUGACCUAUUUAUUCAACGGUGGAUGACUAACAGUGAAGGUAUACCAUUGUCACCAUAAUUUUAUCCUUUUUUUGUUAUUAAUUUGAGCUCAAGUCACUAAUCAUGCUUCAAUUUUUUUUUUUUCCAGACAUCUGGCCAAGAGAUCCAUGUUGACCUUGUUGGUCGAGAGUACAGGAAUGUGUUUGAUGGAAAGUAGGUAACAAUCACAAACCUGGAAGCUAAAUUUGUGCCUAGAGGCUAAGAUUGUUCCUUUUGGAUCUGUCAUCUAUGGUUGUUAUUUGGAUCUUCUUUUAGACAUUUUGGAAUAUUGGGAUAUUAUGGAUGUAUUGUUAGGAUGUUUGUGUGUGGAUGUUAUUAUGGAUAUUUGGAUGUUUGUAUGUGGAUGCUACGAAUGUUUGGAUGUUUAUGUGUGGAUGUUUAUGACAUUGACAAUGUAAAAUAUGAUUGGAAAAAAAAAAGUUUCAUAACAUUUGCAAUUUUUCUGAUGACACUAACAACGUUUUUUUUUUAAUAGCUUUUGCUAUUAAAUUAAUAAAAGUUGGCCAUUGCAAGCACAUCUAUAACCAUGUGACCAACAUGUAGAUAUUAAAAUUUCAGUUUAUUUUACAAUGGGCAUUAAAAUAACAUUCUAAGGAAACAAUAUAAUAGUAAAUAUUGUCAAUAUUAGCAUUAGCAAUCAAGAUAGAAAACUCAAACACCCAUUUUUUUUUCAGUUUAAAAAUGAAUAAAAUUGUUAAAUUAUUGGAAGCUUAGAGAUAAUUAAGGUAUAAUGGAAGACAACAAAUAUGCUCAAGGCUAACUGGUUAAGGUGGUGGAGUGUAGGUACUGGAUACAUGUACAUAUGUCCUCAGAGAGGCCUAACUUUUGACUUUGAUUGAAAAUGAUGUCUCUAUUACAUGAGUAGAAAGGCCUGACUCUGCAACCAACCCUUGUUUCCUUCCUUUUCUUCCUUUCAUCCAUGCGAUCUUGUUGCACGAAACCAAUGCUUUCUGCUAUGGUGGAUAACCAUUAUUUUCUCUCAUUAUUAAGGUGGGUAAGAGUUUCUUUUCUUCAAUUACUUACUUCUACAAAUGUUGACUCUAGUUAUUGUUCAAGAUGAAUGGGAGACAUAACUUCAUUUUGCCCUUCUCCUAUAAAUGGAGAUGAGGAAUAGCCUCAUUGUAUCAAUUCCAUUAUUAUUCACAAUGAGAAUACGCUUGAGAGUAUCAGCCGAGAUGAGGAAUAUUGCCCUUCUUCAACCUCGGGCUGGUAGGGAUGAUAGAAUCAUCAACUAAUUUUUCCAAAAAAAAAAAAAAUGAGUAUCGUUUUGAUUUAACACCGAUGUUGUUCCGUGUUUUAACUAUUUGUUUGUUACAUUGAAGGUAGAGUGUGAAUAGUGUGGUUGGAUUUCCCUGGAGGAAGUUUGUGUUUUUUUGGAAGUCAAAGAAAAGCUCACUACAUGAAGCAGGAGAAUGAAUUAUAACAAUGCAUCUCUUAGAGUGGGUUGUAUUACUUAAGCUUCUGUUGUUUUCUUUGUUAUUGCCACUUUUUUUUUCUCAUUCGUUUUCCCAUGAUUUCUGGACUUUUUUUUUUUUUUUUUGCGAUUGAUGGAUGUGACAAACGAGAUGUCAUCUCACUAUCCUAGGCCAUGGAAAUCCUAUGAGUGGGUAUCACUAUAGAGAGGUGGGACUGAUGUUGUUUAAUUACGAUGGGCUUAUCUAUGUGACCUAUUUGUUCAACGGUGGAUAGCUAGCGGUGAUGGUAUACCAUUGUCACCAUAAUUUUAUCGUUUUUAUUGCUAUUAAUUUGAGCUUAAGUCACUAGUGGUUUUUCUAUUUUAUUUUUUUUUUCAAACAUCUGGCCAAGAGAUCCAUGUUGAUCUUGUUGGUCGAGAGUACAGGAAUGUGAUUGAUGGAGAAAAGGUUACAAUCAUGAACCUGGAAGCUAAAUUUGUGCCCAAGGGCUAAGAUUGUUCCUUUUGGAUCUGUCCUUUAUGAUUGUUAUUUGGAUCUAGACAUUUUGGAUGCUUGGGAUAUUUUGGAUGUCUUGUUAGGAUGUUUAUGUGUGGAUGUUAUUAUGGAUAUUUGAAUGUUUAUAUGUGGAUGCUAUGGAUGUUUGGAUGUUUGGAUGUUUAUGUGUGAAUGUUUAUGACACUACCAAUGUAAAAUAUGAUUGAAAAAAAAAAAGUUUGACAACAUUUUGCAAAUUUUCUUAUGACAUUGACAAUGUAAUUUUUUUUCUUUUUUUUUUAUACUUUUUGCUAUUAAAUUAAUAAAAGUUGGUCAUUGCAAGCACAUCUAUAACCAUGUGACCAACAUGUAGAUUUUAAAUUUUCAAUUUAUUUUACAAUGGGCAUUAAAAUAAUAUUUUAAGGAAAUAAUAUAAUAGUAAAUAUUGUCAAUAUUAGCAUUAGCAAUCAAGACAGAAAACUCAAACACCCAUUUUUUUCGAUUUAAAAAUGAAUGAAAUUGUUAAAUUAUUGGAAGCUCAUAGAUAAUUAAGGUAUAAUAGAAGAUAACAAAGAUGCUUAAGGCUAACUGGUUAAGGUGGUGGAGUAUAGGUACUGGAUAUAUGUACAUAUGUCCUCAAAGAGGCCUGAUUUUUUACUUUGAUUUAAAAGGGUGUCUCUGUUGUGUGAGUAAAAAGGUCUGACUCUGCAGCCAACCCUUGUUUCCUUCCUUCCCUCCCUUUCAUCCAUGCGAUCUCGUUGCAUGAAACCAAUGCUUUCUGCUAUGGUGGAUAACCAUUGUUUUCUCUCAUUAUUAAGGUGGGUAAGAGUUUCUUUUCUUCAAUUACUUACUUCUACAAAUGCUAACUCUAGUUAUCGUUCAAGAUGAAUGGGAGGCAUGACUUCAUUUUGCCCUUCUCCUAUAAAUGGAGAUGAGGAAUAACCUCAUUGUAUCAAUUCCAUUGUUAUUCACAAAAGGUAAAACAAAGAAAAGAAAUAUGUCAAGGGUUAUGUUGGUUGUAUCAGCCGAGAUGAGGAAUAUUGCCCUUCUUCAACCUCGGGCUGGUAGUUAUGAUACAACCAUCAACUACUUCUUCCAAAUAAAAAUUUUGUGUACUGUUUUGAUUUAAAACUAAUGUUGUUCUGUAUUUUAACUUUUUUUUUUUUACAUUGAAGGUAGAGUGUGAACGGUGUGGUUGGGUUUCCCUGGAGGAAGUUUAUGUUUCUUUGAGAGUCAAAGAAAAGCCCACUACAAGGAAUAUGAGAAGGAAUUAUAAUUAUGCAUCUCUUAGAGUGGGUUAUAUUACUUAAGCUUCUGUUGUUUUCUUUGCUAUUGCCACUGUUUUUUUUUUUCUCAUUUAUUUUCCUAUGAUUUCUGUUCUUGUUUUUGUAGUGCGGUUGAUGUGACAGACGAUGAGUCAUCUCACUGAUAUCAAGUCAUGGAAAUCCACUGAGCGAGCAUCACUAUAGAGAGAUGGGACUCAUGUUGCUUAAUUGCAAUGGGCUUAUCCUUGUGACCUAUUUGUUCAACGGUGGAUGGUUAGCGGUGACAAUAUACCAUUGUCACCAUAAUUUUAUCAUUUUUCUUGUUAUUAAUUUGAGCUCAAGUCACUAAUCAUGUUUCUAUUUUUUUUUUCAGACAUCUGGCCAGGAGAUCCAUGUUGACCUUGUUGGUCGAGAGUACAGGAACGUGAUUGAUGGAGAGGAGGUCACAAUCAUGAACUUGGAAGCUAAAUUUGUGCCUAAGGGUUGAGAUUGUUCCUUUUGGAUUUGUCCUUUAUGGUUGUUAUUUGGAUCUUCUUUUAGACAUUUUGGAUGCUUGGGAUAUUUUGGAUGUCUUGCUAAGAUAGUUAUGUGUGGAUGUUAUUAUGGAUAUUUGGAUGUUUAUGUGUGGAUGCUAUGGAUGUUUGGAUGUUUAUGUAUGGAUGUUUAUGACACUGACAGUGUAAAAUAUGAUUGAAAAAAACAAUGUUUGAUAACAUUUUGCAAAUUUUCUAAUGACACUAACAAUGUAAUUUUUUUUUUAUAACUUUUGUUAUUAAAUUAAUAGUCUUAAUAAAAUAAGAUUGAAGUGAGAUAAAAUUCUACCAAAUUUCAUGUAACUUCUUUAACAUUUUUAGUUUAUAGAAAAAAUAGUUAUUGAGCAUGAUUCAACAAGUAACAUAUUUAAAAUCAAACAAAUAUCUUAUAGUUCCAUAACAAAGCCUGCACAGUGAGUCUCGAAAAGAAAAAUCAUAAAUGUCUAAAAUCAAUUUUAAGAAGUCUAAUUUAUAGAAAAAAAAUGUCCAAAGAAAUUAAAAAUAUUAUUUAAUAAUUCGAUUUUAUGAACCAAGUUCGAAACAAUGUAAGAACUAAGCAUGUUGAAAGCAUAACUUUUAUCCCUUAUUUGAAAAAUUAUUUAUGACUCAAACAAGAUCCUACUGACAUAUUUAAGAAGUUUAGAGCAAUAUCAAAGCAUUGGAAUAAUUUUGGGGAGCUAUAAGUGAUUGGAUUCUAAUUUACAAAUUCAAAGGUGCAAAGGACAUUUAAGAAUGUCAAUAGAAAAUUAAUUUUGGGAAAAACUUUGUACGUAGUGAUUUACUAAAUCUCUUUCUAAUAUCUAUGAAUUCAUCCAUAAUUCCUUACCUCAAAUGAUCAUUAUAAGCUCAACAAGGCUAAGAGUGACACCAUUAAUCAGAGUUAUGGAAUUAAUUCGUGUAUAUUCAAAAUCAAAAUUCAUUUUAAAAACCUUUUCAAAUAUGCAUACCGAAAAUAACGUAGCCUAGCUUUUCGAAAAUUAAUUUGCAUACCUAAUGACUUAAGAUUAGUUUUAAAAUAAAGUUAGAAGAUUGAUUAGACUAUGAAAAAGGUUGAAAACAAUUUUUUUAAAAAAAAAAAUCUUAAAAUACAUAAAAUUUCAAACACAAACCAUCAAAGAAAAGUGUAAGUGUAUAUACAUGAAUUCUUUAGUGUACCAAGAUGAAACUCAAGUGCCCUAAAUAUGAAAAUAAGACAUAGCUACAUUUAAGACUAAUUGUGUCCUAAUUUAGGUUUUAAAUUAUGAUAAAAAAAAAAAAAAGUAUCCUAAGUGUGUGCCUAAUCAAGCCUAAACAUGUGAUCAUCCAUUGUUGUCAAAUAUGUGUGAAUUGUGAUAAGUAAAAAGCGUAUAUUAAUUGAAAACAUAAAAUUAAGGAGACAUGAAUUCAAAUUAAUAUAGUCAUUUAAAGCCAAUUAUCAUACAAUCAUCCAAUGGCUUAUUUAGGCAAAAGAAUGUGUUGAAAAAAAAAUUACCCUAAUCACAAUCUUAACUCAUCAAACAACCAAUAUUCUAUCAAACAAUUCCCUAAAUGUCAAUUCUAAUAACACUCUUGUGUGGUCGGGUUUGUCCACACCUAAACCAGAUUCAAUAUAUCAAAAUAAAUCAUGCAAUUGAGGAAAAAUUAGGAAAAGGAAAGCAAGAUAAUAUAAAAGAUAAAAAUCAAAGAUAGAAAAUUCAAUAACUUACCUAAGGAUCUUCCAAAAUUCGACAAUGUGUUGGUGUUCUUUCAAGCCAUGUUCAGCUCAUCUUCAUUAUGCAACCAACUUUAUCGCUUUUUCUUCACUGAUUUUCAGCCAUAAGUCUCCCACAUGACCACCGAAAUCCACCAUUUCUCCAUGGGAAUUUAGCCAUUAAAAUUCUAUUACCUGAACUAUAAUGCCCUAAACCAAUUUAGGGGUAAAAUCGUAAUUUAGAAAUUAUUAAUUAAUUAAAAUAAUUUAAUAAGGGUAAAAAGGUCUUUUCGUAUUUAAAAUCCCUAAUUAUAAAUUAGAUUUUUUCAAUCUUCUCUAUUCAGAAAACCCUUUUACACAUAGAUCAGAAAGAUCAAAUAACAUAGGGUUGAAGAUUUUGAGGUUUAGGGUUUGAAGAUCAAUUUUUCAGGUAUGAUUUUAAUCCUUAAAUUAAUAUUUUAUAUUUGUUAAUUAGUUUUAAAAACUAUAGAUAUUCUUUGGAAGAUCUCAAUCUAGAUUAGGGUUUGUUAAAUUAAUUUUUAGAUCAAAAGACUAGAAAUUUAUGAAUGUAGAUUAAUUUGGGAUGAAAAUAGGAAAAUUUAGAAAAUUUCAAUUAAAUAGAAAACAAAAUCAAUGGAAGAGAAGAAAUUUUAGAUUUAUAAAAUAAAUAAAUAAAUCGUUUGUGUACGCUUUAGAUUUGGAAAAAAAACGUGUAGAUAUAUGAACUGUGUGAAAAAUAAAAAUGUGGGAUUUAAAAAAAAAUAUUGGAGUACACGUGUGUUGCCAAAGGUGUUGACUUAGGCAUUGGAAAAUAUUGUAUAUGUAAAUAUACUAUUAUAAUAAUAAAUAAUGAGAAGAAACAUGAGGCUUACUGUUUUAUUCUUAGGGCUUCGUAUGUGUAAUGAAGAUAGGAGGGUAAUGGAUUGGUUAUGUAUUGAAUUUGAAAAUUAAUAAAAAUUAAAUAUAUUUAGUGUUAAGCUAACAAAUGAAAUAUUAAUAAUAAUAAUAAUUUCUUGUAUAGGUUUUAAUUUAAUUUAAGUAUAUAAAGAAAUAAAUAGUGAUGGUAAGAUUAGGAAAGAAAAUGAAUUUUACAAUAAUUUGGAAACUCACUAAAUUAAUUUAUUAUUGUUUAGUAAGUUGAAAAUUAAUAUUGGGUAGUAAUAAUAUUAGCAUGAAAAAUUAAUUAGGAUCCCUAAUACUAAAUAAAAUAUUUUUAGGAUUUUCAAAUUUAUAUAUUUAGAUAAAUAAUUAAUAAUCAAUAUUGUGUAUGAUAUUAUGUUAGGUGAGGAGGAAAUUUUUCAGAGUUAAAUACUUCUAGAUUUUGAAUGCUUAUUCAAGGUAAGGGAAAUUAAUGCAUAUUUUUAUAAAAGAAAAUAAUUUUAUUUUUAUAUUGUAUUUUGAAAUGUGUAAAAAUAUUGUUUUUAUCUUUUCGCAUGGAUCAAAUAUGUGUUUUGUAUGGAAAGUAUAUUUGAGAAUUUUCUUUGUUUAUGAAAAGUGAAAAAUUGAGGAGAUAUGAUAUUUUGUUUUAUAAGUUUGAAUUAAUAAAAUAAAGUGUUUGACUAUAGAUUAUAUGGACCUAGUCAACAAGUUAUAAUUAUUGACAUUUGCGGCCCUAAUCAACGGGUUAUAAUAGUUGAUAUUAUAUGACCCUAGUCAAUGGGUUAUAAUUGUUGACAUUUGGUUUUGUUCACCUUAACUAGAACAAAUUUGAAACUAGUCACUUAUUUGUAAAGUCUCGCCUAAUUGGGCACCAUUUGUUAUUUGAUAACCAGAGUAAAGAUAUUUUGAAUGCAUUUGUUUUGGUUUUGAUGAGAAAUUGUUUUGAAAUGGAUAUGAGAAAGUUUAGUUGAAAAGUUUGAAUGUAUUACUAUUUUGAACUCAAAAGUUUUUAUGAAAAUAAAUAUAUGUUCUAUUUCCUAUUUGCAAGCAUGAUUGAAAAUGUUUGAUCCAUGAAACUGCAUUGAUGUUCCUUAUUGAGCUUUAAGUUUAUGCCCCUUCGUUGAUAAUUUUUCAGAUACUCUCAGUUCGGGCAAGGAAUGAUGGCUAGGCUGGGGAAUUUUUCUUUGUUAGGAUUUUGGUUCAAACUUUAUUUUGGACAUUGUUUAGAUGUUAAAAUUUAACUCUCGUUUAAAUUAUUUAAAUUUGGAGUUAUUUGGAUAAUAACAUUCUAGUUGAUGUGUUAGUUUUUUUUUAAAGUUGAUACUUGGAGAUUUUAGAAUUUUUUUCCUACUACUCUGAAUAUGAAUUUGGUAAUUAAUAAAUUUUCAGUUACAAUAUGAAUGUUUGUGUCGUUUCCUCUUUUAGCCUUUGGGCUUGAGAUGUGAAAUGACCAUCAUACCCUUAGAGUGGGUUUUGGGGUGUGACAUGAACACCUUUCUCUCACCAUAAAAUAUUCAAUCGCCAAAGCACUAACUACUCCAUUCAUGGCCACAUACCCAACAGCCACAUUCAUGCUCAUGCAGCCACCAAAACACCAUUUUUUUACCAUAAAAUUCAACCACCGAAUCUUGCUUUUUCUAUUGAAAAUUUCAGCUACAAUGCCUUCAUUAUUCUUUUCGAAUUUCAAGCAUUAAAAUUCAGCCAUAAACUCUUAAGCAUUUUGGUGCUUCAAUUCCAUUAAUCGACAUGCAACUCUCCCACUAAAAUUAAACAGUUGUCAUUCUCCAUGAACACGCACUAUAAUCGACAUGCAACUCUCCCACUAAAAUUAAACAAUUGUCAUUCUCCAUGAACACGCACUAUAAGAAGAUAAGAUUUUUGUUGUGGCCACCAACCUCGACGAAAAGGAAGAUUAAGUGCGAUUCUAGGAUACGAGUGUGAACAAAAGAGACUGCAACAAGGCGUAGUCAUAAGGGGAAUAGAGAAAUGUUAUAGCUGCGACCACAUGUAAAAGCAUGACUAAAAUUAUUGAAACAAUAGUCGCCAAAAAAUCUGGUAGAAGAAAAAUUAGUAAAUAUCGAAAAAAAAAAAUUGUUGAUAUAUCACAAUGUUUUUAAAACCGGAUCAGUCAUUAAAUAGAAAAAGUUAUCAGUUCACGGUUCACUGGUUGAACCGCGCUCAAACCGGUGAUGUCAUAAAUAUAUAAUUUAUAAAUUAUUAAAAUUUAAAAUAAUUAUAAAAAUAAAAAUAAUAAUUAUAUAUUAUUUAAAAAUUAAAUUUUAUUUGAAAAUUAGAAAAUUAGUUUCAAAUUAUAAAUUUAACUUAAAAUCAUAAUUUAAAUUUAAAUUUAAAAAAUUUAAAAUUCAUUUUAAAAUUAAAAAAAAAACUCAUUUUAAAAUCAAGAAUUUAUUUAAAAUUGUAAUAUUUUCAUUAAUUUAAAUUAAAAGCAUAAGUUUUAAAUGUCAUAAAAUGAAAAAAAUAAUAAUAAAUAUAAAAGGAAAUAAAUAGGAAUGAGAUAAGGUAAAAAAUAAUUAAAAGAAUCUGGAAGAAUUGAAGAAGAGAGGAGAGGAGUAGGCAGUGGGGCUUUGGAGGGUGGGUUUCCACUUCCAACGCCGGGUGGGGGGCUUCCGACAGGCACUUCCAGCAUCGAGUGGGGGGUUUCUGACGGGCAAAAAGGGGAAAUUUUUUCGGCUUUUCCAGCGCAAGGGGUUCCAACACAAGGGAGGGGGGUGGUUUCUAACGCAGGGGGUUCCGACGAGCAAGAAAAACUUUUCCAGCUCGUGCGCAAGCAGGGGGUGGUGGUGUUCUAGCGGGGUGUAGACCCCCCUCCCCCGAGGAGCUGGAGCUAGCUAGGAUGAUUAUUUUUGUUGUUUUUCUGAGGGCCUCUGAAGUAGGCUGCUUUUGGGGGCGGCAGAUGGGACGGGGUACGGGGAGGGCUUGCGGAGGAAGAGAGGAACAGAGGAGAAAAGAAAGGAAAAGCUGGCUGGAGAGGGGGACGGUUUUGGAGUUGGAUUUUUAGAGGGAAAGCUGGCUGGAGAAGGGGAGUUUGAGCUGGAUUUUUAGAGAGGAAGCUGAGGAGAGGAUAGAAGAUUUUUCGGGGAAAAAACAGAGGAAACGAGGAGAAGGGAGAGGUAUGAUAUUUACCAUGGCUCUUGAACUCAUUUGAUGUAUAUGAUCUCCUUAUUUUUCUCUUAAUAGUUUCGAGUAAAUAUCCUCCGAGCAUAUGUUUUAUUUCAUGGUUCAUAGUUAUGGUUUAGAUGCUGCUAUCUCUUUCAUUUUUUUGGGUUUGUUUGGAGAGCAAUGAAGCUCUGUUUUAACCCCACAUUCCAUGCACGGCCGCCACCCUCACCCAUCUUCCCCAUCACUUUUUCUCUCUCUAGCCGCCGUACUCCUCCCUCACCCACAUGAGCGGAACUUGGUAGACUUGGCUGCCCACCAUGUCCACGUUCAGCUCGCCUCCACAGGAACCCCCAAAGCUGCCCGUCUACACGCGCGUGUCCCAUGCAUGCAAGUCGCCCCAUCCCUCAUUUUUUUGUUGCGUACGUGGUGCCAACAAGGCCCCUGCUCCUCACCAGUCGCCAUCACCUGCUCCGGCCAAGGGACUGCCGCCGCUGCCCAUCUCUCCAUGGUGCUGCCGGCGUUGGGAGCCUCCAUCUGAAGAGGAUAUCCAGGCGGAGGGGCAGGCCAUAAGCACCAGGCCCAAGCUUUGAAGAAGAUGAUGCCUUGGGCUUAAGUUAAAGCACCAGGCCCAAGCUUUGAAGAAGAUGAUGUCUUGGGCUUAAGUUAAAGCACCAGGCCCAAGCUUUGAUGGAGAUGAUGCUAUGGGCUUAAGUUAAAGCACCAGGCCCAAGCCUUGAUGGAGAUAGAGCCCAAGCUUUCUUUUAAUGGAUGGACGUGGGCUUGAUGGAGAUGGAGCCCAAGGCUUCUUUUAAUGAAUGGAUAUGGGCUUGAUGGAGAUGGAGCCCAAGGUAUUUUUAAUUGAAUGGAUGUGGGCUUGGGCUUAUGGAAUGGGGUUAUGAGAGAGAUGGAAUCCAAAGCCCUUUUAAAACCCUAUUAUCACUAUUGUUAUUAUUAUUUUAAAUCUUACUAUUAUUAUUAUUAAUUCAACUUUUCAAAUAUUAUUAUUAUUAUUAUUAUUAUUAAUUCAACUUUUAAAAUAUUAUUAUUAUCAUUAUUAUUAAUUCAACUUUUAAAAUAUUACUAUUAUUAUUAUUAGUUCAACUUUUAAAAUAUUAUUAUUAUCAUUAUUAUUAAUUCAAUUUUUAAAAUAUUAUUAUUAUUAUUGUUAUUAACUCAACUUUUAAAAUAUUAUUCUUAUUAUUGCUAUUAAUGCAACUUUCAAAACCUUAUUAUUAUUAUUAUUAUUAUUUCAAAAUAUUAUUAUUAUUAUUAUUAUUUCAAAAUCUUAUUAUUAUUAUUUUUUUCGUUAAUUCAACUUUUAAAAUAUUAUUAUUAUUAUCAUCAUUAAUUCAACUUUUAAAAUAUUAUUGUUAUCAUUAUUAUUACUUCAACUUUUAAAAUAUUAUUAUUAUUGUUAUUAACUCAACUUUUAAAAUAUUAUUCUUAUUAUUGCUAUUAAUGUAACUUUCAAAACCUUAUUAUUAUUAUUAUUAUUAUUAUUAUUAUUUCAAAAUCUUAUUAUUAUUAUUUUUUGUUGUUAAUUCAAUUUUUAAAGUAUUAUUAUUAUUAUUAUUAUUUCAACUUUUAAAAUAUUGUUAUUAUUAUUGCUAUUAAUUCAACUUUCAAAAUUUUGGUAUUAUUAUUAUUAUUUCAAAGCCUUAUUGUUAUUAUUAUUAUUAUUAUUAUUAUUAAAAAUCCAUAUCCUCGUAAUUUAAUUUCCUAAAGUUCAUUUCUUAUUAUUAUUAUUAUUAUUAUUAAAAAUCUAUACUCUAGUCGUUCAAUUUCCCGAAGUUCAUUUCUUAUUAUUAUAAUUAUUAUUAUUAUUAUUAUUAUUAAAAAUCUAUAUUCUCGCAGUUCAAUUUCCUAAAGUUCAUUCCUUAUUAUUAUUAUUAUUACAAAUUCAACUUUCAAAACCCAUGUUCUCGCAGAUCAAUUUCCUAAAGUUCGCUUCUCAUUUUCUUUAACAAAUUUCAAUUUAAUUAUUGGAACUCUAAUCUUUCAAAUUUAAUUCCAAAUACUCCAAUUUUCAAAUAAACUCCAAGAAUCCAGUUUUCACUCGAAUAGUUUUAAUCCCAUUUCAGUUCCUAAAUAAUCUUUUAAUCUUCUUGAGUUUACAUAAGCAAUAGUAAUUCCUUCAUAAUUUUGAAACGCGGGAUUUGUGAGAAUAGUUCAUGAACAAUAAAUCGGGCUUUGUUGGGGGCCCUAUGUUUGACCCCUUUUGACUGUCAAUUAUCGUGCUUACUGUAUUUUGCUUGAGCUUCGCUUUGUACUCCGAUACGUAUGAGCUAUGUUUUGUAUUCAUUAAUUGUGCACUAAUCCCGUUUCUUGGUAGCGCAUUGCGGCUCGUGGCCGAGGUAUGCAUCCACUCCCUUUCUAGUCAAUCUCUAUUGCGUGUUUUGAUUCUCAUAUUGUGCAUGAUUUAGGUGAAUAUCCAUUGACUUUCUCGUUGAUUGCCACAUCAGUUUUACUGUAUUAGUAGAGACCCGACUUUAGGGGCUUAGAGGGGUGCUACGGUCUUUACCGUACCUUCCCGAUGAGUAACCUGACCCCCGACCCGAUCCGGUUUUCACAGACCACCUUUUCCAAAACAAGGAGUCACACUUAGGGUUUUUCUUUCUUAUUUUGUUUACCAUUUAAAAAUAAAACAAAAAUAAGUGGCGACUCCAAGUCAUUUCUUUUUAAUAAAUAAAAAUCAUUUUUCAAAUCAAAAUCGAGUUUCGCCAUUGAGUGGGAAACGCAUUGAGCCGAAAUGCGGGGUCCACACGGGGUCAUGGGCUGGCUUUGCAAAGUUGGUGGGGGUCCUUUUGGCAAGGCUUUUCCGACGUGGGGACAGGGAAGGUUCUAGCGGGGUUGUUGGGAGGGUUUCGACGAAGAAAAAGAGUUUUUCCAGCGGGGUGGGGGUCUCGCCGGAGAGGAACGGUGACAAUGGAGGAAAAUAAAAUAAAAAAUUGAACCGAACGGUUCGGAAGGAACUGUCCAGUUCAUCCGGUUCGUCGAUUGGACCACCAAUUUAACUAGUCCAAUUCCGAUCUGACCAUUUUCCAACCCAUUUGACUGAACCGGAACCGUGACCGGCCGACAGUCAAACCGACUAGUCCAGUUCAGUUUUUAAAACCAUGAUAUAUCAACAAUAUAUCAGCAGAAGGCAAUAAAUCAUCGAUUUUUCUAAAUAAUCUGUUGAUAUAGCAUAAAAUCGUCAAUAUAUCGACGAUAAAUCGCUAAUUUUUUUAGAAAAAUCAAUGUCCUUGUUGAACGUGAUAUGAUGGCCCAGAUCACGUCGAAGUGCAACGGUCAUGUUGCCAGUCCAUUAGACGCUCCAAAUUUAAUCUAGGUUUGAUUCAAUGGUUGGGAUGACAUUCCAAUGGUUAUUUGAUAAUCCAACUGUCAGAUUUCACUCAGAUUUUAUUCCAACUAGCAAAAAUGUUUUUCAACAAUUAUUUUGGUCAAAAAUUUUCCUAUAAAUAACUCAUUUUACAUCCAUUUGAUCCACAUUUCAUUGCAUUCUUCAUUUGAUCUCUUAUUGCUCAUAAUUUUUCUAAAGUUGCUCAUUUAUUUAAUUAUUUUAAGGUAUGUUUGUUUGAAAUUUUAAUUAAUUUUGUUUUCAAUUGUAAAUAAUUAAUAUAUUUUCAAUUAAUUAGUAUAUUUUGCAAUAUAGAUGAUUUAAUGUUUUUUUUACAUUCAAUUGUAAUUAAUUUGUAUAUUUCCCAUUAAUUAAUUUGGCUUAAUUUGGUCAUUUAAUUUUAGAUGAAUAUGUUAAUUUUAGAUGAUUAUUUAAUUUCAUUUUUAUAUUCAAUUUAUAGUGAGAUUUAGAUUUAGUAAAUUAACUUAGCUAAAUUAUUUAAUUAAUUUAAUUAACAACAAUUAGUAUAUUUAGAAUAUGUUCAUUUUAAAAGAGUAUAUAUGAAUAUUUACCAAUUUAUAAACCGAAGUGGCUAAAUAGCUCAGUUGUUUCUUUCCUCACCACCUUUUAUGCCAAGUUCUCUUUUAUUAACGAGAAAAUAUGUGCCACAUCAGAAAAUGACAAAGCAAAUCUGAUGGUGGGCCUUGGAGGGUAGUAGGGGAGCGUAACGUGGCCUAGUUAGGGUGUUGGUCAAACAUGGGUUACCCUAUUCUGAAGAAUUUGACUUGGAAUUAUGACUGUAGAGAUGAUAUUAAAGCUUCCUUAGGGAUGAUUUCUACUUUUGUUUCCCCAUGUGGUUAAAGCGUUUUUAUUUUAUAUUAAAAUUAUUUUGAUAAUAAUUUUAAAAAAUAUUUUUAAUAUAAUAAUAUUUAAAAAAUUAUUUUUUAAAUAUUAAAAAAUUAAAAACACUUUCUAAAAUCACUGUCAAAUAUUUUUUUUUUUAAAUCUUAAAAAUGGUUUAUCAUUUGUAUUCCCCUAUCUAUACCUAUAUCUUUUAUCAAUUGUAUCUGUGGGAUCCUCCCCAAAAAUUGCCACAUGGCUCCCUCUCCCUUGGCCGCGCAAACGGCCCCCCUUUCGACGCGUGGAAUCAUAGCUCAUUCCACCCAGGUAGGAAUUCCGUCUGGCUGGCGCCACUUUACUCCUGACGUCUCACAUCCGGAAUUCUGUCCGGCCAACGUUCUACCUUAUCCGGAUGUCUCACAGCCGUAAUUCUAUCCGGCCGACAUCCCACUUUCUCCAAAUAUCUCACAGCCGCAAUUCUAUGCGGCCGACGUUCCAUCUUCUUCUGAUAUUUCACAUCCGGGGCCUGUCGCCGGAUGGGAGAGGAGGACGAUUCAACUUCCCCGGGCAGACAUGUCCGGAUCCUUCGAUAUGGCUUAUCCGGAUAACAUCUGUGGCCAAUGAUUCAGAUUCCCCGGAUAGCUUGGCUCGUCAGAUACUCGCGAUCCGCCGGAUCCAUUUUCGCCCACAAUCAAAAAACAAACUCUUACAAUACUGACAACCAAGUCUCCUGAACUGUCACUCAUCUUUAAUGCAAGAUAUGCUCGACAAAAUAUUCCCAAAUCUUCUCAGGUCUCCUGACACAUCCCUAAUAUUUAAAGUCAUAAAUUGAGGCAACAUCCACCGCCUAACUAAAUAUCCUCCUGACAGCCGCCAUCUUGGACCAGAAAUGUCAUGAUUACUUCGCCACCUUAUGAGCCACAAUCAUGAUGAUGGGACCCGCUAGCACAACGAGGCCAUACAUUCUUACUCGUAUAUAAACUCUAAGGAGGCUCUCAGAGAGAUAAGCCAUAAGCGAUAAGCAACAAGAAAGAAAGGGAUAAACAUCCUGCUAAGGGAUAAGCAUCCUUGACGAAAUUCAAGGGGCAACACUCCCAAAGGAAAACUCUAUUUUCCAACAACUUCCAAAAGACUAACUUAAUCAUCGGAGGGUGUGUCCGGACAACCCAUCCGGACAUAUUUUUUGCAGGAGGAAGGAGGAAUUACUACAAUGCGUUGAUCGAGAUUCCGUUGUCGGUGAUUACUAUUGCAGUAGGGGAAUUUUGCCAUCAACAUUGGCGCCGUAGGUGGGAACGUCUUUUCUUCUCAGUAAAUCCUAUACCUUCCAACUGUAAAGAUGACUUCACCCUCAAGAAGGCAUUCUUCCGCCAGAGAUGACGAAAGUUACUUCGAAUGGCAAGACAGCAUGGAGAGACGACAGCGAAAAAACGAACGGCAUAUGCAAAUUCUACUCCAAGAAACAAGGAAACUCAGGGAAGAAAACAAUGUCUUGAGGAUCCGAAGCUCUUCCCAACCUCAGCACUAUCAGCGGAUGCAGGACCCCUGUCACAACCAGGGAGCUCCAUUCCCCCGAGGGGCGAGCCCAACCCUCAAGGCGCAUGAAGCAUGGCCUAGCGAAACCCCGGUGCACGCUCAUCAUGUCCGACGAGACGAAAGUUCAGGCUCCACUCAAGUCUCGUCUAAGCGACAGCGUGAGAAAAGGCCCCAAAUAUCUGACGCAACGUGCACGCGUCUGGGACCCCAAACACCUUGCAAAAACAGGCCUCAUACUGCCAUAUCACUGGAUGCACUCUCCGAGCCUUCAAGCUCACCUACUUUACAGGGACAUGCCUCCCGCCCACUUGUGGCGCGGGUUGGUAAAGAUCCCUCGCACACGGCCCCUCCGGGCUCUAUCAGCAGACGCCACUCUGGGUCGCUUUGGCACCAGAGCCAAAAAUUGGGUCGCUUUGGCACCGAUACAAAUGGAGACAAGACGUCACUCUGGGUCGCUUUGGAACCGAUACAAAUGGAGACAAGACGCCACUCUGAGUCGCUUUGGCACCAGAGCCAAAAAUCGGGUUGCUUUGGCACCGAUACAAAUGGUGGCAAGACGUCACUCUAGGUCGCUUUGGUACCAGAGCCAAAAAUCGGGUCGUUUUGGCACCGAUACAAAUGGAGACAAGACAUCACUCUGGGUCACUUUGGCACUAGAGCCAAAAAUCAGGUCGCUUUGGCACCGAUACAAAUGGUGGCAAGACGUCACUUUGGGUCGCUUUGGCACCAGAGCCAAAAAUCGGGUCGCUUUGGCACCGAUACAAAUGGAGAUAAGACGCCACUCUGGGUCGCUUUGGCACCAGAGCCAAAAAUCGGGUUGUUUUGGCACCGAUACAAAUGGUGGCAAGACGUCACUCUGUGUCGCUUUGGCACCGAUACAAAUGGUGCCAAGACGUCACUCUGGGUCACUUUGGCACCAGAGCCAAAAAUCGAGUCGCUUUGGCACUGAUACAAAUAGUGGCAACACCCAAAUGUUGCAGAAAAGGCCGAUGUUUUUGUUGCCUAGAAUGGUACCAGGAGGGCAACGCGCUGGGGUAAGAGCAUUGCCACCCAAGGUCGAAUCCUGGGGAGGCCACUCUGAUCCUGGCCCAUUCCGGCUGUGAUGCCCCCGUCUGGCACAGUUUGGUGGUACGGCUGGUUAAAGCCAAAAAUUCCAAGAGGGAAACAAUAAGGGGUAAGAGCAUUGCCACCCAAGGUCGAAUCCUGGGAAGGUCACUCUGGUCCUGGCCCAUUCUGGCUGUGAUGGCCCCGUCUAGCACAGUUCAGUGGUACGGCUGGUCAAAGCCAACUCUGGUCCAAUCCCGGAUAAAGCAAAUGACGUCCCAACACGGCGGACAAAGAUCCCCCGGCAUCAGACCCACUAGAAGCUAUACAGAUAUCAGAGGGAGGUGAAUGUUUCACAUGCGUCAGUACUCUCCUCCCGCCAGCCAAAAGGUUCGAGCUUCAAAAGGUGCUCCAACAAAAUUGCGAUAUCUUCGCUUGGAUCCCAAACAAAGAAUCGACUCCGGAUGAUUGGUGGUCUCUGCAUGUUGAUGGGGCCUCCCGCUCGUCCGGAUCAGGAGUCGAACUCCUCCUCAAAGCACCAACCGGCGAACAGGUGGAACAAUCCAUCCGUCUGGAUUUUCUCGCUUCAAACAAUGAAGCUGAAUAUGAGGCCAUCCUAUCCGGACUGGGCCUUGCGACCACUCUAAACGCCUCAAAAUAGUACGAGGCCAAAGACUAGCGCAUGGCCAAACACUUAUUGAAAAUACAAGAAUUACUCAGCCGGUUGGAAGAGUGGGGCAUUGCCUGAAGAUCCCAAGCGCGCCUCACUAGCUCCCACAACAAGAAAGCACCACGUGCCAUUGUUGUCCAUAUGAAAGAGAAAUUUUGUAAAGGUAGCAUUUUUAUCCCGCCUUUUCUGACCAGGCCAGACAGGCGAUAUAAAAAGGGGGGCAUUGUGGGAUCCUCCCCAAAAAUUGCCACGUGGCUCCCUCUCCCUUGGCCGCGCAGACGGCUCCCUUUUCGACACGUGGAAUCAUAGCUCAUUCCACCCGGAUGGGAAUCAUAGCUCAUUCCACCCGGGUAGGAAUUACGUCCGGCUGGCGCCACUUUACUCCGGACAUCUCACAUCCGGAAUUAUGUCCGGCCAACGUUCUACCUUAUCCGGAUGUCUCACAGCAGCAAUUCUAUCCGACCGACAUCCCACUUUCUCCGGAUAUCUCACAGCCGCAAUUCUAUCCGGCCGACGUUCCAUCUUCUCCUGAUAUUUCACCUCCGGCGCCUGUCGCCGGAUGGGAGAGAAGGACGAUUCAACUUCCCAGGCCAGACAUGUUCGGAUCCUUCGAUAUCGCUUAUCUGGAUAACAUCUGUGGCCAACGAUUCAGAUUCCCCGGAUAGCUUGGCUCGUCAGAUACUCGCGAUCCGCUGGAUCCAUUUCCGCCCACAAUAAAAAAGCAAACUCCGACAAUACUGACGACCAAGUCUCCUGAAUUGUCACUCAUCUUUAAUGCAAGAUGUGCUCGACAAGAUAUUCCCAAAUCUUCUCAGGUCUCCUGACACAUCCCCGAUAUUUAAAGUCAUAAAUUGAGGCGACAUCCACCGCCUAACUAAAUAUCCUCCUGACAGCCGCCAUCUUGGACCAGAAAUGUCAUGAUUACUUCGCCACCUUAUGAGCCGCAAUCAUGACGAUGGGACCUACUAGCACAGCGAGGCCAUACUUUCUGACUCGUAUAUAAACUCUAAGGAGGCUCUCAGAUAGGUAAGCCAUAAGCGAUAAGCAACAAGAAAGAAAGGGAUAAACAUCCUGCUAAGGGAUAAGCAUCCUUGACGAAACUCAAGGGGCAACACUCAAAAAGGAAAACUCUAUUUUCCAACAACUUCCAAAAGACUAACUUAGUCAUCGAAGGGUAUGUCCGGACAACCUAUCUAGACAUUUUUUUUGUAGGAGGAAGGAGGAAUUACUACAACGCGUUGAUCGAGAUUCCAUUGCUGGUGAUUACUAUUGCAGCAGGGGAAUUUUGCCAUCAACAGUAUCGUUUUUCAUGUGAGUUAAAGUUUAUGGUUUUUUGGUUUUUUGGUUUUUUCAAACAUCUGGGAGGAGAAUGAAUAAUUUUGAGCUUUAUGGGGCAUGUGGAUGCUACGAAGCUGAAAUUGAUGGGAAGCAUGGAAGCCAAGUUCUUGCCCUACAGUAGUAGAUAGUCAAUGGAUUUUAUAAUUUCCGAUCAAUUUUCCUUUUGUCCAGUAAUCUUCAUAACUGUUAUCAUUAUCUUCAUUAACAAACCAAGUGAGACUGAGAGUGAGAGAGGAAUUAAAAAGUGUACAGUCAUUCUCUCCGCCACGUUCUCUCACCGCCACCGCCAGCCCACCGACACCCACACCUUCAUCGCCGGAGAUAGCCCCGCCGUGAUCUCCCUUUCCCUCCAAUGCACCUUCACCCAUCGCCGCCCUUCCCUUCUCUCAUGCCGACGCAACCCUUUCCACCAUGCCUACAUCGCACCUGUUCCCAUGGUACUCGGGCGCAUUGGACUCAUUCAUUAUUGAUAUUGGGUUUCCAUUAUUGAUAUUUGGGUUUGUUGAUAUUUGUUUUGGGCCUUUGCUUGAAGCUUUGUUUGUGGGUUGCAGCGAUUUUAUUUUCAUUUGGGCCUUAGGGCAUUGUUAUACAAUUAACGUGUGGUUUUUGGUUGUAUACAUUUAUUUAAUUUGACUAAUUAUUAUUAUGUUAGGCUUAUUUUAUUACUUAAUGGAGAAGUGAAAUUCUAUUUUUUUAAAUAAGGAUCAAAUUUGAAUUUUUUUAAAAAAAAAUAAAAUUAUGAAAAUUUUACCUUUUCUAAAAAAAUGAAUGAAAGACAUUUUGUUACCAAAGUUUAUAAAAAUUUGGUUCAUAGAAAUUUGAAAAAAUAUAUAUAAAGGAAAAAAAAAAGGAUAAAAACUAAAAAAUAAUAAUUAAAAGAUUUAAAUUUAAUAAAUGAUUUGUAUAUGUUACUUGAAACUCAAUAUUUUAUAAAAAGAUUAAAUAAUUUUAAAUUGCAUGAAUUUUUAAUUAAUUUUAAUUAUAUUUGAUUUUUGUUUUACAAUUUUAUAAUAAAAUUAAAUAGAAAAAAAUUAGUUUUUUUAAUAUUUUUCCUUGGCAUUUUUCUUAAACAAAACAUACUAUUAAAAAUUACGAAUUUUUAAUUUUUAAUAUUUUUCCCUGGCAAUUUUUUAUUUUGUAUAAAAUCAAAAUUUGUUUGAAUAUAUUCUAACUUUUUUAAAAAAUAAUUUUUAAGAAUAAAAUUCAAUUUAGAAACUAAAAUAUAAGAACAACAUUCUUGGAGCAUACAUACCAAUUACUGAAUUUGGAAUUGCGAUAAAAUUAUUUUAGUAAAUUACAAAUUUUAAUUCGAUGUUUUGAAAUAGGAAAUAGUAACAUGGGAUGGAACAAAAAUCAUUGAUUGCGAAUGCCCCGAAAAGGAAAGUCUUAAAGCAUGUUUGUUAACUUACAUUAAAAUUAUUAUUAUUAUUAUUAUUUAAAAGAAUGAUAAUAUUUUAAACUAUUAAUAAGGAAUAAUAUUAUUUUAAAUUUUUAAAUAAAUUUUAAUUUAUUUAAAAAAUGGAUAUUAUAUUAAAAUAAUUAUAGAAAGACAUAUUGAUAAGUAUCUUGAGUUUACUCCCCACCAGGGAAGUUGCUCGAACCAAUUUGCUGUCGAAGGCAUGGCGAAAGCUAUCUGCUUUUUCCUCUCUCCCAGUUUUGAUGUUCGAGUCUGCGGAUUUUCUCGCUUCACCUCGCAAAGACACUAACGUCUCCUCCUUUAUCAAUGUCGUCGAUUCCUACCUAAAACUCCGUCAGAAAGACGCAAGUCUUGCGAAACUCCGGCUCCAUCUGCAUCUCAAUGACGUCGAAUCGCGUUCGCUGAUAGACUCGUGGAUCGACGCGGCACUUGAGAGGAAGGUGAAGGAGCUGGAUCUAUUUAUGCUACCCAGGGGAAGGGCGAGAGGAAAACCUUACAGCUUCCCGGCUAAAAUUUUUGCUGCCACAACAAUUACUGUUCUCAGUUUACGGCGUGUCAUAUUGGAAAUCUGUGGUGAUAUAGAUCUUCCGGCGCUACGAAAGUUGUAUUUAGGAGAAAUCCGGUGUGAUGAACAACCAAUUCAGAAACUGAUAUCAAGUUGCCCUUUGAUCGAUUGUUUGCACAUCGAAUCUUGCCACGGGUUACAAAAGCUUCAUGUUUCGGGGCUUGCUAAUCUACGUAGGCUGGAAGUAAUUUGGUGUUAUGAAUUGAAAAGGAUUGAAAUCAAUGCGCCAAGCCUUCAAUAUCUCAGCUAUCAACAAGGAAAAUGCCCGUGUGACGUGGUCUUGAGGGCCUGUGAAUUUCUCAGAGAGUUAACAUUUUGGUACUCAAUUCCAAAAUUGUCUCUGGACUUCCGAACCUUGAGGGAUUGGGGAUAAGGUGCACUCAAUUGCAAAGGAUUGAGAUUUCGCAUCAUCAGCUCAAGCGAUUAGACCUAAGUCUAACUGAAAACCAGAGCAACGCGAAACUCAAGAUUGAUACCCCAAAUCUCCAGUCAUUCAAGUAUGGUGGCCAUAGAAUGCCUUUAGCCUCUCUCAUAUCAUCUAUGAACACUUCAUCUCUACAGGAAGCUGAGAUUCAUUUUCUCAGCUUUGAUAAUUAUAGCCAUCUCAAUUGAAAGAAUUUUUUGAAAAAUUGAAGCAUUGUCAAGUUAUAAAACUACUCAUAAAAUCCAAACGGGUAAAUUUCCCUUCAUCUCAUUGAUGAAAAUUUAAACAGUAUAGGAUCACAUGUUGACAUUUAAGCAUGCAUUGAACGGCAAAAACGGAAACGUUCACCUUGGUUAAUUCCGUGAAAGGCCAUUUCUUUCUCUUUUCUGGUAUUCAGGAAGCUCCUCCAGUGCUUGAUGGUGCGAGAAUUACGGGUUAAUGAGCUCUUCCCUUCUACACCUAGAUUCAGUCCAAAACGAGAGUGCGUGCUCUCUUUCAGCCAGCGAGAGAAGCCCCUUUUUAUUCUUUUAUAUAUAUAUAUAUAUAUAUAUAUAUAUAUAUAUAUAUAUAUAUAUAUAUAUAUCACACACAUUAUUUGGACCACCACUUGACUUAAUGGGCCAGUCAAGUGAAUUAGGAUGAGCCCAUAAAAAAAUCAAGCAACAAUAUGUGUCCAGUCCCAUUAUGGACUACAAUGCAAAAAUAAAUAAUACUGAUUUAUGACAUUAUUAAAUUGAUUAUGUAAGUUCACACAUAAAAAUUCCAACAAUCUCCCACUUGGACUACAUAAUCAAACAUUACAACAUACACAUAAUCAUAAAUCAAUGUCCCAUAGAAUCUCAUCAUAAAUAAAUAAUCAAAAGCAAUCAUAUAUGCUUCAUUGCUUGAUUCAUAGGGAAAUGUACAAUAAUAGCAAUCCUUUCAACAAUAACAUAGUAUUACAAUACCAAAAAUGGCUCCCACUAACUUAAUAUAACCUAGGCUUCCAACAACCCCAUUUGAGAUACAUGUUCCUGAAACGCAAUUAUGGGUAAGCCUUUUGUUAAUGGAUCCGCCAACAUAUUUUUUGUGAACAUGUGUUCAAUAUCAAUAAGAGACUCUGCCACUUUCUCCUUAACAAAAUAGAACUUUACAUCAAUAUGUUUGGAGCGAGAAAUACUCCUAGUGUUCUUGGAGAAAGCAACAGCUGCAGAAUUAUCACAAAAUAAUUUCAGCGGUCUAGAAAUGGAGUCAACAACUCCCAAAGCUGAAAUAAAAUUCUGCAUCCACAUAACAUGACAACAAGCCUCAUAACAUGUCACAUACUCUGCCUCCAUAGUUGAGGAUGUUGUAAGUGUCUGCUUGAUACUUUUCCAAGAUACAGCUCCUCCUGCCAUCAUAAAAAUAUAGCCCGUAGUGGAUUUCUUAUCAUCUAUGCAGUCAGCAAAAUCAGCAUCACAAAACCCAACUACAUGCUGAUAUGUCAACAUUAAGUUCUUAGUUCCUUGCAAAUACCUAAGGACCUUCUUAGCUGCUUUCCAAUGUUGACUCCCAGGAUUGCUCAAGUACCUUCCCAACAUGCCCACAACAAAAGCAAUAUCAGGACGUGUACAUACUUGAGCAUACAUAAGGCUGUCCACCACAGAUGAAUAAGGAAUGGUCUUCAUUUCCUCUCUCUCAUCAUCAUUUUGAGGACACUGAGCCUUUGAAAAUUUAUCACCCUUCACAAUUGGCGCUUUAGUAGAUUUACAGUUGUUCAUAUUGAACCUCUUCAAUAUCCUUUCAAUAUAGGCUCUUUGAGACAAUUUAAGCACUCCAUUAGCCCUAUCACGAAGAAUCUUUAUGCCCAAGACAUAAGAAGCCUCACCAAGAUCCUUCAUGUCAAAAUGGGUUGACAACAUGUGCUUUGUCUCAAUCAACAAGUCAGGAUCAUUUGAUGCGAGUAGUAUAUCUUCAACAUAUAAAACAAGAAAUAUGUAACUACUCCCACUAACCCUCAAAUAUAUGUAUCUGUCAACUGUAUUCUCUUUAAAACCAUUUUGGGUGAUAAUACUAUCAAACUUCAGAUACCACUAGAUCUUUCAUCAACAGAGCUCACAUCUUCAAAAUAUACAACCUUGUCUAACUCAAUGAUCCUGGUGGUAUGAGAUGGACAAUAAAAUCUGGAACCCCUUGAUCCAAUGCAAUAACCAACAAAGAAACCACUGAUGGUUUUAGGAUCAAGUUUCUUUGACUGUGGAUUAUAUGGCCUAACCUCAGCCUUACAUCCCCAAACAUGGAAAUGAUGAAGGCUUGGUUUCUUCCCUGACCAUAGCUCAUAAGGUGUCUUAAGCACAGAUUUACUGGGCACUUGAUUCAAAAUAUAUGCUGCAGUCCUUAAGGCUUCACCCCACAGAAAUUCUAGUAAAGAGGAAUUGGACAACAUGCACCUCACCAUAUCUAACAAUGUGUGAUUCCUCCUUUCUGCAACCCCAUUCUGUUGAGGAGUGCCUGACAAUGUAUAUCUCGCAUCAAUGCCACAUUCCAACAGAAACUUAGCGAAUGGUCCAAAAUUCCAUCCAGUCUCAUCAUAUCUCCCAUAAUACUCACCAUCUCUAACCAAUCUCUCUAAUCUUUGCCUAGAAAAAUGACCUAGGCGUUUGUGCCACAAUAUGGAAGAACUCAAAUUUACUUGGCUUAUCAACUCUCAAAGCCCAGUCCAAAAUGUGCAUAGCCAUAUGCACAUUGAAAGACUCAAAACAUUCCUCAAAAUUAUUCCAGUAAGAGGUUUGAUGGCAGACAAUUGCAGAGUAAUACCAGGAUUGCUAGUAGCUGGAAAAUAGCAAAAUUAAGCAAUAUGCAUGUUACUACAAAAUCAUGCAUUUGCUAGUUUCCAAAAUUUCUCAAUUUAGCAACAGCUUGGAAUUUUGAAAAUUCCACGGCGGUAAGGACAACUAAUUAAAUAUCACAACCAAGAUGCACUAAUUUUAUUACCGAAAGGGCAAAGAAAAUUAGUACGAUUCAUAAUAUAAAAUUAAUUUCCUUCACCAAUCCAAGCAUCCUACCAAAUAUUAUAAUCAUCGAUAGGACAAUCACAAUACCCGUAUGCACCUUAGUUAUCACAAUAAUAAAACAAUCAAAAGAGGGAGAUAAAAUAUCUCAACAAAGACAAUUUGACAUAUAUAAGAUCACGAUAGGCAACCACACAUAUGUUCACAAUUGUCAUGAAUAAAAUUCAAAAUAUCUUAAUUUUCACAAUUUGACACACUUGGAAUUGCGAUAGGCAAUCACACAAGUGUGCUUCAUUGCCUCAAUAAAUUGAAAUAUUUAACAAAAUUGACAUAGGACAACAUUAUUGAUAUAAGGAAAAAAAUUAUACCAUAAAGAACAAUAAUAAUAAUAAUUGUCCCAAUAAAGUCAAAUUUAACAAAUGCAUAAUAAUUCUAGCAUAUGCACAAUCAAUCCAAGAAUACCAAGGCAACAAACAAAAAAAAAAAAAAAAUUUGUUUUGUUUUGUUUGUUUGUUUUUUUUUUUUUUUUUUUGACGUCAUCACGUCACUAUUCAUCUCCUUCUCCAGCUGAACACGGCUUGGUGCAGGAGAAAAAAAAAUUUUCCUUUUUCGGCCAAAAUUUUGGGCAUUUUUCGACAAAAACCGCUUAGAUUUCCAUCCUCAAACAUCAAACCUUCAAUCUAAUCCCAAAAUUUGCACAAAAAACGCAUAAUAGGAAGAACCAAAGCAAGCCCUAAUUCUCGAAAUCCCACCAAACAAGCUCCAAAAAUCAAAUAAAAUGAUGGGUUUUGCUCCAAAAAAUAUUCUCUACAAGUUUCCAACAACAAUCGGGCUUGAAAACAGAGAAUCAACAUCAAACGAGAAAUAAAAUUCCAAAAAAAAUGGCUUCCACAAUAGGAAACGGGAAACCCAAAAAUUAACCCAAAAUUGCAGCUCAAAUGUCAUCCAUGCUAGCUCUGAUACCAAUUGAUGAAAAUUUAAACAGCAUAGGAUCACAUGUUGACAUUUAAGCAUGCAUUGAACGGCAAAAACGGAAAUGUUCACCUUGGUUAAUUUCGUGAAAGGCCAUUUAUUUCUCUUUUCUGGUAUUCAGGAAGCUCCUCCAGUGCUUGAUGGUGCGAGAAUUAUGGGAUAAUGAGUUCUUCCCUUCUACACCCAGAUUCAGUCCAAAACGAGAGUGCGUGCUCUCUUUCAGCCAAAGGAGGAAGGAGCAGGGAGCCAGUCAGCGAGUGAAGCCCUUUUUAUUCUUUUAUAUAUAUAUAUAUAUAUAUAUAUAUAUAUAUAUAUAUAUAUAUCACACACAUUAUUUGGACCACCACUUGACUUAAUGGGCCAGUCAAGUAAAUUAGGGUGAGCCCAUAAAAAAAUCAAGCAACAAUAUGUGUCCAGUCCCAUUAUGGACCACAAUGCAAAAAUAAAUAACACUGAUUUAUGACAUUAUUAAAUUGAUUAUGUAAGUCCACACAUAAAAAUUCCAACACUCAUCUCAUCUCUCUCUCUUUUCUGUCAAAAAUCUUUCUUAUGAAUCAUUGCUUAUUUCGGCUUGCUUGAUUGAAGGAGCUCAUUCUUCCCAAAAAGUUGAGGCCAAUUUUAUCUCCCCCUGUUUAUGAUAUCAAGCAUCUAAACAUAAUAGUAAAUUACCGUUGUAGAUACCAGUACAUCAUAAAUUGCUUGAUUUGGAUGUAUCACCCUCAAACUUUAUCCAUUUCAUCAAGGACCAACCCCAAGUCUUUAAAUGUAAUAAAUUUUCUUCCUUAAUGUUAAUUUAAAUUCGGCUUUAUUUGAAUUAAUUUAUAUAGAAAGUUAAAUAAUUUUUUUAAGCGUUGUGAAAAUUAUAUCAUUAGAAACUUUUAUUUAGCUUAAGACAGAGCUUUUGAUUUCUUAGAAAUCGAUCCAAACAAGGGCCUUAGUCUAACUAUGAUGUUAAAAUGUGAUUACAAUGCAAGUCAUAUAUAACAAGUUUAACAACAAAGAAGAGCACCCCAAGUGUUGCACAACUUGUACCACCAAAUGUUGGCGACAUUAUUUGGAAGAUGUUCAAAUUGAUGGUGAUGAAAGCAGAUUGGAAAUUAACGAAAUUACUGCGAUGCCAGAGUCAUCUACAUUUAUGAAUUGUGAAGUUAGGUUUAGAUUAAAAUGGAGAUCUCAACUACUAUACAAUAUUAGACUUCUUUACACUCUUUAUAUAAAUUGAUGGGAUUUGCAUAAGACUUGAUAUUUGGACAGCUCCUUAUGAAUGUCCCUGUCAUAAGGUUUAUAAGCCUUCAAAAUGCAUGUGGAGAUUAAAUUUUUUGACUUCCCAUACUUUAUGGGAGCAUUAGUUGUAGUGUUUGGCAUGUCCUCUUUUAUAAAAUUUCACCUAUCCCUGUAUAUGGUUGUCCAGAAUGCCUCAAUGCCUUUAACCAUGCUUCAACACUGAUUUCUUAUUCUUCAUUUAGUUUUUGGUUCCUUAUAAAUCAUUCAGUGGUCAAGAUAUUCUGGCCAUCCUUAUGAUAAAAAAAGUUGCUCCAUGCAUUUGAUAACUGAUUUUUCUAACAAAAUUUUUAAAAAACAUAUUUUAAUUAAAAAACACUUCUAAUGAAAACAUUCCUACUUUUGGAGAUAUCAAACAUGAUUACUUUUGAAGGAUGUUUGAAGGAUCUAACAUAGUAGUUGGCCAUUGCAAGCAUGUCUAUAACCACAUGACCAAUGAAUGUACUUCCAAAUUUUAAAUUUUCAAUUUAUUUUACAAUGGACAUUACAUAAUAAAACUGCAAAAUAACCUUGUAAAGAAAUAUUAGCAUUAACAAUAUAAACAGAAAACCGAGGCACCCAUAUUUUCAGGCUAUGGCUCAAGGGUAAGGUGGUGGAAAAUAGGUAGGCAGAUAGGCUAUCAAUUGGUGCAUGAGAGGCUAUCAAGUUGGUAAGCUGGCGAAUGGAAGUAAAUUAUAAUAAAAAUUGGUAUAUAUAAAAGGAUGAAAAUAUCAGCGAUUAUGGAUAUAUCGGAAAUAUCAAAAAAAUAUCGAUGGAUAUUUUUUUUCACAAAUAUCGAUGGAGCGAAAAUUAUUUAAAAUUCAUAGGAAUGCUUGGAAAAACUCUAAAAAAUGAUAAAAUAAGUAAGAAUACACAUUUUUAAAGUUAUUUUGUAAUUGUAAUUGACAUAAAUAUAAUCAAGAAGAAAAACAUCGGUAGACAGAAAUAUAUCGAUAGAUUCGAUAUUUGAAUUUUAAGAAUAAUAAAUAUGAAUUUUGAAAAUGUAUAAAGUUAAAAUUGAGUUAAGAAAUAUUUGAUUUUAUUGAAUAAAAAUAAUUUAUACAUAAAUAUAAUACAUAUCAUAUUGCAAUAAUCCUUAGUAUAAAAAAAAAAAUCGAUGUUGUUUUAUCAUAUUGUUACACGAAGGAAACUCAUGUUAUUGAAGAUAAUAUUUAUUUAAAAAAUUUUAAAAUACUUUUUUAACAACAUGUUUUAUUAAAUUUUAAAUAAAAAAUUAAAUUAAUUUAUAUAAAAUAUUUUAUUUAAAAUUUUAUUAAAAAUAUGUGAUAAUAAUUUUUUCUAUUAAUAUUAAUUUAUUUAAAUAAUUAAAAUUAGUAAUAAUUUAUUUUAUCACAUCAAUUUUAAUUUAUUAAAUAUCACGAUAAAAAUCGAAAUUUCAAUCCUAGUAGUGAUUUAAUAAAAAUAAAGAUGGAUAAUUAAUAAUUAUUUAUAGCAAGAGAGAGAGAGGAAUAUUGUUCUUAUAUGAUUUGUUUCUUCUUUUUUUUUUUAAAUCUCUACUAAAACUAAAAAUCAAGAGGGCCACCCACUUCUCUCACUCGGUCAUCAAGAAGCCCUUUUCUGAAGUUGCCAUCCAGAGCAGAGAAUCCCUAAAAAGGGCCUAUUUUCCUCUGCCACUCUCAAUCCUCGCAGGUACUAAUCUAAUCAUGUUUUUAUUUUUUUUUGCCCCCGUUUGAUUCCCAAGAAAAUCCACCCCCCAUUCGAUUUCCGGGAAAAUUCAUCAUCGUUUGAUUCCCGAGAAAAUCCAUGGAAAACCCCCAAGGAAAACCAAAAAAUUUGUUUUUUUUUGCUCCCUGUGUUUUCUGGAUCUGUUCCAGGGGUCUCUUUGCUUUUGUGCCAUUGGAUUUCAAUUUCACGAACCCUAAAUCCACGAUUUUUGAGCCGGGCUGAAAAACACAACCUGUGCGCGGGCUGGACUGAUAGGAAAUAUCGGGAAAAUUCCCGAAAAUUUUCCCGAAAAAUCUGUAAAAAUACUUGUGUCAAAUAGGUUGCCGAAAAUUUUCGACAUUUCAAUCCUUGCAGUACAUAUAUUAGAGGUUGUCAACUGUCAAUGUUCUGGAAUUGGGACUGGAAGAGUUGGUUGCUGUAAGCUUUUGAUUUUUCCGAUGUUAUCACCAGGCUAUGUCAAUUGUCACGGUGGUGCUGCCACUAUGGAUAAAAAUAGUUUUCUGUCAUUACUUCUUAGUAGGUAAAAGUUGCUCUCUAUCAUUACCUCUACCCAGUUUCAGCAGCAGAACGGGGGAAUCAAAUUAGCUAACCCGUGUAACUAUAACUAUGGUCAGUUAGUAACUACAGUUAGUUGGUAACCAGAGUUAUAGCUAACCCGUGUAACUAUAACUAUGGUCAGUUAGUAACUACAGUUAGUUGGUAACCAGAGUUAAAUUCUAGAAGUUUUGAUAUAAAAACAUAUGUAAAUCAAUCAGGUGAUCAGGUGAGUGGAAGUGAAGAACACGUUUCCAGAAUUUCUUUUCUCUUCUUUACUCUUUUAUUUUUUCUUCACCAAGAAUGGUAUCAGAUAUUCCACCCAACUACAGUUCAGAAAAGAAAGAAGGAAAAAUGCUGAGGGUUGUGCUUCUUGCAUCAGCUCAUUUGCAUAAGAGGGUGGCACCGAUGAUGAGGAAAUGAACUAUUUCUUUAAAGUAAACAUUCAAUAUUGUUCAUCAUUUGUUGUUUGAUUUAACAUUGAUGUGGUUUUGUAGUUUAAUAUUUUAGUUUCUCUUACCUUGCUGGGAACAAUGUGGAUGGGUUUCUCAGAAGUAUAUCCGUUAACAUCGGAGUUCAAGAAAAAGCCUCCGGGGAAGUAGGAGAAAAACCAAGUGAACAUAUCUCCUACAGUGGGUAGUAUAAGCGUCAUCCUCUAUUAUUUCUACUCUUUCUCUCCUUGCUUCUAUUAUUGUUUGUUUCUUGGUUUUGUAGUGUGAUAGGUGCGAGCGGUAGGGGAUUAUCUCACUGGUCCUGGACAUAGACGCCCACCGAGGGGAGAUGAUUUUAUAGGCGUGCCAUUGAUGGUGUUCGAUUAUGAUGGAAUCCUCUCAAUGACACAUCUGUAAAAUCAUCUUCCCUCAGCGGGUGUCCAUGUCCUGGGACCAGUGAGAUAGUCCUCUACCUCUCGCACCCUUCACACUGCAAAACCAAGAAACAAGCAAUAACACAAGCAAUGCUAUCGUUGAUGGGGAGUAUAUUGAAAUCAACAUGCGAGAAGCUCGCCAAGUUCGAACCCUACAAUGGAUGACAGAAUGCUUGGUUUUUAGUUUAGGCAUUUUAUGUUGGUUUUUAGUUAACCAGGUCGUUUCUGUUUUUUCUUUUUGUUCUGUUUCAUUUUCGUUUUCUCUCUGUUUGUAAUCCCUUUUCUAUUAUCAGUAUCAAACAUUUCGAUUCCUUAUGACUGAAACUUGUCGUUCCAAUCCAAGAGAGCCCUAGUGGAGUGAGCAAUAAAAUAAAAACCAGGAAAAUUUGUCCCACUAAAAAAAUAUAAAUUUAAUUUUAACAAAUAAAAAUAAUGACAACUAAAUAUUAUUAUAAAAAAAAAUCAUCAUUAAUUAAUUACGAAUAUUUUAUACUAUUUCAAUAUUCAAUAUUCUCGGGCUUGAAUUUGUUUGGCCAAAAUGGGUGCAUGGGCCACCAAUCACCCGCAUCUUUUGUGUGGGCAAACCGCAAUAUAAAGGUAUUUUAUUCCUGGUACCAUUCUGGAUCAACCUAGGAAACUGGGAGAACAAAAUAGAACAUGGUCCCAUAACCUUAAGGUUAAACUGUCAGGAUAACACUACUAUGCUAUUUAUUUCUUUAUGUAAACAUUUUCAUGUUAGGUAAAAAAAAUUCCUCCCAAAAUUUUUAUAAUAAUAAAAAUGCAAAUAAUUUAAAGUAACAUGAUAUAAUUUUUUUUAAACUUAUAAAACAAUAAGAUAUAUAAAUUUUAAUAUAUAUAUAUGAAUUAAAUAAAUUUUAACAAAUAACUUCACAUUUAAAUAUUAUAUAUAUUUUAUUUAAUAAAAUGUUAAAAUGUUAAUGUAUCUAUAUCUUAAUAUGAUAAUAUUAAAAAUACAAAAAAAAUAAAUAUUACUAAUUUUUAAUUUCUUUACAUACUAAAACUUUUUUAUAAAUGUUUUAAAUUGUAAUAAUAUAUAAAUUAUGUAUUUAUGACAUGAUCGAUUCAACCAUCGAUAUAACCAAUAAACCAUAAAAUGAUAACUUUUCCAGUUCUUUGAUUAGUUCGAUUAUGAAAAUACUAAAAUAAUAAAUCAAAUACUAUAGUAAGAAAAAAAAAAUUAUUGUGAUAUAGACUAUCGCACAAAGACCAUAUUAGAGAUACAAUUAUCAUAUUCAAAUGGGAAAAGACAUAAUCAUCAUAUUCACUAAUUGAUUAAUCAAGAAAGAGGACUAUAAUAUUUUAAUUUAUUAUAUAGUUAAUAAAUCAAAUAUUACAGUAAAGAAAAAGAUUAUUGUGUUAUAGACUAUCACACAAAGAUCAUAUGAGAGAUACGAUUAUCAUAUUCGGAUGAAAAAAAUACAAUUAUCAUAUUCACUAAUUUAUUAAUCAAUAAAGAGGACUAUACUACUUUAAUUUAUUAUAUAUAACUAUAUAAUAAACUAUCUUUUAUAUUUAAAUUCUAAAAUAAGAUUUUGGUGUUAAAAGCAUUUAAGAAUAAUUUUUAAAUUUUACUUUUUAACAAUUAUUUUCAAAAAUAUUAUCAAACUAAUUUUUAUAUAAGUAUUUUUUUUUAAAUGAAAAUAUGAUAGUUGUUACUUUAGUGUAUUUUGGUAAGGAAAAAAAAAAGGCAUAUUCUUAACAUCACAUUCCACUUCUAUGAAAUGACACCGUUUCAAAGCUGCAAAACAUUACACCCAGUUCAUACUAAAAGCUAUUAUUUUUCAAACAUCCAUUACCUCCCUCACCCAAAUCCUCAUCCAUGGCCUCUCACUUCAAACCCGCCUUAUGUCCUAGUUGAUCAGCCUCAAUUCAAUUGAUUAUACUCGUUUCAUCCUUGAUCAAACCCUUUCUUCUUGAUCAAAGCCUACACCCUCCACGACUCUCCACAAAAUUCCCUAUUUCUCUAUCUCUAAAUACUUUAGAAUAGUGCUAAACAAAGUAAUUUCACAUAUCCAUUUGUCCUAAAAGCUUGUUCCAUCCUUGGUCAGGUGCUUGACGAUGAACAAAUUCAUAGUCUCUCCUACCCCUUCUAUGGAUAACAGUCUCAGCUUUAUGGGUCUUUGAAACGUCCCUUCAAACCCAUAUUUUUCAGCUAAAUAAAAGGGCAAGUGAUCAGUGCAAGGAGGAACCAAAAAAGAACCAUUCAACAAACCAUUAAUCCUUGCAAUUGAAUUAUAAGGAGAAUCGGAUUAAUGGGACAUGGGAUAGAGAGAGAGAGAGAGAGAGAGAGAGAGAGAGAGAGAAAGAGAGAGGUUGUCGUUGAGAAUUGUAACAAACGUGGCAUACCAUAUCACAUGUUCCAAGAUCACGACCCAAUAUGUUAGCAUCAAGAUAUAUGCGACAUCUGUCAAUGAUUACCUAGCUAGUUGUCUUUGCUUUAAGGUUGUUGAGAACAACCUAUUUAAAGGUGGGAUUAAUCAAUACAAACAUCAACAAAUAGUAUUCUAUUUUGACACGAAGUAAAAUUAAUAAAUAUUAAUAUUAAUAAUAUAAUUAAUAAAAUUUAUUUAUUUUAAUUUUAUGUGUAUACUUUUUGGUUUAACUUGUGAUACUAUCUUUUUUUUCAAAUAGAAAAUCCAGUAUCAAAGCCGCUUAUUUUGAUUGUAUGUUUAGAAAAUCAAAAUCGUUAAACAACAUUUAAAAAUACUAUUAGGCUCUGGUAGUGAUAUCCAUCGAACAAAAACUUCAAAUUGUUAAAAUAUAAUUCGUUGACCAAGAGUACAAUCAAAUGAGCCCAAAGCAAUUAUGAUACCAUCAAUAAAUCUUAAAAAUAAAUACCUAAUUGAUCAUUUUUAUUUUUAUUUUUGUUAAUUAGAUGGUUACUGCGGAUCAGUUUAUCAAAUUACAAAAACAUUCUAAAAAGAAUGUCACCUAGCUUGAAUUUUUUUUUUCCCCUCAAUUCAUAUAUUCAACUCUCUCAACUAAAGACCAAGGAUACAACAAUAAAACCAUACACACAAUCAAAUUGGCAUUCAAAAGAAUCAAUAUAACACAUUAAGUGAUGAUGAAGGUCCAACUACCUAAAUAGGAUGGCCACAAACACAAACAUAAAUUGAAACCGAGUCCAUUUCCUUCUCUACCUACAUAUUUCACAAGCUGACACAACGAAAAAAAUAAUACACCAUUUUUUUUUAGACUUUCAACAUCUAUGCUAAAAAAGGAUGAAGACAAAUAAAGGAAAUCCAUCAUCUAAAUCUAAAACGUGGAAAAUAAGAUAAAGGCGUGAAUUUUUUAAAUUUUCAUACUUCUAAGAUCCAUGUAAUCCCAAUCAAACACAUAUACAUCUCAAAACAACAACACCAACUUCCUAAAAUUGAACACGAAACUUUGAAAGAAACCUAUAAAUAUUCAAACUUUAGGGCAUCAUAGAUCCAAAGAAGCCCUAGAACAUAGAGAAGGUUUCACAACAAGAGACUGACCUCUCAAUUAAAAGGAAUAAAACAAAAAUUACAUGAUGAUUCACAUUUAAAAACUUGGUUAGCUUGAAAUCCUGAAAUAGUCUCCUACAUUCAACUUCUGUCAUCAAAUCAACCAACCCACUUCCUUAAAACCAGUGACAUACACAAAAACUAAUUCAAAAUUUGAACAACCCAAAUUUCUUAGUUUGCUCUACCAUAGGAAAGGAAAAAAUAAACUCAAAUCGAUAAACAUACUCAUCAGAAAUACAAAUCCAAUUAAAUAAACACUUCAAAUUGCGAAAAACUUUGCUCCAUAAAUCAUUCUCGUCUCAAUGUAAAAACCUAUAUGCCAAAAUUUGAGACACAACUAGUUGAGAAAAAAAGCUAGACAAAUAGGAGAUUUGAGUGAAUGUGAAAGCAAAUGUAAGAGAAAGAAGGAAUGGGUUACCUCGAGGGAGAAAAUUUGAGCCUUCAACCCCACAAAAGCGACUCCCUCUAUCACUCACUCCUCUCAAUGUCUAGCAAAAAUGUGUCUUUCAUACUCCAAAACACUCACUAUAUGUCUCCACAAAUCUUAGAGAAAAAAUGGUGUGAUGACAGCAAAAGAGAGUAGUGUAAGAAAAGACCCAAAUGAUGGACCUGACGAGGAUGUGGUUGGCUGGAAACAUAGUGGGGUUAGGGCAAACUGAAAGCAUGAAGUUUUGGGAAAAUUGGUAUGAUCAGGUUCAGAUGGUCAAAUUUUGAUUUUUGUGUUUUUCAAUGGUUCAGUUUUGCUUUGUGCUGACAUGGACUCGAGGAUGUUGCUGGCUUGGAGACCUGGAAGGCCAAUCUCGGCACAAAAAAUGGAGCCAACUCAAAGUGCAUAAAAAAAUAUAUUACUUUCCACAUUAAAAGUUGGUUCUCAUAUUUCAUAAAGUUGGGUUCCAAAAACCAUAUAUUUCCCAAAUGGCCGCAUUAAAACACAAGUUUCCCUUGAAUUUAACUUGGGACAAUCAUUUUCAAUACUUUAAUUGGAAUGAGUUUGAAUCAAUUUGAGACGAUCAUUUUCAAAACUUUAGUUUUUGUAAUUCACAGCCAAUUUGGGUUGAGUUUGAGUCAAAGUUCAAAUGACUUGAGCCUAACUUGAACCCAAUUUAAUAUAUUAUCAUAUAUAAUAAUACUCAUUUUCAUAUUAGAUUUUUUUUAAAAUAUUAAAUUUUAUUAUAACAUAUACUCUUUCAUUUGUUAGAAAAAUACAUAAAUUCAUUUUUAUUAUUUUAAAAUAUUUUCCUAUUUACUAUUUAAAAAUUUAUAUAAAUAUAUAAAAAAUGUUUUUUUUAAAUAAAUUAUAAAUAGAUUUGAAUAAUGUAAUUUGGUUAAAUGUCUAACUCGAACAAUCCGCGGUUAACUCGUUUCGUUCCAACUUAAUAUGAGAAUUAGUUGGAUUCAACUUAAGUUGAAAACCUGUCUGAGUGAAAGUCCGAUUGGGUUGGGCUCUCGGGUUACCGAUCAUCUCGGACAUUUUGCAGCCCCUUUUUAGGCGUUGCCCCAGUCUCUUGCGUUCAUCCUAAUUCCGGUACCCACUGAAACCCUUGCUUGAAAAACAGAGACCAGUCGUUACUCUGAUAGCCGGUGGUCGCUGCAGUCUCUGGCUCCACUAUCCCCGACAGGUACACCUCACUGCAAUCACCUCCACAGCCGUUCCUAGCCGCUUCUAGCUGCUCUCAUAUCCACCAUCGUCAUUCAUCUCCGGCAAGGCGCCAACGAGAAUAGCUUUCGUUUUCUGGUGCCUUUGGAUAUACCAUCACGACUGUCAUCUCACCGACGGCCACCGCUUCCCUGCCAUCAUUACUCUUUCUGUUCCAUAGUUCUGGCACCAGCAGCACCAUUGCAGUCAAUGACUACCAACAAUAAGCAACAUUAUUUCAGGUUUAUAUAAUUCCCUGCUCCAUUUAGUUUUCUCAUCAUGACUCUUCGGUUUUUUCAUUGCCUUUCAUCUGGUUUUCACUCUCUGAUUUCUCGCCUAUCAUCUGUGUUUAUUUUUAUUUUUUAUUUUUUGUUGCCUUUCAUCUGAUUUUCACUCUCCCAUUUUCUCUGAUUUUCACUCGCUUUUUCACUCUCCGAUUUUCUCUGAUUUCUUGCCUAUCAUCUGGUUUUUUUAGGGCAUUCCUCAGAGAAUUUAGAGGCAGAUUUUAGGGUUCGACUGUUGCCAGGUAUGACUUCUACAUAUUUUGCUCUUUACAACACCUAUUUUGGUGUCGUGUUCAAGUUGAUUGAGUGUUAGGCAUUUAGUAUUCAAUCGAUUUCCCCACUUCUUUUCUAAUUUCUUCUGUUUUUUCUGGUAGGGUUUUGAGUUGUCAAUAUUCAGACGUUCCUUAAACGAUUUGCUUAAGCAUAGUGUGCAGAGAAGACUUCUCUUAUUCAUUUUUUUUAAAUGAUUUGCUUUGCAAUCAGUGAGACUCUUGUGACCACUCACCCCACUUAAAAAAAAAAUACCCUAACGCAUGUUUUAAUAUAUUCAUAAAAAAUGGAAUAUUAAAUGCAACUGAUUAUUAAAAUUUAUUUAACUGAUUAUUAAAAAUAUAAAAAACCAUAGUAAAAAUCAUGUUAAUGAGUUUUUUUAAAUAUAUUUUUAUAAUAAUUAAAUAUAAAAGAGACAUAAACUUAUAAAUAUUUUUGAGCCCAUCAAGGUAACCUAGUUGAUCCAGGCGAAUGUUGGGAAGUGUGGUCCUAGUAAGAGGCAUAUGGUCCCGAGUUUGAAUUCUGCCAUUGAUGAUAUCUUGAUUUACCCCAUGUUGGUUGUUUCGGGUGUGGUCAGCACCCUAAGUUCUACUAUUAUUACCUUAUGUCACAAACCUUUUUGAUAAGUACCCUAUGCCACAAAUUUUGUCAUAUAUUUAUAAAAUUGUUUUAUUACCCUACUAAUAAAUGGUAUCGGCUUAACUCAACUGAUUUAAAUAGCCAUGUCAUGUGUAGUUCAGUAUGGUUCUAUUUUCUUAGGUUUAGAAUAGUGAAAAUUUUUUAGGUUUUACUUGUAUUUCUUCUUUCCCUACAUUUUCCUAGCAACCAAGCGGAGCCUAAAUAUUAAUAUAAAUCCAACCCAACUCUAGAGUGAACCUUUUAUAACAACAUUAUACUUAUUAAAUGAUCAAAGUAAAACAUCAAAUUAAUUCCAGUUGGGAGAGUUGCUAAUGUGGAGGGAUCAACUUUUGUGUUGGGCUGUUAGGCGGGGAAUCUAACCAAUAAAUACUUAGGCCUGCCUUUUGGGGGGCUCCUUACAAAACAAUUAAGGGUUUGGAACAUGGUGGAGGAGAGGUUUAAAGAAGGCUUGGUGCAUGAAAAAGGCUAUAGAUACAUAUGUGUGUGUGUGUGUGUAUCAAAAGGAGGGAUACUUUGAUCAAAAGUAUGCUGUUUAGCCUACCUAGUUAUUUCAUGUCUCAGUUCAUCAUUUUGAAAAAGAUGAGCUUAAGAUUGGAGUAAAUUCAAAGAGAUUUCCUUUGAGGUCCACACUUGUGAAAAAACCCCAUUGAGUGAAUUGGUUUUUUGUCAACUCAAACAAAAAGAAUGGGGGCCUGGUUUUUUGCCAGCUCGAAUGAAAAGAAUGGGGGCUUUGACAUUAGAAAUCCAUUCACUUUAAACAAGGCUCUCCUUGGUAAGUGGAGUUGUAGAUUCACAAUUAAGAGAGAAUCCCUUGGAAAUAAGCUAAAAUAAAAUAUUUUGGGGAAGAAGGGGGAUGGUGCUCAAGGGGUGUGAGGGAUGGUUCUAGGGUGGGGUUAUGGGAGACAAUAGAAACAGGUGGGAGGUCUUUAAAAGUAAAUCUCACUUCAUAGCUGGUAAUAGAAGAAGGGUUAAAUUUUGGAUAGAUAGAUGGUGUGGAGACUUAUAUUUGGAAGUCUUUACCAACAUUAUUCUCUAUGACAUCCUAAAGAUCCAUGCAUAGCAAAGAUGUGGGAGCAAGUUAGGGAGGGAGUUUGGUGGAGUCCUUGCUUCUCAAGAUAGUUCUAGGACUGGGAAUUGAAAGAGUGACACAUUUCUUAUGAAGAUUGCAAAUGAACUUAGUUAAGAGAUAUGAGAAGAUAGAAUGAGUUAGAAGGAAUCUAAGUGUGUCGAAUAGAUGCUUUAUGUGCAAAGAUGAGGAAAAUCAAUUGAUCAUAUGCUUCUUUAUUUGCGCUAAAGCAAGUAUUAGAUGGUAGCUGGUUUUUUCUCUAUUAAGUGUGGUUUGGGUGAUGCACUUUACAGCAGAGGAUUCUUUUGAGUUGACAUGGAUCAUUCAUUCAUGAGAAAAAAUGGAAAAAAGCUUGGAGGGCCGAUGGAAGAAAAAGAAGGUCAUUGGAAGAUGUUGAAUUGUUGGAUUAGGCAAUUAAAUCUUUUCUAGGAGAUAAUCAUUCAUUGACCAUGAUAAACUUUGUUGAUUGGUUUAGCUUUGAGAAGGAAUUGGUUUUUUUUUUUUUUUGGUUUUCUCUCUUCUAUGGGCUUGCUUAUUGUAUAUAUCAUUUGUACUUUGCUACACUCUUUGCUUUGGUGUUGUAUAUAUAUUUGCUGUGUCUAUAAAAAAGGAAAAUAAUCAAAGCUAAAAAUUGAAAGAGUAACCCUAAAAAAACCAAUGGGACCAGGAGUAUCCAAUUCCUCCCCAUCUACCCAUGUUGACACAUGGGUAUGGGUGUGGGAUCCUUGUUGGACAUUCCUCAGUUUUGAGUAUUUGAUUUGGUUGAUUUACCUUUUAUUUUCAAGUUCUUUGAUAGAUAAUUACAUAAAAAAACCUUUUAUUUUCAAGUUCUUUGAUAGAUUAUUACAUUAAAAAAAGAAAAAGAAAAAGAAAGUUAAGAAGGGAUAAGAAAGUGGGGUGAAUGAGGUUUCUCUACCGGAGGUUUCCAUUAAGGUGAAUGAGGUUUUCGACGAGGGAAAAAGUGGGGUGUCUAAAGGUUUAAGGUUGGAAGGAAAGGAGCUUUUUGGCGGAGGAAGGAUCUCUGAGGGUGGACAGCUUGGUCUAAAGACCAGGUGGGUAGGGUUGGUGACUAAAAGGCCAUUGGGUGGGCCUGCUAGCACAUGGAAGCUGUCACACACGCAAUUUCUAGGUUGAGUUUUUGCGUUUGUGCAGCGUCUAGGCACACCCUAGACUAGCCUUUCCUCAAGCCACAAAGCACACAAUAUUUACAGGGCUCUCCCCAACUUGAAUCUCAUUGAUUUCCAACAGAUUACAAGGGCUCUCUGCAAGGACUCCCACAAUCUCACUGGGUAGUUCACUUGCCUUUAGGAGGCACGAGGCUCUCCUUUUAUAGAGGCUGCAACAAGCAGUCCUAAUCCCACUAGGUAACUGACAUUUGAGUCCUAGUCUGACUCUGAUUCCAAGCUCAACAGACACCACCUUGAGUAGAACUCGGAGUCCUAUUCAAUCUCAAACUCCCAAGCCACAACCUGCUGCAUCAAGACUCAGUCUUCCAAUCUGAUUUAUAGUCUUUGUGUGUUUGGAGUCCCUCUCCUCCUGCAUCAGGUCUCUGUCUCCCACUUUGACUAGAAGUCCCAUGCCAGUGGGAGUCUCCCCUGCUAUAUGUACCAGCCCACAGUGCUUGCUGCUGCAGAUGAUCGCACCUUGCUUGGCUCAUUCCAAUGCCAAAACGUGUUGGCUCAGUUGCCUGCUCAAGACUCAUGUUGUUGCAUUAGUGUGUGUUGGGCUUACGCAUCAAGACCUUUGCUGCUGAGGCUGUGCUCGUCCUUGUUGAAGGACAAGUGAGUAAACUCGAUGUGUAUUGGGUGGAGGUUGCAUCAAUAAGAUUUUUCCAUGAAUGGCAGCAUAACUAUCAUUCAAUCCCAUGAGAAACCGCAUGACUCUCUCUUUCUCAUCCCUUUCCUUAAGUUUCUCCAACCCUCCACAAGAGCAGGAUAGCACUUCAUGAUAGGAUGAAAGUUCAUCCCAAAAAGCUUUAAGCUUUGUGUAGUAAACCGAAAUUGAUUGCUGCCCCUGCCUAUGUUCCACGAUGUCUCGUUUGAUUUGAUGAAUUCUUGAAUCGUUUCCUUGAGAAAAAUGUUCUUGUAGAUUUGCCUAGAUUUCUGCUGCAGUUUCGACAUAAAUCACCACUUCUGGCUAUGUCUGCAUGAAUGGAAUUCAAUAACCAUGAGAUUACCAUAUCGUUGCAUCGUUGCUAGGAAGGAAAACUAUCAUCUGUUGAAGGAGGUGGUUUAAUGGAACCUGUGAUGAAUCCAAUUUUGUCUUUAGCACUCAAAUUGAUUCUCAUAGCCUGACUCCAUGUGCUGUAGUUAUCUCCUUCAAGUACCUUGGAGACAAGUACCAUACCUGGGUGGUUGGAGUGGAGUAGAGAGAAGGGAUCUAAGGCUUCUAUGGUAGCCUUGGAUGAUGUCAAUCCCAUUUUGUUGAUGUCCAUGGCAGCAGCUGUAACAAGGAAUUAAGUUGCGGAAGCGUUUGGAAUAAUUCAGAGUCACUAGGUUUGGUGCUCUGAUACCAUGUGAAAAAACAGAGUAAAACAGAGUAUUUGGAAAUCUUUAGUAUAUUGAACAUAUCAACUUACGGGGAAGAAGAUACAUAUAUACAAAACAUCGAUUAGCCUAUUCCAGGAAUCUAUGUGCAUACGGAUCAAUUACAAUCAGUCAAAAAUAAUCUCCUAUAUACAAUCAAAUCUCAUCCUGAAAUUAUGGGAUUCUUGAUUCUUUUCCCGUAAUACUGUCCCCUCAACUGUAAGUAGAUCUCUAUUGAACUUAAAAAAAUCCUAUCAUUCUGUUGAAUAAAAUCAUCCAAAGAGUGGUAAGCAACCUACAAUUCCUCCUAAAUCCCUUGGAAAGCCCAAUGCAAGCUAAAUGAUUUAAAAUCACUAUUUUAUUUUCAUUUUUAGUGAAAAGAUGUGACACACGCAUUUUGGAAAAGAUGCAACUUACACCAUUUGUUGCAUGGGUUCAGGUGUUGGUAUAUAUACAUGUCCGAUCCUUAAAGUUCCCAAAUUUUAAGAUAUGAGAAAUAAACUAAAAACUAAAAAGGAUUUCAAUGAAGGACAUAGGUACUUGGGCAUGACUAAAGAUUAUAUAGUUGCAUGAUUAAGGUCUGAUUGGUUUAUGUAGAGUUAUAUUUAUUUUGUCAUUUAUUUUUCAAAUGAUGUAAAAAAAAAUGAGCGAGAGAGAGAGAUCGAGAGAGUCUGCGGGUGAGGGAGUGAGAGAGAUUGACAGCAAUGGAAAAAUGCAUCGCGCGGAGAACAGGCGGAAACGGAAAACAAUCAGUUUCGAAGUGGAGUCCAAGGCAUUCGAGCUGGAAAUGGUGGAGAAGGGAGGGACAACCCUAACCAUAACAGAGAGCAAGAAAGGAGUAUCGUCCUGGGUGCGUAUGGGUUUGAACAGUGUAGGGCUACUCAUGGAAGGUCUCCAACAGUGCAUCGAGGAUAGGAGGGAUGGAAACUGGGAGAAGAGAUGGAAGGAGAAGGGUCGAAGCUUCUCCAUGGUGCGCGUAUACAACAGGGCUGGAUGUUUCCUGCGGGUAGGGGUAGUUGAUGAGGUAUCAAAGAGAUACAGCAUUUGUAUCCCUAAGGGCAAAGGAAGUANNNNNNNNNNNNNNNNNNNNNNNNNNNNNNNNNNNNNNNNNNNNNNNNNNNNNNNNNNNNNNNNNNNNNNNNNNNNNNNNNNNNNNNNNNNNNNNNNNNNCAUGGUGAAAGCUUGGGGGGACAAGGAGCCCAGUCCCAUACGAGUGGAGGUGGGACGGGAGGAGAUUAGCAGAAACAUUAGCAGAUUGAAGAACUGCUUGAUUGGAAACUGGGACCCUAAAAACGAAAUAGGGGAAGAUUUGGAAAAUCUGGGCUGGAAAAUGGCAAAGGCUUGGGGAUUGAAAGGUAAAAUGGGGAUUGCGAGUAUGGGUAAAGGGCGAGCUCCUCUGGAAUUCGAGCUCGUGGAAGAAGCAAGAAAGGUUCAUCUGUCUGGCAACAAGGUGGUGGGAGGUGCUCAAAUGGGACUAGAGAGAUGGAAUCCAAGAUCGGGGUGUAUGGAAGAGGGAGAGAUAAGUAAGGAAGUGUGGGUGAGGAUAUUGGGACUUCCAGUCUCGCUCUGGGUCCCUUCGGUGUUGAGAAAGGUGGGAGACGCCUGUGGUGGAUUCUUAGAUGUGGAUCCAAAGACGGAGAGGAUGGAGGAAUUAGAAUGGGCAAGGAUACUAAUUAAAUCGGACGGCGCGAACACCCCGGGAUCGUUGGUGAUAGGGAUUGAAGAGAUCUCUUACUCCCUAUCACUAUGGUGGGAGUCGGUGCCGGUGCUAAGGCAGGAAGAGGGGAGGAAACGCUGCCUGAGCGAUCGGCUACGAGGGGAGGUUAGUGGAGAUGCAACUCCACGUGCGGGGUCGAGAGUGAAGGAGAAGGUGGGUGUGGGGAUCGAGAUGCAGCGUCAGAUGGGAGACGGGACGUGCCGUCUGUUGCAGAGAGAGGGUACAGCAGAACGGGUCUUUUCGCAUGUGGGCCAGCUGCGGGGGCCCGACUCGUGGGCUGGGUCCGCGGGUCCUAGCAGCUUGAAGAACCAGGCUGCUGGGCCAUCUCUAAGCCCAAUGGGGGACCAGCUUGGGCUGCGGCAAGACCCAAAUUUGGGACGGGCUACAGUUGAUGGACUGGGCCAGCUUCAAAAAGGAAAAUCCAGUCUCAACCAGGCCCACGAUGUGGACAAUGGACCCCUUUUAAAGAUCUUCUCCCCUGGCCUCACUGAUAAGAAUAGAAAUGUCUUCACGGAGAAUGUGUUCAUCGAUUACAGAGUAGAAGAGAUAGGAAGAAGGCAGCAGUCGGUCCCACCAUCCCAGGAUACAGAGAGGAUGCUGGAGGAAGAAGCUGCAAGGUACGGCAUUGAUGUAAAUUUGGGGGGUUUUAGGGUACAAGGGGCUUCUUCCUCUAAUUCUCUUUAUUUUGGUCGGUCUCCGGAAAAGGAGGGUUACGACCAUUCUGGGAUGCAAAGGGAGGGAGCUGUGAUUGGAAGUGGGUUCCGAAAUCCAAAUGUAGAGGACCGAAUAGAGAUAAGGAAUGGCUGUUGGGAUCUGGUUGAAAUAAAUAGUGUUGAGCCUUUGGGAAGAAAAUUGGGAAGGAUGGCAGUCCAGACGGAGCCACAAGAGGGUAGUAAGGAGGACCAACUGAACUGGGAGGAGAGUAGUCUGGUUAGAUUCAGCCAUUUCCUAGGCUUCUCUACGGAAGGAUUGGAGGUGGAAAUCCUGAACUUUUUGGGCAAAAUCAGAAAAAGAAAGGAGAAGAUCAUAGGUAAAGGUUUUCUGGAGGCCUCAAGAUUUGAGAGGGAGCUCAAGAGAUUGGAAAGUUCUGUUAACUAUGAAAAGGAAGCUAAGAAGAAAGGCCCUAUGAAGGGUAGAGGGAACCAGAAAGUAGGUGUCCAAUGAAUUUAAGAAUUUUGAGCUGGAAUGUGAGGGGCGUGAAUGAUAGGCUCAAGAGGAAAAUUAUUAAGUCAGUGAUUAGGAGUCAGAAGGUGGAUCUAUUCUGUCUCCAAGAGACGAAGGUGCAAGUGAUGUCUGAUGAGAUGGUGAGGAGUCUAGGGUCGGGGAGAUACAUUGAUUGGAAGGUGUUGAAUGCUAAGGGGACAGCAGGAGGUGUCAUAAUUUGUUGGGAUAAAAGAUCUUUGGAGAUUCUGGGGGUGGAAGAGGGCCAGUUUUCCAUUUCCUGUAGAUUCAGGAAUGAGGGUGAUGGUGCAAUCUGGGUUUUCACGGGGGUUUAUGGACCUUUUUCUAGAGAAGAUAGGGAGGGUUUAUGGGAGGAACUUGGGGCAAUCAGAGGAUUGUGGGAGGAGCCGUGGUGCUUGGGAGGAGACUUCAACAUAACUCUGUACAUAGAUGAUAGAAAUAGAACUGGGAGAAUUACUUCAGCUAUGAGGAGGUUUGCCCAGAUCAUUGACGAGCUAGGACUCGUUGAUAUCCCUUUGCAAGGGGGUUCCUUCACUUGGAGUGGGGGGCUCAACAAUCAAACGCGGGCUAGACUGGACAGAUUCCUAGCAACCCCUUGUUGGUUAGAUCAAUUUANNNNNNNNNNNNNNNNNNNNNNNNNNNNNNNNNNNNNNNNNNNNNNNNNNNNNNNNNNNNNNNNNNNNNNNNNNNNNNNNNNNNNNNNNNNNNNNNNNNNNNNNNNNNNNNNNNNNNNNNNNNNNNNNNNNNNNNNNNNNNNNNNNNNNNNNNNNNNNNNNNNNNNNNNNNNNNNNNNNNNNNNNNNNNNNNNNNNNNNNNNNNNNNNNNNNNNNNNNNNNNNNNNNNNNNNNNNNNNNNNNNNNNNNNNNNNNNNNNNNNNNNNNNNNNNNNNNNNNNNNNNNNNNNNNNNNNNNNNNNNNNNNNNNNNNNNNNNNNNNNNNNNNNNNNNNNNNNNNNNNNNNNNNNNNNNNNNNNNNNNNNNNNNNNNNNNNNNNNNNNNNNNNNNNNNNNNNNNNNNNNNNNNNNNNNNNNNNNNNNNNNNNNNNNNNNNNNNNNNNNNNNNNNNNNNNNNNNNNNNNNNNNNNNNNNNNNNNNNNNNNNNNNNNNNNNNNNNNNNNNNNNNNNNNNNNNNNNNNNNNNNNNNNNNNNNNNNNNNNNNNNNNNNNNNNNNNNNNNNNNNNNNNNNNNNNNNNNNNNNNNNNNNNNNNNNNNNNNNNNNNNNNNNNNNNNNNNNNNNNNNNNNNNNNNNNNNNNNNNNNNNNNNNNNNNNNNNNNNNNNNNNNNNNNNNNNNNNNNNNNNNNNNNNNNNNNNNNNNNNNNNNNNNNNNNNNNNNNNNNNNNNNNNNNNNNNNNNNNNNNNNNNNNNNNNNNNNNNNNNNNNNNNNNNNNNNNNNNNNNNNNNNNNNNNNNNNNNNNNNNNNNNNNNNNNNNNNNNNNNNNNNNNNNNNNNNNNNNNNNNNNNNNNNNNNNNNNNNNNNNNNNNNNNNNNNNNNNNNNNNNNNNNNNNNNNNNNNNNNNNNNNNNNNNNNNNNNNNNNNNNNNNNNNNNNNNNNNNNNNNNNNNNNNNNNNNNNNNNNNNNNNNNNNNNNNNNNNNNNNNNNNNNNNNNNNNNNNNNNNNNNNNNNNNNNNNNNNNNNNNNNNNNNNNNNNNNNNNNNNNNNNNNNNNNNNNNNNNNNNNNNNNNNNNNNNNNNNNNNNNNNNNNNNNNNNNNNNNNNNNNNNNNNNNNNNNNNNNNNNNNNNNNNNNNNNNNNNNNNNNNNNNNNNNNNNNNNNNNNNNNNNNNNNNNNNNNNNNNNNNNNNNNNNNNNNNNNNNNNNNNNNNNNNNNNNNNNNNNNNNNNNNNNNNNNNNNNNNNNNNNNNNNNNNNNNNNNNNNNNNNNNNNNNNNNNNNNNNNNNNNNNNNNNNNNNNNNNNNNNNNNNNNNNNNNNNNNNNNNNNNNNNNNNNNNNNNNNNNNNNNNNNNNNNNNNNNNNNNNNNNNNNNNNNNNNNNNNNNNNNNNNNNNNNNNNNNNNNNNNNNNNNNNNNNNNNNNNNNNNNNNNNNNNNNNNNNNNNNNNNNNNNNNNNNNNNNNNNNNNNNNNNNNNNNNNNNNNNNNNNNNNNNNNNNNNNNNNNNNNNNNNNNNNNNNNNNNNNNNNNNNNNNNNNNNNNNNNNNNNNNNNNNNNNNNNNNNNNNNNNNNNNNNNNNNNNNNNNNNNNNNNNNNNNNNNNNNNNNNNNNNNNNNNNNNNNNNNNNNNNNNNNNNNNNNNNNNNNNNNNNNNNNNNNNNNNNNNNNNNNNNNNNNNNNNNNNNNNNNNNNNNNNNNNNNNNNNNNNNNNNNNNNNNNNNNNNNNNNNNNNNNNNNNNNNNNNNNNNNNNNNNNNNNNNNNNNNNNNNNNNNNNNNNNNNNNNNNNNNNNNNNNNNNNNNNNNNNNNNNNNNNNNNNNNNNNNNNNNNNNNNNNNNNNNNNNNNNNNNNNNNNNNNNNNNNNNNNNNNNNNNNNNNNNNNNNNNNNNNNNNNNNNNNNNNNNNNNNNNNNNNNNNNNNNNNNNNNNNNNNNNNNNNNNNNNNNNNNNNNNNNNNNNNNNNNNNNNNNNNNNNNNNNNNNNNNNNNNNNNNNNNNNNNNNNNNNNNNNNNNNNNNNNNNNNNNNNNNNNNNNNNNNNNNNNNNNNNNNNNNNNNNNNNNNNNNNNNNNNNNNNNNNNNNNNNNNNNNNNNNNNNNNNNNNNNNNNNNNNNNNNNNNNNNNNNNNNNNNNNNNNNNNNNNNNNNNNNNNNNNNNNNNNNNNNNNNNNNNNNNNNNNNNNNNNNNNNNNNNNNNNNNNNNNNNNNNNNNNNNNNNNNNNNNNNNNNNNNNNNNNNNNNNNNNNNNNNNNNNNNNNNNNNNNNNNNNNNNNNNNNNNNNNNNNNNNNNNNNNNNNNNNNNNNNNNNNNNNNNNNNNNNNNNNNNNNNNNNNNNNNNNNNNNNNNNNNNNNNNNNNNNNNNNNNNNNNNNNNNNNNNNNNNNNNNNNNNNNNNNNNNNNNNNNNNNNNNNNNNNNNNNNNNNNNNNNNNNNNNNNNNNNNNNNNNNNNNNNNNNNNNNNNNNNNNNNNNNNNNNNNNNNNNNNNNNNNNNNNNNNNNNNNNNNNNNNNNNNNNNNNNNNNNNNNNNNNNNNNNNNNNNNNNNNNNNNNNNNNNNNNNNNNNNNNNNNNNNNNNNNNNNNNNNNNNNNNNNNNNNNNNNNNNNNNNNNNNNNNNNNNNNNNNNNNNNNNNNNNNNNNNNNNNNNNNNNNNNNNNNNNNNNNNNNNNNNNNNNNNNNNNNNNNNNNNNNNNNNNNNNNNNNNNNNNNNNNNNNNNNNNNNNNNNNNNNNNNNNNNNNNNNNNNNNNNNNNNNNNNNNNNNNNNNNNNNNNNNNNNNNNNNNNNNNNNNNNNNNNNNNNNNNNNNNNNNNNNNNNNNNNNNNNNNNNNNNNNNNNNNNNNNNNNNNNNNNNNNNNNNNNNNNNNNNNNNNNNNNNNNNNNNNNNNNNNNNNNNNNNNNNNNNNNNNNNNNNNNNNNNNNNNNNNNNNNNNNNNNNNNNNNNNNNNNNNNNNNNNNNNNNNNNNNNNNNNNNNNNNNNNNNNNNNNNNNNNNNNNNNNNNNNNNNNNNNCUUGAAUGAUUGGGAGGUGGGCUUGGUGGGUAAUAUUCUAGCUGUGUUGAGGGAUUAUAGUGUUACUAUUUAAGACGAUGCGGUUUGCUGGAAGAAGGGUGAAGACGGGCUGUUUAAAAUCAAGUAUGCGUAUAAUGUGUUGGCAAACUCUCAUGGGCUGGAUUUCCCUCAUAGCAAUGUUUGGGUAGGCAAAGUCCCAACCAAAAUUGCCUUUUUUGCUUGGGAAGCUACUUGGGGGAAAGUCCUCACGUUGGAUAGGCUGCAAAGAAGAGGGUGGCAUUUACCUAAUCGAUGUUUUUUGUGCGGGUGUGAAGAGGAAACGAUCAACCAUAUAUUAAUUCAUUGUACAGUGGCAAAAGGGUUAUGGAAUAUCAUUCUUGCGUUGGGUGGUGUGCAGUGGGUCUUUCCAAAUUCUGUAAAGGAGGUCCUUAGUAGUUGGAAAGGCUCUUUUGUGGGGAGGAAAAGAAAAGAAGUGUGGAAGGCCAUCCCGUUAUUCAUUUUUUGGAAUAUAUGGAAGGAGAGGAAUAGACUAGCUUUCAAAGGGGGGGUGUUGGAUUGUCAGAAAUUAAAAACGUCUCUUGUAUACAUUAUUUGGGGUUGGGCUAAAGUGUACAUUAAUAUGGAGUCGAAAUCCCUAAUAGGUUUCUUGGAGUGGUUAGCCUCCAAGUAGGGCUUGUUUCGUUUUGUUGUUUUUUGAGGGUUGGUAGCUUUGUAUACUUCCUGUAUGCCUUGAGGCUAUUGGCCGUUUUAUAUAUAUCAUUUGCUUAUCAAAAAAAAAAUUUAUUUUGUCAUUUGUUGCAUGUUUAUAUUUAUUUUGUCAUUUGUUGCAUCCAUAAUAUCAACUUUUUCUAAUGCAAGUGACAUCAUUUCUGAUAAAAAUGCAAGUCAUAUUAUUGUAAGGUGUAAAACAGAUGUAACAGAAUGUUGUCAUGUUAUUUGUCAUAUUUCUAUUUUUGAAAAUUUUGAAUUCUUAUUGAGAUUUUCUUUCUAUAUGUAUUAUUAAUAAUUACUGAAGUUUUGUGUUGCUAGAAAUUUAUGUCUCACCAAUUUAAAAUCCAAAUCAGUUGUUUUGAUCAAAAUAAAUAAUAUUUAUCCUUCUUGUAAGAAGUACACAUAUGGAUAGCAUUAAAUCAUCAAAUUGUGUAUUUGUCUAUUUUGUCUUUUAUCACAUAUCAAUCAACAUUAAAUUUAGGUUGUUGAUCUCUUUAUUUUUACUUUACUGGGAUAGUAUUUUAUCUCAACAAAUAAUUAACAAAAUCAUGCCACUUGGUGAUCAACAAGUAAUGUUUGAUGCCAAAGAGACCUAUUCAAUUGGGUUUAUGUAAUUUUAUCCAUGUCAUGUGGUGUCGACAUGAUGGAAUUAAAGAGUCCAAGUAUCAUAUUUUACACCUAAAAUGAAGUAGGCUUAAUAAAGUUAAGAUUAAUUUUGUUCUCUCUCUCUCUCUCUCUAUGUAUAUAUAUGUGUGUGUGUGUGUGCGUGUGCGUGCGCGCAUGCUGAUUUAGUUGUGUAUUUCAUUUUGGUUUUAAUUGUCAUUUUCCUAUACUUUCUUCUUCUUCUUUAUUUAUUUAGUUAUUACAUUUUUUUUCAUAACUUUCAUAUGUUUUCUCCUAGAAGUUGUGUGGGUCAACCCCUCAGAAGGCUUACAAAGUACAUUUUUCUGACUGCCCACCAGCAAGCUCAAUAUAGUAAAUGUGCAUCAUCUUCACAUAAUAUAAAGAAGGAAGAUGAAUCGCAAGAAAGAACCCUGCAGAAACUUCCAACGUGGCAGGUAUUAACUGUUUCAUUGUUUAGCUAGUGGGGAACCUGCAGAAGAGGGUCCUGGUUUUAGUAUUAAUGAUUGACUCAUCAGGAAUGAUGGAUUUUUUUACUGCUAGGAGUAGAGUCAAUUGAAGCUGCAGUUCUCCCCUUGUGCCCAAAUUAUUUGUUUAUUUUUUCUGAGUUAAGAAAUAAGAUCACUUCCUCCCUGAGAAGCUUAAGUUACUCAGUGCAGCUGUUUUAUCCUUGGCAUGUAUACUGUGGCUGUUCCUUGGUCUAAUCAUGGGAAGGUUCUAUUAGUGAGCUAUUUGUGACUGGCUAUUAUAAAUGCUUCUUUCUUUUAACCAUUUUUGCUACUAAACAACAAUAUUUUGGCUGAAUUUAAUUGAAUGGAUAUUGAAUGACAACAUUUUAUGUUGGACUUGAUAUUCACAAUGCAAUAUAGAUGUGAAUUUGUAAAUUGAUUAUUGAUAUACCUAGAACACUUGUAAUUUGACCCGGGGUUCCAGUCAGUUCCAUCUGUUUAUUUCCGAGUUUUGUGAUCUCGACUGCUUCCUUUGGGAUCUGGAUUCCAUGGUUCAAGGUUUUUUGCUUUUGAGGUUUGAGUUUGGUGUCCAUGGUGGGAAACAUUUGAGACGCCAGCAGGGGUGGAAGUUUUUGGAAAAGCACAGAAACCUUCAAUCUAACUAAUCACUGACUCAAAAUGGUGGACUUUGUCUACUAGUAGCUAGUAUGUUUUAAAAUAUGGUUUGAUUAUAAAAUUGUUUUGCACAAUUACUAUCGGAAUCUGAAUUUAUAAUUUGAUCCAUAAAUUAACUGUAAAGGGAUAUUUCAGCAAGUAUCUUAAGUAUUUAACAGUAACUAGACAUGUUAUGAGACCUAUUGCCCAUUCUAGCAAUAGAAUAUCAACACAUAGUUUGGACAUUGUGGUGGAGAUAGCUGCUGAAAGGAAUUUUUCUUAUAUGGGCUCGUCUUUUAUAAUUAAGGAUCUUAAAGGGGAUUUGGUAUUUUAUCCUGUUGCCUAUUCUAGCAAUAGAAUAUCAACACAUAAUUGAGACAAUGUGGUGGAGAUAGCUGCUGAAAGGAAUUUUUCUUAUAUGGUCUCUUGUCCUUUAUAAUUAAGGAUCUUAAGGGAGAUAUGGUAUUUUAUCACAAAUGGACAACAUUCUUCUAUAUGUCCUGUUAUGUGUUUGAUACAUAAUUUUUAUUGUCUUUUACUUGUACUCAAAGUUUUCGAAAGUGCACUUUAGGUGUGCCUCAAGGCAAGGCUUUCCCAAAAUGCAUCAAGGUGGAAUAAAUUCAGCAAUAACCAUUAAAUGUGUAGACUUUAGGGGUUGAGGCAGUGAUUAGGAGCGCCUCAAGCGUGCUUUUGGCACAUGAGGUGCACUAAUGGAGACAAGUGGCAACCACCUUUAAAAGUUUACCAAAUGUGCAUAGGAAUGGGCUCCAAGGUCUAAGCUUUAAUUUGACAUUCUUUAGAUGAUAAUGGGCUUAGCUGGGAUCUUAUAUAAUUCACUAUGGGUCAACCUAGAAGUACUUUCUAAAAAUCAAAUUACGGGCCUAGUCAAUGGUCAUAAGUUACUAUUUUUUAGUCAUUAAUAUUGUCAUUUUUCAUGAGUCUUUAAUGUGGUUUAGUAGUCAGUCCAAGUUUUCAUUAUUUUCAAGUUGUAGACUAGUUCCAAGGAUUAUGAGUCCCUAAAGAAGUUCUAUAUAGUAGUUGAUUUGUCUUUUUAAGCCUCAAUGAAUGAAUGAUAAAAAUUUCCAACAAUCACUGUUUUCUUUGUGUGAUACAAAGAGCACUUGGGUGUGAAGCCUAAAGGUUUUUGGGAGUGAUUCUUAGAGUUCUUUCAGCUGCACUACUACUCUCCUUGCAUUUCACUUUCUUGACUUGCAUCAAUGUUAGUAUUAGAGCAAGGUUGAGAUCAUGAUUAUAUGAUUUGGAAGGAGUUUUAGGGGAAGAUUAAUUGAUAGCUAGCAUGAUGAAAUACUAAUAUGGAUGGUGGGUCAGCUUGAUCGCUGAAUGUGUUGAGAUCAUGACUACAUGAUUUGGAAGGAGUUCCAGAGGAUGAUUAACUGAUAGCCAGCAUGAUGAGGUACUAAUUUGGAUGGUGGAUUAGCUUGAUAACCUCCACAUCUGGCUAAGUUACAUCAAGACUUGAAAAUCUUUGCCCAUGAAUGAUUUAUCACAUGUUGAGCAAGGGGAAACAUCUUAGGAUAACGAUUAGGAAAAUGCGGAAGAGCAAGAGGUCAUUCAAGCACCACAACACCCUAUGUCUAAAUGGGCUAGAGGAUUACUUGAAAGAAGAUAUGAAGCUUGUGACAUUAUUGGAGAUAUCACAAAAAAAGUGAAAGUGGAGGUUUUUGAUUCUGAACAGAAGGUGGAUCCUACUCAAUUUAUUGAUUGGCUAGCUGAAGAGUGUUUUAUUUGGCAUGACAUGAUUGAUGAUUGAAGAGUGAGGUUUGUUAGAAUGAAACUUGCAGGCUUAGCAAAAGUUUGGUGGACAGGUGUUGAAGGAGAUAUUAAAGGAUGGGCUACUACCAAUCAACGCAUGGCAAGAGAUGGAGGCUAAGCUUCAAGAGAAAUACAUGCUUACAAAUUACUGUGAUAUUUGUGACUGACUCAUUAAUUUGAUGCAGAACAACAUCCUUGUUGAUUAUAUGCAAAAGUUUGAUGAGUUAAAGACAAAGAGUCAAAUAAUAGAAGACCCUCGACAAACACGUGCAAGAUUAAAAGCUGGACUAAGACUUGAAAUAUUAAAGCAGGAGUUGUUGCAUUAGCCAUUGUACGCUUGGAAUAUGCUUUUCAAGUUGCAUUAAAUAUGGAGGAAUACCUGGGAUAUCGAUUCAACUGGAAGUCGGGAGUUACCACUAUGAAAUCUGCAUAUAAGAAGCUUUGUGACACAAGUUGUAGUAUGAGGAGAUCAUCUCAGCCAUUUAAUCUACUUGCAGGUCUAAGCCAUCUUCUUUUCAAAUCGUUGAUCCUAAGGGUAAGGGUAUCAAAUGUUUCAAGUGCCAACAACCAGGUUGCAUAGGGUACCAUUGUCCAAAAAAGAACUUGCUUAUUGGGUUGGAGCAUGAGGAGGUACUAGAAUAACAAAAGGAUGAGUGGAGUGAAAAGUCAUUUGACUAUGGAGUCUGAUCCUGUCGACGUAGAUGAGGAGGAAGUGGACAUUUUAGUAGCUUCUAUUGUGAGAUGUAUUCUUGUAGCCCUUGAAGUUAGAGAAAGAUUGAUGCCGAACAUCUAUUUUUAAAUUGUUGGUCCAAUGAGGAACCAAUCUUAGAAACUCAUUAUUGAUAGUGGCAAUCACAUGAAUGUUUUCUCAACCUCCACAAUUGCGUGUCUUAAACUUCCUGUUGAGCCACACCCACAACCAUACAAAGUAGCAUGGAUAAAUAACAUGUCUAUUCUACUAAAUCAACAGUGUCUUGUCUCUCUUUCUUAUGGUGUUUAUAGAGAUUCCAUUUGGUGUGAUGUGAUCCCUAUGCAAGUAGCACAUAUCAUUCUUGGUCAUCCUUGGCUUUAUGAUCGGGAUGUGCAUUAUCAUGAGAAAGAAAACACAUAGUUUCAUGUUCAUGAACCAAAAGGUUGUGUUGAAAACAAUGACUCUUUCUGAAAUAGGAAAAUGCCAAAUUCAAAAGUCAACAAAAGUAGUUGAGGGCAUGAAGAGUUCUCUUCAUAUUCUUAGUAAGAAGACGUUUCAAUAUGAAAGCAAGGAAAAUGAGGUUUUAUAUGCUGUGGUGAUGAAAGAAGUCAACUUGCUAGAUGCUGGCAACAUUUCCUCUAUACCUAACAAGGCCACUCAACUGUUCAAUGACGUUUCAGAUACAACUAAUAGAGUUGCCUAGUGAACUUCCUCCACUUGGCAACUUCAACAUACUAUAGACUUUAUACUAGGAUAUUAGUUGCAUGAUCUUCCCACCUGUUAUACGAAUCCAAUUGAAUAUGUAGAGCUUAAAAGACAAGUGAAGGAGCUGCUAUCCAAGGGAUUUAUUUGCGAAUAUCUAAGUCCUUGUGCUUACCUUAUUAACCCUAAAAAAAUAUGGUAGUUGGUGCAUGUGUGUAGACAAUUGUGCAAUCAAUAAGAUAACUAUCAAAUAUCGGUUUUCCAUUCCUUGAAUUGAUGAUAUGUCGGAUAUGAUGGCUGGUUCUUGCAUCUUUUCGAAGAUAGAUCUGAAGAGUGGGUACACCAAAUAUGGUUGAGGCUCAAGGAUGAGUGGAAAAUUGCUUUUAAAACAAAGGAUGGUCUUUAUGAGUGGCUGGUCAUGCUUUUUGGCCUCUCAAAUGCUCCUAGUACAUUUAUGCUCAUCAUGAAUCAAGUAUUUCAACCAUUUAUUGAAAAUUUCUAGUUGUUUACUUUGAUGGCAUUUUAAUUUAUAGCAAGAUUAAGGUAGAUCAUGUUUCCCAUUUGCGACUAGUCAUGAGAAUUCUUUGACAAGAGAAGCCCUACCUAAACUUGAAAAUUUUUUCCUUCAUGACCCCAACUAUUGUGUUCCUAGGUUUUGUUGUUUUAGCCAAGGGGUAAGAAGUAGACCCUGAUAAGGUAAAAUCCAUCCUAAAGUGACCAAUUCCUUGCAUAUUGCUAGAGCUAUGAAGUUUUCAUGGGUUGUCAAAAUUUAUCGAUGUUUCAAAACAAGUUUCAGCAUUGUUAUGACUUCUAUGACCGAUUGUAUAAAGAAAAAGCAAUUUGUUUGGACCAAAGCGACAACAAAGGCUUUUGAAGAAAUAAAAAAGAGGUUAACUGAAGCAUCUGUUCUUUAACUUCCUGAUUUUUCAAAAGUAUUCAAAGUAGUUUGCAUUGCAUCAAAUGUGGGAAUUGGAGGUGUACUUAGUCAGGAAGGGCAUCUUGUUGCAUUUUUUAGCAAAAAAUUGAAUGAAGCAAAGAAAAAUACUCACUCUCGAAGAAUUCUAUGCAAUGAUUCAAGCUUUGCACUAUUGGUGUCAUUAUUUGAUUCCAAAGGAGUUUGUUUUAUAUUCUAAUGAACCUUGGCAAGAAUGUUUCUAAAUGCUGCACAUGUCAACUAUCAAAGGGAAAGAAGAAAAAUAUAGGAUUGUACAUGCCACAUGAGCCAUGGCAAGACCUAAGCAUGGACUUUGUCCUUGGUUUGCCAAAAACUUUUAGGCUCCAUGACUCCCUAUUUGUCAUAUUAUAUCAUUUCUCUAAAAUGGUGCACUUUAUCUAGUGUUCAAAGACUUUAGAUGCUGUGUAGCCUAGUUGUUUAUAAUUUCAUGAAUAUAAGAAAUAUAGAAUACCAAAUACUAUUAAAACAAAAAUGAAUUAUAAAUGGUAUAAUAAAAAUAAGAUGUACAUGUAACCAAGUUCAAGCCCUAAAACAAAACCCAAAUAGAUUUAGAAAUGUGUCAAUUUGAGCCCAAUGCAAACAGUUUGGAUUGGUGGGUUUCACUGAUAAGGUCCAAUGGGGCAUGAAGGGAGAUGAUUGAGGAUCUUGGAACUCGCCUUAAUGAAAAGUAGCUGUCAACUGUUAUGCAACAAAUAAAUGUUCAUAUGAGAAGGCAUAAGAGAUUCUCAUAUCUUCUUAGGAAAACUUAAGUCCUCAUUAUUAGAGAAGCCUUCUUGAACUGUCAAUGUUUUGGUUGAAAUAAUAAUAUCUUUGAGAAAUGUUAUAGCAACUCUUCAUUACUUGGCCAACCUUUCUUGUUUUAUUUUGUCCUUUGCAUCUUUUAUGCCCUGUUUGGCAACUAUUUUUUAAAAUAGUUUUUAGUUCUAUAGAAUAAAAAAAAAAACAAGAAAACAUUUUUAAUAACCAAAAAACAAGAAAGAGUUUUUUGUUCUUAGAAACAGAAAACAUGGUGUUUUCAAAGAACAUGUUUUAGUUGUUUUCGCAUGUUUUCUAAGGGUUGUUUUAAAAAACAAUUAUAUGAAUGUGAAGUGUGAUUAAAAAUAAAGCACUAUAGAUAAAAGUUAUUUUAAAACAUAGAAAACUAGUUCAAGUUCCCGAACAAACUUUUGUUUUAUACAACAUCAUAGAAUAGUUUUCAAAAAUUGUUUUUUGGAACUUUUUCGAUAACACUUCCCAAACGGAGCCGUUGUCGUUUUUCCCUUUUAGAAAGGCUCUUCCUUCUCUUUCUUCCUUCUUCAAUACUUUUCAUUAUAUUCUCUUUUAAAAAACAAAUGAUCAUAUUUCAUCAAUACAUUUCUUUGUCAUUAUACUUGUAAAAAAAAAUAAGAGUAAAAAAAAAUAAAAAAAUAAAAAAAUUCCCUUGCCUCUUUGUUAUAAUUUGUUAUUGAGUUUUAUCAUUUAUUAGAAUGAUAAUUGUGUUUUAUGCUGUCUUGCUGCCUUAUCCAUAAAAUGUCUUGAUGCUUUAUUUCUAAUUGCCACAUUGUGCAUUUACUUGUUUUACUUGGAAACAUUUUUGUGAUAUUUUUCUUUUAUUUUUUGAUUUUUACUAUACAUUUUCCAGCUGUCAGUAUGGCGAACGGUGUAAGUUUCUUCACGUGACUCAGCAGCAGCCAAAACCUAAUGUCUCCGGAUUUGGUGCACAAACUAGCUCAAACUUCCAGCACACAAACGUUCAACAGCAAAGGUCUAAUCCUUUUGGAUUUGGUGUCCAGAGCAACUCUUUGCCAAAAGGGACCUCUGAUUUUGGAUCCAAGCAGAACCAUUUCAAGGUUUUUCCUCCUAAACUGAGUUAACAUCAUUAAGAAUGUCACUGGAGGACACCAUGCUCUUUGAGUUUCUUGAAUGAAUGAACUCUAAAAGGUUUUAGUUAUGCGCAUUGCCAUUCAAAAAAAGUGUUGAAGAGUUUAGCUUUGUUGGUCUUAAAAUUUUUUUUGUCGAUCAGCCUUUUGAAAACAAGUGGACCCGCUUCUCCCCUCUGACUACUGGUAGCUCCUCUUCCUCCUCCCGACAAUCUGAUAAUCAGGUGCAGCCUGCUAAUCAUAAGUAAGUGUUUGGUACACAGGCUAGACUUCUCUCUUUUUCUGUUUUAUGGCUUUGGACAUCUUGUUCUUUUACUUCAUCAUGACUUAAGUGAUGUACUUUAUGGAAAUAUUAACUUUGAUGCAUGUGAAGGUGCACAGAUCCUGAGUCAUGCAAACGUCAAAUUGUUGAAGAUUUUGAGCAUGAAAGACCAAUUUGGAAGCUCACAUGUUAUGGUCACUGUAAAAGGUAUGUUGUUGUGUCUUUUUUUAUUUUAUUUUAUUUUUUUAUCAGAAGUAAAAGGUAUGUUCUAUUUACCACAUGAUUCUGGCAUUUGAUGAAUUUGGGACUUUGGACUUGCUUCAUGGCAUAAUUGAUUGGAAUUCGAAUGUCAAUAGAGACGUGAUUGUAAAUAAGCUGGUGAAAAGAAGAAAAAAAUAAAAAAACCAGUUUUAGGCUAUUCUCAAGGAUUCCGAUGGGAUAGCAUUUGAUUCUGUAAUGAGCACAAAAGCAAGCUUUAGUGGAUGGCACAUGCUUCAGUCCAGGAAUUUUAAUAUACACACAGAGAGUUGUGCCAAAUUGGUGGUGGGCAUUAUUAAUGGUGAAACCAAUUUCCACUGGCCAAUUUAAACCUAUCAGUCCUUUUCACUUUUUUUUUGUUCAAUUUGCAAAUCACAUACCAAACAAGCUUGAAAACUUGCCUUUGGAGGGCUCAAAAUAUUUAUGGCUUGUUUGAUUGCUUGAUAUGCUAUUGCUCAGCGAAGGCUCAAGUUUGCAUGCUUUACUUUGUAUGCCCUUGUUUUGCCCUUGCCAGCACAUUCUCUGGUUUGACAUUUGGUUUUCUCUGGUUUGACAUUUGGUUUUCAGCUCCUAUUCUUUUAUCCAAUUAGUUAAAUAUUUUAAAACAUGCGGGGAAAGGCAAUGCAUUUUACUGAAAAGAAGUUGCAUGUUCUAGUGAUUUGUUCAGUAUAGGUUGGAAGUAUCACAUAUAACUCAACAAUUAUUCAUAAUGAUCUUAUGUGGCGGUGAAUAAUCAUGGGUUUUGAAACUAUUUUUAAUAAACUCUAGUCAAAUAUACUCAUUGAUUAGUCGUAAGAAAUUAUGCAAAGAAAAAUGGGCAAUUUUGUUAUAUUUUCAUAAUGAGAGGGAGAAUAAAGGAAUAACCAUCUAUGUUCUUUUAUUCAUUUAUCUCUUCCUUCUUCAAUUGACUCUAUCAUAUUCUGCUUGUUUCUUGUGAUUAUAAGAGUGGAUCAAGCAUAGGAAACUGGUGGCGUUGGUUAUGAGUUUUUUAUCUUUCUAAUUUUGUUUUUGCAGUGCUCCUUGUGACAUUGUUGGCGACAUUAGCUAUGAAGAAUUGAGGUUGGCUGCGUAUGAUGAUGCUGGGCGUGGGUUGAGCUUGCAGUCCAUUGUAAGAUCUGAUUCGCUAAUUUUUAUUUUUUGUUAGCAAACAGAGAAUCUAUUAAAAGAGCGGAUAGAGCGCCAGUGAAAGGGAGCACACUCUUAUGUAUAUAUGAAGUAUAACAGUUGGUAUUUGCCAAGCCUCAAAACCAACUAUAUCCAGCACUAAGACUAUCUAUGAAGGCCAUCAUUGAGAAAUUUCCCAUUUCUAAUGAUACUUUAAACCAAUUAAGGAGGGGUUUAAUGAAGCUCUCCUUUAACUUCUGAUAUGCAAGCACUUCUCCAUUAAAGAUUUUGCGGUGUCUCUCUUUCUAUAUACAGCAGAACAAGCAUAGAGGUACCAUUCUCCUAACAUUGUGACUCUUCUUAUUCGAACUCCUAACUUCCAUUAGAGGAGUAAAUUCCUCAUUGUAGUUGGAAACACCUAUUUCUGACCAAAACUUGAUUUAAAAAAAAAAGUCCACAAUGCCUUUGUCCUUGCACAAUGAUUCAAAAUGUGAUCAGUAGGCUCUCCAUUCUCUUUGCCAAGACUACAUCUAUUAAUCAUUGUCCAUCCUCUUUUUGUUAACGUGUCUAUAGUUGAGAUCUGCCCCCAUACCACUACCUAGUGAAAAAAACGUUAUCUCAUAGGAGCUCAGGAACCCCAAAUUCCUUUGGUUGGGAGGUCCACUCUAGAUUCAAACAUACAAUGAAUGCUAGUAUGAAUUUACACUGAAGAUUCCCUUCCAAUCCUCCCUCCAAACUAAGAUAUCUUCUCCUUCUUCUUGCACUUUCUCUACAUAAAUAAGCUCUAAAAAUUGGGACACUCCCUCUAUUUCCCAAUCUUGGAAAGGCCUUCUGAAAUGCACUAGCUCUUGGCCUUCACAACCUCUCCCUUCCCAUAGGUGAGAAAUAGUAGCAUUCUUAUGAGAAGCUAGUUUGAACAAUCAAGGAAAUGCUUCUUUUAGAUAGAUCUCCCCCAACCACCUAUACCAUCAAAAUUUGUUUGUCUUCCAUUUUUAACAUGGGUAGCUAUCUUUUGGCUAAUUCCCUCCCAACCUUUUCUUAUAUCUUUCCAUAGACUCAUGCCAAAAGUCUCCCUCACAUCACAACUUGACCCAUUCCUCAAAGUUUCCUUGGAUGAUCUUCCUCCACAAGCACUCUUGCUCAAGGGCAAACCCUUAUAACACUUAAUAGUUGUAGAGUUUUAGAGUGGCCACUAUUUUAUUUGGGUCUUCCUUUACAAGGGAAUCCAAAUACAAUAGGAUUUUGGGACCCUAUGGUUGAUAGAGUCUUGAGGAGGUUGGAUGGGUGGAAAAAGACCUUUUUGUAUUUGGGUGGGGGAGGAGUAUAACCUUAAUUCAAUCUUGUUUGUUUCACAUCCCUAGUUAUUUUCUCGCUCUUUUCAAGAUUCAAUUAACCUUAAAGAUUGAGAAAAUGCAAAGGGAUUUCCUUUGGUCAGGGAUUGGGGAGGGAAAGAAAGAUCAUCUUAUCAGUUGGGAUGUAGUGUGUAGGCCAACAGAGUUUGGGGAUUUGGGAAUUGGGAAGACUUGAGAAAUCAUUUCACUUUUAGGGAAGUGACUGUGGAGGUUUCCUAAGGAAAGCUAUGGUCACAUAGAGUUAGAUGGCUUUGGAGGUGCUCUUUGUUGCAAGUUAUUUUGAGCAUUUAUGCAACACAUCUUAAUGGAUGGGAUAACAACAUUUUGGUUAGAUGGUUACAUAGAUGUCCUUUGAAGGUUAUUGCAUAAGUUUUUUAAGACUUUUCCCCAUACACCCGCUUUGUGGUGGGGAAUGGGGAGAGAAUCCGAUUUUGGGAAGAUUUAUGGUGGGGAGAUCAACCUUUGUGUUCACAAUUUUCAGGUUUUUAUAGAGUUGUCUCAGUGAGAAAUCUCACCAUCUCAAUCGUCCUUGGUAAUUCCUAUCCGUCUUGUAAUUUUAACUUUUGAUGCAAUCUUACUGAUUUAGAAAUUGUACUUAUCGAAAAACUCAUGUCUUCACUUACCAUAGUGCACUUAUUCUACCAUAGAUUCAAGAACUUGAUCCUUGUCUUCCUUAGUUUAUUCUUAGUAAAAUCUUUUGUUGAAAUAAUGCCAAAGUUAGGACUUUAAUUUAGGAAUAAAAAAGGAGAGAUCAUUUAGGAUAUUUCCUUAUGAUUUAGUUUCCUAAUUUUAGGAGAGAAUUAAGCUAGAUUGAUUGUUUCUUAUUCAGUCAUUUGUGUAUAUAUAUGUGUAUGGUGUGUACCGAUUCAUUAUCAAUAAAGGAGUUCAGAAAUUCUUCAUGGUAUCAGAGCCAGUUUUCUGAAACCCUAAUCCCUUCUGGCCACCUCUUAUUCAGGCCAUCACUCAUUCCGGCCAAAUCUUUCUGGCCAUAUCUCAAUCCGAUCAUCUCUCUCUCUCUCUCUCAUUCCGGCCAUCAGUCCCUGUUCUCAGAGCCAAGGGAGAAAACACUUUCCAAUCAGUCGAAUAGUCGUCAGAAAACACUCACCGCCGGCAACUUUUCCGGCGAACUUUCCGGCGACGGUUUUUUUUUUUUUUUUUUCUACACCGCAAGGAGCGCCUGGAGGAGAUCUCCAAUUUGUCCCAAAGCACCGGAACCAGAAACCCAUCCACGCGCCGCCCACGCGCGUUUUUCCGGUCGGCGACUGCAUCUCACGCGCCGGCGCGUGAGGGCGCGUGAGCCACUUUCCGGCGACGCGCUUCCUCCUCUAGGCUCGCCUGACGCCGACCAGCCACCCUUCCUACCUGUUUGUGCAAUCCGAGCCCUGCACGUGCCUCUUUUGGGGUUCUUUUGCUUCCGCGGGCCCUCUGAUCAGAUUUUCCGGCGUCCUUCGGCUAUUUUUUCUCAACUCCAGUCCCUGCACGUGCCUUGAAAAGUGUUCUUCUACCUUUCCGGUCCAUGACAAAAUACGGAAUGACAUCAUCACAAGUAUCCAGCGUCACGUCACCAGAAUCAGGGGGCAGAUCUGAAAUUCCAAACCUUGGUGGCAAUGAUUCCUCUCCUAUUCUCAUCACAGGACACAAAUUAAAUGGCCAUAACUAUUUACAGUGGUCACAAUCUGUGUUACUGUUCAUUUGCGGUAAANNNNNNNNNNNNNNNNNNNNNNNNNNNNNNNNNNNNNNNNNNNNNNNNNNNNNNNNNNNNNNNNNNNNNNNNNNNNNNNNNNNNNNNNNNNNNNNNNNNNNNNNNNNNNNNNNNNNNNNNNNNNNNNNNNNNNNNNNNNNNNNNNNNNNNNNNNNNNNNNNNNNNNNNNNNNNNNNNNNNNNNNNNNNNNNNNNNNNNNNNNNNNNNNNNNNNNNNNNNNNNNNNNNNNNNNNNNNNNNNNNNNNNNNNNNNNNNNNNNNNNNNNNNNNNNNNNNNNNNNNNNNNNNNNNNNNNNNNNNNNNNNNNNNNNNNNNNNNNNNNNNNNNNNNNNNNNNNNNNNNNNNNNNNNNNNNNNNNNNNNNNNNNNNNNNNNNNNNNNNNNNNNNNNNNNNNNNNNNNNNNNNNNNNNNNNNNNNNNNNNNNNNNNNNNNNNNNNNNNNNNNNNNNNNNNNNNNNNNNNNNNNNNNNNNNNNNNNNNNNNNNNNNNNNNNNNNNNNNNNNNNNNNNNNNNNNNNNNNNNNNNNNNNNNNNNNNNNNNNNNNNNNNNNNNNNNNNNNNNNNNNNNNNNNNNNNNNNNNNNNNNNNNNNNNNNNNNNNNNNNNNNNNNNNNNNNNNNNNNNNNNNNNNNNNNNNNNNNNNNNNNNNNNNNNNNNNNNNNNNNNNNNNNNNNNNNNNNNNNNNNNNNNNNNNNNNNNNNNNNNNNNNNNNNNNNNNNNNNNNNNNNNNNNNNNNNNNNNNNNNNNNNNNNNNNNNNNNNNNNNNNNNNNNNNNNNNNNNNNNNNNNNNNNNNNNNNNNNNNNNNNNNNNNNNNNNNNNNNNNNNNNNNNNNNNNNNNNNNNNNNNNNNNNNNNNNNNNNNNNNNNNNNNNNNNNNNNNNNNNNNNNNNNNNNNNNNNNNNNNNNNNNNNNNNNNNNNNNNNNNNNNNNNNNNNNNNNNNNNNNNNNNNNNNNNNNNNNNNNNNNNNNNNNNNNNNNNNNNNNNNNNNNNNNNNNNNNNNNNNNNNNNNNNNNNNNNNNNNNNNNNNNNNNNNNNNNNNNNNNNNNNNNNNNNNNNNNNNNNNNNNNNNNNNNNNNNNNNNNNNNNNNNNNNNNNNNNNNNNNNNNNNNNNNNNNNNNNNNNNNNNNNNNNNNNNNNNNNNNNNNNNNNNNNNNNNNNNNNNNNNNNNNNNNNNNNNNNNNNNNNNNNNNNNNNNNNNNNNNNNNNNNNNNNNNNNNNNNNNNNNNNNNNNNNNNNNNNNNNNNNNNNNNNNNNNNNNNNNNNNNNNNNNNNNNNNNNNNNNNNNNNNNNNNNNNNNNNNNNNNNNNNNNNNNNNNNNNNNNNNNNNNNNNNNNNNNNNNNNNNNNNNNNNNNNNNNNNNNNNNNNNNNNNNNNNNNNNNNNNNNNNNNNNNNNNNNNNNNNNNNNNNNNNNNNNNNNNNNNNNNNNNNNNNNNNNNNNNNNNNNNNNNNNNNNNNNNNNNNNNNNNNNNNNNNNNNNNNNNNNNNNNNNNNNNNNNNNNNNNNNNNNNNNNNNNNNNNNNNNNNNNNNNNNNNNNNNNNNNNNNNNNNNNNNNNNNNNNNNNNNNNNNNNNNNNNNNNNNNNNNNNNNNNNNNNNNNNNNNNNNNNNNNNNNNNNNNNNNNNNNNNNNNNNNNNNNNNNNNNNNNNNNNNNNNNNNNNNNNNNNNNNNNNNNNNNNNNNNNNNNNNNNNNNNNNNNNNNNNNNNNNNNNNNNNNNNNNNNNNNNNNNNNNNNNNNNNNNNNNNNNNNNNNNNNNNNNNNNNNNNNNNNNNNNNNNNNNNNNNNNNNNNNNNNNNNNNNNNNNNNNNNNNNNNNNNNNNNNNNNNNNNNNNNNNNNNNNNNNNNNNNNNNNNNNNNNNNNNNNNNNNNNNNNNNNNNNNNNNNNNNNNNNNNNNNNNNNNNNNNNNNNNNNNNNNNNNNNNNNNNNNNNNNNNNNNNNNNNNNNNNNNNNNNNNNNNNNNNNNNNNNNNNNNNNNNNNNNNNNNNNNAGCAAUCAGUUGUAGCCAGAAGUAGUGCAGAAGCUGAGUUACAGAGCUCUGCACAGGGAAUCUGUGAAGGGAUUUGGAUAAAAAGGGUUCUUAGUGAACUGGGACAAACGAGUUCAUCUCCAAUUCUGAUGAUGUGUGAUAAUCAGGCAGCUAUAAGCAUAGCAAAGAACCCCGUGCAUCAUGACAGGACCAAGCAUGUUGAGAUUGACAGACACUUUAUCACAGAGAAGGUGACUAGUGAGACGGUCAAAUUAAACUAUGUUCCUACCAAGCACCAAACCGCAGACAUCCUCACCAAAGCUUUACCUAGGCCUAACUUCGAAGACUUAACUUGCAAGCUGGGAUUAUAUGAUAUAUAUUCUCCAGCUUGAGGGGGAGUGUUGAAAUAAUGCCAAAGUUAGGACUUUAAUUUAGGAAUAAAAAAGGAGAGAUCAUUUAGGAUAUUUCCUUAUGAUUUAGUUUCCUAAUUUUAGGAGAGAAUUAAGCUAGAUUGAUUGUUUCUUAUUCAGUCAUUUGUGUAUAUAUAUGUGUAUGGUGUGUACCGAUUCAUUAUCAAUAAAGGAGUUCAGAAAUUCUUCAUCUUUUUUCACGGUCUUGUCCAAGUCCUUGAAUCUAAUCCCAUUCCUUUUGGCUAAUUUUGAUUGGAAAUCAAAAGCCCCUUCAAAGGUCAAAGCCUUUGCUUGGUUAGUCGUGUGCAAGAAGGUAAAUACCAAUGACAUGCUACAGGUGAGAAGAUCCUACAAGUCUCUAAUUGCUCAUUGGUGCAUUCUUUACCAAGGGAGUGGAGAAUCAAUUGAUCACAUUUUCCUACAUUACCUAAUAAUGCUGGGGCUUUGGCAUAAGCUCUUCACGAUAGCUAAUAUGGAUUGAGUUCCCUCUAGGAGUAUUGGAGAUAGGUUGGUUAUUUUAUUUAGAAGGUUGGGGAAUUUAAUUAGAGGCAAGACUCUUUGGCAUAGCACUUGCCUCACUGUAUUGUGGAUUGUGUGGUAAAAGUGAAAUGCUAAGAUUUUUUAGGCUAAGUACAAAACAGAAGGGAUGUUGUGAGGUCUUCUUCACUUCUACUCCUCCUUUUGAGUCUCUUGUAUUGUUGCUUUUAGAGGAAUCCCACUUAAUGUUAUUCAACUAAGUUGGACAUCGGUUUGUAAUUCAAAAGGGGUGGAUAAUGUUUGAGAGAGUUUGAUUUUGGUUUUUUAAUGAUAUUGUCAUAUGUAGUUAUCAUUAUAUGGUGGAGUAUAUUCUUACUUUGAUCAGGUUUUGUAUUUUAAUCAAGUUUCGUUUUUGAUUAAAAAAAAAAAGCAUUUAAUUCUAAUAAAAAGCCAAACAACUUAAACACUUAAUGACAUUAAGGUCUAUUCUGAUUUAAGUUAAAUGCAGGUCCAUACAUAUUUUAGACAAAAAAAAGAAAAAAAGAAAAACAAACAAACAUGACCUUACUAUGUGUUUUUUUUCAAAAAUAAUUCUCCUUUUUAGGAAGCCAAACUUAAGCCUGGAUUGAAGAAUUAAAGGUGCUAGACAUUUUUUUUCCUUCAAAUAAUUAUCCUUUUUCCUAGUAAGUUAAUUUGGGAAGUCAAGCUUAAGCAUACUGAAGAAUUAAAGGUGCUAAACAUUUUUUCUCCUUCAGAUUAUUCUUCUUUCCUGGUAAGUUAAUUAGGGUAGCCAAACUUAAGCCUGGGCUGAAGAAUUAAAGGUUCUAGACAUUUUUUUCUCUUUCAGAUAAUUCUCCUUUUCAUGGUAAACUAUUAGGGAAAUCAAAGCUCCUCCAGAGGUUAAAAAUUUGGCCUGGACUAAAGAAUUAAAGGUGCUAAACAUUUGUGACCUUCAAAGGCACUUACUAACUGGUCUUUGUUUUCUGUGCUAAACAUUUGUGAGCUUCUGUAAAAGAUGAGGUUUACGGUUCUUCUGGCGUUUGCAUAAUGUGAAAAGUCAGUAAUGAGACAAUUAAUAACUGGUACCUCGCUCAGUAUGCGGUCUUUGUUUUUGGUGGUGGGUACUUGUUGGGUCAACUCUAGGGACAUAAUUGUCUUUUGGUUCUCUAUGUUCAAAAAAUUUGAUGGGCUAAAAUUAGAAUGCUAUGGGAUUGAUUUGGCCAUCAUUUUGAUGUUGUGGGAAAGAACUAUAAAAGAAUUUUUUACAAUGUCUACAGGUCAUAAUAUUCAAUUUAGGAAAGGGUGGCUUCUUUUGCUUUAGUCUCGCCUGAAUCACUUAAGUCAUAUAGGAGCUUUCUUUUCAUGCAUUAACUGAGACUUGACUUUUGUGACUAAUCCUCUCCAUCAUAGUAUCUUCUAUGUGAAUAUCAUUGAUUGGUUGUGUUUGGAUUUAAUUAUGGAGGUAGGGGAGUUCAUCCAUGGAAAGUUGUCUUCAACUGAGCCACAUGGGCAUUUAGUCGGGGCCAAGGUUUGGAACUCUCCUCUUUUGAGAGGCAAGGAAGUUCUGCAAGCUUCGAGUAGGAUUCAAGGUUCAAUAUACAGAGGGAGAUCAUUUUGAAUAGGCAACCCCCACCAACAACAUGUGUCAACAUAAAUACUGAUGGGAGAUCUAAAGGAAAUCCUUGGAUGUCUAGGGCGGGGGCAUGUUGUGAGAUGAAAGCAAAUGGAUUCAAGGACUAACUUUCAAGAUUAAAAGGUACAGGGCUUCUAAAUCUGAGCUGUGGCCAUUCUCCUGGGUAACCUUUGCUUUUGGACCUUGCCCUAACCUUAAAAAAAAAAAAAACGGAAAAAACCAAAGAAAAAUAGGAAGAAGAAGAAAGGAAUGCAAAACUGGGAAUUAUCAAAAUGGAGUGUGUGAUUGCUCUAAUGUCAUCAAUUGGAUAGAGGAGAAGGGGUGUUUGCACAUGCACCCCACAUUUUUAUUAAUUUGAGUGGAGUUAGGAAUAAGGUUUCAUGGGCAUAAGUUUUGGAAGUUAACUAGUUUCUGUGAAAGUUUCACGUUUUGCCCUUUGUGAAAAUUCCCUGCAUCUGGUUUUUGGUAGUUUCCUAUAACUUUCUUCAGGAAUACUAAAGAUAUUGAUGUUUCAGUACAUGUUGAUCUAUUAUUGCUUUCUUAGAUGAUUUGCUGACUAAAUUUAUCUUUAUUCAGGUUGAAAGGGAGAGGAGUUUGCUCAAUUCCAAGUUAAUUGAAUUUGAUAGCCUCCUCCGUAAACCCUAUGCAGCUCCUCCAAAUUCUACUCUAGCCAUCCAAAGUCCUGCUCCCAAUCCAGAUGCAUCCUCAUUAACUGCUCAAAAUAAUACUCCUCCUUCAGCCUCAAGUUUUAGUCAACUGAGCACAUCACCUAAUAUGGGAUUUGGAACGAGGUAAGAUCUCUUCCUAACGUUUGAUUUUCACAUGUUAUCUUUUAGGAAUUCACAGAAUCCUUCCAUUCAAUUGAAGAAAAAAAAGAAGAAAAACUUAAGUUAAUGCUGAUAUUUCAUUAGUCCUAUUCCUGGCAUGCCAUUUGGCCUUUAUUGACCUGUUGAGCAAUUUUUCCUCAGGCCCUCUACACCAUCAAAUAAUGCUUUUGGGCAAUCAAAUUCCAUUCAAUUCUCCAGCCAGACUUCAGGUGCAUUUGGGACAAACAACUUGGCAUUUGGAAAUGCAGGUGUUUUAAAGCUUUUGUGCAAGAACUCUAAGGUUGUAUACUUGUGGACAUAUUGCUUCUGACUUCAAUUAUGUUAUAGGUUCAUUUGGCAGCCAACUUCCUGUACAGAUGCAUGGAAGUCCCCUUCCCUCCAAUACAGCAGGCUUCAGCCAUAAUAACAUGAGUGCUGGAAGUAAAGCAUUUUCUCCUCCAGCAGCAUCUCCGCAGAUUAUCAGUUUUGCAAAUAACCAGUCACCUAUCCUUUCCAGUGGGACUAACUCUAUGUUUAGUGCAGAGUCAACCAUGCAUGCUCAGCUGUAAGUUAAUGGAGAAAUCUUCUAUCUGCAAGCUAUUAGAAAGAGAACCUGUUAAUUAACAAUUUUUGGAUUCAAAAGGUUAGAUGACAAUUAUAAGAUUUGAGUUUUGGUUUCUGGGCUGAAGUUGUUUAUUCAGCUAUCAAUCUAUUUCAAAUCAAACUCUUUCCUUUAUUCUCUUUAACUGAAACAGAGAAGUUUCCGAACUUUGGAUGAUGCAUCUGUGGCCUCUAAUAUUGAAGCUUGACUAAGCACGAUAAAACCUUAAAUCCUGAUUCCUUCAGCUUAGCAAAAUGAACCCUUUUGCUAUUCUGCAUAAUCUAAGGCCAUAUCUCUAGUCAAAUCUUAUACCAUAUGAUGAUGGCUUUUCCCACUACAUGGGUCAAUGUGCUUUUUAACGUUCAUCAUGUUCUUGUGACACCCUUGACUCAAUCAAUUCAUUUUUUUACUCAUUCAUUCAUUGGAUGGUAGUCCUUAAUGGAUAUGUAAUUUUAAAGAAAUUUGUGUUCUUCAUGAUUGAAAAUUUGUGAUUUUCUUAUAGUUUGGUUUUGGUCUGUCUUCUCCAUGCUGCAGAGAGAAAAUGCAGAGAGAUAACUUCUCUGGGGAUAUGAGUAUUUGGUUGAAAGAGGAAUGGAAUCCUGGAGAGGUAAAGAUCUUAAUGUUGGCUAUAUUUUGUGAAUUUUUCUCAUGAUUAGUUUUCUGGCUUUUGUAGCUUUAUGGGAGGAUUGAUAUCCUCAUAAUCUGUUUACAAAGGGCUGAGAAUUGACUGGGAAAUUGAGUUUAUGCCCUUCCUUUGCACAAUAAAAGGAAAAGGAAAAAAAGAAAGAAUAGAAAGAGUAAUGCAUUGUGUUUUAGCAUUUUAAGUCUUCCUUGUCAAUCAACAAAUAAGCAACAAAAACAACAAAAUAAUAAUUGUUAUUAUUAUUUUCUGUCAGUCUUUGUCUUGAAGGCCUCCAAUUAACCAGACAGAAUAUAAAAAUAAAUGGAAAUACCACUUUGCCUACUGUAAAUGUGUCUUUCAGCCUUGAUUUGAUGAUCUUUACCAUAUCUUAUUUCGGUAAAAAAGAAAACCAUUAAGUGCCCGUUUGGAUAUACUUUAUGAUUUGUUUUUAAAAAUAGAGAAUAGCAAAAGGAAAUUGCUAUUUAAAAUAUAAAAUCUUCUAGAGGCUUGCAUUGAAAAGAUAAUUGUUUUUCAAGAUUAAUUAAAAAUCUUGAGGUAUUAAAAUUUUUUUACCUCAAAUCUUAAGAUUUUUUAAAGUAAUUUUAAGGACAUAGGUUAAGUUUAUACAUUUUCCAAAAGAGUUUCUACUUUUUAUAUAAAUGUUUCUAUUUUUAAAAACAAAGAACAAAAGGUAUUAUCCAAAUGAAGCUUAAAUAAACUACUCUGUGUUUUUGUUGUUGUCUUUUUUACUAAUUUUUUUUUGGCUUCCAGAUUCCAGAAGAAGAGCCUCCGGAUGCUUUUGUUUAACAGGUAUACUUGGGUAAUGAAGACUUAUAAAGCAUCAUAGUUGAAAGGCUAGAAGAGCACACAGCUUAUUGGCGUCACUUGCAAGAUUGAUAAAGCUGUCAUGGCCAUGGAGUGGGAAGAAGGGAUGAUUAAUUUUGGUAUGAUAAUUUUCUGGCAUGCUGAAGAAGUCACUUGUUGCUACAAUAGUCAAAUCAUUCUGAUGCCUGGGCCCCUGUUCUUGCUUUAGAGUCUUAAGUUCUCUAGCCGUGGCAAGUGAAAUGUGGGAUUAUCUUUUCCAUUAAUCACAUAUAUCUUGCCAUGUACUAGCCUUUAAAGCGGCAUCUGAAUUGUGGCUAUGCUGCUGUGCAAAUUUUUAGAUUAUCUAUAAAUGCAUUAAUUGAUGCACAUAAUUGCUGAUAUUUUCUAUUGAACAUAUUGCUUUUCAAAUAGGUGCAGAAAUUAAGUGAUCAGUUGAUAUGUAUGCGUAUCUGUUUAAUGCAAAGAGCUUGGUUUUAGUUGUUUUCUGAUUUCUCAGAGGCAAAAAAAAAAAAUUGCAGGAUUGGAAGCUCUUAAAUUGCAUAGAUGGCUGCAAAUCGAGAAUGGAAGAAACAAAUUAUUUCUAGCUUGUCCAUGAUUAGAUGCCAUGCUUCCUACUUGAGGGACAAAUUAAAAUUGGAGUUUUUUUUUUUUUUUUAUAACCGUGGAUGUCUGGGUUAGCUUACGCCCUCUCGACUAAUCCCACGGAGCCCUGAAGCUAACGACGGGGUAAACCUCCAGUGAGGGGACUCUAAGAUGGAUGAAUGGCAUAUAAGAAAAACUAAAAUAAAAACUAAUGCAGUGGAAGGGUGUUGGGUGGUGACAUUUUGUUUAAAUGGUUUGCAUCUGUCAUCUUUCCGUGUAUGUGUGUAUGUGUGUAUGUAUGUAUGUAUCUAGGGCCAAUCCAUAAAUUUAGCACAGCCCCUAUCCUCCUGCUGUUGAUGUGUAUUCACUAUUCAAGCCCAAAACUUGAUUCAAGUUGUACAAACCUCACUGUCAAAACAAAAGUAAGACAAUGGGUGUUGAAUCAUUUGGUUUGGUUUGUUUUGUUUUUCAAAUUGUCAAAUCCAGACAGGCAGAAUGCAUUUUGUGCUUGACAACUCUUAAUUUACUUGUUAUAUUGCCUUUUUGUAGGCUUGAAAUGACAAGUUUACAGCCCACGUUUACCUUUUUUCUUUUAUAAGGGGUCAAGGAAACUUUCUCAUCAGUCGGGGCCGUUGGGCGACUUGGAUGGGUUUUUCUUUGGUUGAAGAUUUUAUUUACCUACAAACAGGAGAAAAUCAGAAAUAAAUUAAUAAUUGUUAAGAGUGAAAAGGAGUUGCAAAGGAUGGGUGCCCAUUUCGAAAAAUAAAAAAAUGCCACUCUGGACCACAUGGGUGAUGAGGAGGGACGGCCAUUUUCCCUUUCCUUUUAAUGGGAACCUGAGUGACUCCUGUCCUUCAAGACUCGGUUGCCCAGAUGGCACAGGUUAAUACUCCUACUCAACCGCGUUUUUUGAAUUUGAUAAUUGAUUGCAAAAGAUUCGAAAUUGAAAAGGUCUCAAAGAUCGUGCAGACAUUGUAUCCGUGGGGCCCGUUUGUCUCCCGGAUGACUAAACUACAGAACUUCCCUGUGGUUUCCCUUUUUCCCCCUCGCAAGUUGAGGUUUUCCCUCUCUGUAACUUAUUUCCUGUAUGGCAUAGCGAGGGAUGCGGUCUAAUUAAAUCCCUCUCUACUCCCUUCCUCCCAAGUGCUUUAAUGUCGUUACUGACACCAACUCAAAAUGAAAGAAAUAUUCUAAUUUGAAUGGUUGGGCUAAAAAGAUCAUUAACUUGUUGAUAUUUAAUUAUAUACAUUUUAACAUAAUGUUGGAAAAAAUUUCAAUGAGCAGAGAAAAUGUGCAGGGCUUCAGGCCGUGGAGUAGUGCAUUUACUUGGAUUAUCCAAUUACUAUGGCCCUAUGGGAGUAGAUGGGCUGAGCUUUUAAUGCCCAAUUCAACACACCUCUGUUUUGUCAAUCCCCGUAGACGUGCCAGCAUGUCAUGACUCAUGGCAGGGACUUGACACCAACACUGCUCUGGUGGUGUGGUUAUGAAAUUGUGAACCCAAGUAAUAAUUUAAGAAAAUAAAAUAUAGGCGUAGUAGAGGUUUAUAAAAAUAAAAGGCAGGAAGGCAAUGAGGGAUGGCCUUGGCCAGCUGCCACACACAUCAAGCACCCCAAACAGGAGUCUAGUCAGGACUGAAGAGGAGAUCGCAGAGGCUUUUGAUAGGGGCAUGUGACUUCUCCACACUCCAUCCAUCCAGUAGUACAAGCAGCAAUGUCUCGCCCACCUGCUGCUCGCCUCUUGCUCUUCAUCUUUUCCUUUUGGUUUGGUGCUUCUUUCAUUCAGAUCUGUUGUGCACAAAGCGUGGUGGUUGAUCCAAAGUUGAAGUUUGAGAAUCCAAGACUUCGGCAAGCCUACAUUGCCCUCCAAGCAUGGAAGACGGCCAUUUUCUCAGACCCCUUCAACUUCACCUCCAACUGGGUUGGUCCUCAAGUCUGCUCCUACAUGGGUGUGUAUUGUGCCCCUUCUCUCUCCAAUCCCUCCCUCAAAGUGGUUGCUGGCAUCGACCUCAACCAUGCCGAUAUCGCCGGUUAUCUGCCCUCUGAGCUGGGCCUCCUCUCCGACUUGGCUCUCUUCCAUCUCAACUCCAACCGCUUCUGCGGCAUUGUUCCCAGCUCUUUGAAGCGCAUGAAGCUCCUCUACGAGCUGGACAUCAGUAACAACCGCUUCGUGGGGAGCUUCCCCAAUGUGGUGUUGUCCAUGCCCUCCCUCAAGUUCCUGGAUCUCCGAUUCAAUGAGUUCGAGGGUCCAGUUCCAUCCCAGCUCUUCAAUAAGGAUCUGGAUGCAGUUUUCCUCAAUGACAACAGAUUCCAAUUCGGCAUCCCUCAGAAUCUGGGCAAUUCACCCGUCUCUGUUCUGGUCUUGGCCAACAACAAUCUUGGGGGUUGCAUUCCAGGCAGCAUUGGUAAGAUGGGAAAAACCCUAAAUGAGAUCAUCCUCAUGAACGACAAUCUCACUUCAUGCUUACCUCCUCAAAUCGGCCUUCUCAAAGAGGUUACCGUGUUUGAUGUGAGCUUCAAUCAUCUCCAAGGCUCACUGCCACCCGCCAUUGGCAAGAUGAAGAGCUUGGAGCAGCUGGAUGUUGCCCACAACAGUUUCACCGGUGCGAUUCCGCCCAGCAUCUGUCAGCUGCCCAGAUUGGAAAACUUCACCUAUUCUUUCAACUAUUUCACCGGAGAGGCUCCUGUUUGUGCUGCCAUUACUGGUGAUGGUCGCCAGAAUUGUAUCCCAGGAAAGACGGACCAGCGGUCCUCUAGUAUGUGUUCCUCUCAAGCUGCACGUCCUGUGGAUUGCAGCAAGUCCAAAUGCGGCGGCGGCAGCACCAACGCUGGUGGUUCCCCUGGAGGGUCACCUCCCAAGAAAACCCCUCCUGUGCCCAGCCCAACAACGCCAGUUGGUCCUUCCCCGCCACCACCACCUUCUUCAAAGUCUUCGCCUUCCACCAGAUCACACCCACCACCACCCCAAUCACAACACUCGUCCGUGCCUCCUCCCGCCAAAUCAUAUCCNNNNNNNNNNNNNNNNNNNNNNNNNNNNNNNNNNNNNNNNNNNNNNNNNNNNNNNNNNNNNNNNNNNNNNNNNNNNNNNNNNNNNNNNNNNNNNNNNNNNNNNNNNNNNNNNNNNNNNNNNNNNNNNNNNNNNNNNNNNNNNNNNNNNNNNNNNNNNNNNNNNNNNNNNNNNNNNNNNNNNNNNNNNNNNNNNNNNNNNNNNNNNNNNNNNNNNNNNNNNNNNNNNNNNNNNNNNNNNNNNNNNNNNNNNNNNNNNNNNNNNNNNNNNNNNNNNNNNNNNNNNNNNNNNNNNNNNNNNNNNNNNNNNNNNNNNNNNNNNNNNNNNNNNNNNNNNNNNNNNNNNNNNNNNNNNNNNNNNNNNNNNNNNNNNNNNNNNNNNNNNNNNNNNNNNNNNNNNNNNNNNNNNNNNNNNNNNNNNNNNNNNNNNNNNNNNNNNNNNNNNNNNNNNNNNNNNNNNNNNNNNNNNNNNNNNNNNNNNNNNNNNNNNNNNNNNNNNNNNNNNNNNNNNNNNNNNNNNNNNNNNNNNNNNNNNNNNNNNNNNNNNNNNNNNNNNNNNNNNNNNNNNNNNNNNNNNNNNNNNNNNNNNNNNNNNNNNNNNNNNNNNNNNNNNNNNNNNNNNNNNNNNNNNNNNNNNNNNNNNNNNNNNNNNNNNNNNNNNNNNNNNNNNNNNNNNNNNNNNNNNNNNNNNNNNNNNNNNNNNNNNNNNNNNNNNNNNNNNNNNNNNNNNNNNNNNNNNNNNNNNNNNNNNNNNNNNNNNNNNNNNNNNNNNNNNNNNNNNNNNNNNNNNNNNNNNNNNNNNNNNNNNNNNNNNNNNNNNNNNNNNNNNNNNNNNNNNNNNNNNNNNNNNNNNNNNNNNNNNNNNNNNNNNNNNNNNNNNNNNNNNNNNNNNNNNNNNNNNNNNNNNNNNNNNNNNNNNNNNNNNNNNNNNNNNNNNNNNNNNNNNNNNNNNNNNNNNNNNNNNNNNNNNNNNNNNNNNNNNNNNNNNNNNNNNNNNNNNNNNNNNNNNNNNNNNNNNNNNNNNNNNNNNNNNNNNNNNNNNNNNNNNNNNNNNNNNNNNNNNNNNNNNNNNNNNNNNNNNNNNNNNNNNNNNNNNNNNNNNNNNNNNNNNNNNNNNNNNNNNNNNNNNNNNNNNNNNNNNNNNNNNNNNNNNNNNNNNNNNNNNNNNNNNNNNNNNNNNNNNNNNNNNNNNNNNNNNNNNNNNNNNNNNNNNNNNNNNNNNNNNNNNNNNNNNNNNNNNNNNNNNNNNNNNNNNNNNNNNNNNNNNNNNNNNNNNNNNNNNNNNNNNNNNNNNNNNNNNNNNNNNNNNNNNNNNNNNNNNNNNNNNNNNNNNNNNNNNNNNNNNNNNNNNNNNNNNNNNNNNNNNNNNNNNNNNNNNNNNNNNNNNNNNNNNNNNNNNNNNNNNNNNNNNNNNNNNNNNNNNNNNNNNNNNNNNNNNNNNACCACCUCCAUCAUCGAAUCAUUACCAUUAUUCAUCACCACCACCGCCAUUAUCCACAACAGGACAUUACAGUUCGCCACCUCCGUCAUCAAACCACUAUCAUUAUUCACCACCACCACCACCACCACAAUCAUCGAGCCAUUAUACUUCCCCACCUCCCCCACCCACCGAAAAAGGAUCACCAAAUGCCCAUUUUGUACCACCACCGCCACCACCUGUCUAUCCACAUAUGACACCGCCAUCCCCACCCCCGCCCUCACCUUCAUCACCAAAUCCGCCCCCAGAGUCUGAGAUGCCUCCGUCACAUCAACAACAGCCUCCAUCACCUGGGCCUUUGCAUCCUCUUCCUCCUUCACCACCAUCUGGAUGUGGCACUCCUGGAUCCCUACUCCCACCACCACCACCGCCACAUUCUCUACCAGUACCAUUGGCACCAGCACCCAGCCAUCACCACUCACAAUCAUACCCACCUCCCUCACAACAUUGGCAUCAUCCACCACCGUUACACCAUCAAAAUUCUCCACCACCCACCAAAAACCCAUAUUCACCCCCUCCACCGCCUCCGGAUAACGUGCCAUUGCCACCAGUUAUCGGGGUAUCGUAUGCAUCUCCUCCUCCCCCAGGAAUCCCCUACUACUGAUCUAUUUGAUAUCCAAUUUUAAAUCUCUUCCAUUCAAUCAUAUCUUUCCUUUGUAUUUGUCUAAAGGACAAAGACACCGAAGCGAGAAUUCUAUGCUGCAACAAAGAGCAAUGAACGAAGGAUCGCAGCAAGGAAGAGUUCCAUCUCGUGUGUUUUUUAUUGUAAUGCUGCUUUGUGUCUUUUUUGAGGGUUGCUUUCCUAGCAAUAAUCUAGCUUCACCUUUCUGCUUCUUGUUAUUUAUGUAUUCUUAUUAAUUUAUAUGAUGAAGAAAAUGAUACAGACAUGGGUUUUGGAAGAGGGGCAUGAAUCAUGAUAUGGGCUUUUGUUGUACUAAGUGUACAAUUUCAUUUCAGUUGGGCAUGAUUUGUGCCUCGGAUUUGGUGCCCUAGAAGUUUAGGUAGAGAUGGGUAUAAGUUUGAGUUCAUGGUGGCUUCUAUGUUGCCUGCAUGAGUUCGAGGUGCCUCAGGCUUGCUUAGGCAUUUCCCCUGUAUAGAUUCACUUAGCUCAGGCUUGCUUAGUGAUUUUCUCUAUGCAAGUUCUCUUUCUCUCCCAAAUUUGAACUUGUUAGCUCUUGCCGCCUUCUACCUUCUCCUCAACCUUUCACGCCCAAAUUCCUCCUAUUGAAAUUUGAGCUUAGAUUGGACCUAAAAAUCUACAACACAAACAUAAAAGCAUCAAAUGUAACUUGCUAAGGCACCAACAACAAGAUUAAGCUUGGAUGAAUUUUAAGCACCUUGAACAAACUAUGAUAGGCUCCUUAGAGUCUAUUGAGGUGUUGAGUUUGGGCCCUUGUUGCAAGUCCCUCAACACCUUUAAAGGGAAAAUAAAAGAGAAGUACACAAACAAAGCUAAACUCUUAUAACCAGCUUGCAUAGGGUUUAAAGGAGUAGAAAUCCAUGAUUAAGGGCCUGUUUGGGAAGUGUUUUCAAGAACUGUAUUUUGUUCCUAAGAACAAAAAACACCAAAAAACAUGUUUGGUAACCUGAGUGAUGUUUUGUUCUAGUGUUCUUCGUGUUCUUAAAAUCCUAUUUUCAGAGAACAUCUUCAACUUGUUUUUCCUGUUUUUUGCACUAUUUAGAGAACUAAAAGAAGGGCUUGUUCUUCGUGUUUUCAUUAGGAGUGUUCUUCGUGUUCUCAAGUGUUCCUUCUCAGUCUACAUCGUGAAUAUCUUCACCAACAUCCAAAAUAGAGAAAAAUCUCUAAAAAAACAUAGAAAAAUCUCAAAGAAAAAUCUAUGAAAAUACCAAGAAAAAUCCUUGAAAAAAUCUCUGGGCGGACAAAAAAUUUUUUGAAAAAAAAAAAGGAAACUAUCUGAGAAAAACAAAGAAAAAUCUCUGAAAAACAUCAAAAAAUCUUUGAAAAAUCAAAGAUUCUCUCAAAAAGGAAAACUUUCAAUACCCAUGAGAUGAAGAUGAAGAAUAAACAAAUCCAAAUAAUUGACCAAUUGAGAACAAUUCCUUUGUUCCAAUGGUGUCGCUGUGGUUACUGGGAUCCAAUUCCUCUUAUCGACGAUAGGAUUGAUGAUCAGUGCAUCCUGUCUUUUCCUUUCUCUCUGUGUGUGGGUGAUCGAUGUACCCAUCUCCUCUUUGCAUCUGGGUUUUGUGGGUAUGCCCUUGUGGUGUUUGUGAAUGGGGAAUGAAAAGCAGGCAAACAACUGAUGAUAUAUAUAAUAAUAGUUUAUAUAUAUAUGUGUGUGUGUGUGUGUGUGUGGAGUGAAUUCUAUAAAUUCUAAUGUAUGGUUUAUUAUAUAAAUUCUAAUGACAUUGUAGGACUUGAAUAAGAAUCAGUAAUAUAUUAUUUUAUAUGUAAAGAUGUAUUAUUUUAUAUGUUAAUGGUAUGAUGUUAUUGAAUAAUGUGAAUUUAAUGAUAUUGUAUCAUGAUGUAAAUUUAAUAAUAUGAUAUAAAUUUAAUGAUUAAACUUAUAUAAUUAUAAUUAUUUUUAAUAAUUUUAAUAAUAUUUUUAUAAUUUGUUGAACUUUUUUAAUUAUCAUAUUCUGCAUUUCACCCUAUAUUAUAGACAUGAAAAAUGAUGCAGUUAAUGAUCAAAACCACGACUUUGAAUAAUGUACUACACCUUGAGAAUAUCCUCACCAACAUAUCUCUAUUAAGACACCUAAUAUACCUUUGAUGUAUUUUCAUUAUUUAUAAUUAUUUAAAAAAAUUGAAAAUGAUGCAAAUAAUUUUUGAAAUUGGUACAAUUUCUUAAAUUUUAAUGAAGAGUAAAUAUAAAAAUUAUUUAUAUUUAUAAAAUCAAAUUAAUAGAAGAAAACAUUUAGUUUAAAAAAACAACUUCCAAACAUGUUUUUUGUUUUACUUGUUCUAUUUUUUUUAUUAACUCAACCAAAUAUGUUUUAUUUAUUUAUUUUUGAGAACAAAAACUUUUUUUAUAGAAUUCAAUUCCCAAACACUAUUUUUUUUUCUUGAAAACAUAAAAAACUAUUCUUAAAAAUUGUUCUUAAAAAUUGUUUUCCAAAACAGUUUUGAAAAAUAGUAACCAAACAAACCCUAAGUUUGCUUCAAAAUCUAUGCUAGAAAUCCCUUAUUCAUCGCCAAGGUCAAAGUCUCCUCAUUAGCUACCCCUAUUAACAUGUAAAACUUAGUUUGAAGGGAUUCUCUAAGUUUCUUGUUUAAGUUAGAAUAUCAUUAGGAUUUCCAUAGACAUCUCUAGUGUUAAUUUGGAGUACUCCUUGCCCUUAAUGUUGCUAAGUUACAUCGUAACUUAGGUGCUUAAGUUUUUAUUGGUUACUUUUUAUUCACUUCCACUUUUUUUUUUUUUAAUGUCUUCUCAUUUUAUUCAUUUUUUCUCUUUUUACUUAUGCCUUCAUUUUUUUUUCUUUUUCUCUAUAUUAUUUAAAUAAUUCAAGUAGUCAUUCUAUCUUGGCUUAUUUGCUUAUAUAAUGACUUUUAGCUUGUGAUUCCCAAGCUAGUUAACCUAAGGCUUCAGGUGAUGAACCACCCUUGGGACUUACUACCAAGCCUCAAAGGACUAAACUAUUGAUAAAGUUGUGCAAACUAUAUUGAUAAGUAAGCAUAAAACAAUAAUAAUCUCCAUACCAAAAUUCUCAAACAAAACUAAUGAAUACAACAAAUAAUCGUACAUUAAGGAUAAUCACCAUGCCAAAACUCUCACCAUGCUAAAAACAUAUGAACAUGCAAUUUAAAGGUGCAAUAAGAGUGUAUUCAUUGAUCGGCUAAUCAAACACCAUAUUUUCCUUAAUUGGAGUUCAAACUUGACCUUUUUCUAUCCCUAAUAAAUUAGUACCAUAUUAUGUGUUAGAAAACUUGGAUUACUUUGUUCCCGUGCUCUGGAUCUCAUAAGGUGCAUGUAUCUAUUCUUAGAGAUCUCUAGAUCUAAUGCAACGGAAAAUAAUAGCUUCAAAAACCAUUACAAAAUAGAGAUUUGGAGAAAAAGGUUGCUAAUUGAUUAAUUAACCAUACAAGGUCGUAAUUAAUCAAUUAGCCAAGUCCAAAGAUACUACUCACUUAUCCUUGCAUAAUUUUACAUAAUUACCAAAAUACCUUUGUACACAAAAGUGAACUAAAAACCCAUCCAACCCUCAUAAACCAUGUCAUCAAGGAAUAUGAGCUUAGAGUAGGAAUCACUAGGACCCAUAGGAGUACUGGUUUUCUCAAAAUCAAAUUCUGAAAUUGACUCAACAUCCCACUAUAGAGAGUUAAUUGCACUCCAAUAUCCUAUGCAUAUUACAACAAGACACCAAGUGUUAAGGUCUGUGACCUACUAUCUAUUAUAUAUAGACUUCCCAUGAAAUGGUAUCUGUAAUAUAACAAGGUAGUGUUAUCAUCUAUCAAGAUUACCUUUUAAAUCUUUGAGUUACAAAUCCUACUUAUUAUGUGAUCAAAUGAUAUACUCUAGCUCCAAAGAGCAUAUGUCAAAUUCCACAAAAGGAGUUACCGUGGCCAUAGAUUCCAUGAUCACAUGUCCUUUGGAUCACCUAAGGGGACACACUGUCUUAGUUUCAUGAGAUAUCAUGGUGCCUUUAUUGAGAAUACUUGUUGCCACCAACCUCCAUCAAUAGUGACCCAAUUCAUAGGGAUAUAUGACCAUUUUAGGGUCUCACUCACAGGUCAAAGCCUCCUAUUCCAUGUAGUAGAUUGGUGAAUCAUGACAAUGAUAGCCUAGCGUUAUGAUUCACCAUAGGUCCUGUCUAGUAUGCAUCGCAUACACUAGUGCACUCACCAUGAGAAACCCAUCCUGACAACCAAGACAAGUCAUCCUUCCAAUUAGGAGGUGGUGCUCUACAAUAUCUACUAGAUUGUCCAAAUCCAUGAAUCGACUGUGGACAACUUAUUUACUUACAAUGAACCCAUGACUUGUAUCUUUUAUGCAAUUCUUAAUGCAUCAAAGUCAUGUACAAUAUAAGAGACAUGAGCUGAAUGCUCAAAUCAAUGUCAAUACACCAAAAAGGAUAGCAAGGGAAUAGUUAUGUAUUUAAAACUAAGUCAAAUGAAUGUAUUUAAAAAGAUAUGAAUGUAGCCCACAUCAAUAUACAUGAAUUAAUCCACAACUUUUCUUCAAAUGAUCAUAAAGGGAAGCUCAUAAAAGGAUAAAGAGUAUUCCUUUGUUUUGGAAUUGCAAGAUUCAUUCAUGUAAUUAAAUUUGAGAAAAAAAAAAUCCUUAAAAUCAAAGAAAACUAGGAAUAGUGCAUGUCGUAGGAAAAUGGUAGCAUCUAGGAUUGAAAGCAAAAUUUUAUCAACCUAGGGGGUUUAAGGAUCAAAUGUGAAAAGGAAAAGAGAGUUAGAAAUCAAUUUAAAAAUCAUGAAAAGAACAUAAAAAACAGAAAUUGUACCUAAAGAAAAAAACACAAAAGAAAAUAUAGUACACUAUGCGCAUGGGCAUUGAGCAUGCGGAGAAAAAAUGUAGUUAGGAAAAGUGCACUUAAAAUAUGAGGGAUUAAGUGCACAAAGGUUGUGCUCCAGAGUGUGGACCAGAGAAAGGAUGAAAAAACAUGUGCAAAUGAAUUACCCAUUGAAGGGGGUUGUGCAUUGAGUGUGCGCAAGGGAAAAGGUGCACAAUAGCAUAACAAAGAGGAUUAUGCACCUAGGUGUGCACAUUGAACAACAAGGUUGCAUAGGAAAUGUACAUUGAGGAAUACAAGUGCACGCAAGAUUGCACAUCAGAGAUGAAGGAAAAAGUGUGCAUAAAGAUUGUGCACUAAGAAGCUAUAAUAAUGUACGUAAUAGUGCAUUGAAGGGAACUUGACUACACACUAAAGAGGGUGCAAUGCACAUUGAAGGGAGUUAGAUCAAGCAUUAUGCAUUGAAUAAGGGGAAGGUCAUGAAAGGGGUAUUGUGUGGGCAAAGUUUGUGCACUAGAGUGUGUAGGGAAUUAAACCGAAUUCCCAACCCGUGAGAAACAAAAAUUAGAGAAAAACACAAUCCAAAGAAAAACAAUCACACACACAAGACAGUAUUUACGUGGUUCGGCAAUUUGCCUACGUCCACGGAGUUGCAGGGAUCUCACUAUUAUCAGGGAAGAAUACAGAGUACAACCUAGCGGCUACAAUAUUCUCUAUAUAUAUAUAGCACGGCAACCCUACCAUACUAAAAAACCCUAAUUAAAAAAGGGUGGUUCCACAAUGGGCUAAACGAGCCCAAUAGGCCUCAAUAAAUCUCCCAUUAAAAAAGCCAUGCAAUAUUAUUCGGGUCGGGUCGUCAAACCGGAUCAAACAAAACUAGGCUCCACAAAGCCCAACAAAUCUCCCACUUGGAGACUAGUCCAAUCACCAACAUCAAACCGCUAUCCUCCAAGAAACGAUCCCUCAUCCCUACAACUCAUCCUCCUGUCCUCAAGCUAGAAGACCAAUUGAAGCUGCGCACAGCUUCAACUUCUCAAUAGUGACACCCUUAGUCAACAUGUCUGCAGGGUUCUUAGAUCCACAAAUCUUCUCAAGUAUUACCAGUUUAUCCUCAACAAGAUAACGGAUAAAGUGAUAUUUUGUUUGUAUAUGUUUCGACUUUGAAUGAAAAGCCGAAUUUUUGGCAAGAAAAAUUGCACUCUGACUGUCACUGUGUAGAAUGCCCAUCUCUUGCUUCUUACCCAAUUCAUCUAAGAAACCAUGUAGCCAAAUCAUCUCAUUUCCAGCUUCAGUUGCUGCAACAUACUCAGCUUCUGUAGUAGACAAAGUAACAAUCUUCUGUAGAUUUGAAGUCCAUGAUAUAGCUGUACCACCUAGAGUAAAAACAAACCCAGUAGUACUCUUUCUACUAUCAAUAUCACCAGCAAAAUCAGCAUCUAUAUAACCCUGCAGUUUCAAACUUGCACCUGUGAAGCAAAGACAUGUAUCUAAUGAACCCUUCAGAUAUCUUAAAAUCCACUUGACUGCCUCCCAAUGCUGCUUUCCAGGCCUACUCAUGAAUCUGCUCACAACUCCCACUGCAUGUGCAAUGUCUGGCCUUGUACACACCAUAGCAUACAUCAAGCUGCCAAUAGCUAAGGCAUAGGGCACCUUGCUCAUAUGGUCCCUUUCUUCUUCUGUCUUUGGUGACUGUUCUUUGCUUAGUUUGAAAUGACUACCCAAGGGUGUGCUCACUGGUUUAGCUUCAUUCAUGUUGAACCUGCUGAGAACUUUCUUCACAUACUCUGACUGUGAAAGCUUCAAUGUACCAUUAGCUUUGUCUCUAAUGAUUCUCGUACCAAGGAUUUGCUUUGCAGCUCCCAAAUCCUUCAUUGCAAACUGUUUGGACAAUUGCUUCUUCAGAUUAUUAAUCUUCUCAAUGUCAGACCCUACAAUAAGCAUAUCAUCCACAUACAACAGUAAUAUGAUGUAAGAGUUGUCAAAGGACUUAACAUAGCAACAAUGAUCAGCUUCACAUCUCUUGAACCCAAUUCUAUGCAUAAAAUUGUCAAACUUCUUGUACCACUGUCUAAGAGCUUGUUUAAGGCCAUACAAGCUCUUUCUUAGUUUGCAGACUAGAUUCUCUUGUCCCUGAACAAUGAACCCUUCUGGCUGAAUCAUGUAAAGGUCUUCCUCCAAGUCACCAUGAAGGAAUGCAGUCUUCACAUCUAACUGCUCAAGAUGUAAGUUUUCUGCAGCCACCAUUCCAAGUACAAGUCUAAUUGUUGACAUCUUCACAACUGGAGAAAAUAUCUCUGUGUAGUCAAUGCCCUCCUUCUGUUGGAACCCUUUAACAACUAAUCUGGCCUUGUAACGUUUGCUACCAUCAUGCUCAUUCUUUAUUCUGUAUACCUACUUGUUGUGCAAAGCCUUCUUUCCUACUGGCAAUUCAGUCAGUUCCCAUGUCUGAUUCCCCAACAGGGAAUCCAUCUCAUCCUUCAUGGCUAACUCCCACUUGCUUGAAUUCUCAUCUUGCAAGGCUUCAUCAUAACACUCUGGCUCACCACCAUCAGUCAACAGGAGAUAAUUUAAAACAGGUGAAUAACGCUGCGGAGGUCUAGUGUUCCUAGAAGAUCUGCGAACUUCAACUACAGGUGUACUCAGAUCUACCUGUGAAUUUACAUUCUCCUUAUCUUCUUCACCCCCUUUUUGGACAGUACUUUUAGUCAAUUCAUCUAAGUUGACAAACUCAGAUUUCUUUUGAUCUAUCUCUGUAACAUCUGACACUACAGAUGACCUGUCUUUGUACAUAACCUGUUCAUUAAAUAUCACAUUUCUACUUCUGAUGAUUUUCCUGUUUUGUUCAUCCCAAAACCUAUAGCCAAAUUUCUCAUCACCAUAGCCAAUGAAAAAACAUAUUUUUGACUUUGCAUCAAGUUUACUACGAGCAUCAGAAUCAAUAUGAACAUAAGAAAUACAACAAAAAACUUUUAAAUGUGAAAACUUCACCUCUUUACCGCUCCAAACCUCCUCAGGAAGUCUGAACUCUAUGGGAACUGAUGGUCCUCGGUUUAUCAGGUAAGCUGCAGUGCUAACAGCAUCAGCCCAAAAAGUUUUUGGUAGUCCAGCAUGCAACCUCAUACUUCUAGCACGCUCAUUGAGAGUUCUGUUCAUGCGCUCAGCCACACCAUUCUGCUGUGGUGUCCCAGGAAUGGUCUUCUCCAUCCUAAUUCCCUGUGCAGCACAAUACUCAUUGAAUCCUCCAUCUAUGUACUCUCCUCCAUUAUCUGACCUCAAACAUUUUACUUUCAAACUUGUUUCUGUCUCAACCAUGGCCUUCCACUUCUUAAAAGUUACAAAUACAUCAGAUUUAUUUUUUAGAAAAUAAACCCAUACCUUUCUACUUGAGUCAUCAAUAAAGGUGAUGUAGUACCUUGAACCUCCUAGGGAUGCAACCGGAGAAGGCCCCCACAAAUCAGUGUGUACUAGUUCCAAUUUUUCAGCCUUCGGUGUCCUGCCAGUUUUCAAGAAGCUCACCUUUUUUUGCUUUCCUAAGAUGCAACUUUCACACAUGUCAAAAUCAAUGGACUUCAAUUCUGGUAGUUUUCCUUUUGACAGCAACAUCUUUAUCCCUUUCUCACUCAUGUGACCAAGUCUGCGGUGCCAUAGGCUUGUAUCAGUACUUGCAUCAGCAACUGCAAUUGUGUCUCUUGGACAUGAGGUCAUAUACAGAGUGCCAGUCUUCUUUCCACGAGCCAAUACCCUAGCUCCCUUUGUAACCUUCCAAGUACCACCAACAAAUAGUAUUGCAUGUCCUUCAUCAUCAAGUUGUCCAACAGAAAUCAGAUUCCUUCUCAGGUCAGGAAUAUGUCAAACCUUCUCCAGUAACCAAACAGACCCAUUGGGCAACGAUAUCCGGACAUCUCCCAGACCCACAACAUCCAAGGCUGAACCAUCAGCCAAAUACACCUUACCAAAAUCACAUGCAACAUAAUUCUGUAUGAUUUCUCGGUGUGGAGUGGUAUGAAACGAAGCUCCUGAAUCCAAAACCCAAUCAUCAAGUGGACUGUCUACUGCAAGAAGUAAUGCAUCCUGUACCUCUUCUAUUACAGCAUUAGCAGAAUCAUCUUCAUUCUUCUUCUUAGGGCUUUUGCAUUGCCUUUUAAAGUGACCUGUUUUCCCACAAUUCCAGCAUUGUACUUGUUGGCCUGAUCUAGAUUUGCUUCUGUUCCGAUUAGAAUUUCUGGAAUUUGAUCUACCUUGAUUUGAAUUUCUGUUAUUACUUCUACCUCUUGUCUCAAGGUUUAGGGCAGAACCAGAUCCUGAGGUUUCACCUGCAUCUCUUCGGCGAAUCUCCUCAGCCAGAAUUAAAUCUCGUAUAUCAUUGUACUUGAGCUUUUCCUUUCCAGUAGAAUUGCUUACUGCCAUCCUCAUUGCCUCCCAACUAUUUGGCAAAGAAGCCAAGACGAUCAGAGCACGAAUCUCAUCAUCAAAAUCAAUUUCUACAGACGACAAUUGAUUUGUGAUUGUAUUAAAUUCAUUCAGAUGUUGUGCUACUGAUGCAUUCUCUGCCAUCUUCAAAUUGAACAAUUUCUUCAUCAGAUGCACCUUAUUGUUUGCGGACGGCUUUUCAUACAUACCGGACAAAGCCUUCAUCAGAUCUGCUGUGGUCUUCUCCUUUACAACAUUGUGUGCAACAGACCUAGACAGAGUUAACCUAAUAACUCCUAGAACCUGUCUGUCAAGAAGCGCCCAUUCCUCAGCCUUCAUACUCUCAGGUUUUGUCCCCAAAAGAGGCAGGGAUCUCACUAUUAUCAGGGAAGAAUACAGAGUACAACCUAGCGGCUACAAUAUUCUCUAUAUAUAUAUAGCACGGCAACCCUACCAUACUAAAAAAUCCUAAUUAAAAAAGGGUGGUUCCACAAUGGGCUAAACGAGCCCAACAGGCCUCAAUAAAUCUCCCAUUAAAAAAGCCAUGCAAUAUUAUUCGGGUCGGGUCGUCAAACCGGAUCAAACAAAACUAGGCUCUACAAAGCCCAACAGAGUGUGCAUUAGAGAGAGAGAGAGGAGUGUGUGUAGGAGGAUUGCAUACUAAAGUAGCUUGCAUGCUUGGGAAAUAGCAUGGCUAAGAUGCAUUAUCAAGAAGAAAAAAAUGCACUAAAUAAAGUACAUCGGAAGGGAAAGCAGCAUGCACAUUGAGAAUGUGCAUUGAAGAGUGUACACUUUGAAAAGUGCACUAAGAGCACUAUGCAGGUAAAUUGCGGGAUUGAAGAACCGUAGAACAAAAAGUGUACCAACAAAAUGUACAAAAACAAGAUUGCAUAUAAAAAAAGACACCAAACUUGUGCAACUCAUGUUUGCGUAGACUAGAGUACAUACAUAAGUAGUGCAUGAACCUACAGUGGAAUGCACACUAAACAUUAUGUGAACAAAGAUAGGAAACUACUAAUGCACAAACAUGGUGCAUAAACUAAAAAUGAGCAUUAACAAAAUGGAGAGACAUGCAUGAAUAUAUGUUGCAUACUUGAACGAUGCAUAAACUCUACACACCUGAGCAAUGCACUAACUCAACUCACAAUGUGUAAACCAUUUGCUCAAACGAAAGGACUGGAACGAAGAGGCAUACAAACAAAAACAAUGUACAAUAGUGCACAAGAGAUGCAUAAACCUACACGUAAAACACUAGUGGGAGCUAGACGCACACUAACUAGUGUGCAAAAAAACAACAAUCACAAAAAAUAAAAACGUAUUAACUGUUGCACAAACAAGAGCAUCCUUAAGAGGAGAUGCAUAAUUUGAUGCCCAAUGAGAAACAAACACUAGAAACAUAGAAAAAACCCAACAAAUAUAAAGCACAACUAAAGAGAACAAAUAAACAAACAAGCCAUUGAACGAAGCCCCAUUUUAUGUUUUAUCAAUGAGUUAAGAACAAGUGAGAGAGCUAAAGUGGUUUUGAAACCAAAAUGAAAAUAAGAUUUAUAGAUAUCAAACAGUGAAGAUGAAACAAUAAUAACAAAUCUAUAGACUAACUCGGAAAUCAAGAGAACAACAUGUGGCCUCUAAUAUCCACACUCAACCAACAAGCAAUCUUCAAUAAGAGCAGAUGAAAGAGAAAGAAAACAACACUAAGUAUGGGUUUCAUAGUAAAAAGAACUUACUUGAGAAGAGAUUGUUGGCGAACCCUUUUUUCUCUUCAUUUGGCUCUUUACUUUUCUCCUAUUUUUUCCUUUCCAAGCUUUCUCUCUCUACCCAAAAAUUUCCAACCACAAAAUAUUCUCUUUUUCCUCUCUUUCUCACACACAACAAUGUUGAAUGUUCUCUCACCCCAUCCUAAAAAAGAGAAAAAGAUCAUUCAUAAAAGACCAAAAUGGUUUUUUUUAAAGGGUCAAGGAUGGAUAAUCCAAGCAUAAAAAGCUCUCUAAAAACCUUAAAAAGAAACCCCCUAAAUGAAACCAAAAAAAAAAACUAAAUAAGGGUCCUAAGCUAAGGCUCAUGUCCAAAUGAAUGAAUCUAAGCUAAACCUAAGGGGCAAUUAAAAUCCAUGCUAGGAUCCACAAAAAUCUCCCUAAUGGUCUUCAAAAUUGGCUCGAGAAUCAAUAACAAGUCAAGUAAUUGCGGACUACCAAGGGACAUGAUGAAUGACUAAACAAAAAGAUCCUAGGCAUGCAUUACAAGGGAACACAAAGUGAGAGAAAAAUGAAUAUGAAAUGACAUGUGCUAAUAGAAAAAUAAAGGGUCUACAACUAUACCCCUCUUCGGUGUAGAUCAUAAGUAUAAUGAAUAUGAACAAUGAAAUGUGAGUGAUGAAUGGAAUGAAGUGAUUUAUACUGAAGAAUAAAAAAGACCAACAAUUUUGUCCUAGCACAUGACAUGAUAAGCUCUAAGAUUAGUCAGGCAAUAGAAAAGAAACUUGAGAUGAAGAUGAUGACAGAGUGGAGAGCAUAUACAAAAUAAAGUAAAGAGAACAGUGGAUGUGAAACCAUGAGAGCAAGAUAUAGAAAGCUAGUAACCAUGAAUGUUGAAAGCCAUGACUUUCAAUGCUAAAAAUGGGUAAAGGUGGAUUUGAAUGCCCAAAAAAAAAAAGACUCUUAACGUCGAAAUUAAAAAAAAAAAAAAGGCCUUGAACACCAAACUGAAAAAAUGUGGCUCUAAAUGCCAAAUUGAAAGAUAAGGACCCUGAAUGCUAAUACUAUGGCUCUAGAUGCUUGAACUAAAAAAAAAGGCUCUGGAUGCCAAAAUUGAAAAAGUGGCUUUGAAUACCAAUACUAUGGCUUUAAACACCAAAAUCGACCAAAAAGGGAGAUCUAGUCUAUGACUCUAGGUUGAACCUCUCAAAGGUGACCAAAAUGAUGUAGGCUCUAAAUGUGUAUAUUGUAGCUCUAAACACCAAACUAAAAAAUAAUGGCUUUGAAUGCCAAAUUAAAAAUGAUGACUCUGAAUGCUUGACUGAAAAACAGUGGCUCUUAACACCAAACUAUGAAAAAAAAAACUCUAAAUUCUACUAAUAUAGGUUUAAACAUUAAUAAUAUGGCUUUGAACACUUGAACUUUGGCUCUGAACACCUAAAACAUGGCUCUUAAUGCCAAAAUCAGUUGAAGAGGGAGAUGAAAUCUACUACUCUAGGUCAAACCUCUUAAGGGUGACCAAAAUGAUGUAGGCUCUAAACACUUAUACCAUCACUUUAAAUGAAAAACUGAAAAAGAACGAUUUUGACUGCUAAAAUAGAAGAAUGACUUUAAAUGCCAAAAUUGAAAAAGAAUGGCUCUGAACGCCAAUACUACAACUUUGAACUCCUGAAAUGUAGUUUUGAAUGCCAAAUCUAUGGCUUUGCAUGCCAAAACUAUGACUCUAAAUGCCUAAAAUAAAAAUGGGAAUGGGGGGAAUAUGCCCCAAUAUAUAGGAUCCUCACACUACUAAUGAUCCAAUGGAAAACACUAUCAACCGAAAGCAGCUACCCUUUAAAAGGGUGAAAACAAGACUCCACGUGUCUCAAAAGAUGUUUUGCUAACGAUUUGAAAUGAUCCAAUCGACUGAGGGGCUUAGUCAUCACAACUCAUUUGACUAGCUCCAAACACUCCAUUGGGGAAUCAUGAUAGCUUAGACAUCUCUGAAUUAGAGUACUCCAUUAAGAAGUCAGAAUGGUACAAUCAACAAUAUCUAGGAAAGUACUCUAUUGGGAGUUGUCUCUAUUGCAAUGAAUAAUCCAUUGAGAACUAAGAUAGCAAAUUUAUCCAUCUCAAAAUUGAUCUACUAAAGAAACUGUCACUAUGUCAAAACACUCGACUAAUAGUUGUCUCUGUAUCUUAAAAUAUACUUCACUAGGGAUUGUCUCUAUCUCAUGAGAUACUCCUUUAGAGAUCGGGGUAACAAAGUAGUCAAACGGAUCUAUCACAAAAGUACUUCUCUGGAGAACUACAAUUGCAUUGAAACAUACCCACUGAAAACCAUUUACAUCUCAACAUACACUCCAUUGGGGAAACUAUCACUAUCUUUAAGAAAUACUCCACUGGGUACUUUAGAUAGUGAAAAUAUCAAAGCUCAAGGAAAGUGCUCCAUGGAAAGCUUUGAGCGACAAAAAUAUCAAAAUUAUGACUAGCAAUGUGAAUGAAAAUCUUUCAAUCGACUAAAGGGGCCGUUGAAACUAAGUGAAAAGCCUACCAUCUCAACAAGAGAAUGGGGAAUAUGCCUAGAAGAGUAGCCAAUGCAAGGUCGUGUAUGCAACCAAAUGACGCUAGCUAAUCAUCUUAGUGCCAAGAUCUUAAAGAUCAACAACUAAGAGAGUAAAGACGUAAUGGUUUGUCAUGCUAACUUGAUGGAACCUUAACAAGGAUUGAGAUAAUCAGACUGAACUACUCUAUUAGGAUCAAUGAAUGAGAGCCCAUCCAUCAUUGGCUCAAGAGUACUCCAUUAGGAACAAUGAACAAGAGCUUAUCCAUUACUGGCUCAAGAGUACUCCACUAGGGAUGCGUAGUAAUCAACAUCAUUACAAACAUGAGACUAUGCAAAUCAAUGAAGAGCUAACAAUCUUAAUGAUAAGGGGGUAUGCCUCAAUGUAACAUCUAAUGCAUGGUAAGUCAAACAAUAUCCACUAUUUACCUCCCAAUAGGAAAUCAAUCGUCAUCUAUAUCCACUACUGAACUAGAUCCAAGGAUUAAAGAGGUGUGUCCCAAAAGAGAAAGCAUGAUGGACAUCUAUACAUCUACCAAGUCCCCAAGCAUCCACCCAAGUAGAGACUGUCAAAGAUGACAUUUGAUCCUAUGGCCCCAGAGUGGCCUUAAGACACAUGAUGUAAUGUAGGCUAAGGGCGAUAAGGUAAGAGAAAUGAAGGAAAACUAGGCUUAAAUACCCAAUAAUCAAACCCAUACCCUCAUGUAUAAGAUGCAAUAUGUAGAGAGAAUCUCAUAAACAAUGGACCUAAAUCUGUCCAAUGCGAAAAUACUAAUGAGAAGAAGGAAAAAAAGAAGAUUGAAUUGAUAAUGAGAUGUGUAAGAACAAUGUGAAGGAUAUAUUAGGCCUCAAAUAGAUCAAUGUGAGAGAAAAACAAGAAGGUGAAAUGAAUGGGAUAAGUAAAAAAUAAUAAUGAGAGUAAAUGAAAUGAUGAAAGGAAUGAUGAUCAACUCAUAUCAUUGCAUAGAGAAAAGUCACAUUAUCAAUGGAUGGAAUAGAGAGGAUAAUGGUUCAGUGCCCCCAGGAAAAGCCACUCAUCUCUUACACUAAAAAAAAUAUGAGAAGUUAGACACAAGGAGAAGAGGGUUUCAGAGAGCUCACAUAUGAGCUCUCAUCAAUAAAUAAACUCAAUUAAGUAACCUUAAAUGCUAGUAUACAUGUUUAAUGGAGAAGGGUACUAUAUACAUACACACAUGCACUUACUUUUUAAAUUUAUUUAUUUAUUUAUAAAUGCACAUACUUUAAACACAAACUGAAGAGCUAUAGUGAGAAAGACAUGAUGAAUGAAUACACUCUUAGAAUUUGAUGUAAUACAAACUCUCUCUCUGAUGAGACGACCCUCUUAAAUUGAGGGUCUCCAAAUCAAUGUCCAUGGAAUAGAGUAGAGGAGAUGAUUUGACCAUUCUUCAUAUAAUGAAAUGUGAAGGAUCACCACUCGGGGUGAAUGAGAAGAUGAAGUGAAACAAGUAGUAAUACAAACAAAUAAGGGGAUGAAGAAUACAAACAAUGAGAUGUGAUGAAAUGCAAUAGUUUGAUGACAACAAAUGAUAAGAAAAUUAUGCAUGUAGGUCCAAAGCUCAUGAGACUCCUAAAAAAAUUGUGAGAGUCCUAAACAAAGUGUACAUACACUAAAAGGGGCCCCUGUCUUGGUGUAGAUAUGUGAGCAAGGCAAUGAGAAAGAAAAAUGUUAUGAUGCUCAUGCAAGGCUUAAAGGGCUAGCAACAAUCUGUAUGUCAAUAAAAGAUGAUAAGGUAUAAGGCUAACCAAAACAAAUGCCACCUAUCCUGUGACCAUGGUCUCAAACAUAUUACUUCUUCAAUAGAUCUACAUUGGUCAACUAUAAGAAUUGGUUUCCAUCUAGAUCCAUAAACCAUGCAACCCCCUAUAGGGUCAACUCUCUAAUGGGAUAAGGUCCGCUCCAAAAAGGUCUAAACUACUAUCUAGGAUCUCCAACCAACCUCUAAGGGCUCUCAAAACUAAAUCACCUCUUUCUAGGUUUAGACUUAACCUGCUUUUUGAAAGCAUGGACCAUCUUCCUUUGAUAAGCAUGAACAUGAUCUACCAUCUCAAUUUCUUCUCAUAUAAAAGGCUAAGCUUAUCAAAUCAAGCUUAACCAUACUCAGUCUCAGAGAUCUGUUGCUCUAGUGCUACUCUUAAUGAUCCUAUCUCUAUCUUAACAGGUAACACGACCUCCAUAUGAUACACCAAAGAGUAUAGUGUAGAUUCUAUAAAGGUAUGAAAAGAACUACGACAAGCCUAUAAUGCAAAGGGAAGCUUCUUUAACCAAUCUUAAGAAGUUUGAACCAUCUUCCACAUAAUCGUUUUAAUGUUCUUAUUUGUGGCCUCUAUUGCCUCAUUAGUCUCUGACCUAUAUGCAGACGAUCUAUGAUGCUGGAUGCCAUAUCCCUGAAGCAAAGUAUUAACCUCAACUUUGAAAUGCACACCUUUGUCUAAAAUCGACUCAUGAGGUACUCCAUAAUGAUAGAUGAUAUGUGAUCUAAUAAAACUAACAACUCUAGUUACAGUCAAUCUCGCAUAUGAGUUAGCCUCCACCCACUUGGUGAAGUAAUUAAUGGCAACAAGGAUGAACUCGUAACUACUAGAAGAUUUCGAUGAAAUCCUCCCAAUAACAUCAAUCCAAACAAAAAAAUGGUCAUCAUGAGGUUAAUGCAUGUAACUCUGAUGGUGGCACAUGGACUAGAUCACCGUGUGUCUGGUACUCUAGACAUCUCUAAGCGAACUACCAACAAUCUGUUUCCAUAGUCAACCAAAAAUAGCUAGUCUUCAUGAUCUUUUGAGCCAGCAUUUAUACUCCUAUAUGUGGUCCACAUACUCUCUCAAGAAACUUUCUUAUUGCUUGAUUAGUAAAGGUGCGGUCUAAGCAUAAUAAUAACAUACCAUCAACUGAGCAUCUGUAUAAUGACCCCACAAAUCAUAAAUCUAGUAGCUAACUGCCUCAAUGCUCUCUUAUCCUUGGCUAUCAUAACCUUAGGAUGUGUCAGAUAUGAGAAGAUGAUAGAUAUCAUGGUACCAAGGCAAAUCAUCCUAGACCUUGGUCUUUCCAAUCAAGCAACAGUAAGUAGGAACAAUUCUUGACUCAAUUAGUAAAGAAUGAACAACAACAUUAGUAGGAAUAUCAAUCAUGGAAGCUAGAGUAACUAAGGCAUAAACAAAUUGGUUCUACGCUCUAGGUAGAUGUGUAUAUCUCGAAUCAUUAAAUCUCUUAACUAAUAUCUUUAAAUAAGCAUAGUAAGAUCUAAGCUUCAUAUUUUUAGUCCUCCAAUCACCGUGAAUCUAUUUAAGUAUCAAAUUGGAGUCAUUAAACACCUUCAGUUGUCUAAUUCCAAGAUCAAGAGCAAUCUCUAAACCAAGGAUCGAUGCAUGCCUCAUACUUAACAAUGUUGUUUGUAGUAGAAUGAUGGUUAGAAACUUCCAAACAAACUAAUCUUGGGAUGUGACCACCAUGAGAGGAUAUCAAUAAAACACUUAUCCCAUAUCCGGAAUGGUUAGUUGUACCAUCAAAAUACAUGUACUAACCUGACAAACUAGUCACUAAAACAAUAUUCUUAUCUGGAAAAUCAUUAUCAAUCACUCUACCAUCUAAUAUUGGAAGUGAAGCCAAAUUAUUCGCAAAAAUACACCAUUUGAUAGACUUCUGAGGGCCAUAUUGGAUAUCAAACUUGAUCAAUAACACUAAGCAUCUCAUUAGUCUACUAGUCAAUGAAGGCCUAUCAAACAAAUAUCUCAAUGGAUCUAAACCGGAAAUUAGAUGUAUAGAAUACUCAAUCACAUAGUGUCUCAAUCUCCUAGUAGCCCAAACUAAUGCUAAGCAAGGGCAUUCAAUCAUGACAUAUAUUAUCUCAUACUUUGCAAUCCUUUUAUUUAAGCAGUAAAUAACUUGUUUUUUUCUCAAAUCAUCAAGCUAAGCUAACAUGCUAUAGGAUUAAAUAGCUUGUAUAAGGCAAUGUAUGAAAUUGAUAGGUAUAGGAGUAGAGGACGACCUAGGGUAGGAGACACCAAAAUUGGAGGAGACAACAAAUACUCUUUAAUCAUUUCAAAUGCAUGUUGACAAUACUCACCCCAAACAAUAAGAUGAUUCUUCCUGAUUAAAGCUUUAAGCGGAUGUCAAACAUAUACUCAAAUAUCUUUGGAGAACAAUGGAUUAUAUGUUUGUGAGUCUUUGCGAUGAGUUUGUACUCCUUUUAUACUAGGAAUUAGACUUUCAGUCUGAUAAGGACUCUCACAAGUCUACCUUUGGGUAUGUAUACACUCUAAGUGGUUUUUGUUGCUUCUAUAGCAACAAAUGAAACCUUUUGGCUUAUGGAUAGUUCCCUUGGUAUAUGGUCUAAGAUCUUGUUAUGUGAUAAUAGUAGAACGGUGGCAUGGUCUAAAAAUCUAGAAUACCACCAGAAAAGAAAACAUAUAAAGAGAAAGUACUACCAUACUUAGUGAGAUAGUACAGAGAUGUGUUAUGACUGUGGAACAAAUUCUUUUUGCAAUGCCCAGUCUACUUUUGUAUUGGAUUCUAAGGGAGCUAAUACUCCUAUGAGUCCCAUUAGUCCCUACUCUGAGCACAUAUACCAUCAUUGCACGAUUUAUGAAGGUCGGAUUAGCUCUAAGUUCACUCCUAUACAUAAGGGCAUUUUGGUAAUUAUGCAAGGAUGGUAUAUCAAAUAUGGCAUUAGACGGAUCAGAAGAUCAAGUGUCUUAUGCUUGGAUCUUUAGGUAAUGUGUUGCAAUAGAAAUAGAUGUCUAUUACUAAAGACUUUAAUAUUCUAUUUCUCAUUUGCAAAAAUUAUUUGGUGAUAAGUAUAGGUCAACUUUGACAAGCUACCCUUAAGACUAUUAUGAACAUCAGUAUUGAUAUGCUCUUAGAGAUAUUGUCAUUUCCUUUGGGAUGGCUAAGGGGAUUCUCAUAGAUUAUUAGGUGUUUAUAUGGAAAUCAAAGGCUCUUCAAGUUCUUCUGCCAAGAAGAAGAACAAACAACACCAAAUAAGGAAAGUUAAAAAAAAAGAAUAAGAGAGCAAACUCAGGGGCAAGUGAUUUAUUUGUGACUUUUUAGGACACUAGAAAAGGAAUGCCCAUUUUAACUAAGGGAAAAGAAAAGUAUACAUUAUUUUCUCAUUUUUGAAUAUUUAAUGGUGGAUUUCACCAUUUAUGGUGGAUAGAUUCUAGGCCCACUAUCUAUAAGUCCUUACAAGGUAUUCAAUAAGUGAGAAGGUUAAAUGAUGGGAUUACAUUUUCCUUGGCUUCAAGUGCAAGGAUAGUUAUGUAUGGUAGUGGAGGUAAUAUCUUCAUCUUUUAUAUGUAUUUUGUUAUCACUUUGCCAAGGGAUGAAAAUAGUCAAAUCUCAAGAUUAAACCUAGCAUUAAUUAAACAUUUGGUAUCUAGACUUAGGUCAUAUUAAUCUAAAUAGGAUCCAAAGACUGAUCAAGUCUAGACUCUUUGAUUCUAGUAUGGAAAUCUUGUAUAGAUGAUAAAAUGACCAAGGAGACUAAAACCAAGGAAUGUUUGGAGUUAGCGCAUAUUGACAUGUAUGAAACUUUUAGUGUCCAUGCAUGGGAAGGGUAUGAGUAUUUCAUCACUUUUAGUGAUGAUUACUCUAGGUUUGGAUAUGUACAUUUGGAAUAUCAUGCAUUGGAUAGAUUCUUUGAAUUUAAGGCAAGAUUAGAUAAUCUAUUUGGUAUACAUACCAAGUCACUUCGAUUAAAUCGUACUAGUAUGCCUAGUAAGUUUGAUUCUUUCCAUUAUAGCACAAGAUUAUAUCCCAGCUAUGUGCACUAGGGACUCCAUUGCAAAAUGGAGAAGUGGAAAGAAGAUAUCAAACUAGGAUAGACAUAGUGAGAUUGAUAAUUAUUUUCUUAUCACUUCCUAUUUUCUUUUAUAGAUAUGUCUUAGAGACUUUGUUAUACAUUUUUUUAAUGUUUUUUUUUUAUAUUAAGAGGUAUAUCAGUUUAUAAGAUAUCUAAGAGGAUUUUUGGGUUAUUACCUUUAUAGUCAAAAUCAUUAGAAGAUGUUUGUUGGCAUAAAUGUUAGAUUUAUGAUGAAGACUAUAUGAUAAGGAAUAAAGCAAAGAGUGGUAUAGAUUGGAGGAUACAUUAGAAAAUAGUUCCACUCUUGCACAUUAUACUAUAGAUCUAGAAGGUUAGAGACAUACCAUUCCUAUGAUUUUUAAUACACCAGUACCUCAUCAUAGUAGGAGGCUUAUAUUUCAUGGAUUAUGAUGAAGCAAUGAGCAGUGUUUGUGCUUACUUGAGAUAACAAGCUACGAAGACGUUGUUAGAAUCUUUGUAUUCUAACAUAGUUUCAACUCCUGUAGAAACACUUAAAAGAAUAAAACCCAUAGGUAUAAGUUGGUUUACACAAGGAACAAAGGAGUAGAUGGAAAACUUGAGUUUUAUAUGACUAGUUUGUAGCUAAUGGUUAUAAUUUGAAACUUUGUUUCAACUAUAGAAAACCUUUUCAACAUUGGUCAUACUCAAAUCCAUUAGAGUACUCUUAUAUAUUACGGUAUGUCUCAUUUAUGAGAUACAACAACUAAACAUUUUCAUAACAAAGGCCUUUUGUAUGCAAGAAGGCACAUGGAAGCGUAGUGAUGCUCGAAUAUCUUGUAAGUAGAUGACAUAUGAUGUAGGGAUAUUAUCAUCAAUCAAGAUCUAAUAGUCUACCCAAUUCUAAAUGAAAAUCUAGGAGGCGCAAUAUAUAUUCUUGGGUUUAAGGCCUUUUGGGACUAAGAAUAGGAAAAUUGUGCUAUAUCACCUACAUUGAUAAGCAUUUGGUCAAAUGCAUGAUGCAAAACUUCAAAAAGGGUUUUCUACCCUUUGGGUUUGGAGUUAUCUUUCUCAGGAUUAAUGUCCUUGGACAUCUAAGGAGAGAUGUUGCAUUAACGUGAUAUCCUAUACUUUUGUAAUGGGUAGCCAUAAGUAUGCGAUGUUAUGUUUAAGACUAGAUAUUUGUUUUGUUAUAGGAAUAAUGGGUGGAUAUCAGUCCAUUUCUUGAUUAGAAAUUUGGGUGGAUAUCAAACAUAUACUCAAGUAUAUUUGGAGAAUGGGGAAUUAUAUGUUUGUGAGUCUUUGUGAUGAGUUGGUACUCAUUUCGUACCGGGAAUUAGACUUUCAGUUUGAUAAGGACUCUCGUAGGUCUACCUUUGGGUAUGUGUACACUCUAAGUGGUUUUUGUUGCAUCUAUAGCAACAAAGGAAGCCUUUUGGCUUAUGGGUAGCUCCCUUGGCUAUUAGUCUAAGAUCCUGUAAUGUGAUAAUAGUGGGGCAGUAGCAUGGUCUAAAGAACUAGAGUAUCAUUAAAAGAGAAAACACAUAGAGAGGAAGUACUAAUAGACUUAGUGAGAUAGUAUAGAGAUGUGAUGUGACCAUGAAGAAUAUUAUUUCUUUAGUGCCCAAUCUGCUUUUAAGGCUAGUGGGAGUUUGUUGGGAUUGAGUCCCUAAAAGAAAAACAUGAUGUAACAAAGUUAAACUUGAUUAUCCAUUUUCUAUCCCUUUUAUGAAUUGAGAUUGAUUUGAGCAUGCAACCUAUAUCUUUUACACUGUACAUGAAUUGGUCACACUUGAAGUUGGACUAAGGAUAUAAGUCAUGGGUUCCUUAUAAGUAGAUAAGUUGUCCACAGUUAGUUUAUGGAUUUGGGCAAUCCAAUAGAGACUAUAGUGUACCACCUCCCAAUUGGAGGGAUGACUUUUCUUGGCCGUUGGGAUGGUUUUCCCAUGGUGAAUGUACUAUGUGAUGCACACUAGAUAGGACCUAUGGUGAAUCAUAAGGCAAGGCUAUCAAUUGGCAUGAUUCAGCAAGCUACUAUAUUACAUGAAUUCUUAACUUUCAGAGGAUAUUGAGCUUGUACCAAAAUUAAUAGGAGGUUUUGACCUAUAGGUGAGAUCUUAAAGUGGUCAUAUAUCCCUAUGGAUUGGGUCACUAUUGAUGGAGGUUGGUGACAAUAAGUAUUCUUAAUAAAGACACCAUAAUAUCUCAUGGAUUGAGACAAUGUGUGCCCUUGGGUGAUCCAAGGGACAUAUGAUCAUGAAAUCUUUGGCUACAAUAAUUCUUUUAGUGGAAUUUGACAUAUGCUCAUUGGAGCUACAAUAUGUUAGUUGAUCACAUAAUUAGUGGGAUUUGUGACUCAAGGACUUGAGAGGUGAUAACACUAUCUUGUUAUAUGAUAGACACCUGUUCAUUAGGAGUCUGCAUGUAGUGAAUAGUAAGUCACAAACCCAAGCUUACUCUCGUUGUUAUUUACAUAUGGUAUUAGAAUGUAGUUGAUUCUCUUUAGUAGAAUGUUGAUCAACUUCAUAAUUGAUUUUGAGGAAGUUAGUACUCUUAUGUGUCCCAAUGAUCCCUACUUUGAGCUCAUAUACCAUGAUGACAUGAUUUAUGAGGGUUGUAUUGACUCUAAAUUCACUCUUAUGCAUAAGGGCAUUUUGAUAAUUACAUAAGGUUGCACAGUUGAACAAGGUCUUUGGAUUAGGCUAAUUGAUUAAUUAGCUGGUCCUAUGUGGUUAAUUAAUCAAUUAUGACCCAUUUUGAGCUAAAUUAAGUGACCCAAGCCUUAGUGGGCUCAAGUCAUUUAAUCCUAGUAGGGGAAUCCUAUAAAUACCCAUCUUAGGGAUUAGGGUUUCUAUCGCUUUUUGGUGAGAGUUGUCUUCCACCUCCAAAGAAAGAAAGAAUCAUAACUUCCUUCCUUCCAAAGCCCACACUUUAAAGUGUUAAGAUCGUGGUUUGAGUCAUCGAGUGGAAGAUCUUGGGUAUGAGACCUCUGGACUUUUCAGGCUUCAUUUUCAUCAGAUGGAUUUUGAUAUGGGAACAUCCAAAUCGAAGUAUGAGUUUCAAAUAUCUAAAUCUUUAUUCUAAAAUGGUUUUGAAGCCAUCAUUUUAUGUUGUGAUAGAUUUAGAGAUGUCUAAAGAUAGAUGCAUGUACCCUACGAGAUCUAAGGCAUAGGAAUAGAGUAAUUUGGGCUCCCCAACAUAUAUCUCGUGAUCCUCUAAAAAAAAACUCUAAAGCUACCAAGUGAUCUGCUCUACCUCAAGAUUUCACUAUCAUAUCAUCAACAUAAACCUCAACAUCCCGAUGCAUCAUGUCAUGGAAUAGCGUGGUCGUUGCUCGCUGGUAGGUAGCUCAUGUAUUCUUUAGCCCAAAUGGCAUCACUUUAUAGUAGUAAGUACCCCACCUAGUAAUAAAAAAUGUCUUCUCCAUGUCCUUUGUAGCCAUUAAAAUAUGAUUAUAACUAGAAAAACCAUCUAUGAAGGACAAUAUCGAAUGACUUGUAAUAUUGUUAACCAAUAAAUUGAUAUGAGAAAGAGAAAAGUCAUCCUUAGUGUUGGUCUUGUUGAGAUCUUGAAAGUUAACACACGCUCUAACUCUGCUUUCAAUUGUUGGGAAUAAGGGCAACAUUGACCAGUCUCUUGGAACACUCGACCAUUGAUAUCCACCAACAUUGAGCUACUUCUGAAUCUCCUCUUUCACCUGCAAACUCCAUCGAGGGUUCAACUACCUUAACUUUUGCUUAACUAGUCUAGCAUGAGAUAGCAGUAGUAGGCAAUGCUAAACUAUAGAAGGAUUAAGACUCGACAUGUCCACAUAAGACCAUGCAAAAACAUCCAGAUAUGAUUUUAGCAAUUGAAGAAGUCCAUUUCUCUCAUUUGUAGACAAGACUAAUCCAAUCCUCAACUCUUUAGGUUAAUCCCUUGUACCAAGGUCAACAAUCUUAACCUCUCCUUGAGCAAGUGCAAUUCUCUAAUAUGUGGAACUUGGAUUAGAAUAAAAGGCAUCCUCAUUUGAAUCAUAUUGUAUGGGCUCAUCAUAUAUGCCAAAUACAUGUAAUGUGUGUGAACGUGAUGCACAUAAGGAAACAUCAUCAUUAUGAGAGCUAGACAAAUACUAAAAAAAAAUGCUUAAAUCCAUAUAUGAAAAUGCAAGUACAUAUUCAAAAUGGGAGACAAAUACUGAUAGUACAUCAAAAGAAAUUGUGGGUCCACAUGAUUGAACUCUACCACAACUGGGCUAAUAGUGACCUUAAGUACAUCAUCAUAAAAAACAACAUUCUUCGGUAGCUCAAGGGUGAGAGGAAGUUGAAUAUCUUCUAAAAUCUCGAUACCCAAAACUCCAAAUAAAUCAAAUGAAGAAGCAAACUUUGGGUGAAUAGUAUUGACAACUUGACCCAUGUCCGUUAUGAACAUCUCAUCAUCAUACUCAUCAUGUGGAACCAUAUCAUCCAUGAUGUUUGCAAGCUUUGGAAAUAUCUCAUGACUAUCAGUCUCUUAAGGGAAGAAGAGUGUCAGCAAGCUAGUAUGAUCUAAGAACGGAAAAACAACCAUCACAGAAGUGAAAGUGACUAGAGGUUCAUCACUUAACUAUAGUUGGUGGAAGAGAUAUUGAAGCUCAAUCUCCUAAUCAACAUUGAGUCCAUUAGUAAUCCUCUUCAAACACAAUUGCACCUCCAGUCUUAUCAUAGAGUGAUCAACUAAGUUCGUCUUGUAUGGGUGAAUAAAAUAAUCAAAUGAAAUAUGAAGCAGGCAAACCUUAAGCCUCUCCUUGUGAAAAAACACCAUGUAUAUGUAAUCAAACACUAUGAGAACAAAACCAAGGCUAAAAGGAGUGUCUUGAUCAAUAGUGGCUAUGAAAUCUUCUGGCCCAUGUUGAUGACGUCCUAAACCCAAACCAGGGAAAAAAGACAUUGAUCUUAUCAUAUCUAGAGCAACUAUGUUGUCAUGCUUAUCAAAUGGGAGUGUCACAAAAUCUCUAGAAAAUUGUUCAAUCUCCACAAACCUACCUCAUCAAAGGUGAAACAAGUCAUAAAAAAAAUCCUCAUCACUAUGAUUGAUUUGAAACAUUGGCUUUGAGGAAGUAAAAACAUCUCCUAUGGACCGUACUGUAAUGACCCAAUCCUUAUGAAUAAACUUCACCUUCUAAUGAAGGGAAGAAGGGAUAGCUCCAGCUCUAUGGGUCCAAGGCCGGCCUAAUAACAUGUUAAAGGAUGUAAGAAUCUGUAAAAUUUGAAAUAAAGUAGGAAACAUGAUCGGGCCUUGAUUGGAGCCAAAAUAUGUUCUCUAAUGGCACAUAUUCAAUAUGAUUUGUGCACCAAAGGAUACUCAAAUAACCCAAAUUGACCUAAAUUGAUGCUAAGGCCCUAGACAUGAGUUUAACUUGUAUUUUGGAGAUUUAUCUCAAGUUCAAGGGAAGAAAAGGGUACAAGUUGGAUCAUUUUAGAUUUUGAAAUAUCAAGAAAGGGUUCAAUGAGGAAAUAAGCGAGUCAUGACUCAUGGACCAUGAGAAAAGGCAAGACGAGGAUAUCAUUAGUUUGGGAGAUGAGAAAUAACCAUUAUGGAGUAAGAAAGAAGGCAAGAAAACAUGGAAAAUGAGGCAUGAAGCAAGAUUCAGCUGCACGGAAAUUUAGAACUCAAAAUCUGGUGGCAACAUAUACUUAAGACUUUGAGGACAAAUUUGGAGCACUUCCCAAACUUUAUUUUAGGAAUACAAUACAUUGUUUCGAAGCUCUAGAAGUCAGGAGUCAAUACUUGAAACGGUGUACAUAUCAGAGCUGAAAUGAACAAGUUCUGACCAUUUGAAGACAAAUGCGCAAAGCUAAAGGACCAUUUCGAAAUGAUUUCAAAAUUCAACUUAUGAAUUUGAAAUCCAAGUCAAAAUGACCCCAAUUUCGAUUUCAUCCACUACCACUUUGAUGUUUUCCUUCUUUACCUCGGGAAUUGCAUCUAAGGUACUCCAUCUACCCUAAGUGGGCACCACACUGUGGACCUGCAUUUUUCACGUGCGUCCCCACUCAAUCGAUGAGACUCGCUUUUAGUUGGUGAAAAAUUAGUUUUGGAAAAGUUAGAGUCGACACUUAUUUUAUUUUAUUUUAAAGAGAAAAUAAAACGAGAAAGAAAACCCUAAAAAAAAAGUGACUCCACAAUUUUGGAAAAAACAUGUCUUUGAAAAACCCGAGUGUGGGUCCGGGGAUCAGGUUACUUACUGGGAAGGUAUCUCUAGGAGGUAACACCCCUCUAAGCCCUAUAAAGGUCUCUACUAACUAAAUUGAGGGAAAUACGACAAUUAAUUGGUUAAUUAGAGAUACCUAAGUAUGUUAGGUGAUUUAAAAAAUAGCAUGCCUAAUAAGAAAGCCAAGCACAAUCAUAAAGAAGAUUUGGGGUGCAUACUUGGACCACAUCUUAAGCGUUGUCACAAGACAUUAGAGUUAGUUCAAAUAAUAUAUCAUCCAACAUGCACUUUAUUAGAAAUAAUAGAACAAUGAAACAUAUAUAUAUAUCAAGACACUCAAACACUAUCAAGUAUAGAUGCAGUUCACAUUGAUAAGCAUAUUUACAGAAUUUAGAAGGUGGGUGAUAGAGGACGUACCAGGACAACAUAAAUAACUUAUAAUGCGUUUCCACAAGACAUGAGGGGUUAGAUAAUAAUAAAAUAAAGAAAUCCUAGCAUGCUUGUUAUCUAAUUAGCAUAACAAAAAUAAUCAAAGUAUACGAAAUCAUCAAUUAUCGCACACAUCUUGUAUAUAAUUCCUAAAAAAAAAAAAAAGAUACGAUUUCAAUAAAUGGCAAGAGUGGCAACAAAGAUGAGUUUAGAAAAGAUGAUUUUAUGUAGGGGUCUCACCAAUUCCCCAAUUGAUAUACACAAAUCUAGCCUAGAAUUAUCCCAUUUUAUUUGGGACCACAAGCUUGGAUUCGUGUCUUAGUCAAAACUGUAGUUUUUAUCGAAAACUAAGUAGGAUGCGAACUGAAAAAAAUGGUUGCAUAUUAUUUAAAAAAAAAAAUGAGAUUUUGAUUUUAAGGACUCUAAAUGAAUUAUUUUUAACACAAAUUUUUCAAAGGUAUCUUUUGAGAAAAACAUUUGAUUUAAAAAUAAAGGGAAUUAAUAUGAAAACAACAAAACACAAGAAAUAAAAUAUUGAGCAAAACAUAGGAAAAUGAAUUCAUAAAGUGAAAUUUUUUUACAAUCCAAGCAAACUAAAGUGGUGAGAAUGGAGGCCAAUCUUCAUUAUUUUCCGAUGACCUCUAAAAAUUAAAGAUAAAAUUAUUAUAGCAACCAAUCAGAGAUUUUUAGAUCAAGUAAAUUAACAUUUUAACAAAUCUAACUUUCAAUUUAGCACCAAAAAUUACAAGCUAACAUUGUAAAAAUCUAACUUUCAUUCUAUUACUAAGAACUAUGGAAAACAAGUGUUUAAAAAAAAUCUAUCUUUUAGAUGAUCAUCAAGAAUAAGAAAAAAAAAAACAAUUAAAGACUUCAAGAAAAUCUUAAACUAGCAUAGAUAAUCAAGAACUAAUUGUUGGAAUUUUAAAUGCAUCUAAACUUAAGAUAAAUCAAUCAAGCGCUUAUAAAUGAGUUUUAAAAUGAAACUAAUAAUACGGGAUUAUCACAAUUAUCAACUUAGUUUCAAAGAAAUAAUAAACGUCAUUGAGCAUCAGGAUCACCAAAACAACAUCUAAUAAUUUAAAGAACAACAUAUAAUGGCAUAGAUCAUAAAAAAUCAGUAACUUAUUGCUUAGAAAUGAAUAUAAAUUAACAUGGGUUUUUAAAAUUAACUACUAAGGAUUUUGGGAAAUAUAAAAAUCAAUAUGGAUCAAUAUAGAAAAGAAUUCAUAAGUAUGCACUAAGGUGAUUGAAUUAUUAAAUUGAUUAAAAAAAAAAACAGUAGUUUGAUUUCCACAAUAUGACACAUUUUCGAAAGAUUUCAUGAGUGUUAAUUUAUAAAGAAAACAGUUAAUUUCCAAUUUGAUAGUUUUAAUGAAUUUUAUUUAUAAAAGAAAGUUUUGAUUUAAACAAAAUGCUUUUAAAAAAUUUAUUUACAAGAAAAUAAAUGUUAUUACUUUUGUAAAAGAAAUAUUUCAUGAAUAUUAAAAAAAUAGUUGAUUUCCAAUUCGAUGGUUUUAAUGAAUUUUAUUUACAAAAGAAAGUUUUGAUUUAAAAAAUGCUUUAACUUCAUUUAAAGAAAAUGAUUUUAAAAAAUUUAUUUACAAGAAAAUAAAGGUUAUUACUUUUGUAAAAGAAAUAUUUCAUGAGUAUACAAAAAAGAAAGUAGUUGAUUUCCAAUUCAAUAGUUUUAAUGAUUUUUAUUUAUAAAAGAAUGUUUUGAUUAAUUAAAAUAAAAAAUGCUUUGAUUUCAUUUAAAGAAAAUGCUUUCAAAAAAUUUAUUUACAAAAAAUAAAAUAAAAUCCCAUGACUCCCAUGUGAAAUAGUUUAGUGUUAAAACCUCAUGUAAAAAAAUACCAUGAAUGAUUCUACUUCAUUUACAAAGGAAAUAAUAAUAAUAAUAAUAAUAAUAAUAAUAAUAAUAAUAAUAAUAAUAAUAAUAAUAAUAAUAAAAAGAAAAGAAAAAAAAUGUUGAAAAUAAUUUAAAUAUUACGAUUUUUUUAUUUGAAGAAAAGAAAAAAAAUGUUGAAAAUAAUUUAAAUAUUACGAUUUUUUUAUUUGAACAAAGCUAUCAUAAAUGGUAUCAUUAUUAAAAGUUAUAUAUAUUUAUGCACUCACUUUGCCAUCACUUGAGAACUUUUGGGAGAGGAGCUUAAUUACAGGAUAUGACAAAUGAAUCAACCUAAAAAAAAAAACAUUUCAAAACACUUGUUACAAAAGAAAUUGAUGUUUCAUUUUUUUUAGUUUAAAAAAAAAAACGUGGUUUCACAGUCAUCCACUACUCAAACUCCUCAUGGCUGCCAUGUUUCCACACACUCAUUCCAUUUCAUUUUUUUUUCUUUAUUCAAUAAACACCCAAACUUCCAAACACAUACUCCAUAGCCGGCUGCACCUCCAUUGAUUUUUCUGGUUUUUGUUUUUCCAUCCAAACACUUAAAAAAACAUGGUUUCAUAAUCAUCCACUACACAAACUCCCCAUGGCUGCCAUGUUUCCACACGAUCAUUUCAUUUCAUUUUUUCUUCAUUCAAUAAACACCCAAACUUCCAAACACAUACUCCAUAGCCGGCUGCACCUCCAUUGAUUUUUCUGGUUUUUGUUUUUCCAUCCAAACACACGCCACUAAUCUUUAUAUCUCCAUGAACACUCACAUGAAACUCUACUUUAAAUCCCAUUAUCACUGACCAUAUAUUCACAUUCUUGUUUGGAUUUCAGAAAAAUUAAACUCAAAACCCACUGACGAAAUUCAUAGACAACCACCCACUUUCACAUUCAUUUGUUUUUUUAAAUCAAACAAAACAAAAUCAAAGAACAAUAACCUUGCUUGCGGCUACCCUAUUUCACGACUGUGACACUUUUCCUUCCGAUUUGGCUUGUGUGUGUUCCUCCCCCACAAAGAAUCCCUGAAUUAGCUUGUGCGUCCUCCAAAAGUUUCCCCUAGAAACAUGUUCUCCAUGUUUAUAAUUUUCUUUUGAAUCUCAUUCAAAAAUCAACCAAAAUUCCUCCAAAACCAUGUUCAGAAUCUCCCUAAGACAUCCUUGAAUCUCUUUUCAAGCCCUUGCUAAAAAAAAAAAAAAAAACUUUUCUCUAACGUGCCCAGAAUCAUCUUGCUCUCUUCCCUCAUUGGAAUGGUAAGUCUUCUUUUCAUGUAAUGCUCAUUAUUUCCUUCAUCCAUGCGUGUGAUGUUCUCCCAACUGUCCCUUGUAUUUUUCCAUAAAACUGACUUCAUUCAUUCACCAGAACGCUGGAGAUCCCUCUUUCGCAUGCUGCUGAAUCACCUUUUACCCUCAUGGUGAAUACGUGCUGUCCAUUUUUAAGUCCCCCACAUCACUUUCCAAUGGUGGUUGCGUGUGGACCUUCCUUGUAGAUUUCCUCUAGCUCUCCCAAAUCCAUAGAUGCCUUUAAAAGACACUCUUCUUUCCAUCCUGAUUUUUCAUUCCAAAAAAUAUAUAACUCAUUGACCUUCUUUUUCCUUAAAAAAAAAUCUGACCUUGAUUCCCCAUUCCCAAAUAUGUAAUCGUUUCCUCAUGCAAACCAAACUAAAAUAAACUUAAAAAAGUAAAAAAAAAAAAACUAAUGAAAAUCUUGAGAUUAAUAAAUAAAAUAAAAGAAGACUAAAAAAAAAAAGACUAAAUUACGUAAUUCUAUGAUUUAAUAAUGCAACCACAUGCAUAUUUAAAGUCAAAGCAAUUCAAGCAAUUUUCUAUUAAAUAAGCAAAUAAAUAAAAAAAAAGUAAACAAAAUAAGUAUAAUUAUUAAAUGCAUGCAAUAAUAAUAAAAAGAUUAAAAGAAUAAAAAUAAAAAUAAAAAUAAAAUAAUAAAAAUAAAGUCACAAUGGGCCUAGGGUGCCUAAAUGGGCCUAGGGUGCCUAAGUGAGCCUGAGGUGCCUAAGUGAUCCUAAGUCUAAAUAGGGAUGCUAAAAGUCACAAUGGGGUUAGGUAAAUCCCUUAACCAAAGUCUCCAAGGUGGCUACUCCACAAUCAGUAGUCUCCUCUAGAAAGCACAAAGAUAAGAAGUUGGCUUGAUCUGGUGACGAAUGAGCAAUCAUCACUGAAACUGGUGCGCUAGAAGUCUCAUCUCCCAACUGUAACUGGUGAAACUGAUGCUGAAGCUCAUCCAUUCCCUCUAUAUCAGUCACAACGCCAAAAUCCCCCAUAUACGGAUGAACCUCUGAUUCUCUGACAAAGUAGUCUGCCAAACUCAUCCUAUAAGGACGAACAGAAUAAUCGAAUGGUGUGCAAGUCAGAUGGGCUCUCACUCUCUCCCGGUGCAGACGCGCCAUAUACAUAUAGUCAGCCUCUGUAGGAAAAGACCCAAGCCCAAAUGGUGUAUCAUGAUCGACAGUAGCCACAAACUCCAUGGGUCCAUGCUGACGCCGUCCCGACCCCAAACCAGGCAUAAAAGACAUACCCCUCAUCAUGUCGAGUACCACCCUACUACUAUGUUGAUCAAAUGACAUAGCUAUGAGAUCUCUGUAGAAGUCCCCAACCUUGAGAGUCUGCACCUCAUCAAAUGUAAACCCAAUAAAAAAUAGGUCAUCCUCACUAUGACUAAUCUGAAGCACCGGCUCGGAGGAGGUAAACAUAUCUCUAGGAGACUAUACUGUGAUGACCUGCCUGUCAUGUAUAAACUUCACCUUCUGAUGAAGGAAAGAUGGAAUAGCCCCAGCCCUAUGAAUCUAAGGUCGACCUAGAAGUAGGUUAAAGGAUGUAGGAAUCCUCAAAACCUGGAAUAGGAUGGGGAAUGUAGUCGGACCAAUCAACAACUCUAUCAUCAAAGUACCCAUGACCUCCCUUUUAGUACUGUCAUACGCUCUGAUCGUUUGUGUAGAGGGACCGAAGUCUGAAGGUGCAUAACCAAGGGCAAUAUCAGUAGCCAAUGGACAGACAUUUAAGGCCGAGCCAUUAUCCAACAGGAAGGAUGGAACUCUAUGGCCUGAACAACCAACUAUAAUAUAUAAAGGGCGUGUAUGAUCUGAACCCUUUGGUGGCAAGUCAUCAUCUAAAAACACAAAACAUGUGGCCCUGUCGACCGUCAUCAUAUGAAUCAACCCCUCCGGGGUAGUGGUGGUCUCCACACGGAUUUAGCUCAAAGCCCGAAUCAAUGCAUCUAUAUGAGUACUAGAAGAUGCUAGCAAACUCCAGAUAGAUAUGCGGGCCUGUGUACUCUGUAACUGCCUCAGUAUCUCAUCAUCCUCUCUCUUGACCUCCUCAUGAGAGUCUACACCAUCAAAUGGCCUACCUACUAGAGGUGGGGGCUAAGCUACUCUCCCACUACGGGUCACAAUCUGUACAUCUCUCCCCUCCAAAUCAUCAUCAUCUGGUCGUAGGAUAAAUGGGACGGAUGGACCCUAACGUGUCGUAGCCAACGAUGCAGUAGGAGUUAACUCAAACGGUACCCAAUCUGAAAUCAAACUGAACGGAGUAGAAGUCUGAGAACCCACUGUGUUAACCUCAUAACCAUCAUCCAAAACAAUCAGCUUUGACAAUCCAUCAUCCCAACUUAUCAUGUGUAUGUUGUCUUCCUUUACAAAAUCUAUGUGAUGGAUACUGCCCGGGGGUGGUGGCACUUCAUGCGUAGAGUGAGUCGAUAGAGGGUUCAUGGUUACACUUGGCUGCCCCAAGUUAACCAGAUCCUGAUCUAUCAAGUCCUGUAUAGCAUGUUUUAAGGCGGCGCAAUGAUCCGUGUCAUGCCUUGGACCCUGAUGGUAGGAACAAUGCAGAUCCAUCUUGAAGCCCGGUGGCACGGGCUGGGGUAUAGGCCUAGGUGCCAAUUGAGUCAACAAACCACCCUCCAUGAGCUUCUGGAAAGCUCGACUCAAAGGCAUACCUAGCUGGGAGAACUGUCACGUCGGCUUCUGUACAAGAGGAAUAGUAGUCUGUGGGGCUCGGGGUCGAGGUUAUAAGGUAAAAGGCCUCUCUGAGACCUGUGUAGCAAAAACAACCUCUAGGGUCUGGUGUAGGUAUGUAGGAGCCAUGAGCUUGGGCAGUCUAUAUUGAACAUAACGUUGUGGGUAAUAGGCUCCUGAAGUCUGCCCAAAUGUCUGAUAGCGCCUGGGAGAUCUCGAUCCUACUGAACUGAUAGUACCCACAUCUCCUAGUUUCUGUCCUUCUGAGGGCUUCUUCUCCUUUAGAUCAGAAGGGGAAGAAUUGGGCCACAAUCCUCUAGCAAUGCCCUCCUCUAUACCAUACAGAGACUGUACCAAGGAUCCAAAAUCCGUAUGAGGAAAUCCCAUCAAAUGUCUAGCAAAUCUAGGCUGUAAGAUCCUCAAAAUCAUACUAAUCUGGUCUUUCUCUGAAGGACGAUCAAUAAUAUGGGCAAUCUUCUCCCUCCAUCGGGAGAUAAAUGAAGUCACUGACUCCUCUAGUCCCUGUCUCAAGGCCUCUAACUCUCUCCUUGAGACAUCAAUGACAAUAUUAAACGCGAAUUGUCUCAAAAACUCUUGGGCCAAAUCAUCCCAAGUCCUAUGGCGUGAAGCAUCUAAAGAAGCAAACCAACGUUGUGUUGCACCACUCAAGGACAUGGGAAAAAACAUAAUCAAGUGGGCUUCAUCCAACCCAUGGGCCCUCAUCACACUACUGUAUAGCCUCAAAUGAAUCUUAGGGCAACCUAUGCCUGUAUACCUCUCAAUCUUUGGCAUCUUGAACUAGGUCGAUAAACUGGCCACCGAUGCUCUGUCAAAAUCAUCCUAACUGAUAGCUCCAUCUGAAACCCUCAUCUAUCUCAUCCUCUGCUCGAGUCUAUCCAUACGGGCAUGUGCAUCCUCUAAGGCUUGAAUGAGUGCUACGAUAGGAAGUGGGGUAGCCUCAGUCUGACUAUGUAAAACAUACAGUGCAGGGUGUGGAAAUGACGGACUGAGUGGAGGGGGUGGUGGUGUCGUAGAGUCAUAUUGUGCGCUAUCCUGAGGCGGGGCCUGCUACCCAUUUAUUCUCUGGCCGAGGCCAGCUAUAGCCUCCUGAAUCGAAGCCAUGGCCGUGGAACUGGUCAACAGUGACUACCUGAGAGUCCAUAUUUCUCUUAUCUACUCUCUGGUCUGGCUGAUCUGAUGCUCUGGUCAACCUGCCUCUAACUCUAGUCCACGAAGGCCAAUCCAGAUUGGGCACAAAAAUACUCCUAUAAACACGGAAACAUUGGAUGAGACGUUGUACAGGGGUAGCUUUGUAGGAACUGACUAAAAGGUAAUCAAGCAUACAACCCAUGUAUACUCAAACUGAUACUCGUAUCUGAUCAUACCAAAAUGAAACUAUAGAGAGGGUAACCGAACCCAACUGUAACCAAGGCAGCUCUGAAGGUCCACAUAUGCAUCCACAUGUAGGAAUGAAAUCUUAAUUGGGUAUAGGCUAACCUACAGUGGCUCUAUAAAAUAAAAUGGGUGGGUUAAAAGAUCCCUAGCAGAAGCGAUCGUACCCUCUGGUGGUACGCAACCCUUUGCAUGCCUCUAAGGAGAUGGGAUGCUUCCAUGCAAGGUGGUCAUCACUUCCACACAUGCACUUCCUCGCAUUCCCAGGGGGUUUCUUAAUGGCGAAGGCGCUCUCAUCUCUCAAUGCUCAGGGAUAAUCUAAAGUGCAUAGUGAAGGAUGUGGGUGCAUUCGAAAAACCUAAGGUCUAAAGUGAGAUAGUGAACAAAGACAAGUAAUCAUGCAAUCAUGAAAGAGCGAGGGUUUUCAUGCAACAAACAGUCAUACCAAGCAGAUAAAUAUCAAACAAUCAAAGUCCUAUCUAACAUAUGUGAGAGUGAAUCAUGCUAAAGUGAACAAAGUAGUCAAGUGAUCAUUCAAGGUAAUCAAACAUGUUAAGAUAGCAAAGCAAUCAAGCCAGCUAACUAAAUUACCUUGCCUAAAAAUGAUGAGGUACCCUCUAAUCGACUAAUUAAACGCCACAUUUUCCUCAACUAGUGUUCAAGCUUGAUUCUCAAAAUCCCCAGCAGAGUCGCCAAUUUGUGGACCCGCAUUUUUCACGUGAGCCCCCACUCAAUCGGCAAGACUCGCUUUUAUUUGGUGAAAAAUUAGUUUUGAAAAAGUUGGAGUCACUACUUUUUUAUUUUAUUUUAAAGGGAAAAUAAAAAAAGAAAGAAAACCCUAAAAAAAUGACUCCAUAAUUUUGGAAAAAACAUGUCUUUGAAAAACUCGAGUCUGGGUUUGGGGAUUAGGUUACUUAUUGGGAAGGUAUCUCUAGGAGGUAGCACCCCUCUAAGCCCUAUAAAGGUCUCGACUAACUAAAUUGAGGGAAAUGCGGCAAUUAAUUGGUUAAUUAUAGAUACCUAAGCAGGCUAGGUGAUUUCAAAAAUAGUAUGCCUAACAAGAAAGUGAAGCACAAUCAUAAAGAAGAUUUAGGGUGCGUACCUGGACCACAUCUUAAGCGUUGUCACAAGACAUCAGAGUUAGUUCAAAUAAUAUAUCAUCCAACAUGUGCUUUAUUAGAAAUAAUAGGACAAUGAAACAUAUAUAUAUCAAGACCCUCAAACACUAUCAAGUAUAGAUGCAGUUCAUAGUGACAAGAAUAUUUACAGAAUUUAGAAGGUGGGUCAUAGAGGAUGUACCGGGACAACAUAAAUAACUUAUAAUGUGUUUCCAUAGGACAUGAGGGGUUAGAUAAUAAUAAAAUAAAGAAAUCAUAGCAUGCUUGUUAUCUAAUUAGCAUAACAAAAAUAAUCAAAGUAUACGAAAUCAUCAAUUAUCGCACACAUCUUGUAUAUAAUUCCUAAAAAAAAAAAAAAGAUACGAUUUCAAUAAAUGGCAAGAGUGGCAGCAAAGAUGAGUUUAGAAAAGAUGAUUUUAUGUAGGGGUCUCACCAAUCCCCCAAUUGAUAUACACAAAUCUAGCCUAGAAUUAUCCCAUUUAUUUGGGACCACAAGCUUGGAUUCGUGUCUUAGUCAAAACUGUAGUUUUUAUUGAAAACUAAGUAGGAUGCGAACUGAAAAAAAUGGUUGCAUAUUAUUUAAAAAAAAAAAAUGAGAUUUUGAUUCUAAGGACUCUAAAUGAAUUAUUUUUAACACAAAUUUUUCAAAGGUAUCUUUUGAGAAAAGCAUUUGAUUUAAAAAUAAAGGAAAUUAAUAUGAAAACAACAAAACACAAGAAAUUAAAUACCGAGCAAAACAUAGGAAAACAAAUUCACAAAGUGAAAUUUUUGACAAUUCGAGCAAACUAAAGUGGUGAGAAUGGAGGUCAAUCUUCACUAUUUUCUGAUGACCUCUAAAAAUUAAAGAUAAAAUUAUUAUAGCAACCAACUAGAGAUUUUUAGAUCAAGUAAACUAACAUUUUAACAAAUCUAACUUUCAAUUUACCACCAAGAAUUACAAGCUAACAUUUUAAAAAUCUAACUUUCAUUCUAUUGCUAGGAACUAUGGAAAACAAGUGUCUAAAAAAUGUUAAACUAGCAUAGAUAAUCAAGAACUAGCAUAGAUAAUCAAGAAUAAGAAAAAAAAAACAAUUAAAAACUUCAAGAAAAUCUUAAACUAGCAUAGAUAAUCAAGAACUAAUUGUUGGAAUUUUAAAUGCAUCUAAAGUUAAGAUAAAUCAAUCAAGCGCUUAUAAAUGAGUUUUAAAUGAAACUAAUAAUACGGGAUUAUCACAAUUAUAAACUUAGUUUCAAAGAAAUAAUAAACGUCAUUGGGCAUUAGGAUCACCAAAACAACAUCUAAUAACUUAAAGAACAACAUAUGAUGGCAUAGAUCAUAAAAAAUCAGUAACUUAUUGCUUAGAAACGAAUAUAAAUUAACAUGGGUUUUUAAAAUUAACUACUAAGGAUUCUGGGAAAAAUAAAAAUCAACAUGGAUCAAUAUAGAAAUGAAUUCAUAAGUAUGCACUAAGGUGAUCGAAUUAUUAAAUUGACUAAAAAAAAAAAGUAGUUUGAUUUCCACAAUAUGACACAUUUUUCGAAAGAUUUCAUGAGUGUUGAUUUAUAAAGAAAACAACUAAUUUCCAAUUCCAUAGUUUUAAUGAAUUUUAUUUAUAAAAGAAAAUUUUGAUUUAAACAAAAUGCUUUAACUUCAUUUAAAGAAAACGCUUUUAAAAAAUUUAUUUACAAGAAAAUAAAUGUUAUUACUUUUGUAAAAGAAAUAUUUCAUGAGUAUUAAAAAAAUAGUUGAUUUCCAAUUUGAUAGUUUUAAUGAAUUUUAUUUACAAAAGAAAGUUUUGAUUUAAAAAAAUGCUUUAACUUCAUUUAAAGAAAAUGACUUUAAAAAAUUUAUUUACAAGAAAAUAAAUGUUAUUACUUUUGUAAAAGAAAUAUUUAAUGAGUACAAAAAAAAUAGUUGAUUUCCAAUUCGAUAAUUUUAAUGAAUUUUAUUUAUAAAAGAACGUUUUGAUUAAUUUAACUAAAAAAUGCUUUGAUUUCAUUUAAAGAAAAUGCUUUCAAAAAAUUUAUUUACAAAAAAAAAAAAAAACCAUGAUUCUCACGUGAAAUAGUUCAGUGUUAAAACCUCAUAUAAAUAAAUACCAUGAAUGAUUCUACUUCAUUUACAAAGGAAAUAAUUUCCUAGGAAGAAAAUACCAAUAAAAUAAUAAUAAUAAUAAUAAUAAUAAUAAUAAUAUUUAUUUAUAAUAAUAAUAAUAAUAACAAUAAUAAAACCUCAUAUAAAAAAUUAUUCCACCAUUUAAAAAUAUUUUAUAAAUGUAAAAAUAUCUUUUAUAAUUUAAAUUUUUCUUUAAUAAGUUUUUUUAGACUUUAUUUUAUUUACAAAAGGAUGAUUUCCACAACUUUUUAUUUAGAAAGCAAAGAAAUUAUUAUUCUUAUUUUUUAAAACACAAUCAAUUUUAUAAAUAAGAUAAACAAUUAUUUUAUAUUUUAAUCCAAGAAAAAAAAAAGAAACAAGAAGUUUAAAAUAAUAUAAAUAUUUCUAUUUUUUUUAUUUGAACAAAGCUAUCAUAAAUGGUAUCAAUAUUAAAAGUUAUAUAUAUUUAUGCACUCACUCUGCCAUCACUUGAGAACUUUUGGGAAAUGAGCUUAAUUACAGGAUAUGACAAAUGAAUCAACCUAAAAAAAAAACAUUUCAAAACACUUGUUACAAAAGAAAUUGAUGUUUCAUUUUUUUUAGUUAAAAAAAAAAAAUGUGGUUUCACAAUCAUCCACUACUCAAACUCCUCAUGGCUGCCUUGUUUCCACACUUAUUUCAUUUCUUUUUUUUUUCUUUAUUCAAUAAACACCCAAACUUCCAAACACAUACUCCAUAGCCAACUGCACCUCCAUUGAUUUUUCCCGUUUUUGUUUUUCCAUCCAAACACUUAAAAAAACAUUGUUUCAUAAUCAUCCACUACACAAACUCCCUCAUGGCUGCCAUGUUUCCACAUGAUAAUUUCAUUUCAUUUUUUCUUUAUUCAAUAAACACCCAAACUUCUAAACACAUACUCCAUAGCCGACUGCACUUCCAUUGAUUUUUCCCGUUUUUGUUUUUCCAUUCAAACACACUACCACUAAUCUUUAUAUCUCCACGAACACUCACAUGAAACUCUACUUUAAAUCCCAUUAUAGCCGGCCAUAUAUUCACAUGCAUGUUUGGAUUUCAGAAAAAUUAAACUCAAAACCCACUAACAAAAUUCAUAGUCAACCACCCACUUUCACAUUCAUUUGCUUUUUUAAAUCAAACAAAACAAAAUCAAAGAACAUUAACCUUGCUUGCGGCUACCCUAUUAAAUGGGUGUGUCACUUUUCCUUCCGAUCUGGCUUAUGUGUGUUCCUCCCCCACAAAGAAUCCCUGAAUUAGCUUGUGCGUCCUCCAAAAGCUCCCCUCGGAAACAUGUUCUCCAUGUCCAUAAUUUUCUUUUGAAUCUCGUUCAAAAAUAAACCAAAAUUCCUCCAGAAUCGUGUUCAGAAUCUCCCUAAGACGUCCUUGAAUCUCUCUUCAAGCUCUCGCUAAAAAAAAAAAAAAAAAAAAAAAAAAAAAAUCCCUACUCUAAUGUGCCCGAAAUUGUCUUGCUCUCCCUCCCUCCCCCCUCCCCCCCUGGAAUAGUAAGUCUUCUUUUCAUGUAACGCUCACUAUUUCCUUCAUCCAUGCGCGUGAUGUUCUCUCAACUGUCCCUUGUAUUUUUCCAUAAAAUCGACUUCAUUCGUUCACCAGAACGCUGGGGAUCCCUCUUUCGCGUGUUGCUGAAUCACCUUUUACCCUCAUGGUGAAUACGUGAUGUCCAUUUUUAAGUCCCCCAUAUCACUUUCCAACGGUGGUUGCAUGUGGACCUUCCUUGAAGAUUUCCUCCAGCUCUCCUAAAUCCGUAGAUGCCUUUAAAAGACACUCUUCUUCCCAUCCUGAUUUUUCAUUCCAAAAAAUAUAUAGCCCAUGGACCUUUUUUUCCUUAAAAAAAAAAAAAUCUAACCUUGAUUCCCCAUUCCCAAAUAUGUAAUCAUUUCCUCAUGCAAAACAAAAUAAAAUAAACUUAAAAAAGUAAAAAAAAAAAAAAAAAAAAAAAAGCUAAUAAAAAUCGUGAGAUUGAUAAAUAAAAUAAAAAAAGACUAAAAAAAAUACUAAAUUACGUAAUUCUAUGAUUUAAUAAUGCAACCACAUGCAUAUGUAAAGUCAAAGCAAUUCAAGCAAUUUUCUAUUAAAUAAGCAAAUAAAAAAAAUAAACAAAAUAAAUAUAAUUAUUAAAUGCAUGCAAUAAUAAUAAAAAGAUUAAAAAAAUAAAAAUAAAAAUAAAAUAAUAAAAAUAAAUAAAUAAAUAAAGCACGUGCUAGUCAUACAAGCCAUGCAACCCUAUUUGCCAUGCAAACCAUGCAUCCAUGCAAAAAAAAUGAUCUAAAUGGGCCUAGGGUGCUUAAGUGGGCCUAAGGUGCCUAAGUGGACCUAGAGUGGUGCCUAAUGGGCCUAGGGUGCCUAAAUGGGCUUAGGGUGCCUAAGUGGGCCUAGGCUGCCUAAGUGGGCUUAGGGUGUCUAAAUGGGCCUAGGGUGCCUAAAUGGGCUUAGAGUGGUGCCUAAUGGGACUAGGGUGCUUAAAUGGGUCUAGGGUGCCUGAGUGGGCCUAGGGUGCCUAAAUGGGCAUAAUGAUCUAAAUGGGCCUAGGGUGCUUAAGUGAGCCUAAGGUGCCUAAGUGGACCUAGAGUGGUGCCUAAUGGGCCUAGGGUGCCUAAAUGGGCUUAGGGUGCCUAAGUGGGCUUAGGGUGCCUAAUGGGCCUAGGGUGCCUAAAUGGGCUUAGGGUGCCUAAGUGGGCCUAGGGUGCCUAAGUGGGCCUAAGGUGCCUAGGGUGCCUAAGUGAGCCUAGGGUGCCUAAGUGGACCUAAGGUGCCUAAGUGGGCCUAGGGUGCCUAAGUGGGCCUAGGGUGCCUAAAUGGGCUUAAAGUGGUGCCUAAAUGGGCCUAGGGUGCCUAAGUGGGCCUAUUAUCACCGACUUAGUUGUUCACUAAGCUCGUGCGACACUUAGGCAAGUCAAAACGCUUGAUCUUGCUAAGUCAGCCUUGCUCCCCAAUGUUUAGCUUGCUAGGCUAAGACGCUCACGACUCGAAAACUUAAGAAGCUUAGUAGGCAACUCUUUAAAGAAUGGAAGCUCUUAUUAACUCAAGGAAACCUUUACAAGUGCUUGGAAGCUCACUUGCUUGGUUAAGAAGUGAUUUGGGUGGUGCCUUGGCCAAAUGAGGGCCUCACCUAUUUAUAGGCACCAAUCGAACUCUUUGGAACCUUGGAGGGUUCCUUACAAAUCAAGAAUAUUCUAGAACUCCCUACACUAAUCUAUGUACAACCCUAUGUACAAGAAUAUACAAGAGAUCUCUAGAAUUCUCUAGAAAGCCUUGGACUCCUCUCAUGCCUUCCACCAUAGUGUAGAGAUGUGUUGACAUCUCUAGGCAUUUCUAGAACCUUCCACACUCUUCCCACCAAUGUCUUAGUGUAGUUGGCUCCAGGAGUCUCCAGAAGCUUCCCUCCUCCUAUAUAAGCCCAUGGGGAGGGUCAUUUGAAGCAUCUUGUGACAUUAUGGUGCCUAAGUGGGCCUAGGGUGCCUAAAUGGGCCUAGGGUGCCUAAGUGGGCCUAGGUUACCUAAAUGGGCCUAGGGUGCCUAAUUGGGCCUAGAGUGCCUAAAUGGGCUUAGGGUGCCUAAAUGGGCCUAAGUUGCCUAAGUGGGCCUAAGGUGCCUAAGUGAGGCUAAGGUGCCUAAGUGAGGCUAAGGUACCUAAGUGAUCCUAAGUCUAAAUAGGGCUACCAAGAGUCACAAUGGGGUUAGGUAAAUCCCUCAACCAAAGUCUCCAAGGUGGCUUAGAAAAGAUAGGCUACACAAGUAGCAAUGGGCCACUAGGUAAUUGUUGUAAAGUAUCGAACAAUUACCUAAUAGGACAUGUGCUAGGAGAACAAAAUGGAGGGUCUACACACACGACUAGAAAUCACCAUUUUAUUAUUUUUUAGCCAUUUUUAGGUAAUUAUUUUGUAAUAAGUGGCCAAUGAGAGUGUGCCACAUGUUAGGUAAUUGAUGAUAUUAUAUAAACUCUCUUAUUUAUAGGGUUUAGGAAUUUUAGAUCAUUUUUUGGGAGUUUGAUAACUUUCUUGGGAAGAAAAUGAGAACUUUGGUUUGUUUUCUUUUCUUCUUUAUUAAACAUAUCGUUUUUAGUUUAUUUUGACUCAAAUUAUGGAUUUGUACCCUAUUAUGGAUUGUGAAUGUGACAUCACCCCCAUGAGAGGCUAAAACACCAACUUGGGGCUUAAAGCAUGAAAACCUAAGGGUUUGGAAACCUAUAGGGACAAUAGGUAAAUCAUUAUAACAAUGAGAUUAAUUAUUGGUUGAAUUACAAUUUAUCAAUUUUUUAUCCUAUCCUUGGAAGUUAGUUUAGAGAAUGAUACAGUAAGUUAGUACUCGAUACUAGUAAUUCUUGGUAACUCUUGAUCAUUAGUUAUCUCGGUCUUCUCUAUCAUUAUUUGCCCCAAAGCAAAGCUAUAAGGAGUAAGAAGGGUUAAAAAGCCAAACCUUAAACUAGUAAUCGAUAUCAUUCAUUUGAUGGUUUUAAGAAUCAAUUUUAAAAAUAAAAAUUUAGGUUUCAGAUGUAAUUUUGAGUUAUAAAACUCAAUAUUGAUCGCGAAUGGCUAAAGACCCUAAAACCCUAAGAUCACUUUACUUAAGAAACUCUUGUUCUCUCUAUUUCUAUACCUUAAGUUAGAUUGUGGAAAUCCCCAGACGUGAAUGAAUUAAAUUAAAAAUCAAUAUUCAUUUGUUAUUAAUUUAGUUUCUUUUACUUAGUUUCACUUCAUAAAAGUUACUUCACAUAUUGUAUUUCACUUUAGGAUUCAAACAAAAGCAAUUUAUUUAUCCUAGUAUUGACAAUUUCCAUAAGCCAUUCCUUGAGGAUGGUACCCGAAGUACUACAAAAGUCGUAGUGACUCUUUCUCUAGUUUUCCUUUACUAGAGUUGCUACAUAAAAGGCUUAGUAUUUUGAACAAUAAAUAAGAUUAGUCAAGAAAUUGACGCCGUUGUUGGGGAUUAGCAAUCACCAUAACUAGGAUAUGGUGCAUUGCUUUGUUAUAGUUCUUUGAAUUUUAUUUUUCUUUAUAUGUGUUUUUCUUCUAUUUUAUGCUUGGUUGGGAAAGAGAUCUUUUAGGUAGACUUCAAAGAAUAACGGAGGAAUCUCAACCAAAUAUGGACACUAAAGAAUCUAACAACAACAAUUAUAAGCCACAACCAUCUAUCCAGGACCAAAAAACUAUGAGAGAGUUUUUAAAUCCUCUCAAGUUGAGCACACCAUCGUGUUUUAUGCUACCUCCAAGUCAGGAUCAUGUUACCAUUCAACCUUAAGUGGUAUCUCAAUUACCCAUUUUUAGGGGGAUGGAAAUGAAAACCCAUACUCUCACAUCAAGGAAUUCAAGGAAAUUGUUUCAAUUUUUUGAGAAGCUAAUACUCCUUUGGAGAUCUUCCACAUGAAACUAUUCCCCUUGUCAUUGAAGGAUAAAGCUAAGACUUGGUUAUACAGUCUUAGACCCUAUAAUAUCAUAAAUUAGGGUGAUCUAUAAUUAGUGUUUCUGUAGAAAUUCUUUCCAACACAUAAGACUAGUGCAUUGAAAAAGGAAAUCUCAAAUUUAAAUGCUAUGAAGGAUGAUAAAUUUUUUACAUGCUGGGAAAGAUUUAGGGAGAUGAUCGCAACAUGCUCCCAUCAUAGAUUUGACAACAUGAUGCUAGUAUCGUAUUUGUAUGAAGGCAUGUCACAGCCAAUGAAACAACUUCUUGAGACUAUGUGUGGAGGAUUUCAUGAAUAAAAACCCCGAUGAAGCAUUUCAAUUCCUUGAUUAUGUUGUCGAGGUAUCUAGAAGUUAGGAAGAACCAAUUGUCAAGGAACCACCUAGAGAUAGAAUAGUGAACAAGGCAAGAUCUAGUGGAGUGUAUGCAAUACUAGAGGGUUUAGAAAUCCAAGAAAAGAUUGCCACUAUUAUAAGGAGGUUAGAUGGUUUGGAAGCUAAGAAAGUUCAAAGGUUCAAAUAGCCAAUGAGGAAAGAAUGCAACUGUGCUUGAUAUGUAAGUCCAUGGAACAUGAUGUGCAUUCCAACCCUAUAUUACCUAUAGUAUAAGACAUGUUCUCUGAGCAAGCUAAUGCUAUUGGAACCCAUAAACAACCAAUGAACAACUCUCCAUACUUUAACACUUAUAAUUUGGGUUGGAAAAAUCAUUCAAAUAUGUCAUGGGGAGGUAACAAUAAUGAUAAGUUCCAGUAUCAAGGCAAUCAAUAUCAAGGUUAUCAGAGUAAUGAACAAUAAGAAUUUGCACCUCAAGUAAUAACAUCACAAGGUUUUCAACAACAAGGACAAAUUUUAUCAUCUAUAUCAAGCUUGGAAAACAUGAUGAAGUAGAUCAUCUAACACCAAGGUAAAAUCAAUAAGGAUCAAGUGAGGACUAAUGCUCAAACAUCACAAGCAAUCUCAAACAUUCAAGCCACUUUCAAUCAAAUCACCAUAAGUAUAUCUCAAGAGAAAGGUAAGUUCCUUGCUUAGCCACAACAAAAUCUGAGAGGUGUAUGCGAAAUUUUAGAAGUAAGGAAUGAAGAAUGCAAGACAUUGAUCACACUUAGAAGUGGAAAAGGAUAUGAAGGACCUAAGAAUCUAAUGGUUGAAGACAAUGGCACCAAAGAGAACGGUCCAAAUUUGGGAAGAAAGAUGGAACUUGAAAAAGAAUCAGAGACACUUGAAGAAAUCAUUGUGAGUAAGGAAAAUGAUAAAUAUGUUAAUCCUUUGCCAUUUCCCACAACACAUGAAAAGCAGAGAGUAGGAGACAAGACCUUAGAAAUAUUGGAAGUAUUGAAGCAAGUUAAGAUAUAUAUCCCUCUCUUAGAUAAGAUCAAGCAAGUUCCCACUUAUGAAAAUUCCUUAAGGACUUAUGCAUAGUAAAAAGAAGGAUUAAGUUAAGUAAGAAGACAUUCCUCACCAAAUAAGUAAAGCUCCAGUGAAGUACAAAGAUCCAGGGUGCCCCACUAUUUCAAUGCAAAUAGGGGAUACAUAUGUGAAGAAAGUUUUACUUGAUUUGGGAGCCAAUGUGAAUCUCUUACCAUACUCUAUCUACAAGCAACUAGGGUUAGGAGAGCUCAAGGCCACUACUAUGACUUUGUCUUUGGUUGAUCGAUCUAUCAAAGUACCUAGAGGAAUAGUAGAGGAUGUGUUAGUAUGAGUUGACAAGUUCUACUAUCCUAUAGAUUUCGUGGUAUUAGACACUGAGCCAUUAUAUAAGUGAGUAAAUUUUGUGCCUAUCAUUCUUAGAAGACCUUUUCUAGCAACAACAAAUGCCCUUAUCAAUUGUCGAAAUGGAGUAAUGCAACUUUCUUUUGGCAAUAUGACAUUGGAGCUUAAUGUAUUUAACUUAAGUCAUCAACAAUGAGGAAGAAGAGAGUGAAGAAGCAUGUUGAAUUGAAACUCUUAUUCAAAGGACCACUAACCAAAUCUUGCAAAAUAUGGAACCAAUGGUUGAUUUAAUUUCAUCAAUUGAAGGAGUGCAGAGAAGAAAGUUGUUGAAAAUUCCCAAGGAAUGUAAAAAAACAUGGAAUGAAUAGGAAGAUUAACUUAGGUGUUUUGGAGGAAGAACUAUAUGAAAAGUGGAUGAAAGCAAGAGAUAAGUUGAAUUUCAUCAUGGUAAAGAGAAUAAGAGGAGAAAGUUCAAACCAAAUAUGAGCUAAGUUCCUAUUUUUGGCCCCAUCACUCUACUCAAUCCCAAAAUUGGCCAUAAGUUCAAGGAGAAAGACCAUUGCCUCAAGUCCCUUAGAGAGCAAGUGUGGCCAUGGGAGAAAACUUUCCAUCUUGUUGAUGGAGAUAUUCCAAAUGGAUGAUGCAUUUUCCUUUAUCUAGUAGGUAAAAUUAGGUUUAGGUUGUUUUUUGGUUUUUGUUUUUGUUUUCAUUUCUUUUUCAUUUAUUCAUGUUUAGGUAUUUCUAGUUUAUUUCUCCCUUAAGACUUUUAGGAGUUGAAUAGUUAUGCUAUGUUUACUUGUCUUUUCUUUUCUUAUUUAGGAUAUUUUAAUAAUUUUUAUCUCUUGGUAGCUUUCUUAUAUUGUUUCCCAGAUGGUUGGUUGAUAUAGGAUUUGGUUUUCUGAUUUGCCAUUCCGAUUCUAUGAUCAUGAGGUAACACUUCCACCUUAUUCUUUUCACUUGUUCCACACAUUAGGGACAUUGUGUAAUUUAGGUUGGGGGGGAAGGUAUAUUAGCCCUAAUUUUUUUCAAAAGUUUACAUGCUAUCUUUGGUUAAUUAAUGAGAUUCUUGAUUUGCCUCAGUGACUCAUGGUUUAUUUUGCAUAAGAAUGCUUUAAAUAGCAUUAUUUCUUUAGAAUUUGAGAAGAAAUGCAGUUAGAGCAAGAAUAUUAUUUCACUUACCUUAUCUUUCUAUACUUUUAAGUGCAAAAAUAGUUAGGUUGAAUCCUCGGAAUACCUUCUAUUUUUCUUUGAUGGUUAUUUUCUAUUUAAGACUCAAAGCACACACAAAGCAUGUGUACCCUUAUGACAUCUUGAUUAUGAUAAUUUAUUUAGCUUAAAAGAAGUUGGUCUUAAGAAACAAGAGGAGGAAACAAAAAAAUAAAAAUGAUUGAUUUAAGCUUUAGCAAUUAUCUGAGAGGGUAAUGGCCUUAUGUCUUCAAGCUCUAGUGCCCAAAACUAACUGGUUAGGAGUCAUCGGUAUCUUGCUCGUUACACAAGCUAAACUCAGUUUUGAAAAAAAAAAAAGGAUAAAUGUUUGGGAAAUUCGACCUUGUUCUACCUUGAACUAGGGUGAUACCUAAGGGGUAAGUGGCCUAUAAAGGUCCUUAAUGCCUGGUACCUUGGGUGAAAACUCGAGAGUUGCAGGUGGAUCCCUAUUGAGCCAUAUCAAAGGAGAUUUCCUAAACUAAGAAAAAAAAUCAAAAUAAAUUUUCUUCCAUCUUUAACUUAAAGAAUGAUGAAAUUUGAGUUUAAGAAAAAGUCUUUAGAAGAAUACUAUGAGGGGAUACCAAAAUUAAGCACAUGAGAUUUAGAUAGAAAGAACCGAUCAAGGGAAACUCAAGAGACACGAAGGGGAAUGCUAAACAUGGAUGCAUGUUUAUGUAUACAAAGAUAAGGUGAGAAAACUAAUAGAUUGCAUAUUUUUUGUCCUCUUACUCAAUUCUAGGAAAUUUGACUACUUAUGUUGAGUCACUAUGGAUUCAUGAAUCCCAUUACAUAUUUUUUAUUCUUUUUUACUCUUUUCAUUUGCUAGGGGCUAGCAAAGUUCAGGUUGAGAGGGAAUGGAGCCAAAAUAUGUGCUUUAAUAGCACAUAUUCGAUAUGAUUUGUGCACCAAAGGACACUCAAAUCACCCAAAUUGACCUAAAUUGAGGCUAGGGCCCUAGCCAUGAGUUUAACUUGUAUCUUGGAUAUUUACUCAAGUUCAAGGAAAAAAAAAAGGGUGCAAGUUGAAUCACUUUCGAUUUUGAAAGAUCAAGAAAGGGUUAAAUAAGGAAAUAAGCGAGUCAAGACUCAUGGACCAUGAGGAAAGGCAAGACGAGGAUAUCAUAAGUUUGGGAGAUGAGAAGUGACUAUUAUUGAAUAAGAAAGAAGGCAAGAAAACAUGAUAAAUGAAUCAUGAAGCAAGAUUCAGUUGCAUGGAAAUUUAGAACUCAAAAUCUGGUGGCAACAUAUACUUUGAUUUUAAGGACAAAUUUGGAGUACUUUCCGAAGUCCAUUUUAGUCAUACUAUAUAUUGUUUCGAAGCUCUAGAAGUUAGGAAUCCAAUUCUUCAAAUACUAUACAUAUAGGAGUUGAAAUGAAGAAGUUAUGGCCAUUUGAAUACAACUGCACAAAUUUGAAGGACCAUUUCGAAAUGAUUUCGAAAUUCAACUUAUGAAUUCGAAAUCUAAUUCGAAAUGACCCCAAUUUCGAAUUCACCCACUUCCACAUUGAUGUUUCACCUCCUCUACCUCGGGAAUUGCAUCUAGGGCACUCCAUCCACCCUAAGUGGGUCCCACACGACUAGAAAUCACCAUUUUAUUAUUAUUUUAGUCAUUUUUAGGUAAUUAUUUUGUAAUAAGUGAUCAAUAAGAGUGUGCCACGUAUUAGGUAAUUGAUGAUAUUAUAUAAACUCUCUAAUUUCUAGGCCUUAGGAAUCUUGGAUCAUCUUCCAGGAGUUUGACAACUUCAUGGGGAAGAAGACGUGAAUUUUGGUUUGUUUUAUUUUCUUCUUUAUUAAAUAUAUUGUUUUUAGUUUCUUUUGAUUCAAAUUAUGGAUUUUUACCUUGAGAAAAUAAAGGCUAAUCUUAAAUGAAAAAAAAAAAACACCCAAGAAGGGAGUGAAUUGGGUUUUUCAAAAUCUUUUUCAACACAACAAAUUCAAGCAUAAUUGAAGCAAAUAUAAAGAGAUAGAGUUAAAGAAAACAAACUCAUAUUUUAUAGUGGUUCAGCACUUCCUUGACUACAUCCACUCUCCUCAAGCUCCUAACCGAGUAAGGGUUCCACUAACUUGAAGCUUCAACCAAGCUUCUAAUCUCCAUUAUACUUGGAUUCCGACUCCAAUGAGCUCUUACACAAUCUCUUCAAGAUUCAACUCACUUGAAGGCUUUAACACUCAAUUUUACAAUAAUGAAUCCCUCAACCUAGCUCAAUGAUAGCUCAAAUACAAAUCAAAGCUAGGAUGAAACACAAAGGUGCACUAAAGGAUAUGCAAGUGAAGAUUUAAUGCACGAAGAAAGAAAUGAGAGCUUUUAAGGCAAGAACAAGUGGGUAGACAAAUAAAUGCAAGUAUUCUCUAUAUCAUAAAUGAAGUGGAACUCUCAAUUUAUAGGUUUCUAACCUCGAGAGCCAAGAAAAACAAAGAGCAGUCUCAAUCGGUCGAGUUGGGGAUCGACCGGUUCACUAACAUUAAGUUGCUUCAACUGGACUCGACCGGGAAGGAAGAUACCUCCACCAAGAAAGGAAGGCUACUAUAUGAAAGAGAGUGUUUUUAGCACUCCUCGAUUGGAUCUCAACCGAGCAAGGGGAACCAAUCGACCGGUACCCUGGCUGGUUGAGUCGGUUGGCCAAUACCUCGACUGGUUCAACCUUUUGGCCCCGAAAACCUAUCUUUUUCUGUUCUUUUCUUUUCUAACACUUAGGCUUGGCCUUUAGGUAAAUUAAUUUGACAAUUUUGAAACAUUUUUCCUAAGGUACAUUUGAUCAAACUCAAGUUUUAAUGAAAUUGUAACUUUAAAUAAUAAACCGAGUUUUCCAAAUAUGCAUGAAAUGAUAUGUAAAACCUAAGUGCACCCAUGCAUUCAUCUUACAUUUGUUUCCUAUGAUUAAAGGUCUUCCAAAUGUCUUGAUCUUGUAUCUAUUAGAUCCUUUGAUGAAUUUCCAAAUUUAUACCUAAGAUUCUUUACAAUUCAAACCAAUUAGUAACUUAACCAUGGUUUGUUAUCAUCAAAACUUGAUUAGGAGAACCCUUGGGCUAACAAUCUCCCUUUUUUUAUGAUGACAAACCUUGGUUAUAUAGGAAAAGAAAAAUCUCCCCUUCAAACCAAUCAUGGAUCAAUCAAUCAAAAUUUAUGAAGUUAAAACUAAGAAAAUCAAGACAUGUUAGAGAGAAUGAAUUUUGAAUAAGAAACACUGUAAGUCAUGAAACAUAUAACAUAUCAUAUAUAAGUAAAAAGUACAUGAAACAUUUAAGUCUAUCAUAUAUACGAUCCAAACAAAUGAUAUGGCAAUGAUAUGCUUGUAAGUCUCCUAGAUCCUAAAUAUCUCUCCUUUUUGGCAACAUAAAAAAGAAACGAAGUGGGUCUCUAUGAAAGCAAGGCUGAUGGGGUGGAGGUGGAAACACGAAGAGUAGGUAAGCCAUUCUCUCUUCAUACUGACUCUCUUGACAACCCUCAAUGCACUCAAUCCUCUGUUGGAGAUGUUUAAACGCAACUUGAUACUGAUCCAUGCGAGCCUCGAGACUCUCAAACCAUGAGGUGAAACCAGUCUGAUAUUGAUCCAUGUGAUCCUUCAUGGAGUAGAAUCAAGUAUCAUUGACUAUUACAAGCUCCUCCAUGCGAGUGCCGAGAAAGCUAUUAUGAGCAAAUAAAUCCAUCCAAGGCGCAUGAUCAAGAGCGUGAGGUGCCUAAUGAGGUGGUAUCUCUGUGUGAGGAGGCUCAGUGAAUGAUGGUUAAGAAGAUGGUCCUACUAUGUAAGUCAACUCAAACAUCAUCAGCUCAGAAAAUGUGGCCCCAAACUGAACACCCUCUGACUGAAGUGGAGGAAUGUCAAGCUUGGGCUCACUCUGCUUAAAGCCUCUCUAAGGGUCUACUCCACUCUCCAUUUCUCGUAUCUCGGUCUUCUUCUCUACUCCAGGAUGCACCUAUCCCUGUCCCCAGGCCUGUGCUAGUGGUCUCUCUACUCUCCUAAUCCAAGAACCAUCGGGGGCCUUUUCAAAUUUCAUCUGCCCCAAAGAUUGCUCAUCAUAUGUAUCAUAAAUGCUGGGGGCCUCAAAAUCUGUCUUUCUACUCAAAUCAACUUUGACAUCCUUGAACACUCUAGUGAGGAAGCGGGCAUAGGGGAGUAUGCAGGUUGUGCUCUCACAACAUGAGAUCAUGUGCAUCGUCGUCAAAUACCCCAAGUGAAUUCGUCUCCCCGUCAGAAUAGAGUCCACGAGGAAUGCCUCAUAAUAGGAGACCUCGUCUUGGUAUUCGCCUCGUGGUAGCAGGAUAGAGCAAAUCAUGUGGUGUAGUACUCUACUGAUCACGGUCAAGCUGUGGGUCGAUGGUUUGCCCAUCCUAUAGGCUCUACAAGUCCACACAUCCUCUGAAUGACCUCUAUAGGCUCGAAACCCGAGACAGUGAGCCAAAUCUUGGGCUUGUACACCUUGAGUCCAACUGGAGCAAUAUCGAAAAUGCAAAAGAUGCUUUUCGGGUCUAGCCGAAUCUCGGCUCCUCUAACGGUGGAAAUAAUUAGGCCACCAAUGCCAUAUAUCACCCUUGAAUAGAACACUCGCACCAAUGUUAAAAAAUCAGCUUCAAAAUUGUCACCAUGGGCAGUCAACCCAUCCUAUUGAGCAGCCCCUCAAAUCUGAAAUGCUGGAGUUUGGAAAAUUGAUACUUCUCCUUGGAACUACUUUUCUCUGAGCAAACUUUUGCUUGUACCGUUGGUAGUCCUCCACAGAGCUGAAAAUUGUAGUGCCAAACCUCGCCUUUCGACGAGCCUCCAACUGAGGGAGCUAAGACACCACAGCUGGGCGCUUGCCCUGUGCCCUAAGAUAGCCAACUCUCUCCUAUGAGCCAUGAGAAAAACAAAAAUAAAGGAUACGAGGCUGGUAGAGAGAAAAACACUCACAACCAAAACCCUAGGUGCACGGGAAAUGAGAAAACCUUGGUUGUGGCGCGCGGGAGGAAGAAAGUAUCGUCCAAAACCGAAACCCUAGCCUCCAAAAAAUCCAAUCAAAAGCCUUUAAUCGGUCCAAACUUUGCUUAAACUAGUCUUUGGAAUCCGAAAUGUGAAAAGCCCUAAAGAAAUGGAGAAGAAUAGUGGAGAAAACAACGUGUGGGAGUCUCUUUAAAUCCCUAGUCCCGACGAACCGAUUGACCAGUCCUGAUCUGAUCGACCGCCUGGUCAACGCGAUUAAUGGGUUUAACUUUUCAGCUUUUGUGCAUUUUCUCAUUUUCUGAUCCCCCUGCCUUUUUUAGUUGAAAUCCCCAAUUUUUUAUGCCCAAUGCCAAGAGAACUUCGACUUUUGGUCAAAAUUUGACCAUUUAUCUAAGUAUACGUUUAUAUGAUGCAUAUGACAUGAAAUUCAUGCAAUCAAAAGGUAUAUUCAUCAAGAAUUCAUUAAGCAAUCAUUAGAUCAUAAAGAAAUCACCCCUAGUUGUCUUCUAAUAUCAAUAAAUUGUUCUUCACUUAGAGGUUUUGUAAAGAUAUUGACAAGUUGAUCUUUUAUGCUUAUAAAUUCAAGUGUUAUGUUACCAUUUUGUGCAUGGUCUCUAAGAAAAUGAUGUCUAAUCUCUAUAUGCUUAGUCCUAGAGUGUUGCAUGGGGUUUUUUUGAUAUAUUUAUGGCACUAGUAUUAUCACAUUUAAUAAGAACAUGCUCAAAAGAUAAAUCAAAAUCACUAAGUGUUUGUUUUAUCCAAAGAAUUUGUGCACAACAUAAACCAGCUGCUAUGUAUUCAGCUUCUUCCGUUGACAAAGCUACCGAAUUUUUGUUUUUACUAUGCCAUGAAACAAGUGAGUGUCCUAGGAAAUGACAAGUGCCACUAGUGUUUUUUUCUUUCAACCCUACAACCGGCAAAAUUGGCAUCCGAAAAUCCAAUUAAUUCAAAGUUAUCACUCUUAGGACACCAUAAGCCUAUGUCUAUUAUCCCUUUCAAAUAUCUAAGAAUUCGUUUUACUGCACUUAAAUGAGAUUCUUUAAGACGAGAUUGAAAUCUAACACACAAGCAUACACUAUACAUAAUGUCGAGUCUACUAGCGGUCAAAUAUAGAAAAAAACCUAUUAUGCCUCUAUACAUAGUUGAGUCAAUGGAUUUACCUUUCUCAUCCUUAUCAAGCUUGAUGGAUGAGAUCAUUGGAGUCUUCAUUGUUUUGGCUUCUUCCAUGUUGAACCUUUUGAGAAGAUCUCUUAUAUACUUUUCUUGAUUGAUGAAGGUUCCUUCCUUUAGUUGCUUGAUUUGAAGUCCAAGGAAGAAGUUGAGUUCUCCCAUCAUGCUCAUUUCAAACUCACUAUGCAUACACUUAGAAAAUUCUUCACAAAGAGAGACACUAGUAGCUCCAAAAAUAAUAUCAUCAACAUGUAUUUGAACUAAGAGCAUAUCCUUUUCUUUGGUCUUUAUGAAAAGAGUUGUGUCAAUUUUUUCCAUUUUAAAACCCUUUUUCAAAAUAAAUUUACUCAAUCUUUCAUACCAUGCUCUAAGUGCUUGUUUCAAACCAUAAAGUACCUUUUUAAGUUUAAAAACAUGGUUAGGAAAGUUAAAACUUUAAAAACCAGGUGGUUGUUCAACAUAUACUUCUUCAUUUAUAAAUCCAUUUAAAAAAGCACUUUUCGCAUCCAUUUGAUAUAAAACAAAGUCUUUAAAACAUGCAAAGACAAGUAGCAUCCUAAUGGCUUCCAACCUAGCUACGGGGGCAAAGGUUUCUUCAUAAUCUAUCCCUUCUUCUUGAUUAAAACCUUAGACUACCAAUCUUGAUUUAUUUCUAACAAUUAUGCCAUUUUCAUCCAUUUUAUUUCUAACGACCCAUCUAGUUCCAAUAACACUUUGAUUUGAAGGUCUUGGUACUAAUUCCCAUACUUCACUUAUUUCAAAUUGAUUUAACUCAUCUUGCAUAGCAAUCAUCCAAUUUUCAUCAACUAAAGCAUCAUUUAUAUUUUUAGGCUCAAUUUGAGAGAUAAAAGCAAGAUUAUUGCAAAUAUUUCUAAGAGAUGAUCUGGUUCUUACCCCACUAGAUGGAUUACCUAUAAUUUGAUCUUGUGGGUGAUUGAUGACAAACUUUCAAUCUUUAGGAAGGUCUUGACUUGAUUCACCUUGCACUUCUUGAGGAGGGGGUAGUGCCAAUGGUGAUUCUUCUUUCUUGGGAUCCACUCCAAUUUCUUCUUGUUGCCCUCUAUCUUCAAUUUGCAAUUUUCCCAUGAAGGUCUCCAAACCUAAAUCAUCAUCAAAACUCUCUCUUUCUUGGAGAGAAUUGUUAGAUUCAUAAAAAAUAACAUGGAUGGACUCCUCUACAACCAUGGUUCUUUUGUUAAAAACUCUAAAGGAUUUACUUGAAGUUGAGUAACCAAGGAAAAUUUCAACAUCCGAUUUUGCAUCAAAUUUUCCAAGAUUGUCUUUGGUGUUUAAUAUAAAACAUUUGCACCCAAAGACUUUGAAAUAGCUAAUGUUGGGUUUCUUGUUUUUCCAAAGCUCAUAGGGAGUUUUCUUAAGAAUGGACCUCAAUAAUAUUCUAUUUAAAACAUAACAAGAAGUGUUAACCGCUUCGACCCAAAAACAUUUUGGUAAAUUGUUUUUAUUUAGCAUGGUUCUAGCCAUUUCUUGAAAAAUUCUAUUUUUCCUUUCAACUGCCCAUUUUGUUGAGGAAUUCUAGGAGCUGAAAAUUUGUGGUUAAUUCCAUGCUCAUUGCAAUAUUCUUCAAAAUCAAUAUUUUCAAAUUCUCUCCCAUGAUCACUCCUUAUACAAGUAAUUGUAAAACCUUUUUCAUUUUGAACCUUAUUACAAAACUUUGAAAACUCAUAAAAGGCUUCAUUCUUUUGACUUAAAAACAAGACCCAUGUGUAUCAAGAGAAGUCAUCCACUAUAACAUAUGCAUAAGAUUUUCCUCCAAGACUUGGUAUCCUAGAGGGACCAAAUAAAUCCAUAUGCAACAACUCAAGAGGCCUAGAUGUGGAAAUGAAAUUUUUGUUUUUGAAAUAGUUUUUUAUUUGCUUUCCCACUUGACAAGCUUCACAAACUUUGUAUUUUUGAAAAUUUAUUUUGGGAAGGCCUCUAACAAGUUCAUCUUUGUUGAGUUGAGAAAUGAGGUCCAUGUUAGCAUGUCCCAACCUCCUAUGCCACAACCAACUUUAGUCAUGCAUGCUUGAAAAGCAUCUAUCAUGGCCAUCAUAUUUUGAUAUAUUUUUAGCAUAAACAUUAUCACAUCUAUGGCCCAUGAAGAUGGUUUUAUCAUUUUGAAUAUCUUUGAUGAUGCAAUGAGAUGCUUCAAAAAUCACUUUAAAACCUUUGUCACAAAGUUGACUAAUGCUUAAAAGGUUAUGUUUUAAAUCAUCUACAAAUAUAACACUUUCAAUAAGAGAGGAUGUGCCAUUACCAAUGUUGCCUUGACCAAUGAUUCUUCAUUUUGCAUUGUCUCCAAAGUUAACAUAUCCUCCCUUUUUCUUUGUAAGGAAAGCAAACUUGGACUCAUCUCUGGUCAUGUGUCUUGAGCAUCUACUAUUCAAGAACCACUUAUCCUUCUUUGAACCCUACAAUAUAAAACUCAAUUUGAUUUAGGUACCCAUAUCCUUUUGGGUCCUUGAGGGUUAGUGACCUUGGAAUUUUCAAUCCAAACCUUUUUAGCUUUUGCAUUUGAAUUCUUUUGAGAACCAUUUCUUAAAGGACAUGUACUACUAAUGUGUCCUCCUUUUCCACAAAAGUUGCAAAUAGUGGAGGGACUUGCACUUGUGGAUUCUUUUACAAAAUAAUUUUUAAAAUACUUUUGAUUUUUUGAAGAUUUGAAUCCUAGCCCUUGUUUGUCAAAAUCACAUUUUUGGAUAGCUAGAAUCAUUUCAAAAGAUUUUUGUCCACAAGAAAAUAAUGAAAGAGAGGAGGUCAACUAUUCAUUUUUCUUUCUCAAAAUCUCAUUUUCUUUUUCAAUAUGAGUUUUAGAAAUUUCAACAAUUGAAAAUUUUUCUUUUACUUCUUCAAGUUCUUUUUCAAGUUGUUGAAUUUUCUUCUUAAGAGAAAUAUUUUUUAAACUAACUUUUUCAAAAUCCUCAUACAAUUCUUCAAAAACAUCAUGCAUAUUUUCAUCACUAAAGUUAGAGUUUACCUUAUCAAGUUCACCUAUUGCCAUGAAGCACAUGUUUGCCACUUCUUUCUCCUUUUCUUCUUCGGAGGAUUCUUCACUUUCGCUCUAAGUGGCCAUCAUUGCCUUCUUCAUUCUCCUCUUGGCUUCACUUUUGUAGAGAGGACAAUCAUAUUUAAUGUGUCCCAAUUUCUUGCAUUUGAAAUACACCAAAUGUAUUUUCUCUUCCCAUUUCUCCUUGUCACCAUGAGAUGAAGAUUCCUUUUUAGAAAGGUUUCUUCUAGAGGUGAACCUUCUUCCUUUAAACCUUUCACCCCUCAUGUAUUUGUUAAGCUUUCUUGUGAUGAGGGCUAAAUCAUCAUCUUUUUCACUUUGUUUUCUUCUUCAACAUCUUCUUUUUCCUUAAUUGUAGCUUUGAGAGCUAUGCUCUUCUUUUUUUUGUCUUCACCUUUUUGUAGUUUCUUUGCCAAAUUGAUCUCAUAUGUCAUUAAUGACCAUAUGAGCUCCUCCAUAGGUAGCUUGGUCAAGUCUUUUGCUUCUUGAAUUGCAGUGACCUUUGUAUGCCGCUUUGAUGGGAGUGACCUCAAGAUCUUCAUCACCUUUUCGGAUUCCUUGUAGGUUUUUCCCAAUGCUUCAAGACCAUUGACAAUGUCAGUGAACCUAAUGAUCAUCUCAACAAUAGUUCAUUUUCUUUCAUAAAAAAGAAUUCAUAGCUAUGAACAAGUAAAUUGAUUUUUGACUCUUUCACUUGAUUUGUUCCUUCAUGAGUUAUUUCAAGCAAUCUCCAAAUUUCUUUAGCUGAUUUGCAUUGACAUAUUCUAUUAUAUUCAUUUCUAUCCAUAGCACAUUGCAAAGUGAAAACAACCUUAGCAUUUAAUUGAAAAUUUCUUCUAUCAAGCUCAUUCCAUUCUUGAUUGGGUUUUGGAACCAUGACUCCAUCAACUAGUUUUGUAGGAAAAGUUGGGCCAUCUUCAAUAAUGUCCCAUAUGUCUAAAUGGGUUGAUUAUAAAUACUAAGUCAUUUUAUUUUUCUAAUAGGGAUAGUCGGUUCCCAUAAAAUAUGGAGCUCUAUUUUUUGCAAAAAAUUCAGUGUGAGAUGAGCUUGAUGGAAUAGCCAUUUCCUCUUAGCCAAUUAAGUCUUAAACAAGAGGCCUAGCUCAUAUACCAAUUGAGAAAAUAAAGGCUAAUCUUAAAUGAGAAAAAAAAAACACCUAAGAGGGGGGUGAAUUGGGUUUUUCAAAAUUUUUUUCAACACAACAAAUUCAAGCACAAUAGAAGCAAAUAUAAAGAGAUAGAGUUAGAGAAAUCAAACUCAGAUUUUAUAGCGGUUCAACACUUCUUUACUUAUGUCCACUCUUCUCAAGCUCCUAAUCGAGUGAAGGUUCCACUAACUUGAAACUUCAACCAAACCUCUAAUCUCCUUUACACUUGGAUUUCAACUCCAAUGGGCUCUUACACAAUCUCUUAAAGAUUCAACUCACUUGAAGACUUUAACACUCAAUUUUACAAGAAUGAAUCCCUCAACCUAGCUCAAUGAUAGCUCAAAUACAAAUCAAAGCUAGGAUGAAACACAAAGGUGCACUAAAGGAUAUGCAAGUGAAGAUUUAAUGCACGAAGAAAGAAAUGAGAGCUUUUAAGGCAAGAACAAGUGGGUAGACAAAUAAAUGCAAGUGUUCUCUAUAUCAUAAAUGAAGUGGAACUCUCAAUUUAUAGGUUUCUAACCUCGAGAGCCAAGAAAAACAAAAAGCAACCUUAAUCGGUCAAGUUGGGGGUCGACCGAUUCACUAACCGUUGGAGCAUUUAAUGCUUCGGCAGGUUACCGUUGCUUCAACCAGACCUCGACCGAGAAGGAGGAUACCUCGACUGGGAAGGGAAGGCUACUGGAUGAGAGAGAGUGUUUUUAAAACUCCUCGAUCAGACCUCGACCGGGUAAGGGGAACCGGUCGACCAGUACCCUGGUCGGUUGAGCCGAUUGGCCAGUGCCUCGACCAAUUCAACCUUUUGGCCCCGAAAACCUAUCUUUUUCUGUUCUUUUCUUUUCUACCACUUAGGCAAGGUCUUUAGGUAAAUUAAUUUGACAAUUUUGAAACGUUUUGCCUAAGGUACGUUUGAUAAAAACUCGGGUUUUAAUUAAAUUGUAACUUUAAAUAAUAAACCAAGUUUUCCAAAGAUGCAUGAAAUGAUAUGUAAAACCUAAGUGCACCUAUGCAUUCAUCUUACAUUUGUUUCCUAUGAUUAAAGGUCUUCCAAUGUCUUGAUCUUGUAUCCAUUAGAUCCUUUGAUGAAUUUUCAAAUUAAUACUUAAGAUUCUUUACAAUUCAAACCAAUUAGUAACUUAAUCAUGGUUUGUUAUCGUCAAAACAUGAUUAGGAGAACCCUUGGGCUAACAUACCCUAUUAUGGAUUGUGGAUGUGACAUCACCCCUAUGAGAGGCUAAAAAUCCAACUUGGGGCUUAAAGCAUGAAAAUCUAAGGGUUUGGAAACCUAUAGGGACAAUGGGUGAAUCAUUAUAACAAUGAGAUUAAUUAUUGGUUGAAUUACAAUUUAUCAAUUUUUUUAUCCUACCCUUAGAAGUUAGUUUAGGGAAUGAUACGGUAGGUUAUUACUUGAUACUAGUGAUUCUUGGUAACUCUUGAUCAUUAGUUAUCUCGAUCUUCUCUAUUGUUAUUUGCCCAAAAACAAAGCUAUAAGGAGUAGGAAGGGUUAAAAAGUCAAACCUUAAACCAAUAAUCAAUAUCAUUCAUUUGAUGGUUUUAGGAAUCUAUUUUAAAAAUGAAAAAUUAGGUUUUGGAUGCAGUUUGAGUUAUAGAACUCAAGAUUGAUCGCGAACGACCAAAGACCCUAAAACCUUAAGAUCAUUUUACUUAAGAAACUCUUGUUCUCUCUAUUUCUAUACCUUAAGUUAGAUUGUGAAAAACCCCAGACUUGAAUGAAUUGAAUUAAAAAUCAAUAUUUAUUUUGUUAUUAAUUUAGUUUCUUUUAGUUAGUUUCACUUCAUAAAAGUUACUUCACAUAUUGAUUUUCACAUUACGUUUAAGCAAAAGCAAUUCAUUUAUCUUAGUAUUGAUAAUUUCCAUAAGACAAUCCUUUAGGAUGAUAUCCAGAGUACUACAAAAGUCGUAGUAACUCUUUCUCCAGUUUUUCUUAAACAGAGUUGCUACAUAAAAGGCUUAGUAUUUUAGACAAUAGAGAAGAUCGAUCAAGCCUAUCUACAAGUUUAGCAUUAAUAUACCCAAAACCUCCUUGCAAAUACUGUCAUAGGUUCUAACUAUUUGAGUAAAUGGCUUAAAGUCUGAAGGUUUGAAUCCAAGAGCAAUUGCAAUAGCUAAUGGGCAAACAUUCAGGAUAAAACCAUUGUCCAAAAGGACAAAUGAGACUCAAUGCCUGAAGCAAACAACUGAGAUAUAGAGAAAAAGAGUGUGGUUUAGGCCCCUAGGGGUAAAAUCAUCAAUAGAGAAAACAACACAUGUGGUCUUGUUAGCUAUCAACAUAUGGAUCAGUCCAUCAAAAGAUAUGGCAAUCUCUACUUGAAGUUGGUUUGGUGCCAUAAUCAACGUCUCUUAGUAGGAUGUAGAUGAUGUUAGCAAACUCCAAAUAGAGAUGUGGGCCUAAGUGCUCUAAAGCUGCCUCAAAUUCUUAUCAUCCUCUCAAGAAGUAAUACCCUUAAAUGUUUUAGUCACCAUAGGUGGUGAUUGAGUCAUUCUCCUACCACGUGUCACAAUCUAGACAUCCUGAGCAUCCAUCUCAUUAAUAUCGGGCCUCAAAAUAAACAAAUUUGGAACAUCAUGGCAUGCAAGGGUUAAUGGCAAAGUUGGAGUCAAUUGAAAUGGCAUUACUUUAAGAAUCAAAUUGAAUAGUGCAAAAGUCAAUGAACUCACAGUAACUCCAUCUACCUUAGCAAAAUUGUCAUUAAACAUUGUGGGUAUUGGCUCACCAUCAUCCCAACUCAACAUAUGGAUACCAUCAUUAGGCUUGACAAAAUCCACAAAAUGUAUGCCACUUGCUAGAAAAAGAAAUAUAUGUAUAAAAUAAGUGUGUAGAGGGUUAGUGGUUACACUCAGCAAACCCCAAGUUAACCAAACCUUAAUCAAUCAAAUCUUGAAUGGCAUGUCUCAAGGCAGUGCACCAAUCGGUGUCAUGACCUGGCCCCUAAUGAUAUGAACAGUGCAAAUCCAUCCUAAAAUAUGGAGGAACAAUUUGAGGCAAUGGCCUAGGAGCUAAAGGUGUCAAUAGACCAACAUUCGCGAGCUUUCAAAAAGCCUAGCUCAAUGGCAUACCCAAUUGUGAAAGAUAUCAUAGUGUCUUCAAAGCAAAUGAAGCAAAUGUCUACGAAGCUCUAGGUCUAGGGUAUAAGGAUGGAGGUUUCUUUAUGACUUGGGCAACAUAACAUGAUUGUAUUGGCAUGGGUGGCAAAUAAGUUUGAGCAAAGGGUUGAAGAGGCACUUGUAAUCUAUACUAAUGUUAAGAAUAAGGAAGAUAGGCCUUUACGAGUUGACACUGGCUGGUGAUGCCUAGGAGGUCUCUGACUUAUAGAAGAAAUGCUACUGACAUCUCUCAACGUUUGUUCUCUAGAUGGUUUCUUCCUUUUAGAAUUAGUAAGGGAAGAAUCAUACCAUAAGCCUCUAGAAAUACCUUCCUCUCUGCUAAAAAGGGCUAAAACCAAGGAUCCAAAAUUUGUAAAAGGUACCCCUAAUCAAAUGUCUAGUGAUCCUAGGCUGCAAACUCCUCAUAACCAUUUGCAUUUGAUCUCUCUCUACAGGCAAGUCUAUAAUCUCUACAAUCUUUCCCCGCCAAUGAGAAAUGAUCCCUAGCGAAGUUACCAUUUUAUGGACCCACAUUUUUCACAAUGCAUCCCCACUUGAUGGUAAGACUCAUUUUUUAAUGAAAGAUUGAUUUUUGAAAAAGAGUUAAAGUUGCCACUUAUUUUUAUUUAUUUUUAAAGGGAAAACAAAAUAAGAAGGAAAACUCUAAGUGAGACUUAUUUUAAGGGAAAUGUUUAGCUAUGAAACUAAGUUUAGGUAUGAGGGUCUAUGAAAAUUAAUCAGUAAAUCAUGGAUACAAAGGAUCAAGAAAUAUAGAAUAAGGCAAUGAUGAUAACUAAUGGAAACAUAGCAAACAACUAAUUUAAACAAAACAUGUGUAUCAAUAGAAACAAAUGAAUGAGGAGGAGUGGAAGCAUACCUUGGUAGCAAACAAAGUGCUUUCAUGAGAAACAAGGUUUGCUAACAAGCAAUAAUAAAGAAUAUAGAUCACAUGCAUAAUUCAAGUCACAAAGCAAAGCAAUGACAAUUAGAGCUAAACAAGUUCUGUAUUUAAAACUGACUCGUAAAUGAAUGUAUUUAGAAAGACAUGGAUGUAGGGUUUCAACAAUACCCACAUCAAUAUACAUGAAUUAAUCCACAACUCUCCUUCUGACGAUCAUAAAGAGAAGCUCAUAAAAGGACAUGGAGUAUUCCAUUAUUUUGGAGUUGUAAAAUUCAUUCAUGUAAUUAAAAUCAAGAAAAUCGAAAAUUCCUUAAAAUCAAAGAAAAUUAGGAAUAGUGCAUGCUAUAGGAAAAUGACAACAUUUGGGAUUGAAAAUUUUUUAUCAACCCAGGGGGGUUUAAGGAUUAGACGUGGAGAAUAAAAGAGAGUUGGAAAUCAAUUUGAAAAUAAUGGAAAAAGCAUAAGAAAUACAAACUGUACUUGGAGAAGAGAGCAUAGGAGAAAAAAGUGUGCACUAUGCGCAUAGGCAUUGCACAUGACAGAAAAAGUGUAGCUGGGAAAAACGCAUUGAGGAGCUAAGGGAUUACAUGCAUAAAAGUUGUGUGAUCGAGUGUGCACUAGAGAAAAGAUGGAAAAGUGUGCACACUAACCAAUGCACAAAAGGAGUAAUAGACAUAGAAAAAUUGAAAACGUAUCAACUAGUGCGCAAACAAGACCAUCUUCAAGAGGAAAUGCACAAUGAGAAGUAGACACUAGAAAUAGAGAAAAAAACAACAAAAACAGAGCAUAAUCAAAGGGAAUAAAUAAACAAACAAGCCUUUGAAUGAAGCCUCAAUUCAUGCUUUAUCAACAGGCUAAAAACAAGUGAGAGAACCAAAGUGGUUUUGAAGCAUGAUAUCAAACAAUGAGGAUGAAACAUAGUGAAACUAAAGAUGAAACAACAAUAGCAAGUCUAUAGACAACUUGAAAAUCAAUAGAAACAACAUGUGGCCUCUAAUAUCCACACAUAACCAACAAGCAUUCAUCAACAAGAGUAGAUGAAAGAGAAAGAAAGCAAUCAUAAUUAAGAGGACUCACUUGAGAAGAGAUUGUUGGUGGACCCUCUCUUCUCUUCCUCUGGCUCUUUGUUUUUCUUUUUUUUUCUUCCUUUCCAUGCUUUCUUUCUACCCAACAAACUCUAACAUCAGAAUAUUGUCCUCUACCUCUCUCUCCCACACACAACAAUGUCGAACGUUGUCUCACUCCUACAACCACAAAAGAGAGAAAAAGGUCCUUCACAAAAGGCUAAAAGGGCCUUUUUAAAAGGCUAAGGACAAAUGAGAUGAGGACACUCCAUCCAAACCUAAAAAACUCUCUAAAACCCUAAAAAGAAACCCCCUAGUUGAAAUCAAAUAAAAAAAAAACUGAGUAAGGGUCCUAAUUUAAGGCUCACAACCAAAUUAACGAGUUUAGGCUAAACCUAAAGGGCAACUAAAAGCCAUGCUAGUAUCCAUGAAAAUCUCCCUAAUGGUUUCCAAAACUAGCUCGACAAUCAAUAACAAGUUUGAGUAAUAACAAACCACCAAGGAACAUGAUGAAUGACUAAACAAAAGGAUCCUAGGCAUGCACUACAAGGGAACACAAAGCGAGAGAAAAAUGAAUAUGAAUUGAUGUGCUAAAAGACAAAAUGGAAGGUCUACAAUAAGAUGAAGCAAAGAUGAAUUUUUUUUAUUCAUUAAAUUUAAGGGAGCUUUAUCAAUUUCAAUUACUGGUACAUUUCAAAAUUUUGGAAAGUGAAACCUAGGGCUUCAAUUUGGGAUAUCCAAUUUUAUGCCUUCAAAAAACAAAUUUGAGUAUUUCCAAUUAUAGACCUUCAAAAAAGAACAAAUUUGGGGAUUUAAGCCUAUUUAGGCUCCACCUAACUAUUUCCAACAUUGACUUUUGUUUUUUUUAUAUAUAUAUAUUUUUAACAUUAAGGGUAUUUUAGACUUUAUUUGUUAAUAAUAUCCUUCAAAACACGGGUCUUCUGUGAACUUUGGGUCAAUUAGAAGCUCCUUUCUACACCUAAGCAUGAUUGUCCUUUAAUUGAACUGUAAUCCAUGACUAUGCCUUCAAAACAUAGAAAAAUCUAACAAGCUUCAACAAAACAUAACUACAACCACUAAUACAAUCACAUGUGCCUUAUUAACUAAAGAGAGGUCGGAAUAAUUCUAACAACUUAACCACCUACCCUACUAGCUCUCUGAACGAAGGCUGCAACUCUGCUGAUUUUUUUCACUCGUAAGCUACUUGCUAAUUGACAAGCCAACAACUCUCCCUAGUCCCCUUUUCACUCCCAUACAAUAAUUGAUAAGCUAAAUACAUGUUUGGAUAGAUUUUCUAUUUAAAUAAAAAAAAAUUAUAAAGAAAUUCUAAUAAAAACCUUCUAAAAAUUUAAAAAUUUAAGAAAGUUUCACAAAUCUUGAAGAAGUUAUGAACACAGAUUCCAUUUCAUUCAUAAAAAUUCUUAGAUUUUAUACAGGAUUUUUAUUUCUAAAAAUGAAAAAUAGAGAAGCAUUCAAUCACCACAUGAGUGAUGUGUGUAGACCAUAGCAAAGCGAAAUUGGGAAAAAAAAAAUUGUCCUAAAAUUCUCAGGGAAAACUCUCCACCUCCAUGGUUUUGAAAUUUCUGAAUCACUCUCAAACAAAUACAUUCAUAUAUAUAUUAUGUAUGUCCACAACUGUAUACGCACAUCCAGAAUGAAUUAUCUAUGUUGAGACCAUUGAAGUUAAGAAAUUAUCUAUGCAACACACCGCUAUCUCUACCAAGUAUCACUUAUCGGCACUACAAGAAAAGCUAUUACUACAUACAUAUAAAUCUUUACACAACCCAAAUAACAUUUCAAUUUCCACCUUCCCCAAGCAACCAAUCAGCUCAGAAUUCCACAAGCAGCAAAGCUAGCCAAAAAUGGUGUUGGUUUCAAUGGUGGUGGUGGUGGUGCUCCCCGUCCCAGCAAUCAUCCGAAACGGAUCACGAUGCACGAUAUAUCAUCUUUGCUCUUUCUUUCCAAUGCUUCUGUUGUUAGACGUUUGGCUGCUACUUGAGGAUCUUUAAUGGAUUUCACCAUAUCAACUGCCUCCUGGUUUUUCAUAACCUGUCCACCAGAGCAAACAAAGUAUUUCACCAUAUAAGAUCUUCCGACAUGUUUAAGUGAGACUCAUUAAUCAUGUCACAAAUCAAUCAAAACAAAAGAAAAUACCGGUCCAUGAAAUAGACGCUUUGAAGCAAUUUCACCUAUAAACUUCCAUAAAUGCCAAUCAUCUUACAAUAGGAUUCUACCUAUAAAUUUCCCAUACCACUUUAUCAAGGGUAUACUGAUGCUCAGUUUCACCCUUAGUUUUAAAAGGCGCGCUUAAAGUGUGCCUGGGCUCAAGGCACAACCACUCCCUAGCUAUAGCACCUUUUACCAAGACAUGCGUCUUGUUAAAGAAGCACGGCUGGUCUAUUUUACUUCUUAUUUUUAAACACUUUUAUUCUUAAAAUUUCUAAUUGUAUAUUGAAAUUAAUAUAAUUUCAUUACAUUUUUUUUGUUGAAUGUUUCUUUUUAAAAUCGUAAUUUUUUUAUUGAUUGGAUUGGAUUUUGGAUCAUAUUUUAUAAAAUUGAUAUGUAUACUAGGUCAAGUUUCACUUCACUUAAAUGUGUGCCUUGUGUUGUGCCUUGCGCCUAAGUUAUAUGAUACUUUUACACCUUAGGUGCAUCUUGUGCCUUUUAAAACUAUGGUUUCAUCUUUAGAAGAAUAUGGGUUUGUGGCCUAUUCAAACCUCCAUGAUACUUUAUCUUAUCAAUUCUUUAAUUUAUCCAUAAUAAUAGCUUUCGUGAGUGUUGACAACAUUUUAAUUAGGGAUAUCAGUGCAUAUGAUUUAGUAUAGAUUUUAUUUUGUAUGGGAACAGUAUAACACCAUAUGCCUCGGGUAUUAUAUGAUGACAAAACAGAAGCUCCUAAACACAUCCUCACAUGCCCCAUGGCUACUAAAAGUCCCAAUAUAAACCCAAUGGCUCCAAGGACUAAAAUAUCAUAUUUACAAUGUAUCAGCCCAUUAAAAACAUGGAAAUAUCAAUAAAAAUAUCAACAAAAUAUUUUAUUACAGAAAUUUUAUAAAAGAAAUUAUAGGAAUUACCAUUAAAACAUAAAAAUUUAAAACAACACGUUCGAGAUUGUUAAUUUGUACAACAAUGCAACAUUCGAGUAAAAGCAUUUUCAAAAUAUUAUAAAGAUGACAAAUUUGUAAUGUAAAGGUGGGAUUAAGCACAUGAACCAUUAUGUAUAAGUUGUAUAUAGAUUAGGCAAUCUCGUGAUCAAAGAGAUUUGUUGUAAUUGAGUUAGGAAAGUUCUUAAUUUAGAUGCUAGGAUUUUUUGUGUAUAUAUAUAUGUGUGAGUCUCUGUACAACUCAAUUGGCUUUUCUUGCUUGAGAAUUGGUUUUAAACCCAGGACUGAAAAUUUUGAAAUAUCCCUAAUAAAGACAUAAGAAGACUUUAUCAUUUUGUUAUACUAUUUUCUCAUAUUCUCAAUAAUUCCAUGACGUUGUCGAUAUUCCCCAUGUUCCCAUUAUUUUUAUCCUAACAAUGUUUUUAGCUAGAAAUUCAUGAAAUAUCUCCAAUAUAUCUUCAAAAGUUAUAUAAUUUAUCUCAAAAUUUUGUAAUUUCUUUCCAUACAACUAGUGAAUAUUGAUUUGAUCUAUGUUAUUUAACAAUAGUCUAAGAAAUAAACAUUUCAUAACACUAGUGUGAAAUUGCUUAAACCUUUGGUGAAUAUAUCUGCAAGUUGGCAAUCAGUAAAUACAUAAGGAGUACAGAUCAACCCACUAUCUAAUUUCUCCUUAAUAAAAUGUAUGUCUAUCCCCAUGUGCUUCGUUCGAUCAUGUUGCACUAGAUUAUGUGCAAUAUUGAUUGCAAAUUAAUUGUCGCAAUAAAGUCUCAUUAGGUCAUCCCAAUCUUCAACCAUAGGAAUUCACAAACUUCUUGGGCCAUUGUGGGAAAUUCUACUUCUGCGCUAGACCUCAUCUCUAAACUUUGUUUCUUGCUUCUCCAUGUCACCAGAUUCCCACAAAAAAAGGUGCAAUACCCAGUAGUUGAUCUUCUAUCAACCAUGGAUCCAACAUAAUUUGCAUUUGUAUAUGUUUCAAGUACUAGUCUCGAGCUUUGUUUAAAUAAGAUGCUCUUUCCUAGAGACCCCUUAAGGUAUUGUAACACUUAAUUAGUAGCUUGUAGAUGAACCGCUUUUAGACUGUGCAUGAACUAGCUAAUCACACUCACAACAUAUGCUAUAUUCGGUCUCGUGUGAGAGAUAAAUGAGUCUUCUUACUAAACAUUGAUACAUCUCCCUAUCUACCGCAAUAUCUUCGUCAACCUCUCCAAGCUUAUGAGUAGGAUCUAUUAGUAUGCUUGCUUGUUUACACACCAACUUCCCUAUUUCCUUGAGGAGGUCCGUUGCAUAUUUCUACUAAGAAAUAAAUUCCCUGCUUAGAAUGUGCAACUUCAAUUCCUAGGAAGUAUUUCAACCAUCCUAACUCUUUAAUAUCAAAUUCCUUGGUCAAGCAUUGCCUCAAAGCUUGUCUCUCCUUUUCAUCAUUUCUUGUCACAAUGAUGUCGUCUACAUAUACCAGAAGAGUUGUAACUCCCCUUGAAUCUAAAUGCUUAAUGAACAACAUAUAAUCUCCCCGACUUUGUGUAUUCCAUGUUUUUCAUCACUUUAGCAAAUCUUAUAAACCACACCCUUGUAGAUUGUUUCAACCCAUAUAGAGCUUUCUUCAAGUCACACACUUUUUUAAUAGCUAGGUCACUUCCAAAUCCAAGAGGGACUUUCAUAUAAAUCUCUUCUUCUAAAUCUUCAUUUAAAAAUGCAUUUUUGACAUCAAACUGAUGCAAAUCCCAAUUAUAAUUUUUGCUACCAAUGAUAACAAAAUUCUCACUGUGUUCAUCUCGGCAACAAGAGCAAGUGUCUCAAGAUAAUCCAUGCCAUAUGUCUAAGUAUAUCCUUUAGCCAUCAAUCCUACCUUGUACCUCUCUAAUGUCACAUCUCAUCUAUACUUAACAGUAUAGACCCAUUUACAUCCCAGUAGUCUUUUUCCUGUAGGCAAAUCUACCAACUCCCUAGUUUUAUUUUUCUCCAAGGCCUCCAUUUUUGCAUUCAUGGCUUGUCUCCAAUUUUCAUUAGAUAAGACUUAGGAUAGAGUGAUAGGAAUAUGAAUAUUAUUCAAACUUGUAAGAAAACUCUUAUGGGAUGGAGACAGCUUUACAAAUGAUACAACAUGGGAAAGUAGAUACAAAGAAUGUUUAGUGCAUUCCUUCGUUCCCUUCUUGAUGGCAAUAGGGAGGUUUUGGUCUAUAGGUUUUUCAGACUAAAGUUUUAACUUAGUUUGUAAGGGAGAAUAAGAGAUUGUUACCUCAUUUCUAGAAGCCAGUUCAAAUUCUUGGACUUGUAUAAGUUGAGGAACUACAGCUUUCUUCCUCAAGUACACUUUGCUAGUCAUUCGAUUCUCAGGAGCAGGCUUAAUGGAUGACUCGGGUUUAGAGGAGGGUAUAGAUACUGAAUCAGACACUUUUAAGAGGGUCAAUAGGAUUUAUGAGAGGUACAAAUACUGGAUCACACACUUUAAGAGGGUCAAUAGGGUCAAUGAGAAAAGGAUCAUUGGAACAGAAGUCUUGAUCCUUGUUUUCCUCAAUGAAAUUCUACCUCCCAUAAAGAUAAGGAGUGGGAAAAUAAGACUCAUUUUCGUUGAAAGUAAAGGUGGGACAAAAAAAAAAUUUAGAUGAUGGAUGGUACACUUAUAUCCCUUUUGAGUUGACACAUAUCCCACAAAAAUACAUUUGAUUGCAUUUUCGUUGAAAGUAAAGGUGAGACAAAAAAAAAAUUAGAUGAUGGAUGGUAACACUUAUAUCCCUUUUGAGUUGUCAUAUAUCCCAAAAAAAUACAUUUGACUACUCUUCUAUCCAAUUUUCCCCUAUUUGGAUUGUGAACGUUCACAAAGGGCACACACUCAAAUAUCUUAGGAAUGACUUAAAAGUUUUAAAUGAUGGUUGUUCAAGCAUAAGAUGAUGGAGCCAAAUUUUUUCUUCAUUAAAAAGGUGGUGCUCAGAAAUAAGAGAUAGGGAUGAUUUGCUUAGUGUCUCAAAGUAGUAUAGUCCAUUCCAUUCUUUAGUAAGUCCAAUCAUCUUCCACAAAUUUUGGUCCUAAAAUACACAGUGAGUAUGGGAAAAAAUCACAUUACAACCCAAAUAUUUUAUAAGCUUUUGUACAGAGACAAGAUUAGUAGACAACUUUGGACAUGAAACACAUUUCUAAGUGUAAGUGUAGGACUAAUUUGGAUAUCUCCUACACCUGCAACGGUGGUUAAUGAACCAUUAGCUAUUUUCCCAUUGCUUGAAGAAGGGUUAUAAUUGUGAAAUUAGUGUGAUGAAUGAGUCGUGUGAUUUGUGUCACCUGAAUAUAUAACCCAUGAAUUGACAAACGUUUCAUCUGAGACUUUUAAUCCAAUGGAAAUAGGAAACUUACCUGAAAGUGUUAGUGAGGAGGUAUCUAAAGGUUUUUCAAGAGUUCUCAACAAAGUUCUCAGUUUUUCAAUCUCCUCCUGAUCGAGUCCGCCUUGUUCCAGGGAUCUUUCUUCAAUUGGUUGAAUAGAAGAUAAGUGUAAUUGUGCAUUAUCCUUUUGUUGCCUUCCAUUGUAAGUGGUUAUCAUUCCUUCAAAUUGAGUAUGGAAACCUACCUACAACGAUCGGAGAUGACGGGGACAAGGAGAUGACAACAAGGUGCAAGGAUGGUAGCAAUGGCACAGCGGCGAGGGGUCCUUUUUGCAACCUUUAUAGGUUGUGCAAGCUAUGCCUAAGAUGGCCCGAAGAUGAUGGCGACAUGAUCUUAGUGGCAAUGUGAUCUCAAUGUAAGGGUGGGGAUGAAAGCAACACUGUGAUUUCUCUUGCACUAGUGGCAUGAUGACAUGACGACUUCGGUUGUUUUGUCGUGUUCACGAUCUGGGUUUACUGCAACGAUUUGACUCAGACAAGAGGGAACUUUAAGGUUGACAAUGAAGGUUGACUCUAGCCUUCAACUCGACAAUGAAGGCAGAAAAAAAAUUCUUUCUUUUCCCAAAUUUACGAACCUAAGCUCUAAUACCAUGUAGAAGAAAGAUGGAAGGAAUAAAAGGUAUUAAAUUCUUUUUCCUUAAUCUUUUGCCUAUACAAAGACUCACAUAUAUACACAAAAAGUCCUAGCACCUAAAUUAAGAACUUUCCUAACUCAAUUACAACAAAUCCCUUUGAUCACAGGAUUGCCUAAUUCUCUCUACAAAUCAUAACUUCCCUAAUUUCAUUCUUCCACAGUUUGUGAUAAGGGGAAAUCAGUGAAUGUCCAUCUAUCAAAUUUAGUGGUGAAAUAACACUGUUUAACUGUGUAUUUAGCAAUGGAACCCACUAGGAUGCUGCUAUCCCCAACAGCUCAUGAAUUAUUAGUGUAAAUUAGGUGGACAACUACAAAACUUUCCAUGUUAUGGAACAGGCAUUUAACAACAUUUUUUUUUCAAUAACAAGGGUCCUAAAGUAUUCUGGUUACACGUGAAACAUUUCAAGUGAUGGAGAUGUGUAAUUAGGGGGAUCUUGUUAACAAAAUUAUGCAAUAAAAAAUGAACAUGAUCAGAUGAUUUCACACCAUAUAAUUUUCAAAAUUAUUAGGACCAUUAAAUGGAACACACUUUCAAAAACAGUCCUAUUAUUGUAACUGAAAGUGAAACAGACAAUUAGUUGUUAGUACAAUUUGUUGUCCAAUGACUAUAUAUAUGACAAGAAACAAAUAUAUGACAAGUUAUUCUUUAGCAGCAUUUUUUUUUAAUAUCCUGGCACCAACCUAAAUACACAACAAAAAUUGACGUCUUGAUUGCAUGGACAACUCUUUGACUAAAGAAUUCCCACCACUCUACAUACUAUGUUCAAUAACAAGAUCCAUACAUCCAGAAUCACUGGAGUUUUAUCUACAUGGUAAAGGGAGAGUAAGGCUCUCCUGCAGGUAUCUGAUGCCGUUGAGAGUGAAAGGGUAAACUAUAUUGACUUCCCUUGAUGUUUUAUUUCCUAUUUUCCUUUCUCCCUUUCAGCUUUAGCUCUAUUAAAAUUUCAAGCUUUGGGAUCUGAUCAUAAUCACCACCAUCUAUGGUAGAUACAGUCAAUUGUAGCCAAAGAACUCAACUAGUAGAAAGUAUAAGCAUUUGAAUGUGAGGAAAUCUAUGGUCUCCUCUGCCAGAAAAUAUCAAAAUUGCACUUUCUGUAAGAGCACAGAAAAUCUAAGCCCCAUAAUGGGACAAUCCACUUCUUGAUUCCAGCAAAGAUCCUAACACACAAUCCUCAAAAAUGUUUCUGCAUAAGAUUAAGCAUGAAGCAGUUGUUCACUCAAUUCAAGAUGUAUGAGUGGAUCCCUCCACCAUGUCAAAAGACGAUGAUGAUGAUCGUCAUGCUUGACACUCAUGAUUUUGAUAUGUUUAGCUGAAUAUGAGUACUGCUUGUUGGACUUACCUUUCCGCAGAGGCUUGAUAAACUAUUGACACCAUCACAAAGCAGAAGAAGAGAAGAGAUGGCCAGGAUACAGAUGAGAAGAGCUUGUUUUGUCACUUUCAUGGGGUUUCUUUCUGGUGAAUUCUAGAAGAGAGAAGUAGGCCAAAGUGAAAAAAUGCAGCCAAAUAACAUGGAGCAAUGUUGGAGUUUAGGGGAUUGGACCUAAUGAGUUUGUUGAAUGAAAGUUCUAAGUUGAAUAUUUCUUAUUCUUCAUUGUGGUUCUGGAGAUUUUAACAAAUGCACUAGAACUAAAAUGAUAAGAGAAUCUGGGGGGUUCAUAAAGUGGAAAUUUCUGGGUUUGUACUUAAGUUCAAUUUUUCUUUCAAGUAGCUGAACCAGAUCAAACCCCUUUGAAGGAGGAGUUCACUCAUCAGAAAUUCAAAUUCAAAAUCAAAUUAUACCAAACUGCUAAUGAGUUUUAUUUCUUCACCAUAGCAAUGGCCCAAGUAUGUUGUUGGAUGUUCCAUUGAAAAGUACUCACUGCCUUCUUUAAACCUUGAGCAAUAGAAGGGUGGGUAAGUUUCCAUAAAAUUCCUCAAAUAAGUAAUGUUUUAUGUACAUAGAUGCAGUGGCAGAGCCACGUUGCGCCCAGGAUGGGCAAAUGGCCCCCCUGAAAUUUUGGAAGAAAUAUGAGUAGGAAAUAGAUUUGAUCCCUUGACCUGAGAUUUUGAGAAAAUUGAAUGGCUAUCAUUAGAUUAUGCAAACAAUUUGGUAUCAUUUUGCCCCCCCACCCCCCUCAACUUUCUUUCUGGUUUUGCCACUGCUUGGAUGAUUUCUUAAGUAAGCCAAAGUAAGAAUUUUAGCAUUUUUGAAAUACAAGGGCAGGAAGUUAGCAAGUUUCCACCUAAUAUUUCAUGCAUAAAGAAGAGGUCAGUAUUAGUGGUCGGCGAGCCAGAGUUAUUUCAAAAAUCCUAAGGAAGAUCCCUUUAAAUGUGAGGAACCUCCAGAAAGGCUAGUGAAAUUCACACAAAUCAACUACAUCAAGAGUUUAAUAUCAACUAGGGAUAUCAAUUUUUUACAUGACUACUUAACAAUUAAGUUUGAACCAAGUAGUGUUCAUAUCAUAGUUGUACUGAACUACCUAACCCCUUCCUUGCUUAAUUCAUGAAGGAAAUAGAUUGUGUUUAAGUAGUUGUUUAAACCAAUUAGCUAAAUUCUCACAUUGGCAUAGUCAUAACACUACUUGCAUAUGAUCCCAUUCAAUUCUCAUAAGUUUGCUGCAAAUUUUUUUUAUCAUUUUUUAAUUUGACGCAGGAGCAAUAAAAAACUAUGCAACCAUCCACUUUCUGUAAACAAGAUAGAAUUGUGUUACAAUUAGAAAUUCAUCUAGAUUAGGUUACCACAUAUUUAGGUUCUAUAUUUUGUUUAAGCUUUUAUUAUUCUAGUUUUCUACUUUAUUUUCCCCAUCAGGAAUGAUUCAACUAUGAUUUGGAUUGUUGUUUUAUUAUAUGUAGGAUUAGGAUUAAAUCUAUAAAGACCUAGGUUGUAGAAAAUUAUUCAUUCAUUAAUAAAAAUAGUUAUUAGAAACUUUCUCUUUUCAACUUAUUCUAAGAGUUCUUUUUACUUUUUUUAUCCCUUCUUCCCUUGAUUGGACAUGGUAGAGAUUGUAGUGGAAAAGACAGCAAACAAAGAUGGCUAAGAUAAGGCAAGUGAUUGAGGAUUUUUAAGAGGCUGUGCAACUGUUUCAAUAACAUGAACUAAAGGAAGCCAUAUGCAGAGUCUGGAAGACAAUUGUAACCUUUUGGACAAACUGGAAGGUAGUCAUUAAAAUGAAACUUUUGAAGUAGAAGCCCUUUUCAUGAUGCUGGACAAGAGAUAGCAUAGAGCAUAGCAGAUUGGAAAAAAUAUCGGUUUGUGCAAUUGAUUUGAACUAAGGAGGAAUUAAAAUUGAAGUUAUUGAUUUCUUUUGGGAAGAUGCAUGCUGAAGAUUAUUUGGAUUGGCAAGCAAUUUUGAAGACCUACUUUUGAGUGGAAACCCAAGAAAGAAAAUUGUUAUUCGCAAAGAUUAAGUUAAAGGGUACUACAUGUCAAUAGUGGGAGAGAGUUGAAGAGCAGUGUAGACCGACAAGUCAAAUUGAAAAUCAGCACAUGGGAAAACAUGGAAACAAAGACUGGAAAAUAAUUCUUCUUGGUUGAUUAUGCUAUGAAGCUGUAUAAGCAGUUCCACUCCUUAAAAACAGAGGCAUUUCAGUUGCAGAAUACAUGUUUUGAGUUUCAUAAUCUCUCUAUUAAAGAGGAUGGUUCAAAUAAAAGUAAUGAACAAAUGUCAUGUUAUUACCUUGCAGGCUUGAAUUCAUCAAUAAGAGAUGAGAUGGUGGUGGUUUAUUUGUUCAACUUAGAAGAUUCAUCAAUAAGAGACGAGAUGGUGGUGGUUUAUUUGCUCAACUUAGAAGAUGUUUUACAUAUGCCUUAAUGGCUAGAAAGAAGUUAUGGUGUUGUAGUACAAUAAAACCUAUAUAUAGGCGCUUUGGUGCUAUGUCACAUAAGAAUAUAGCUGUUUUGGCGUUUUGAGUGAACAAACAGCUAGAAAGGAGUGGGGGCCACCAUAAUUAGUCGAACUAGUGAUAGUAUUAUUUGAGUUGACAGGAGUGGAAAAGGGAAAGAAAUACAUAGGUUUAAAAUGCAAACAGCCUUGCCACAAGCACUUCAAAUGGAACAACACAUCACAAACUCAUUGUUUCACUAAUGGAGAUAUGCAUGUUUACAACCAAGGGUAAACCUAACACUAUGAAGAUGAUGAAGAGCUACCGGAGCCAAUAUACAAAGAAUAUGAGGAAAAAGAAGAAGAUGUUGAUAGUUUUCUAGUACAAGCAGAAUCCUUGGUGGUGGGCCAAUUAACGACAACAACAACAAAAAUUGAAGAUUGGAGGCAACAUAAUAUUUUUCACACUUCAUGGUUUUAGUGGUGGUAAGGUGCAAUUUUCUCUUAUUUAUUUAUUUUUUAUUUAUUAUUUAUUUAUUUUUUGUUUCUUUUGUAGUGGUAGUAGUGAACACAUUGUUUAAAAAAAAGAAAAAGAAAAGAAAAGGCCCUAUUGAGAAGUUGUAGUUGCCCAUUGAGAAGCACCCCUCGCAAAAUUGCACAGUUUCAAAAGGGGGAACAAGGUGCCAAUUACUUCCCCCAUUAUUUAGUGAAGUUCAAUACAGGAGAAUGUCAAUGGGGGCUUGAUGUAAUGUUGUGUCCAUGGAUGCUUGUCACAUCUAUUGGGAAGACCAUGAUUCUAUGACAAAGACAAGACCCAUUUAUUAACCCUAUAUUGUCCUUGGUUAUGGAUAAUACCCCCUUAGAGUUCAAGUGAACCUAUUGAAAGUUAUUUCCACUCAGCUUGCUUCUCCAUAACUCGCCUCUUGAGAAAACAGGGAAGGUUCCAAUCUAGCCUGAAUAAGCUCAAAGGAUACACGCAAAGGCCUUGGUAGCAAAAGCUUAAAGAGAUCAGAAGAAAUAUAUCAUGUCCCAUGCAAACUCUAUAAUUCCCCCUUUAUUCUCAAAAAUCUUGAUAUUCCUCUUUGACUAUAUAACUUAAAUCAAUAUGAGACUAGGCACCUGCUAAAGAACCAUACCUCUAGAAAGUCCUUCAAAGCUAAUAAAGAAGAUGAUCAUAUUAAUCAUGUUCUUGGGAGGAUCCUUGUCAAUCCCUGUAAGCAAGCAAGUUGUGCUUAGGCCCAACACUUUUUUUUUUUUUUUUAAUAACCAAGGAACCUCCCAUGGCUGAACCUUUUCAACUCUCAGUGAGGACCCAAGCCUUAGGGUGUUGACCACACCCACCACAACCAACACCAGGUAAUUCAGGGCAUUCAACCAAUGGUAGGAAUCGAACUCGACUGUAUGGCUCUACCACACAUCCAGCAUUCACCCUAACCAACUGAACACCCUGAUGGGCUUUAAACCCAACACUACUGAGCAGUGCAAAAAUAAAUCAUUAGCCAGUUCACCACAUCCUGAAUGCAGACUGCAUAGACAUGAAAUGAGGCUUUGAUAUGGCCCUAUCAACCAUAAAUAUGACUUUUUUUAUCAGCCACAAGACAUACAAAGGCCUUCAUCUUAGGUGCAACUUGCUAGAUUUCCAAAUAAGGUUAGCUAGAAUGGAAAUGACAGCAUGAACAUGUGCCAAAAAACACUCUAUUUGAAAUCUUUUUGUAUUCCCUUUCUUCAAGCAGCUUUUCAAUGUUUCUAUAAGGAAGUUUUGGGUUUGAUGACUCCUUUAAUCGUUAGUUUCUUUGUUUAAGAGGUUGUUCAACAGAGGAUUUUGAUGAGUGGUUAGUCUUUUGUCAACCAAUAUAACUUUUGUUGAAUGUGGAAGGAAUCAGCUAAUUACAUCCUAAUCCAUUGUGGGAAGGUUUGCAUUCUAUGGUGUUGAGGAUAUUAUGCUAAUUCUAUUGAGAAGAUUAUGCUAAUUCUAAAUGAGAAUUAAGUGUAGAUAUUUUUGAAUGUACUCCUAGAAAUCAGAAUGUAAUUAGGAUAGGUCAGUUGUUUUUCCUUAUUUAGCUCCACUCAGUCAAACUAUAUUGUAUCAUUUAAAGUAUUGUACUCAUUCAGAAAAGCAAGAAAAACAUUUACCAAAGCUUUCUUCCUUGUAUCAGAACCCAUCUAGGGUUUUUGGAAUUUUUUCGUAACUUCAAUUUUUUUUUUUGUCUCCUUUUCAAAAUGUUUAAAAUAACUUUUGAGCUAUCUGAAACUUCAGUCAGGCAAUUCACAAUCCCUAAUGAUAGCCAUAAAAUUCAAAUCACCUUUCAUAAACUCAAUGAACAUAACUUCCUGUGAUGGUCUCAAUCUGUGAAGUUCUUUUGCCAAAGGCAAAGAGAAGAUAGGACUACUAGAUGGCUCUUAGAAGAUGCCCAAUCCAAAAGACUUAAGUUUCAAGGCUUGGGAUGCAGAGAACUCAAUGGUCAUGUCUUGGUUGAUCAACACAACGGAGCCUGAUGUCAAUCAAGGUUAUGUAUUCUUUUCUACAGCAAAAGAGAUAUAAGAAGCAGUGGCACUCACCUACUUUAAUCAGUAUAAUGACUCUCAGGAUCAUAUGAUGUGAGAAAUAAAGUGCAUGAGAGUAAAGGAGGAGGAAGAACAAUGACAGCCUACUAUAAUGCCCUUCAUCGACUAUGAUAAGAGUCAAAUAUCUAUCAGGACUAUGUUUGGAAAUGUCCAGAAGAUAGUGUGAAGUUCAAGCAGAAACUUGAAAAGGAGAGGGCAUUUGAUUUUUUGGUGGGUCUAAAUCCAAACUUGAUCGAGUCCAUAGUUGAAUUCUUGGGGAAAAAACACCACCAUAUGUCAAACAAGUAUAAAAUGAGGUUGGAAGGGAAGAGAGUAGAUAAUCAGUCAUGAUGGAUAGCCCCAACAUUGAAAAUUCAGCAUUAGUUAACAUCAAACCUGUGUCCACCCUAACAAGUGGGCAACAAAGUAGUGGAAAAAACAUCAAUGACAAAUAUAAGCUAUGGUGUAAUAAUUGCCACAAGUCCCAUCAUACAAGAGACGUGUACUGAAGGUUACAUGGAAAGCCUCAAGGGUGGAGCAAAGGAAACAAAAUUCCAAGUAAUAACGAAUGCGGUCUACAAGUCACAACUCAACCAAUUAAGAAUCAUGCGGUUGUAUUAUGAUAAGAAAGCAGCUAUUAACAUAACUCACAACCCAGUUCAGCAGAAUAUAAAAAAAAAAACACGUUGAGAUAGAUUGACAUUUCAUCAAGGAAAAGCUAGAUAAUGAUUUGUAUAUCAUUUAUCUCAACAAAAGAACAAUUGGUAUUUCACUAAAGGCCUUCCAAGACAAUUAUUUCAAUCUAUAAUUAGCAGGUUGGGAAUGAUACAUAUUUGAAUGAACUUAACGAUGAUAUUAUUUUGAUUCUAUUGAGAAGAUAAUGUUAGUUCUUCCUGUAAAUGAGAAUUAAUUGUAGUUAUUUUUGUAAUGUAACCUUAGAAAUCAAAAUGUAAUUAGGAUAGGCUAGUUGCUUUUCCUUAUUUAGUUCUACUCGGUCAAACUAUUUUCUAUUAUUUAAAGUAUCGUACUCAUUCAAAAAAGUAAGAAAGAAAUUUUCCAAAGCUUUCUUCACAUGAUAUAUGUUGUUCUUUUUUCUCGCAUUUUAUUGGGUGAUUCCUUGUUGGAUGAAAGACUUGUGGUCCGGUUCGCAUGGUAGUUUUAUAGGGAAUGAGCAUUCACGUCUGAACAGUGGCUCUUUUGUGCUUGUUUGGAUGCAUAUGAAAGGAGUAUAACCAAAGUUCCAUACAUGUGUGUGUGUGUGCGCACACAACAAUUUUCCCAUUACAAGUUACAUACUACACAACCUAAUCUCCUACUAAGAGAAGAAUCUACUUGACCACAUCUUGGUUUACUUCUAAAAGGAAAUGAAUGUUCAUCCCUUCUCCAAGCAUGUAUUGCCAUUAAACAUUCAUAAAACAUUGAAAAAUCUAAAUAUUGUAUCUCAAGCUUCAUUCUUUCAUUUCACAAAUGUAACACUAUCCACAACACCCAAAAGUUUUUAUUGCUCAACUGUGUGUUUCCUAUUCAUACAAUGUCAGAGACUAAAUUUUAAUUUAUGAUUUUUAUCUGUUUCUUGGCAGAUCACAUAAUGAUAAAAUAUAUAGUCCAAUGCUGCUAUAGUACUAACAAGCAAAACAAAGAAAAAGAAAAGGAAGCACUAGCUAUGAACUUUACUUCUUACAAACUGUUAUCUUCAUGAUACAGCAACAAAAAGAAGUCAAGAAACUAAUGAGUCUAAGGAUAUUCUGAACCACAUGGCAAUUCCAUCAUUCCAAAGUGGAACGACACAUUACCAUCACAUCUUUAACAAUCAUUAUGGUUCCUUAAUCUGCUUUCCCUAAAACAUUUCUUUUAUCCAUACAUUUAACUGAGGAUUCCUUUGGAAUUUUCAUUACAGUUGUCCAUAAAAAUUAGGACAUUGUGCUAGUUUUUCUCCUCUAUUUCUUAUGUACAUUUUGCUUAGAUUUAUUUUAAUCUAAUUUGGAUUUGAUUUUUUUUUUCUAUAAAAUCUUCCCACCAUCAGUGCAUAAAUUUAUCACUAGGAUAAGGUCCAGAAAAAAAAAUCAAAAAAAUAAUAAUAAUAAUUAUUGCAACAAAAUGCUAAAUUUAUAUCUCAAUUAUAAAACAUAAUUAAAUAUCAAUCAACUCUUGCAGAAAUAAACUUUCAGUUCAAAUGAUAUUAAGAAAAAAUAAACCAAUAUUGAGCACUUUGGACACUGGAAUGGUUUCAUUCACAUAUUGUUUCAAAAAGAACAGUAAAUCCAUAAUCUUGCUUAUUCCAAUGCGAACAUAGAAUAUAACAUGGACAGCUGAGAAAAAAGAUGAAUGAACAGAGAGGAAACAAAAGACUGUCAUCAAUAAGUUAGCAUAACAACUGACCUUCCAUAAGCCAUCACUUGCUAAUAUAACAAACUCUAUAGUUGAGUCUAUAGGCACAUGUCUUACAUCAGGCUCCGAACUUAAAUGUGCUUUAAGGCUUUGAUCCCCAAAAGCACGUGCAACUGCCAAUUGGCCAUUAACUCGAGGCACAUCUCCUGAAAUAUGAAUUAUUUGGUAUACAAUUGCCUUGAAUAAAUAACCUUAUUAUCAAUCAAAUAUGGUCCUAAUUAUUUAAAUUAAAGAAAUGACCCAGUUGAACAUGUACAUUGUGCACUAAGAUCUACACAAAGAAGUCAUUAGCUAAAAUUGAAUUGAUGAGUGGAAGAUAUUUACCAGCAAGAUUAGUCACAAAGCCACCUUGUUUCUCAAUUCUUCUUCGUUCACUGUCUGGCUCAUGGUCAACAGUUAGCUGAUUGGCAGCGCCCCUUUCACAGACGACAGCUCUGGAGUCACCAAUGUUUGCUACCCAUAAGUCUUUGCCAUCAAUAACUAUUGCAGUUACUGCCGUUGAGCCACCAGGACCUAAUUUCAUGGAGUUCUCCAGAAUAUAUUUAUCAGUGGCACGAUAUGCAUUUUUUAUUGCAAUCUUGGGGUCAUUCCAGAAGUUCGGCUGAGUCAAAUGGGUAAAACAAAAAUCCAAGAUUAGUUUAUGAUACAAAUGAUACAAAAUACAUUGUAAAGAAAGGGAGCUGAUACACACAAAGAAAGAACCAAAGUAUCCAUAACAGUUGUCAUCGACAGCAGAAUCAGCUAGAACUUAUUCUGAGUAGAUAAGAACCCUUGCUGCAUGGGCAAGGACACAAAGGGAUAAAUAAAUAUAUUUUCAUGCAAAACAUACACAGUAAUAGUUGCAUGAAGAUUCCAAUUUCCUCCCCCUUCUCCAAUUUCUUUUGAAUUUGGGGGCAAUACAAUCUUCAUUGUAAGGGUACCACCAAAACUGAUAGAACCGACACUUCUGAACUCAUUUUUCCUAUCAUUAUCUAUCUACCAAACUUUAAAAUACACACACACACACACACACAAUAUAGGUGUAAAAAUGACAGUUUGUCUGCAUGCACAAUUGUUUCUUUUAAGAAAACAAUAUUUUGCCUAGUAGAAAGAGUAAUCAUAGUUUGCUAGUGCAAGUGCAUGUAUGUGGGUUAAAACUGGGCCUCCAACCAAAUUCAUGGUAUGUGCAAACCCAACAUGACCAAAGCUCCCUUUAGGGAACUUUGUCAUACUAGGCAAGCAGCCACCUGGGUAAUUAAUCAUCUACAAAGUCUAGCUCCCAAAAUAAAGAAAAAGGGAUGCUCUACUGCUAGGUCACAUCCAAACCACUGUAUCCUACACAUCCUUUCAAUAGACUUUCCCUGAAUCCUUAAGAUUUUAAAAGUCUAGCUCCCAAUCAUUCAAAUGUCUAAUGAAACGAGAAUUCCAAUGUCCCUGUCCCCUAACCCCCCCAAUCAUCCCAAACAUCUACCACCCAAGCCUCCUUUGACGAACCUAAGGCAUACAAUGAAGGGAAAAAGCACUAGCUAAGGAUUCAUCCCACACUACUUAUCCUUCCAAAACUUCACCCUCCUCCCAUCUCUCACUUCAAAGGAUACUCUACUGCUAACUAAAUCCCAACCCUUCCUAAUGGUUUUCCAAACACCAACCUUUUACCCUCUCCUUACUUCAUAAGAGCACCAACCCCUCUCCUCCUACCCAAACUUUCCUUGGAUGACCAUUUUUCAAAAAGCCUCUGUCUUACACAUAUCUCCAACUCCAUUUUCCUAGACACUUCCUUUAGGUAGGAAGGGCUUUAGAUAAAAAUUCCUCUUACCAGAUGGGCCCGCCCCCCACACCUAAAGUCUUUUUGAAGUUUCUCAAUCCUCAAUCUAACCUUUCUAAGCAUGCUAAACAGGGACAUGAAGUAUAUAAGCAAACUAGACAAAGUUCUUUGAAUUAAGGCUAGCCUCCCUCGUUUUCCACAUGCAAGUCUUUGAAUGGAACCCCUAUUGGCAAUCCUAAAUAAGUAGUUGGAAGAUUCCCUACCUUACAUCCCAACUCAAGAGCCAAUUCCUCAACAUUAGCCACCCUCCUAAUUGGGAUCAAUUCACUUUUCUCCAAUUUAAUUUUCAUCUUUGAAAUAGCUUCAAGCUACAUGAGCAACCAACUUAAAUGAACCACAUAUCGUUGAGAGGCCUCACAAAAAAUUGUCAUCAACAAACAAUAGAUGGGACACCUCACCUCCUCUUGCCCUUACCUUAAAAACCAACUAACCACAACAACCCACUCCCCCCCCCCCCCCCCCCAACCCCUUCCUCCUUCUCUCUGGCCUUCUCCAACAAACAAUUAAACACCUCCAUCACCAAAACAAACAAAUAAGGAGAGAAGGAUCUCCUUGCCUCAAUCCUCUUGAGCUUUGAAAAAGCUAGGGAAGGUUGUUAACAAAAAUAGAAAACUUUGCUAUUGAGAUGCAACAUCCAUACUUUUAAAAGGCACGAUUUAGGCAUGCUAGGCAACACGCCACAAAGCUCCGGUGCCUCACCUUACUAUAGGCACAGCCCAUUGAAAAAGGCACUGCUUAGGCGUCUUUACACCUCACCUCCCCUUGUCCAUACCUUAAAACCCAAAAAAACACACAUUCUCUAACCUUCUCCAACAAACAAAUAAGGAGAGAAAGGAUCUCCUUGCCUUAAUCCUCUUGAACUUAAAAAAAAACCAUGAAGGGGCUUCGUUAACAAGAAUAGAAAACUUUGCUAUCAAGAUGCAUCAUUCAUACUUUUAAAAGGUGUGAUUUGGGCGUGCCAAACGCCGCGAAGUUUUGGCGCCUCACCUUACUCCAGGCACAACCUAUUGAAGAAAGCAUUGUUUAGACUUGAUAGGCACUCGCUUUUGACCAAGUGCAAAGCUUCGCAGAGGUGCGCUUAUUCCAAUUUUUUUUUUCUCCCUUUUUCUUUGCACUCGCCUUCAACUAAGCUUAACACUCUGCAAAGAUGAAUUCUUCCAUUUUUUUCUCCCUUCUUCUCCUUCACGCUCACCAUUUUUUCUCUCCCUUUUUCUUAAUGCUCGCCUUUGGCUAAGCACAAAGCUUUGCAAAGGUGCACUCCUUCUUAUUCUUUGGCCUCACAAUCGAGUUGCAACCUAGAUUAGGGCCUUUUUUUUAUUUUGCUUCACCCCAAAAUGUUGUAUCUUGGAUUCGUUGGGUUUAUAAGAAAAAACAAGGGUCAAAAUGGCAUCAUUUUGCCUUGUUUUUUCUUUAAAACCAAACUAGUCCAAAACACAACAUUUUGGACUAAAAUAAAAUAAAUAAAUAAAUCCCUAAUUUGAGCUACAACUAGAUCAUGAGGCCGAAGAGGAGAAUUGAGAAAAAGAAGAACUGAAGAAGAAGAAAAUGAGGAGGAGUCUGAAUUUCUUUGACAGCUCUUUGGUAUUUUUCUUUUUUUUUUUUCUUUUUUUCCUUAUCCAGCCUCCUGGUUUUCUCAUUUGCAUUUUUCUUACAAAUAAAUAUUGGUAUGAAGACUUUGUUUAAUAGGAAAAAAAUUUUAAAACACUCUUAUAUGCAUUUUUUUGCCAAAUAUAAUAUGGCUUGUUUAUUUAGUUUUUUUUUUUUACUUUUCAAUUUUUUCUUUUCUUAAUUAUAAUUAUUUUAUUUUAGUAUAGAUAAUUUGUUUGCAAGGAUGAAUACUAAAAGUGAAAUUCUAGUAGACUUUAAUGCAAGUGGAAGGAAAGAUCCUAGAUGAAAAUAUGCUCGUUUAUCAAAAUGAAAAUGAAUUAAACACUCAUGUGUGUUUUCUAUGACAAAGUAACAAAAGGAGGCAUAUCUACAAACAUCUUGUUGGUAGAUUUAGAAAUGCUAAAAAUUGUACAAAAUGUUUAGAACAUGUUAAAUAAGAAAUUGAAGAUUAUAUAAGUGCAAAAAAAAGUCAAAAAGAACGUAUGAAUAUGGAGUGCCAAAAUGUGAAUGAAGAUUUGUUUGGUUUUCAAGAUGAAGAUUUUGAUAAGAAAAUUAAUAGUAUAAUGGGUGUCACUAAUAUUUCUAGUGGAGGUAGUAACCAAGGGGGAAAUAGUGGUAGGACAAUGCAAUCUUCAUUGAAAAGACCAAGACAAAAAGGUCCCAUGGAUCAUUUUUUUCACUUCUAAUGUAGAGGUGGUUGUUCAAAAUCAAAAGAGUGGAAGGAUGAAUCAAACUACCAUUCAAUGAAGAGAAAAAGCUCAUAUGCUUAUCACAAGGUGGAUGUACAAGGUUGUUAUUUUAUUUAAUGUAGUAACUUAUCCGAGAUUUGAACCAAUGAUUGAGGCUAUUGACCAAUAUGAUGGAGGAAUGAAGGGACCAAAUCUUCAUGAGGUAAGAGUUACUAACCUCAAGAAAGACUUAGUUCUUACAAAGGAUUUGAUGAAUCUAUAUGGUGGGAUGGAAAAAAAAUAGAUGUUCAAUUAUGUCAAAUGGAUGGACUGACAUGAAAGAAAGAACUUUGGGGAACUUUUUGAUUAAUUGUUCAUGGGGAACCAUGUUUAUAGAAUCUAUUGAUGCUUCUUCGAUGAUUAAGAUGAGAAAAAAAUGUUUGAAUUAUUUGACAAAUAAGUAGAGUGAAUCGGUAAAGAAAAUGUAAUUCAAGUUACAAUAGAUAAUCACUCAAGUUAUGUGAUGGUAAGUAAGAAAUCCUACUUCUUGAAACUUUCAUUUAAUUUUUAAAAUUUUAAAUUAUUUAUCUUAGAACAUAUAUGAAUUUGUUAUGUGCAAUGUCACAUAAGGAAGUUGUUGGAAUUAAAGCAGCCACAUUUGUAUUAGAAACCAUGUGCCUCACAUUACCUUGACUUGAUGUUGGAGGAUAUUAGAAAACUACCAAACAUCAAGAGGACAUUGGAGAGGGCUAUAACAAUAAAUGACUAUAUUAAUAACCACUCAAAGCUACUCAAAAUUCAUCAGCCUUUGCAAGUGGUAGGAACUUUUUGAACCCAAAAUUCUUCGGUGAUAAACCAAAAAUGUAGCAUGAUGCAAAUAUUAUUAGUGAUUUAUAUAAAUGCAUCUUAAGGCUAGCAAAAGACCCUCUUAAGCAAGAAAAAAAUAGUAGGAGACUUUAGUUUGCACACAAACGCCCAAGAACUAUUCAGUAAUGAAUUAACUAUUAAGACAAGGAAGAGUGAUAGUUUUAUUUAUUUAAAUGAUUAUAUUGUAUUUUUUUUCUAAACUAGGCAAACUGUUUCACUAAAUUAUUAAUAUCUACACUACAACUGAAUGGUGGGCUGCAUAUGGAACCUCAACUCCAAAUUUGCAAAGGUUUGCGAUAAAAGUCCUCAACCUAACAUGUAGUGCAUUAGCUUGUGAACGGAAUUGGAGUAUCUAUGAAAAUGUAAGUGACUAAAAUAAUAACAAGUAAUAAAGCCUUGAAUGUAACUUAAAACUUUAAAAUAUAUUUAUGCACUUAUAAAUUUUUGUAUAUUCAUAGCAAGAGGAUAAAUAGAUUAGUUCAUCAACGUUUGAAUGAUUUGAUGUACAUUAAGUAUAACCAAGCCUUGAAGAGAAGAUACAAUUAACAUGAUACCAUUGACCCAAUUUUCUUGAAAGAUAUUGACGAUAGCAAUGAAUGGUCAAUAUGAAGAAUGGAAGAUGGAGAUCCUCAUGGCAGUACACAAGAUGAUAUUGUAUUUAAUGAUGACAAUUUGACAUGGGAUGAUGUUGCUAGAGCUACUAGAACUAAGGAGGGUAGGUUUGAUAUUAGAGCUAGAGCAAGCUCAAGCACAAUAUCAACACCAAAAGGAAGAGCUUCAAGCUCUAAAACCAUGUCUAUUCUUUCAUUAAUAGAUGAAGAUGAAGAAAUGGCUUAAUCAACAGAGAAGGAAGAUAGAGAAGGCAACACAUGUGAUGAUAGAAAUGAUGCUUAGUUUAUAUGCUUAGAGGUGCCUUGCACCUUUUAAAACUAUGGCAUCAUUUAAUCUACUCCGACUAUUUCUUACCAAACCCCAUCUUUCUAAGAAAAGCAAUCAAGAAGUCCCAAUUAACAUAACAAUACACAUUCUUGAUGUUAAGCUUACAAAUAAUGCCACUUGAUCCAGUCUUCAAAAAAGAAUCAAUAGCUUCAUUGGCUAUUAAGUGUCGCAUCAAGGAACUAUCUUCCCUCCACAAACUAAUUUUGGAACUCGAACACCACCCUUCCCACCAGCCUCUUCAACCUAUUAACCAAGACUUCAACAACAAGCUUGUACAAACCUCCCACCAAACUCAUAAGCUUAAAGUCUUUCUGAUAUUCAGCGCCCCCUUCCUUGGAAUUAACAUAAAAACAUAGCAUUCAAACAUUUUUGAAACUUCUGUUGGUGAUAAAACUCCCUAAAAGGUCCUAACACGUCAUAUUUUAAAAAAUCCCAACUAAAUUGUCAAAAAGCCAUGGGAAAACCAUCUAGGCCUACAGCCUUGUCCUUAUUCAAGUUUGACAAGGCCCUAAACACCUCCUCCUCAUAGAAAAGUGCAUUCAAUCCUUCAACUUCUAGAUUGUUAAAGGAUUUGAAGGACAUCCAACUAAUGUUAGGCAUCUAUUCCCCUGGGUCAACCAACAAAAAAUUAAAAGCCUAGCCUACCCCAUCCUUAAUCUCCUACUCCUCAACAAGUCAUGCCCCAUUGAUUUUGAUUUUGGCCAAAUAAUUCCUUCUCUUAUACGCAUUAGCCAUUUCAUGAAAAAAUUUAAUGUCCCUCAACCGAAUCUCUCUCAACCUCUAUCUCUAAGAGACUUCUUCCAAGGAGGCCCACUUGCAAUACUCUUCCUUGCUAUCCUUCUAGCUUAUGCAUCUUCUUUGGAAAGAAAGCUUCUCUUUCCUUGGAAUCCCAAAGGCUCAACUAAAAAAGAGUCAUCUCCUUCUUUACUAAUUGAUACAUUACCAAAAACCUCUUUGUUCCAAACUUUCAAGUCUGACUUCUACACUUUUAAUUUGGAGGCCAAAAUGAAGUUGUAAGAACCACUAAAAUUAUAACUCGUUCACCAUCCCUUAAGCAAAUCUUUGAAUCCCUCCCCCUUCAACCACAUAUUUUCAAACUUGAAAGGGAUACUCAUUUCCUUUCACCUUCAACCACAUAUUUUCAAACUUGAGAGGAAUACUCCUUCCACAAAUUCUACUACUACUACUACUACAACCACCACCACCACCACCACUACUCUACUACUACCAACACCACCACCAUUACUACAUUUUAUUAUUGUUAUUAUUAUUAUUAUCAUCAUCAUCAUAUUUUACUUUCAUACUUAUCUCUAGUAAUGAAGACAAUUAAUCAAAAGAACCAUUUUCCUAUUAUUUCUAAAACCAAGAACAAAUCUAGCUAGGAGUUGUAUUUUUGAGUUUGUUUUUAUUUUCUAAUUCAACUUAGUUGAUUCACUUAUUUUAUGUUGAGAAUUAUAUUCCCUUGGUAAGGCAACACCAAAAUGUUAGGUAGUUAAGAAGCAACAAUUUUAUUUAUUUAAUUUUUUGAAAAAAAAAAUUACCAAAAUGAGGAUGUUAUGAAAGAUGAAUGUGGAAACAAGAAAUAAUAGAAUAAGAAAUUAAAACAUUCAUGCAAUGAUAGGUAGCAAUUUGUCAUUAAUAAGAAACAAGGUAAAUAGAGAUCUUUUAAUAACUUUCUUUUUCUUUUUCAUUUUUUUUUUUUUUUUUUUUUGUUCUUGAUUUUUUUCAUAUACAAAUGAUGGUUCUUGCAUAAGCACCACACAAGAAGUAAAUCCUAGCACAAGAAAAGCAUACACGGUGAAGCUUAAUAAGCAAGAAAAGAAAAGCACAAAAGUCAAGAUAGGAAAGACAACACAAGGCCAACUACAAGCAAUCAAAAUCUUUAUUUCUCAGUUGUUAAGCCAAGCUAACUUUAUAUCCCCUUCCAAACAAAAGACAAGCCACCUCCCCUAAGGAUUUAUAAGACCAAGUUAACGAACAUGGAUGAUUUUUUGCAACUUGACAUUGAGUUGAGAAGGAGAUAUAAGCCCAAGUACAUGAUUUCCAAAAGAUUGACAAAGAGUACCUGCUUGAAAUUGGAAUUUGGGAAAUUUUGGUUUAAUUUGAAAGUUAAAAACAACAAGUUGUGAAGUCUAGAUUACAUCCAUUAAGACAUUAUUAAGUAGUUAGGUACUUUUAAGUCUUGUUAUUAAUUUUAGUACUUUUGAAUAAGUUAAAAAUAUUAAAUUAGCUAUUUUUUUAGAAGCCUCAAAGGUCAAUUGAGGUUAAGCUUAAAAAAUAUUUGGAUGUUUGUUGAGUCUACGAAUCUAUUGAUUAGUUAUAUAAAUAAUUAGUGCAUGAGUUUACUGGGAGGACAAGUUCUUCCAAGAGCCUUUAGAAUCUUUAAGGCUAUUAAGAUGUUCAAUGCAAGGUUUAGCUAAGUUAUCUAAAGGGAGUUGAUUUAUAGCGGGUUUUUGAAAUGGAGUGAGGUUUUGAAGAAAGAUGUCUUGGAUUGGAGUGCCCCUAUAGGCAGAUAUCCCUAAGUUUUUAGUAUUCUAUCUAAUAAGGGUCUAGAUAGUUUAAGGAUUUUGAAUGUAAGGAGAAGCAUGGGAUUUGUAGCUUUUAGGAGUUUCCAAAAUCAGGAAGCAGUCAAAUUCUUUUUUGAUAAAUUGUAUUGAGCAAUGAAAGAUUUUUUUUUAGAUGGCACAAGUGUGGAAAAUUCAAUUGAGAGGUUCUAAAUAAAUCCUAUUUUGUUUGCCUAUAUUGUUCCAAGAAUAUGUGGGGCUCUAUGGAUCUCUGUAUGUUCUCAAUGUGAACAGUAAUGAGAGAUAAAUACCUAAAGCUAAACCAUUUACUAAAAAGUGGGUGCAGCCAAAAUGGUGUUUCAUAUGUGCAAGAGGAAUGACAAAUCAGAGAAUCACUUAGAGUGUGUUUGGUAGUGAUUUUACGAAAUGUUUCAAACCUGUUUAACACUUGAAUGAUAAAAAAUUUUAAGUAUUAAAAAGGUUAGAAAUGCUUCCUAGAAUCACUAUCAAAUGGGCUCUUAGACUUAUUGAUGAACUUGAUUUUAAAAGCUAAACCAUUUACUGAAAAGUGGGUGCAUCCAAAUUGGUGUUUCAUAUGUGCAAGAGGAAUAGCAAAUCUGAGAAUCACUUAGACUUAUUGAUGAACUUGAUUUUACACGCUGAUCAACUUAGUAGAUGUUAUACCUCUCGUGUGUGCCUGUCUUCACAAUGUAGUAACUAAAAAUGUGAAUGAAAGAUAAAUAAUAUUCAACAACGAAGUAGGAAAAACCAACCAUUAUAAAUAAAUAAAUAAUAGAAAAAAUAAAAGGAAGAAAAAUAAGGUGGGGUAAGGGUACCUCCUCAAGUAUAUUAUUGAAAAGGUUAUCUUUCAAAUAACUUGGCACACUGUUACCAAGAUGGCCAUCAAAGAUGGCAAAUAAUCCAAGUACAUGGCUCUUCUUAUUUCUGUAUUCUGCAACAUGGUAGUCCUCCAUAUCAUGACCUGAUUUCCCUUCUACCAAGUGGAAUCCGUGAGCAACAAUGUUACUACAUGAUUUACAUUUCCCUUUUCCAGAGUCUGGAGUAGAUGAGUCUAGGCAUGUGGCCUUCUGUAAUACCAACAAACACAAAAAUAAGAAGAAAUCAUCAUGAUAAAAAUCCAAAAACAUUCAAAUAUUCUUUUCAAACAAUUCCAAAUCAUAGAACUCAUACAUAAACUAGGCAUAAAAAUUAGAAAGAAACAAGCGAGCAGUCGUUUGCAAAAAUAAAACACCUUGAUCUUGUUAAGGAAACUGGUCUUCUUAUCCAUAUCUCAAACAUAAACAACAAACUCUGCUUUCUCCUCUUCUUCAGACUUCUUACUUCAGAUAUCAAGCGAAGAAAAAGAGAAAAUACAUACACACCCAAGAUGGAAACUGUCAGGGACAACCACCCUAAAAUUCAAAAUAAUAAACGAAAUACAGAUUUUCCUCAGUAUGAACUCUGGAAGAACUUAUAAUCAAUAACAAAGAGUAGACGACGAUCAAAGCCAGCAAUCAAUUAAGGGAACGCGGAUUGUAAUUUUCUAUUGCAGGAAAAGAAUUGAAGGACAAAAGAAGGGUUUUAGUUGACAUAGUCAUAUAGAGAUGGCGGCAGAGUGGAACAAUUCCCUGUGGGCUCCACCAACGAACCGACCUUCUUUCUCUUCCCUGCCAAGCUCAUUCCUUGAAACUUCCGUCGUUUGUGACUGCAGCCGGUGACGUUGACAAGUUCCAGGUCCACACGCCAUAGCCUUUCCAAUCAAAAUUGGUGACUCAACCACCAAUUUAUAACUCCUUUUAAUCAUUUUAUUAGAUGGAAAUUAUGAGAAAUUUGCUGUCACUAUAUUUAAUAUUACAAUGGGUAUGGGCAAAGGCCACCAUGGUAUAUGUGAAAGUGAGGGAUCCAUGUAACAUACUAACAUCUAAAGCUCUUCAAAAAAAAUAAUUAAUUAAAUAAUUAUUAAUUAUUAAUUAAGGAAAUCAAGUUAUUUUGUUCUUGGAAGAAAAAUGCUAGUCAUAUAAUUACUUUUAUUAUAAUUCUCACUAUUUUGUUAAGUGUUACAUGACGAUGAUUGGAUUUUACCAAAUUUUUAAAUUUAAUAUAUGAGGACUUUUAAUCAUAUCAAAUCAUCCCACAUCAUAUAAAUCAUAUAGUAUAUUUAUAUUUUUGGAAAUGUGGACAUAUAAGAUCAAUCUUUUGUCUUUCCUUCCUUUGGCACAAAGAGAUAGAGUUUCUCACCUUGCAAUGGCGUGUUUUUGUAAAACUAAAAACUAGAGUUUCUUGCAAAGAGGUGUUCUUUGUAGAAUUUAUAACCGGAGUUCACAUUCUCAUCAAAUGGUGAUAUAGGGAAGUUGGAAGUUGACGAAGUGUUCAUCAACAUUUUUUUCAAAAAUUGCUCUUAAUCAAUUGGACAAUUCAAUAGAGCCUAAACAAUCUAAUAAAGUCUAGCCCAAUCCUAACCCUAAUAUAACCUAACAACUUACCUAACCCAAAACCAUCAAGCCUAAUAAGACAACCUAGCCCCAAACUAAAUGUCAUUCAAAUAAAAUUCAAUCCAGCCUAACAAAUGUACAUCAGACUUUUGCGAAAAAAAGGCACCAUCGCAUGUGAGAGCAACUCUCCAACUCUUGGCACCAUCAGCCUAAUCAUAUAUAUUAUUUAUAAUCAGUACUAAAUGCAUGAUGAAACUCUCUUUCUGUUCACAGAGUUAUACUCACUUUAUAGUUCUUUGAAUUGUUUAGAUGAGGAUCUAGUUGAACUAGAUAAUGAGCAAGUUUUGGAGGACAGACCAUAAGGAAUGUAGCCAUUGUUAUGUUUGUACUAGGUUUGUAAGUGGGCCCUAAGGCUACUUUUGUGUACUAAAUUUUUUUUUACCUUAGAAGGGUAAUGAAUAUGUAACUCCGUUAAUAUACUUCCUUGUGUUGUUUUGACAUAUUAUAUCUUGUUACACUCUAAUUUUUCUUUCAUAGGAUAGUAUCUCCACCUCAAUCUUUGAAUUAGAGAGGAGACAUUGUCUCACAUGGAUGGCAUCAAUAAGUGCGGGUUGCCACAUGCCUCGCAUGUUGUUGAAUCAACAACUUACAUUAAAGAUGUUACCCCAUUUUUUAUCAUCAUGUGCUAGACAAAAAUUGAGUAAUUCCAUGUUUUGAUGAUAACAAAAUGAGGUUCAAAUUUAAAGAUUUAUCUCAAGUGUGAUAGGUAAAGAAUAUUUUCUUUAAGUAAUCAAAAAGAAUAUCAUCAAGAUUAAAGGAGAUCAAAGUGCAUUUCAAAGUCUUUCAAGAUUUAUAUUUAAGAUAUAUAUGUAAGAUUAUGGGUACACUAAAUUAGAAUGACAUGAAUGCAUUUAAAUCUCUUAAACACUCUUGAUAUUAUUUUAGAUGGACAUAAUUGCACUUUUCAUAGAAAAUAUCAUUUCAAAGUAUCCAUCAUAAAAAUAUUUGAAAACCAUAUAAUUUAAGUGUUCUUCAACUUAAAAUGGUUUUUAAAUAUAUGUAAUAUCAAGUGUCUUAAUAUUAAAACUUAUAAAAUUGUGUAAAGUGUCAAGACUUGCAAAAUAGAAGGCAUUUGAAGGCCCAUCUAUAAAGCAAUUGAGCAAACGACUUAACCAACCAGUUGACCGGAGUGUCAUGGUGGUGUCCCCUUGUGUCUUUCAUUUGGCUUCAAUUAGAAGUGAGUUAUGGAUAGUAAAAUGCUUUAACCAGGAGUUAAUCGAAUGUGUAGUUUUAUUUCCCAAUGGUCGCCCAUAGUGUAUUUAAUACUAAUAACUAGUGAAGUGAUCAAGUAGGCAAUUGGUUGGGACUUUGAGAAAUUGUUAGUUAGGCUUUCAUUUCUUACAAAAAGACUCCUUAACUCUCAUUUUUAACUCUCUAACAACCCUACAUUAAUAAUCAUUUAUUGUGAGAGUACCUUUAGUGCACCUUAAUUAAUGAACUUACAUGUCCAUUUGGUGCACUUCAAUCCUAUAGUUUCAUUUUUAUUCCUUAAGCCAAAUUGUAAAAUAGGAAUUUGUACAAAUUUAUUAUAUCCUUGUGAGGAAAGAAUCUAAGUAUGAGGUAUCAUUUAGGGAUUUUCAAGAGUGGUGCCACUUGAGUAGUUGUUCAAAAGUGAGACAUCUUUUGUGGAAUUGAAGGUCCCUUAAAACCAAGAAUUCAAGUGUAAAGUUUGAAAGCUUAAUUUGAAAGUGUUGAUAUAGUGAAACCUCAAGGUGGAAUCAAAGCAAGUGGAAAAUGAAUAUAGGUUAGGAUUAGGCCAAACAAAUAUAUUUCAUUAUUUGCAAUUUCUCUUCCUUUCUCCUUUUAUUUUGUUGUCUAAAUUUUUUACGGUAUUUGCUUGAAUUGUCACUUGCAUUCAUCUAAGUUAAAAUUUGUUCAAAUCUUAAAAAAAAAAUGACUGACACCCAAUUCAUUCCCUCUCUUAGGUGUUUACCUUAUAUUGGAUUAGAUUAAAUCUAAAUACCAUGGCCCACAAUUAAAGUUAUUUUACCAUUGAAUCUUGUCACUAAUUAAAUCAUUAAUUAAUUAAUUAUUCUAUUUUCGCAUUUUUUUCUUCUAUUUCCUUUAAAAUUCUUUAAGAACAUUGAUUCUAUAUUAAGAUCAUUUAAGUAAAAUCAAUGCUAAACUUUAAUAAAUUAGGGCUAUUACAAUACCUAUUGCAAUGUAAGGAAUUGUGUCUAUCACAAUAGCGAUCUAAUCCUCAACUUCAUUUAUCUCCAUAUCCAUGAGUUUGUAAGGAUGUGACAUUUACUUUAGGUAGACACAAACAUAAUAGGACAUGAUUGAUGACUUUUUAGCAAAAGUUUACUAUUUUUCUCACAUGAUAUUAAUUCAAGAUAUUAGGUAAAUUGACACACUCAAUAUGGUUUUUGUUGCAACACAUUUAGGUUAUAUUUGGUAUGUUAGAAUGAGGAGUAAGAAUGAAUAUCUCAUUCCUUUUCUCAUCGAUUUCCAUAUUUAGAUAACUCUAGAAAUAUAAUAAAAAAUGAUUCUAACAUAAAUAAAAUCUCAUUUAUAAAUGGGAUUUGAUUCAUCUCUAAUAAAAGUUAUUUUUAUUCCCGUGUCACAAGUUAUUUUUAAAGUCACUUUUCAAAAAGUAAAAAACCAAAAACUUGGAUAGGUUACCUUCUUUUUUUUUUUUUUUAAUAAAAAAAACAUUAUUUUGAUGUCCAAAAAAUUUAUAAAUUCAAUUUAUAUAAUUUAAUUCAAGUUUUAUUAAAAAUAAAAAUAAUUUUUUAAUUACAAAUAAAUUUAAAAAAUAAUUUUUUAAUAAAAUAUGAAUAGUUAUAUUAUAAUAAAAUCAUAAAUUAUAUAUAUUUUUUUGCAUAUAAAUAUUAUAAAAAUAUGCAUAUUAAUAUCCUCAAAAUAGCAUAAUUGAUUCAUUUUAUUAAAAAUAAAUAAUAAUAAUUUAAAAUUAAUAAUUGUGGAUACUAUUUCAUUAUAAAUGAAUUUAAAAAUAAAUAAACUUUAGUUUUCUAAGGUAUAAAUGAGUUGAGUUUUUCUUUAAAUACAUACAUUUAUAUUCAAUUAUGGAGAGAGUAUUCUGAUUUUUUUUUUUAAAAAAAAUAUAAUAUGUAAUCAAUUAAUCAAUUUUUUGAAUUCAAAAUUAUUCUUAAAAAUUAGAAGAUUUAUCAAAUAAUUUAAAGUAUUAAUUAUGUCUCACUUAAUUAUUUUUAACAUUUUUUUUCUUAUUUCUCUAUGUUUUUCUUUUAUUUUUAAAACUGUGAAAACAAUUUUUACUUAUUAUUUAAAAAAUAAUUUUUAAAGAAUCAUUUCUAGAGAACAACAAUCAAACAUUGCUAUAAAUCUUUCAAAAUAAUUUAUUAUUUUUACCAAUAGAACAUUGUUUUUAAAUCUCACAGCCAAAGACACUUUUAUUAUUUAGUUAAAGAAAGUCUCAAAAAUGUUUUUUUUUUUAAUGAAAAUAAAAAAUCAUUUUAAACUAUAUAAUUUGAUAUUUAUAUAUAAAAAAAUUAUUUUAAAUUAUGUGUACGAAUAUUAUUGUCAAUUAUUUUUUUUUUCCAUUUUCAUUCUUACCUAAUAUUGAAAUAAAACAAAUAAUCAUUUCAAUAUUAUAUUUUUAGGUGCAUCCAAAUAUAAGAAUUGAAAUCACCAAAUGCAUUUCUAUUUAAAAAGAAAUGAGAAUGAAAAUAAAAUAUUCAUUUUCAUUCCCAUUCUCAUAUACCAAACAUGGUCUUAAGAUAUGAAAAGUAGUAAAUGUAAUAACAAGCAUAUAUUCUUUAUUGACUCUUUCUCCUCAUAGCUUCAAUUGUGAACCAAUUUUAAAUACUAUUGAGUUGUGCACUAAUAAAUUAAAAAUCUUGUAAUUUCAAGUGCAUCCAAUCAUAUCGUGUUCAGUAGAACAAUGGGUCUUGACUAUGAGAUAUUCACCUUUUAAUGACAAAGAAAUAUUAAAGCUUUGACACGAUCCUACUAAGAUGCAUCAUUUUCUUUCUUAAUGGUUUGUCUAAAGUUCAUUGCCUUUAAGUAAAUUUCAACAUUUAGAACCCAAGAUAAGUAAUUUUUUAUCUGAAAUGUCAAUGACAACAAGCUAAAACUGUAUUAUCUUAAAACUAUAUAUUGAAAAAUUUAAUUUUAAUCUUAUUUCAAAUUAUUAAAACAAACUUUCUAUAAAAAUUUGUAAAAAAAAUGAGAAUUUUUGGAGUUAAAAUAAACAAAUUAUUUGAUACUAUUUCAUGAAGUAAAUAAAAUAUAAUAUUCUAAUUAUGCUACAAAUGCAACAUAUUUUAUUAUUACAAAAUCAUUUGAAAUAUGCAAAAAAAUUAUAAUAAUUUGGUAAGGUUAAUAUUAUAAUAGAAAUUUGAUAAAUUAAUAAUUUUUGUAGAUUAUUGUAACAUUCAAAACACUAAAAAUGUAUUUGGGAGUGAUUUUAGGAAGUGUUUCUAAUAUUUCUAACACUUGAAUGAUAAAAAUUUUCAAGUAUUAGAAAUAUUAAAAACGCUUCCUAUAAUCACUACCAAACGGACUCUAAAUUUCCUAAUUUCUUAUUAUAAAAAUAAUAUCAAUAUUCUUGUUUUCAUAUCGUCGAUAUGAAGUAUUUUCAUAAUUAUAUUAAAACAAAAUGUAAAAAAAUGAUGUUUACAUAACUUUAGGCUAUGAAAUAUUCUAAGGACGACUAUGACUAUACCACCUUUAAAAGAUUGUUAAUUGACAACUUUAUUUUGCUUAACUUUUUAUUAUAGAACAUAAAUAAGAAGAAUUAAAAAUUGUCUGCACAACUUCUAACUAUAAGAUAAUGUAAUACAAUUUCCGUUAAUAAGAUAAUAAUUGACAAAUUAUAAACAUCAUAAAAACAAAAUAUGAUGAAAUACCACUUCUUGAUAGAUCUCGAGAAUAAGAAUGUCUAAAGAACGCCUUCUUUUUAUUAAUAGGUAUAAUGGAGUGAUUAAGGUAAGCAAUAAUUCUCGUUAUAAACUCCCUAUUUUCAACUAAACCUUCAUAUUAAUAACACUUUGUAAAAUAAAAUUUAACAAAGAAAAUUAAAAGAAAAAGGGAAGAAAGGUGAGAGAAAAAGAAGAAAGUUUAUUUAUUUCUGAAAUUCAUUAGCCCAUAUAUCCUUUUUUAUACACGAGAGAUAGUAAAUUAUAGUAAAUUACUUUGUGAGAAAAUUCAGAAAAAAAAUCGUUUAAUAGAAAUUUAAUCAAAAUUUACAGAAAUUCUAGAAAAGAAACUUCGUGAAAUAAUAAGAUAAGCAAUAAUACUCAUAGUUUUUUUUUUAAAAAAAACAAUGUAUAUUAUAAAAUUUAUAAUGCUGGAUAAUAAUCUUGCAUUUUAAAGAAACAUUUAAUUCUAAAAUGAUAUAUAAAAGAAAUGAUGAUAUAUUUACAAUUAUUUUUAUUUAAAAAUUUAUGUUUUUCUUACAUUUAAUUAAUAUAUAAACCGUAUAAAAAUAACUUGUUCAAAAGAUUAUUGUGAGUUUUUUUUUUGUUUUAUGUUUUGAACAAUUAAAUUAUUGGAAUCUAAAAAAAAUAAUUAAAAUAAUUUAUUUACUAAAGUUUAUAAAAUUAAUGUUUUACACAAAGAUUAAAAUAUCGAUUUUUGUGAAUAUAUCGAUAACAUGAUUUUACAAAUAUAUAAGGAUAUAUUAAAAAAUAUCAAUGAAUAUUUUGAUAUAAAAUAUUUUUAUUAAAAAAUAUUAAUAAUUUUAUUUAUGAAUUAAUAUUUAUCUUUAUAUUCUAAAUGCAUAUUUAACACAAUAAUAUUGAAUAAAUAAAAGCACAAUUCCAUAUCAAAACUUGGAAAGAAAACAAAGGUAUAUAACCUCUAUUUAAAAUGGUGUCUUGUACAAUCAUAAGAUUUGAUUCAAUUGCAUAACCCAUCUAUUAUAAAUCUAUCCUUUCUUUUUUUCCCCUCAGAAGUACAAAUAAAGACAAUCCAACAUUGAAACUUUGAAAGAAAACAAAGUUCUGUAACCUCUUUUUAAAAUGGUGGCUGGUAGAAUCAUAUCUACCAUGAAUGGGAUGGUUGAUCUGGUUGGGCUUAAUCCAACUCUUGAUCUAUUAGACAAAACUGAAAAAUCAUUCAUGCCAUGUGUCAUGUGUCAUGUGACUUAUGUCAAGACUGGCUUGGAUUUAGACUUAGAAGACACACAGACAGAAUGAGGUGUGUACAUGAUUAUAUCAAAGGUCAAAUUUGUUUGGUGGGUAACAAGGAACACCUUGCUUGCUGGAGCCAAAGUUCAAACCCCAGCUCCCGUCUUGCCCCUUUUUCAAUAAAAUAGGUUGCUGUCGGCCGCCAUGAAUUGGUUUCCAUGACUACCGACGUCUGACAUUUUGGUUUAAUUUCACGCAACUGGCGAUCUUUCACUCCUUGAUUCGGAACAAGAUAGACUCUGACAUAAAUGAGAAGUCUCUUUAUGGAUAAAAAUUAUAAACAAACCAUACCUGAAACCAGUCCUGUCCGGUCGAUCCAUCACAUUCUGUUUCUGUAAUAGAUUAAAUGUUCAUUUUAGAGCCCAAAAUGCAGCAUCUAUGAGACUCUCCUUCUGUCAUCAUUUAACGUCCUUUUAUUGCCAAAAACGAACACAAGUAUGGUGCACUUUUACCAUCCACUGUACAUGGGAAACUUUUCAAGACUUGGGCACUAAACCCAUAUGCUAUGAAGAAGGAAACAAGUAGAGGUUGAAAAUACCCACUUCUAUUAAAAAACAUCAUUAGAAAAGAAUGCUCACUUCAGGCCUUGCCAUUAGCAGCAAGGCUCUCAUAAAACAGUAUGUAUCCAUGAUCCGUAUUACUGGAAUACUCUUGAGCGGAUCCGAAGAAAGUCUGAACUGCAGACUCAUCAAUCAUCUCAACAUUUUCAUCAUCAAAGAACAACCAGUGGUUGUGGCUCUUCACAAGGCUGACGUAGUGCCCAUGGUUGGGACCACUUCCCACAUGAACAACAACAGCAAAUAAGGUAUACUCGGAGUCCACAUCCUCCAUGGAGUUAGCUAGUUUGAGCUCCAGAGGAAAGACAACACGGUAUGACAGCUUCUUGUGCCGGCCAAGCUGCUCCAUAUACUUGAAACGUUUCAGAUGAAUAACCAGGAUGUGAGGUGGCUUCUUUAUCUUCAUCCUCUUCUGGGCUUCUUGCAAACUGCAUUCAAGGAUGAGAUAAACUUGGGAAACUUGGAGGUUUGACUAAAGAAAGCCAUUGAACUAAGAGUGAUGUAGACUUCUUUCAUCAAGCCUUGAUAAAUGACUACAAAGUCCUACAGACUAAAUCAGCUAAAUCCCAUUACUGUCAGCCAGGUGAUCUUGAAUUUUAAAAAACCAGAGAGAGAUUCCCCUAGUCUAGCCAAUUUAAACUGUACAGAAGAACAGAAUGUACUGAAACUAUAAAUGACGCUUCCUAUUCAUGUUGCAUUGUGGCUGCUCCUAAUGUCUAAUCAGCCUAUUAUUCCUGAAAUAAUUGAUGCAGUUAUAAAGCAAACUAAAGGUAUGAGAGUUAUUUAUACAACAUAAAAAUGCCAAAAGCCUGGAAAUAGAGAUGAAAAUUGAUAUUCUGCGGCAAAUAGAUUGUCAUAGAAAUCAUUUGAAGCUAUAAAUAAAUAAAUAAACAAAUAAAUUUGAGUCAGGUGGAUUUAGUUAGAAGACAAACUAAAAUGCACUCCAUUUCACAAAAAUGAUGCAAGCAAUAGUAAAUUCCAGCACAUUUGAGGGAAGAAUGACAGUUAAUUGAAACAAGCCUCCUGGACAAAUCAUCUACUAGAUAUGGUAAAAUGCUGUAUAUAAACAUGAAAGCCUAGGUUUCUUUUUUUUCUAUUUUCCCCCUAGAAUACCCAAGCAUCUCUUUGUAGAGAAGUGGGAGUGUAAUGUCACUUUCUCACUUUCUGUACAAGAAAAAAAAAAGACUGUUAGAAAUGUAUUCUAGAGUUUAGCUAAUUCUAUAUUAGGAUAAGUUAGGACUGCAGUAUUAGGGCCUACUUUAUAGGCUGAUUUAUAAUAAUUAUUUCUGUAUAGUUAACUUCCUAAUAUAGGACUCUUGUAUUUAUAUACAUCAGCUAGGAUGAAACCUAAAAUAACCUACAGAAUAUAGGAGUGAAUUUUCUGUCCUGUUUCACUAUUGUGAACAUGGUAUCAGAGGAGGUUCAACUCUAACCCUAGCCGCCUCUUAGUCUUGGUGAUCCUUUCUUUUCUUUUUCAGUCCUAGUUUGUUUGUUGUGAGGAUAGAUCGAUCCCCUCUUGUGUGAUUGAUCACUUUGUGCCUCUGAGUUUGAGGUUGUGUGCCUUGUGGUAAUUGUGUUUGUGAUUCAAGAUGAUGGAUAACAUGUCUACUUCAGAUUUGCGUGUUUCUGUUGGUACAACAGUGAAGUUUAAUGGAAGAAAUUAUGCUCUUUGGUCCCAAGCUUUUCGUACUUUCUUGGGUUCCCAAGGUCAUGACCAUCAUCUUGUUGAUAAAAUGUCAGAUCCUAAGGAUUCCAAGUAUGCAGCAUGGCGUCAGUCUGACUGUAUAGUCAACACAUGGAUGUUGAAUUCCUUGGAACCUGAGAUUGCUGCCUCUGUUGGUCUGACAUCAACUGCUAAAGAGAUGUGGGAUGCUAUCAAAGAGAUGUUUUCUAAUGAUGGUAAUAAUUCUCGUUCAUUCUCUUUGUUUCAACUUGUUGAUCAUAAACAAGGUGAGAGGUCCCUUCCAGAAUUCUUUGCUGCCUAUAGAGGGCUUAUCAAUGAAUUUCACGAGCUUCUGCCUCUUUUCUAUAGAUUUAGAGACUUAGAAGCGUCAAUGGGAAAACCUAUUUGUAUGUGGUUUCUUAAUGAAUCUAAAUGAGUAGUAUAACACUCUUAGGAGUCAAUUGCUUGGGGAUGGUACCAUGCCUACGCUUCAGUCUGCUUUCUCUUACCUACAAUUUGCUUCUCUAACCUUGUUCUCCCCUAGUGUGGAUCUUGAGCAUUCUGACAUGGUUGCACAUGGCCAUGUGCGUGACACUAGAAAGGGCAAAAGUUGUGAUCGAUUAUGUGAGUUUUGUCGUAAAUGAGGGUACACCAUGGAUUGAUGUUAGGAUAAGCAUGGUAAGCCUGAUUGGGCUACCAAAGGUGCUAAGUUGUCCAAUGUCCCUAAAGCAGCAGCAGUUACACUUGCUUCUAAUGGAUCUACUUCUUCUUUGGUUGUUCCUGAAGAUGUUAUUCAGAUCUCUACGGAGGAGUAUGAUAGGUUGCUUCACUCUCAACCAAGUUCUAUUGCCUCCUAUGCCCUCUAAUCAGGUACUAGGGCACUUGCUGCCUUCUUUGGUAAUUCUUGGUUAAUAAAUUCAAGUGCAUCAAAUCAUAUGAUUGGCAACUAGUGUCAAUUCAACAACUUUACACCUUGCCAGUCUUUUUCACCAAUUAUUGUUGCUGAUGGUUCUGUUUCUAAUGUGUCUGGUUUUGGUACUGUUCAUACCUCCUCUCUUGAGCUCAACUAAGUCUUACAUGUCCCAAAAUUGUCAUUUAAUAUUCUUUCUGUUAAUCAAAUUACAAAAUCUUUGAAUUGUUCUGUAUACCUUUCUUUUCUACUCAUUGUAUUUUUUAGGAUCUCCAAACAAAUACAGUGAUUAGACAUGGCUCUGAGUCAGGGGGAGUCUACUAUCUUUCUCAUGAUUCUUCGUCUGUUGCUGUUGCUGCUGGAGGUGUGUCUCUUUAUUAUUGGCAUUGUCGGUUGGGUCAUCCUAACCUUUCUAGGUUAAAAAAAGUUGUCUUUUAGUGAGUUUGUUUCUGAAAUAAAUUGUGAUGUGUGCCAAUUAGGAAAACAUCAUAGUGUCUUUUCCUUCUAAAGAAAGUCAAAGUUUACAUCCUUUUGAUUUAGUGCAUUUAGAUGUGUGGGGUCCUUGUCGUUAUUCUACUGUGUUAGGUUAUAGGUAUUUUAUUACCUUUGUGGAUGAUCAUUCUAGGAUGACAUGGAUUUACUUGUUAAAAGAUAGGUCAUCUGUUCUUGAUGUAUUUCAAACCUUUCAUAGUGAAAUAAAGACUCAAUUUUCUUCUAAUAUUCGUGUGUUAAGAUCUGAUAAUGCUUUAGAAUAUAUGAAAUAUGAUUUCUCUAAUUUUUGUUCUUCUAAUGGAAUUAUUCAUCAAACAUCCUGUGCUUAUACCCCACAGUAGAAUGGUGUGGUAGAGUGUAAAAACAGACAUCUUGAGGUUGCUCACACCAUUAUGCUUCAAAUGAUUAUGCCCAAAUCUUUUUGGAAUGAUGUUGUACUUACUACAGGAUUUCUUAUUAAUAGGAUGCCAUCUUCUACUCUUGAAGGUGGCAUUCCUUUUAAAUGUCUUUUUUCUUGACUCUCCACUUUUUCCUCUUAGUCCUCAUUUUUUUGGGUGUGUGCUUUGUUCAUCUUUUUGAGACCGGUAUGGAUAAGCUUUCUCCUAAAGCUGUUUGUUGUAUUUUCUUAGGGUAUUCUCGCAUACAAAAAGGGUAUAGAUGUUAUGAUCCAAUGGCUAAAAAGAUAUUUGUUUCUACAAAUGUCACCUUUUUUGAGUUUGAAUUGUUUUUCAAAGUUUCUGACAAACUGUCUGUCCCUCUUCCUACUCCUAUGUAUACAUCUAUUCCACCUUCAAAACCCUUGCAGGUUUACACUAGGCAAAAAGCUUUGCAAACCCCUUGUGCUCCCAAGCCAUCUCCUACUCCCAUGUAUUCUGCUAGUGAUUCUAUUGAUUUGCCAAUUGCUCUCUAAAAAGGCAAACAUUCUUGCACUCAAAAUUCCAUUGCUAGUGUUGUUUCCUUUUAUCAUCUUGGUUCUUCUUUUUGUUGUUUUGCUUUGUCUUUGUCAUUUGUAUCUAUUCUUAAGGAUUACCAAGAGGCUAUUCAAAAUCAUAAUUGGAAAAAGGCUAUGAAUGAGAAGUCAGCUCUUCUUACUAGAGACACCUAGGAUUUGGUACCGUUACUUGAGGGGGUUUGUUCAGUUGCAUGUAGAUGGGUUUUUAUUGUAGAGUACCAUCCCAAUGGUUCUAUUGAGAGGUAUAAAGCACGGCUGGUUGCUAAAGGGUACACACAGACAUAGGGUAUUGACUUCUUUAAAACUCUCUCUUGUUGCUUUGCUAAGCUCUGUUCGUGUACUUAUAUUUGUGACAGUCAAUAAAGAUUAGCAUGUAUCAACUAGAUAUAAAGAAUGCAUUUCUUUAUGGAGAUUUGAUUGAGGAGGUGUAUAUGGAGCAACUACCUGGAUUUGUUGCUCAGGGGGAGCCUCAUUUGGUGUGUAAACUAGCAGAGUCCUAGAGCCUGGUUUGACAAAUUCAACCAUGUAGUUUUUGCUAGAGGAUUUAGGCGAAGUCAGGCUGAUCAUUCAGUCUUUGUGCGACAUAGUUCCUCUGGCAUUGUGGUACUUAUUGUAUAUGUUGAUGACAUACUCUUAUCAGGUAGUGAUGUGACUGGUAUUGAAGAAACCAAGAAAUACUUGUGGCAAUAAUUUGUUGCAAAAGACCUUGGUAAUUUGAGGUUUUUUCUUGGUAUCGAGGUUGCUCAUGGUAAACAGGGUCUAGUGCUAUCUCAAAGAAAGUAUGCGACUGAUCUUCUACAAGAAACAGGCCUAUUAGGGGCAAAACCAGCAGAUGUUCCAAUGGAACCUAACCUGGACAUGUGGAAGGAGGAUGAUGACUUUGAGGACAGUGCACAGUACAGACGGCUUGUUGGGAAGCUUAUUUAUCUAACAGUGACCAGACCAGAUAUUGUGCAUGUCAUGCGACUAAUUAGCCAGUUUAUGGAAAAACCUAAGAAGUGUCACCAGGAGGCUGAUUGCAAUAUUUUGAGAUAUAUUAAAAAAUCUCCAGGAAAAGGGCUAUGGUUCAAAAAGAACAAACAUAAGAAUUUAGUAGGUUUUUCAUAUGCCAAUUAUGCUAGUGACAAAGGGGAUAGAUAAUCCACAUGAAGUUAUUGUACUUUUGUAGGAGGUAAUCUAGUAACUUGGAAGAGCAAGAUGCAGAAAGUUGUGUCUAGGUUUAGUGCUGAAGACAAAUAUCGCGCCAUGGCUCAUACCACAUGUGAACUGAUAUGGUUAAAGGCACUUCUUGAAGAUUUCAGUAUCACAUAUACAGAUCCUUUUCCUAUGCAUUGUGAUAAUCAAGCAACAAUUCAUAUUGCGAGUAAUCCUGUCUUCCAUGAAUGGACAAAGCAUAUUGAAGUUGAUUGUCACUUUGUAAGAAAUGUUGUCGCCAGUAAAAAGAUUUGUACUCCAUUUACACCUUCAAAGGACCAGGUUGCUGAUAUGUUCACCAAGGCCCUUAAGAAGGAUGACUUCACUAGAUUGAGUGACAAGCUUCACAUGAUGGACAUUUAUGCUCCAGCUUGAGGGGGGAGUAUUAAUAAUGUAUUCUAGAGCUUAACUAAGUCUAUAUUAGGAUAAGUUAGGACUGCAGUAUUAGUGCCUACUUUAUAAGCUGUUUUAUAGUAAUUAUUUCUGUAUGGUUAACUUCCUAAUAUAGGACUCUUGAAUAUAUAUAUAUAUAUCUCAGUUAGGAUGUAACCUAAAAUAACUUACAGAAUAUAUGAGUGAAUUUCUUGUCCUGUUUCACUAUUGUGAACAAAGACAAACAAUGACAAUGCCUAAACAAGUUGUAUUGAUGCUUUACAUUUAUUUUGCCAAUGAUCAAGAGGUCCAGCACUAACUCAGUAGUUGGAUUUCUUUGCGACAGAAAGAGAAUCACGUCAUUAGAGUUUUAGAAGUUUUUUCCCUGACAUCAACCAUCAGCAGGACACCUAGUUCAGUUUUUGGUUGACUUUGUAUGGAGAUUCCCAAUAUGUGGUGUUAUCCAUCAAUAUGAGGGCAUCCAAUGAAUUGAACAGUUCUUUGUCUAGCUGUAAAUGGUACCUGAAAAAGCUUCUCUUGCUGAUUAAAUAUGGCAUACCACUAUCAUCAAACAACAUAUAGGUAAUCAUUGAACAUUCUUCACCCUUUCCUGUCUUCUCCAGAGUAAAACAUUCAAGGCUUUCUGGGAAACUCUUCAUUAUGUGACAACCAGACCUGUUGAUGAUGUUUGUAACAAGAACAGGCAGGCCAUAAACUGUCAAGGUUUUCAAACUCAUGUCAGAAAUCUACUCCAAAGGCCCCCCUAGCUAUCCUUCUCUAAUGCAAUGGAUUUCUGUUUCAAAAUGCUCAUGUAUCAACUUUCACUUAAUUUUUCCUUUAAUCAAGUACUAUACCCUUUAAGAAAAAAUUGUCAAACUAAGUCUUAGGCCACAUAAGAUCCUAAAGACUAGUUUCUCUUUCAAAGGUACAUCUACCUAAGAUUUCUAUAGAUAUACUUUUGCUAAUGGAUUGACUGAUCAUGACUGCACUCCCUCAUUGUUUAGUAUAUUCAUUUAGUGUCUCCUUUUUACCCAAGUUUGUCAAACUGGGAAGUUGAUUGGCCUAACCAUACUUUUGUUGGGCUUUACAUGAACCAUUUUCAUUUUGGUGUUUUCUGCCACUUCCAAUAUUUUUGGAGGAUUGUCUUAACUGUUAAGAUAAUCAAUAUUGCCAUGUACUGGGGCAUUAUCAAUACAAGGACCAUUUUCCUGAACAUUAAACUGUCACUAAAUUUUAAAUCUAAAUAAUUAACAUGGUUUGCAAUCUCACAAACCAUUUGACUAUAUCCUUUCAUCCAAUGUAAACAUUUAUACCUAAAAUUUUAAAUAAAAACAAAAAGGUAAAGGAAAAACAAAUUGUCAAUACUAAUGAAGAUGAAAAGAAAAAGGAAGAAAUUCAUCUACAUAAAAAAUAAAAGUAAAUAGUACUACCAUUAAUGCUUACAUUUGAAAGUGUAGACCCUUAAAAAUUUCUAAGUUCAUAAACACACACAAAUGUCAGUGGAGAAUUUCACUACGGAUAUUCUACAACUUUAGCAGAACAACAAGCAAUUCUUAGCAACAAGGAACAUAGUGUAGUACCACAGACACCUCAUUUUGCCCAUAGCUAAAUGACCAAUAACCACAUGUUAAAUCCUGAUAAUAAGAACCAAAAAUGGCCUUUCAGUUUUGACUCUCUCAUGAAGUGUUCUUUGCCUAACUAAUCUAUGGAAUGGAAGCCAGCUUGAAGCAUGAAAAUCCCUAAAAUGGUUAAGAUUAAGGUUUAGAUGCUCUUAACAAUUUUUCCAAUUAAGUAUCCACCAUUAUAUUGUUCUACAUAGAUAACUUGUCUUUUAUGGCUUCUAGAUGGUUUUAAGUUACUGUCUCAAGUUCAAAGUUGAGCCAUCAUUAUUUGAUCUGAGAAAAAAAAAAAAAAGCUUUGGUGAAAAAUGUCUAAGAUGUGUAUGUGCUGGACAGCCAAGUUUUGAGGCCUAUAUCCUUUUAAUCGGAAUAAGUUAAUUGUCUGCUUAGAAUUGAAAGGAUCAUUGGAAGAAUUUUCAUGACCAUCUGGAACCCAAUUUAGAUUUAUACUCCUGCGAUUAAGCAAUGUACAUAACUGUGCUGAAGCUGACAUACAUACUAUUAAUAUUUUAUUAUAUAGUAUUCUCCAGACAAAAUGAGAAAAGAUAUCCCUUUUCAUAGGCAAACAAAAAUUAUAUGGAAAACAUCAAUGAAAAAAAAGGCACACCUAAGUGCUCUGGAUGUAUACAAGUGUGCCAAAUGGAAAAAGAAAAAAAGGAGAAAGAAACCAAAAUUUUCCCUCCCCAUAUUUCAAUACUAAUCAGUCAAAUAGAUCUAGAAAAGACAUGGAAUUCACAUGCAUGGACCUCUUAGCAUACAGUAGAAGAAGUGCAAAAACAUUUAAAUAGCCUCAUUACUGUUCCAGAUUUUCAGAAGACUCUAUCUCUGUAUGGUCACAAAUAAGCACACAAUGGAUCAGCCCUCUACACCUACCUCCACUUUUUCUCCACAAACCUCCCUUUCCAGCUCAGCAGAGUCUCUUUUACUGAAGAUGACAAUACCCAUUCCACCCUAAAAGCGAAAAUAGUAGGUGCCACAAGUCCCUUGUUUUAACACAAUGAAGAAGGAGGUGACUGAGUAUUUCUUCUUCCAUUUUGCAGAGAAAGCAAUAACUUGCCCAUAACUUCCCUCAUACCACCUCCCAUCCAAAGAACCCCAUUUUUGUAGGAACCCAAGAUUCCAAGCCACUUUCAUAGGAAAAUCACCUUCUUCCUCUGGCUUUAGAAAAAGUAUAGAAAGAUUUGACUGAAAAUUUUUCCUUCCCUUGAGUCGUUCCAAACCAGACUAUCCAAUACCUCAUCACUGUAUAUUCUUUGAUCCUUGUGAGAAAAUCCCCAACCACUUCCGAUGGCCAAUCACGGAACUGAUGAGAAAAGAGAUCAAAUAUGGUAGAAAAAGAAAAAGAAAAUGAGCAGUAGAGAUUCUUGAUCAUAGACUAACACCAAACUUGAUUCACAAGGGGCUCAACCUUAACAUCAAGUACUUAGGACUUUUUGAGGCUCUUGGUUUGCAAGAAUAGAUUGUACGUGUAUCAAAGCCAUCUUACUUGUUCUGAGAGGAAAGGAUGAACUACCAACAUUCAGGGGAAAUGUAUCAACACUAGUGCAUUUAAUGUCUCACUGAUGAUGAUGGUCACUAAGAGUCCCUACAAAAGAGAAUCCAUUCUCCAUUCUCAAAGGAUAAUCAAGAAAUCACUACACAAAGAAAGCCUCAUGUUCGUUAUUACAAGAUUCUCCUUGGAAUGAUUAUUAGACUUUCAAAACAGCCUUCCUACUCCUGAGGUGGCUCUAUCCACCCCUCAAACUCAGACAUCUCACCAUCCAUGUGACUACCCCCUCUUUAAUUAAGAACCUUCCAUCAACAAUAGGAUCUCAUUAAAAUACAAUUUCAAUAGAAGUUUAUUUAUUGGAUAACUAAAUUUUGAUAAUGUUUGGUAAAUCAACUAAAUUUAAACAAUUUCAGCUUACUGACAAUUGACAAAGGAGGCAAGGAAGACCGUGGUGCAAUCACUGCAGAAAACCAGGACACACCAAGGAGACUUGCUGGAAAAUACAUGGCAAACCAGCAGAUUGGAAACCAUCUCAUUGUCAGAAUGAUAGAGAGAGUAGAGGGAAUCUUGUCUCAGAUGAAGAUAAUUCAGCACCCUCUGAAAUGAGUCCCUUCAACAAGGAACAAUUGGAACUCCUACAAUAAAUGAUCAAUCAAUCAUAACAGGGUGUGACUACCUCCAAUUCUCUCAUUGGGUCUGGAACCUUAGCCCAAAAAGGUAAUUUUCUUAACGCUUUAAAUUUGAGAAGAAAGAAUCCAAGCACAUGGAUUGUGAACUCAGGAACUUCAGAGCAUAUGACAGGAGAUGCUUCAAGUUUUCAUAAAUAUAACCCCUGUUAUGAUAACUUUACUGUUCGAAUCGCUGAUCGAUCUCUCUCAAAAGUUGCUGGUACAGGAUCUGUUGUUAUUUCAAAGAACCUAACUCUCGAUUCAGUUCUUCUUGUCCCAAAUUUAGAUUGCAAUCUAUUGUCAGUUGGUAAACUCACACAUGAAAAGAAUUGUCUUACUAAAUUCUUCCCAAACAAUUGUGAAUUUCAGGAUUUGGAUUUGGGGAAGAUGAUUGGCAGUGCUGAGGUGUGUUCGAGACUCUAUAUUCCCAAUGUCAGCGAUUAUCCUGAAGAACAACCUCAAAAGGCAGGCUGUUAGAAACGUUCUCUUUCAGUUUCCAGUUCAAAUAACAAUAGUGUUAUCAUGCUAUGGCACUAUCGUCUAGGUCAUCCAAGUUUUAUGUAUCUCAAAUGCUUUUUCCUUCAUUAUUCAAUAAAGAUUCUAAGUGCCACGGACUUAGGUUCUUCCUAAGCUUACGUGCGGCACUUAGACAAGCCAAGACACUUGAACUUGCUAAGUCAGUCUUACCCUCGAUGCUUAACUUGCUAGGCUAAAAUGCACACGAUUCGAAAGCUAGAAGGCACACAUAGGCAGCACUUAAAAAAUGAAAUCUUUAUUACUCUCAAAGGAUGUUUACAAGGCUUUUGGAAGCUCACUUGCUUGGUGCCUUAGCCAAAUGAAGGUCUCACCUAUUUAUAGGCACCUUAGGAAGUCUUUGGAAUCUUGGAUGGUUCCUUACAAAUCAAGAAUAUUCUAAAAACUUCUACAUAAGUCUAUGUACAAGCCUAUGUACAAGUGUAUACAUGAGACCUCUAGAACUCUUUAGAAUGGCUUAGACUCUUCCCAUGCCUUCCACCUUAAUGUAGAGAAGUGUGGGUUGUCUCUAGCCAUCUCUAGAACCUUCCACACUCUUCCCACCAAUGGCGAAGUGUAUGUGGCUCUAGGAGUCUCCAAAAGCUUCCCACCCCCUAUAUAAGCUUAUGGGGAGGGUCAUUUGGAGCAUGUAGUGACACUACACUUUGAUACCAUGUAGAAGAGAGAUUGAAGAAUAAAAGGUUGAAAAUUCUUCUUCUUAAUUCUUAUGUACAGAGACACAUAUACAUACAUAUAUAUAUAUAUAUAUAUAUAUACACACACACACAAAAAUCUUAGAACCCAAAUUAGGGACUUUCCUAACUUAGUUACAACAAAAUCCCUUUGAUUACAAGAUUGUUUAAUUCUCUAUUUAGAAUAACAUCUUUCCUAAUUUCAAUCUUCCACACCUACUAUUAUCAAUUACCAUUUUGCAAAUUCCACCACUCAAUGAGAAAAAAGGUCCAAAAAAUAAUGGAAGAUCAUCUGUUGGCUUUUUCAACCUUUUUUUCAACAGUGAAUGAUAAUUGACUACUAAAGAGUUAAUUUUUAUCAUGACAUCAUCUGACCCCACUAUCACUUCCUUCUCGUCUUUUUGAUCUUUAUGAUCAGAAUCUUCUUUUCUUUUUAUACUUUUUCAAUUAGAAUACUAACAGCUUGCAUGUUAGAAACAUAGAAUUCCAUUGUGGACACUCAUUAUGCCCACAUCCUUCUCUAUUGCAUUUGGACUAUGCAACCACCAUUUUUUCAAGUUCCAAUAUUUGUUUGACCUUUAAUCAUAUCAUAAAAUAAGCUUCUCCCAUGCUUUACCUCCAUCAAGUAUUCAUCCUUCACCAACAAAAAGAGUAUGUAAGGAAGUCUCAUCUUGAAUCAGCCCCUUAAGACUGUUGCUGUAAUGAGAAGCUGUCUAAUAAUCAAUUUAUAAGAAAUUUAUAGCUGAAAGGUGAUAAAUUAAUCCCUGUACUCUAUUAGAAAAUUAUCCAAAAAUUAUCCUUGUAAAGAUGAUUAUGAAAUUUUGAAAAUGAGUCUCCACAUUAUCAUAUGAUGGAAAAGCUUUUCACCCCAUUCUUGGAUCUUCUCUCAACCACAAAAUCAGGUUAAUUUCCCUUUUCAAAUGCUUGAUACCAUCAAGCUGUACCACACCUAGUCAAGAAAUUCUUCAAGAUUUAGAUUUUUUCUUUUAAUCUGAAAGUUCCUCAAGAAUUAGAAGUUCAUUAAAAUCAAGAACAUCAAUCUUCAAUUCAAAAUCAGUAUAGGAUGACUCUCCGGAGCUUUAACUGGCCAUUCCAUAAGUUUUUCAGGUACGUCUUCAUCAAAAUCAUUCACUCCCUAAGAUGGACACGGCCUAAUUUGCUUGACCAGCAUCAAGUUGUUUAAAUAUUGGAUGAGUUACAAAAGAAGCUGUGGUUCUUGCUCCAAGGGUACAGUUUGAGGAUCAACCAACUCACAUCAGCUGCUCAAGUAUUAUCUCUCUAAUGCAAACAACUCUAACGCUUAUAUAUCUUGGGCUCUUUAACUGGCAAGACUAACUUCAUCCAUUGCUUUGGCACUAAAGCAAUGGAACAAGAAAAAACUUAGGAAAUUGUUAGGAAAAUAAUAAAAGAAAGAGAAAUCAUUCUCUUCUAACACAAAUUGUCAAAAUCCAAAAGCACUUCUGUAUAAACCAUUCUCCCUUUUUAAAAGAAAGCCUAACCUUAAAAAGACACAUUUACUAAUAUUCAAAUCACUAAGAAUGCUAUAAGAAGGCCUCAUAUUCUACAGGUUAUACAUUUUGGACCAAUAAAAAAAUCUGCACAAACCCCUGAUCCUUGACAAAAUAAACCUGAUCUUUAAAAGAUCCCAAUAAUAGACAAUCAUUGGACAUGAUUUCCAAUUAGACAGCAGUAUGAUCCAUGAUGCCAGAACAAAUCAAAAUUAUAUAUGAAAGAAGCACAAGACAACUACCUGCAGCACUUGUCACAAAAGAAUUUAUCCUCAGCAUUUAAAGUUUCUGUAGAACUGAAAUUUUUGAGGCAGCUUGUAAUUGAACUGUUCUGCUCAAUAUCAAGGCUUAAAUCUAAGAAUGUUUCAUCCCUUGCUGUGACUGUUUCACAUCUUAGGCACCUUGUUUCAUUGGUUAAUAAACCCUGCAUAUGUACCAGCACCUUUGUUAAUAUGUAUCACGUAGCAUGACAAAAAUAGUAAAAGUGUUCCUGUAGGAACAAAUUUGAUGCUCCUCCGAGUUAAAAACCUCCAGUGAGCUUAGCCUAUACAGCAUCACCGAAUCAUCACAAAAUAACUCAACAAAAUAAAAAAAUGCAUUACACAUUGGUAUUACUGAUAAUGGGGUGUAUUUAUCAGACAAAUGUCAUGAGAUCAGUACAAUCUUUCUUCCAGCAAUCAUAUUUGAAUCCAGGGGAACCUAGUCUUGAGUUAACAUGUUCAAGCACACUGGUGCAGAGGAUUGUCAACCUUGAGAAGGCUUGUAGUGAAGAGGAUGCUUCAGAUGCCAUGCACACUCUAGUGGGGGUAAGGCUCCUAGCCUAGAUGACCUAUCAAAAAAAAAAAAACAAAGCUCCUAGCCUAGAUGGAUUUUCUUUUGCAUUAUUUGAACAUAAUGAAGGCAUUAUUAAGGGGGCUAUGAUGAAUUUUAUGAGGGAGGUUCCUGCUGCUGGAUCAUCUGAGCAGAGAUUUAAAUGCUACUCUUUUGGUUAUUGUACUGAAGAAAGGUGGAGCAAAGGAUAAUACGAAUUUUAGAGCCAUUAGUUUAGUAGGGGGUCUCUAUAAGCUAUUGACUGAAAUUCUUGCUGAUAGAUGAAGAGACUGGAAGGUCUCAAAAUGUGUAUGUAGAUGGAAGACAAAUUCCUGAUGCUGCUCCAGUAGGUUAUAGUUGCAGGAAUUGAUCAUAGACUGAAGAGCUCUAAGGUGAGGCUUGUGUACAAAUUAGACAUACCAAAAACCUGCCACAACAUGGAUUAGAAUUUUUCUUAUCCUCUUUGAAAAUGAUGGGAUUUGGGAGACUACUUGAAUUAAAUAUGUCUACUGUAAAAUUCCAGUUACACAACUAGGUAAACUAGUUUGGGUCUUUCUCAAAUCAUAACCUAGGACCAUUUCCUCCAUUUCACCAAAGGUAUUUGAUUGCUCAGCCUUUGUUCACAUUCCCCAAAAGCAUCAAAGUAAGCUUGAUCCCAAUGCCAAUAAGUGUAUUUUCCUAGGAUACUCUCUAAACUAGAAAGGCUUUAUGUUAAAAGCUUAGGGGUGGGGAGAUUCUUAGACUGGAGAACUCUUGAAGCUGCUGGAGCAGCUGGAGGUGUGCUGAUUUGUUGGGACAAAAGGUCCUUGGAAAUGUUGGAGUGGGAGGAGGGCCAAUUCUCAAUUUCUUGUAAAUUCAGAACUGUGGAAAAUGGGGUAGUCUGGGUGUUCACGGGUGUUUAUGGCCCUUUCACCAAAGAGGAUAGGGAGUGUCUUUGGGAUGAAUUUGGAGCAAUCAGAGAUCUUUGGGGUGACCCAUGGUGUGUAGGGGGAGAUUUUAAUGUUAUUCUCGCUCAAGGAGAAAGAAGCAGGCAAGGGAGGGUGACCUCAGCUAUGAGGAGGUUUGCUCAGGUUAUGGAUGACCUUAAGCUAAUUAACCUUCCCCUCCAAGGGGGCUCUUUCACUUGGAGUGGGGGGCUUCAUAAUCAUGCCUGGGCCAGGCUGGAUAGAUUUUUGGUUUCUCCCAGCUGGCUUGAUCAGUUCAGCAGUGUGACUCAGAAGAGAUUAUCUCGGCCUAUAUCAGAUCAUUUUCCAAUCAUAAUCGAGGGGGGUGGCAAAAGAAGAGGCCCUUCACUGUUCAGGUUCGAGAACAUGUGGCUAAAAGUGGAAGGGUUUAAAGACCUUUUGAGGAGUUGGUGGCAGGGGAUGUCGGUCAGUGGUAGGGCUAGCUAUAAGCUGGCUACAAAACUAAAGGGGAUUAAACAAAACUUAAAAGUUUGGAACAGGGAGGUGUUUGGGAACUUGGAGAGUAAUAAAUUGGCUACCUUACAGCAAGUGGACUAUUGGGAUCAAGUGGAAAGUGAGAGGAGCCUGUCUGAGGAGGAAUUUUCCAGAAAAAAAGAAGUGAAAGAAGAUUAUGCUAAGUGGGUUAAGCUGGAGGAGAUACACUGGCGGCAGCUCUCAAGGGAGCUGUGGCUAAGAGAAGGGGAUAAAAAUAUGGGGUAUUUCCAUCGAAUGGCAAACGCGCACCAAAGAAGGCAUACAAUGGAAAGAAUAAAAAUCAGUGGGGUCUGGCUGUCAGAGGAGCAUGAAGUUAGGACCGGAAUAGUAGACACCUUUCAUCGGUUAUUAACGGAAGACUCGGAGUGGAAGGCAUAUAUAGGGGGGUUAAAUCUGAAUCAGAUUAGCCAACAAGAGGCGGACAUCUUGGAGCUGCCAUUCAUGGAAGAGGAGGUCCAUUCGGCCCUAAUGGACAUGAAUGGGGACAAGGCUCCAGGUCCGGAUGGCUUUACGGGGGCCUUUUGGCAAUUCUGCUGGGAGUUUAUGAAGGAGGAGGUUUUGGAGAUGUUCAAGGAAUUCCAUGAGCAUAAUGCUUUUCUCAAGAGCCUCAAUACCACAUUCUUGGUUCUGAUCCCCAAAAAAGGAGGAGCGGAGGAGCUGAGGGACUUCAGGCCGAUCAGUCUCUUGGGCAGGUUAUAUAAACUUUUGGCUAAGGUGCUGGCCAAUAGGAUUAAAAAUGUGAUUGGUAGAGUGGUCUCUUCAGACCAGAACGCUUUUGUCAUGGGUAGGCAGAUUUUGGAUGCGUCUCUAAUCGCAAAUGAGGUGAUUGACUCAUGGAAAAAAGAAGGAAAGAAAGGCCUGAUCUGCAAACUAGAUAUUGAAAAGGCGUACGACAGUGUCAAUUGGCAGUUCUUGAUGAGGGUUAUGGAAAAAAUGGGUUUUGGGACUAAGUGGAAGGAGUGGAUAUGGAGCUACAUCUCGACUGCUAAAUUCUCAGUGUUAGUAAAUGGGGAGCCAGCUGGGUUCUUCUCUAGCUCUAAGGGGCUUCGGCAAGGCGACCCUCUAUCCCCAUAUUUGUUUAUCAUGGGAAUGGAGGUGCUGAGUGCCCUUAUUCGGAGGGCAGUGGAAGGGGGCUGCAUCUCUGGAUGUAGAAUCCAGAGGGGUAGGGGGCAGGCUGUUAUUAUCUCUCACCUUCUCUUUGCGGAUGAUGCCAUAGUUUUCUGUGAGGCUAGGAAAGAUGAUAUGACAUUUUUGAGCUGGAUUUUAUGUUGGUUUGAAGCCGCUUCAGGGCUGAGGAUCAAUUUGGCUAAAAGCGAAAUUAUUCCAGUAGGGGAGGUGGAGGAGAUCCUUGAGAUGGCUGUGGAGUUGGGUUGCAAGGUAGGUCAGCUGCCUUCAACCUACCUGGGGUUGCCUCUGGGCGCGCCCAAUAAAGCUGGUUACGUGUGGGAUGGGGUGGAAGAAAGGAUGAGGUGGAAAUUAGCCCUUUGGAAGCGGCAAUACAUCUCCAAGGGUGGUAGAAUCACCCUCAUAAAGAGUACGCUGGCUAGCAUGCCAUUAUAUCAACUGUCCCUCUUCCGUAUACCUAAGGUAGUGGCAAGAAGACUAGAAAAAUUGCAAAGAGAUUUCUUGUGGGGAGGGGGAAGUACGGAAAGAAAAGCACACCUAGUCAAUUGGGAGAGGGUGUGUGUGGGCAAGGAGAAGGGGGGGCUU
rnacentral:lncRNA from 1 species